rnacentral:lncRNA from 1 species
UGUAACAGGUCCCAAACAAGGAAAGUGUUAUGAGAAUAAACAAGCAGAUUGAACGACUCAGUAGGAGAUAGGCUGUUAAAACAGUUGCUGCCCAAAAGGUUAAAGUGUUGUAUAACCAAAACAUAGUGGAUACGUCUAGUAAAUUUUUGAAAUUUUCUUUUUCACCGGUUGCAGGACUUGGUUCAGGUGCAGUGCUGGUUGAAUAUUCUAAAGAUGUGCGAUACUUGAGUUAGUAAUUUUGACAUGCUAUCAAGCUGCUUUGGAGGGUUCAAAGUGGCAGUGUAUGUAGCUGUUAUAAUUAGCACUGUGGUUACUAAAAAUGUGUUACGCUUCUCAUAUGGGAUUCCCUUCUUCCCACGACUUGCUAUUGUUGCAAAAUUUUGAAAAACUGACACCUUUUCUUUUAAAAAUUCGAUGUGGAAUGAAGAGAUGGAGGUAUUGGGAAGCGAGGAAGAGGAACCACUCAAACCUCCUGCUUUGCUUAGUAUAUCAACAAUCCUAUCCGCUCGUUUUUCAUUCUAUGGGUAUUGUGAUUGGAUAUCUAGUGCUGUCAAUCCCUCCAAAUUUUUGGCAUUGAUUUGGUCUCGCCGCAUGUGUUCCAGCAGUACUUUUACCACCUGUUAAUUAGAAUAUUCAUAUAAGUAACCUUUGAGUAUAUAUAUAUAUACAUAAAUAACUUAACUAGCAAAAUUAGUGUGAAAAAUAUAAUGUCGGUAAUGACAGAAAAAUAGAAAUAGAAAAAUAAAGAACACACAGAUUUUACAUGGAAACCCUUUCGGGAAAAAUCACGGGCAAAGGAGAAGAAAAUUCACUAUAUCGAAUUCAAAUCAAUUACAAGAGGAGUAGACUAUGCCUAUUUAUAGGCUUGUAAACCUUAUUCUAAUAGGAGUGAAACUCCUUAUUCUAAUCAAUAUCAAAUACAUGGAGUUUAAUAAGAUUUUAAAAAAACCUUAUUCUAAAAUAAAAUAAAAGAAGUAUAAUUCUAUAGGGAUUUUACUUUUAUUUUAUUUUACCACUGUAUUUUAUUUAAAUAAGGAUUCGAGUCACUUAAUUCUAACAAUCUCCACCUUGACAUGAAUUCUUAAUAAACAAGUUCUUCAUCGCGAACUCUCAACGAACAAGUUCUCCACCUCUUCCAUAAAACCCCUUAAGGGUUUAUCUUCAACAAUCAACACCAACCAAGUCUAAGAAAUGCUCAAACUUGGUUAUAGGAAGUGACUUAGUCAUCAUAUCUGCAGGAUUUUCAUGAGUACUAAUUUUCUCACAACAAUAUCACCACAAGCAAUAAUAUCACGAACAAAAUGAUACCUAACAUCAAUGUGUUUUGUUCUCUCAUGAAACAUUUGAUCAUUUGUAAGGAAUAUGGCACUCUGACUGUCACAAAAUACUGUAUUGAUUUGAAGGUCUUCAUUGAGUUCACUAAAGAGUCCCUUCAACCAAAUAGCUUCUUUACAAGCCUCAGUAAUCGCCAUUUACUCAGCUUCAGUGGUAGACAAAGCGACUGUAGUUUGUAAAGUGGUUUUCCUACUGAUUGCACAACCUCCGAUUGUAAAGACAUAACGGGUGAGAGAUCUUUUUCUAUCAAGGUCUCCAUCAAAAUCAGCAUCAACAUACCCAAUAACUCCAUCUCUAGUUCUUCCAAACUGUAAGCAAACAUCGGUAGUACCUUGUAAGUAUCUUAAAACCCACUGAACUACUUUCAAAUGUUCUUUAUCGGGAUUCGUCAUGUAUUUGCUAAUUGCACUAACUGCAUAUGAUAAAUCUGGACGUGAACAAAUCAUGGCAUACAUGAGAGAUCCCACUGCACUAGAGUAUGAAACAUGUGACAUGUACUCAAUCUCAUCAUCUGAUUGUGGAGACAAAAUCGAUGAAAGUCUGAAAUGGGCUACUAAAGGAGUACUAACAGGCUUAACAUUUUGCAUAUUGAAUCUGGAAAGAACUUUCUCAAUGUACCCUUUCUAACUUAGGUACAAUUUACUUGCUUUUCUAUCCUUGAGAAUCUCUAUACCAAGUAUCUUCUUUGCUGGUCCCAAGUCUUUCAUCUCAAAUUCUUCACUUAGUUGGGCUUUGACGUUUCUUAUCUCUCAUUUAUCUUUCACUGCUAUCAACAUGUCAUCAACAUAAAAGGAGUAGAUACACAAAAGAACUAUCACUGUUUUUCUUAAAAUAAACACAACUGUCAAAGCUACUUCUUUUAAAAUCAUGAGAAGUCAUAAAGGAAUCAAACCUCUUAUACCACUGUCUUGGUGACUGUUUCAAACCGUAAAUGGACUUUUUCAGCAAGCAAACAUAGUUCUUUUUUUCUGAGACUGUAAAACCCUCUGGUUGUUGCAUGUAAAUAUCCUCCUCAAGUUCUCCAUGCAAAAAUGCAGUUUUUACAUCUAACUGCUCAAACUCCAAAUCAUGCAUGGCCACAAUACCAAGCAAAGCUCGAAUCGAACUAUGCUUCACAACUGGAGAGAACACAUCUAUGAAGUCCACUCCUGGAAUUUGACUGUAACCCUUUGUAACAAGCCUUGCUUUAUAUCUGGGUUCUUCAACUCUUGGAGUCCCCUCUUUCUUCUUAAACACCCAUUUACAACGAACAACCUUUUUACCUUUAGGAAGUUUCACAAGAUCCCAUAUUUGAUUUUUGUGUAGUGAUUCCAUCUCCUCUUGCAUAGCAAACAUCCACUUUUUUUAGUCUUCACAACUAACCGCCUCAGAAUAAUUAGAUGGCUCUUGGUUUGCAUCUAUAUCUUCAGCCACAUUUAAAGCAUAAGCAACUAGAUCAGUCUCGGUAUACUUCUUUGGAGGCUUAAUUUCUCUUCUAGUUCUGUUUUUGGCGAUAGAGUAUUGUGGUGAAGAAGCAACCCUAUUUUGAAUUUUUGAACUGGCUUUAGUAGUUGACUCUGUUGUAGAUUCUAGAUUAAUCUGAUGCUCCACCUGCUUUUGAUUUUCUUUAUUGGAAGAGUCUUUAAGAGAUAAGUUAGGUAGCAUAGCAGUUUCAUCAAAAACAACAUCUCUGCUAAUCACAACUUUUCUAUUUUCAGGACACCAUAACUUAUACCCUUUUACACCAGCUUUAUAACCAAGAAAAACACAUUUAAUAGAUCUCGGUUCCAAUUUUCCAUUAUCAACAUGAGCAUACGCAGGACAACCAAAGAUUUUUAAAUCAGAAUAGUCAGCAGGAUUACCAGACCAUACCUCUUGUGGAGUCUUUUUCUCAAUGGCAAUGGAUGGAGAUCGGUUGAUCAAAAAACAUGUAGUAGAGGCUGCUUCUGCCCAAAAUGACUUUGAUAAGUUGGCAUUUGACAACAUACAUCGAACCUUCUCCAUGAUCAUUUUGUUCAUUCAUUCUGCACCGCCGUUUUGCUGUGGAGUAUGACGAACUGUCAAGUGUCUCACGAUCCCUUCUGACUUGCACAGUUGAUUAAACUCAUCAGAACAGAACUCUAAGCCAUUGUCUGUACGGAGGUAUUUUAUUUGCUUUCCCGUCUAUUUUUCAAUCGUGGUUUUCCAAGACUUAAAUGCGGAAAACAUAUCACUUUUCUGCUUCAGGAAGAACGCCCAUACUUUUCUAGAAAAAUCAUCAAUAAGAGUUAGCAUAUAAUUAGCUCCACCUCUCGAAGGCACUCUGGAUGGCCCCCACAGAUCAGAAUGAAUAUACUCUAACGUUUCCUUCAUGUUAUGGAUUCCUCUAGUGAAUCGAACUCUCUUUUGCUUCCCAAAAAUGCAGUGCUCAUAGAACUUCAAUUUGAAAAUUCCUUGCCCAUCAAGACGUCCUCUUUUGCUCAAUUCUACCGUGCCAUUCUCACUCAUAUGCCCUAGGCGCAUAUGCCAAAGUUUAGUAAUAUCUUCAUCUGACAAGGAAGAGGAUGACACAGCUACAUCACUAGUAACAGUAGAGCCCUGCAAAACAUAUAACUUGGCAGUCUUUCUCUGCCCUUUCAUCACAAUGAGGGAACCUUUGGAAAUCUUCAAAACCCCACUUUCAGCUGUGUAUUUGUACCCUUUUGAAUCAAGAGUACUCAAUGAAAUUAAAUUUCUCUUUAAUUCUAGAACAUGUUGUACUUCACUGAGUGUUCUAACAACUCCAUCAAACAUCUUAACUCUAAUUGUUCCAACACCUGCAAUUCUACAUGAAGCAUUAUUUCCCAUCAACAUAAUACCUUCAAACACUGUUUCGUAAGUUGCAACCCGAAUCAAGGAUCCACUCUUCGCUCGCUUUAGAAUUGUUGACAGAAGCGACUAGAAGUUUACCAUCGCUCUAAUCUUCUACAACAUCAGCUUUACCAGAAUUUUCUAGUUGUUUUCCAUUUUGAUUGGCAGCCUCCCUUUUGAUCUUAUUCUGUAGCUUAUAGCACUCAGAUUUAAUAUGCCCUUUCUUCUUGCAAAAGUUACAAGUUUUACCUCUGUUUGAAGACUUCGAUCUACCCUUAGAUUUACUGCGAGGAUUCCAUUCCUGUGUCCUUCCACGAUCAUCAUUAGCAUUCCGAUCUUGUCUCCCACGAACAAUAAGAUCCUCUCCUUGAGAGUCAGUUUUAACCACAAGAUGCUUCAUCUUAUCAUACGAGGUUAAAGAAUCAUAAACCUCAUCAACUGUGAGAGACUCGCAGCUAUAUAAAAUCGUAUCUCUAAAGGUUGAAUAAGACGGGGGCAACGAACAAAGUAGAAUCAACCCUAGAUCUUCCUUAUCAUACUGAACCUCCAUGGCUUCCAAGUUUGAGAGAAUUUCUUUGAACACUGUUAAGUGUUCGUGCACAGAUGCACCUUCCUCCAAACGAUGAGCAUAAAGACGCUGCUUCUUAUGUAGCUUGCUAGUUAGAUUUUCAACAUACAUAUCUGUUCCAACCUCUUCCAUAAUCCAGCGGCAGUCUUUUCCUUCAUCACAUCCUGCAAAAUUUCGUUAGACAAAUGCAGAUGUAACUGUGUUAAGGCCUUUCAAUCCUUACGCUUCUUCUCUUCCUCCGUUAAUGUUGAAGACAUCUUAUCUACCCCUAGUAGGGCUUCCUCUAAGUCCAUCUGUGCAAGAACUACUUGCAUCUGUAUCUGCCACAACGAGAACCUGGUGUUGCGAUCCAACAGUGAAAUUUCGUACUUCAAAGACGUCAUUACCGUGAUUGAGAUGAACAACUCGGAAGCUCUAAUACCAAUUUGAAAAAAAAAUAUCGGUAAUGACAGAAAAAUAGAAAUAGAAAAAUAAAGAACAUAGAUUUUACGUGGAAACCCUUUCGGGGAAAAACCACGGGCAGAGGAGAAGAAAAUUCACUAUGUCGAAUUCAAAUCAAUUACAAGAGGAGUAGACUAUGCCUAUUUAUAGGAUUGUAAACCUUAUUCUAAUAGGAGUGAAACUCCUUAUUCUAAUCAAUAUCAAAUACAUGGAGUUUAAUAAGAUUUAAAAAAAAAACCUUAUUCUAAAAUAAAAUAAAAGAAGUAUAAUUCUAUAAGGAUUUUACUUUUAUUUUAUUUUACCACUGUAUUUUAUUUAAAUAAGGAUUCGAGUCACUUAAUUCUAACAAUUAGCAUACCCGAGGUCUGUUUCCGCUAGCAGCAAUAAGUAAAACAGUGUUGCCAUCAAUGUCUGCCCAACUCAGUAGUUCUUUCUCCCAACGGUUGGCAGCUUCAUGGCGGCUCCUUAUAAGCCACCCCACCAAGACUUGGAAAGCUUCAAACCUGUCAUUUUUUAUGGCAAGAUGGAAAACCGUCUCAUCUUGAAUAGUCACAUCUUCAAUAGCGUCGGGGAAACCUCAAGGAACUUGAUCAGAAAAUCAACAUUUCCAUUUUGAACCACACGAUGCAAAGGAGUCAAGACCUCCCUCCCUUUGACACAAACAAGGCCUUUAUCAAACCUGAGGAGUCGAAGCACCGCUUGAGUUUUGUGAUUUUGCAGAGCCAAGUGCAUGGGGCUAAACCCAGCUUGGUUUAGCUUUCUUGCAAACGUUGGCUUUAAGUUCAUCAUCUCCAUCAUAAACUCUAUAUUCCCUGCAGAGACUGCUACGUGCAAUGGGGUAUCAAGAAAAGGAACAUGAUCAAUAUGCUCUAAAACACAUUGAUCAUUCUGAAUCAACUCAUAUAAGACGUUAAUAUGUCCUUCUUGUGCAGCAUUUCUCAUCGUCUCAUCCAUGACAAAGAGUGUGUGUUGGAAGGAGGGGAUGGAAUACAAACACUAUACUACAUUAAAUACAAAACUAAUUAAUUUAACAUAAUAUUUAAGAUUAUUUAUUAAUAUAUUAAAUAUUAUCAAGUGUCGAUUCACUCAGUAUAAACACUAUUAGUACAUUAAACCCUAAACCCAAUUAGUAUAACAUGAUUUCUAUAAUUUUACCAAACAAGAAAUUAAUAUAUCCUUUACUUUUAACUAUACAAAUAAGAAAUUUCAAUCUUCCCCUAUUUUCUUUCCUUUAAUUAUAUUUAUCCACAUAUAGGCUUAAUGUAGAUUUUGUUUUAUUUUAUUUAUUUUUUACCAUUAUCCUUUAUAUUUUAUCUUUAAAAUUUUAAUUAUAUUUCAAAAUUAAUUUUAAAUAAUAUAUCAAAUAUAUUUUAAAAUUUAAUUUUUCAAAGCUUAUCUUUUUUUAAGUUUUCUUUCAAGUGUUGCACUCACACUCGUAAUCCUCACAUGGUGGAAUUGCCUACAAUAAUGAAGGAAAGAGCAAAGCACUAAGGACUACCCAAUAAUUGGGAGGCAAUGGCAUACCCUACAUAUACCAUUUACUGUCAGUGGUAAUGGAUCACUUGCCUACUUUACACGUAUUUUGUUUUCUUUCACUUUUUCUUGUCCUGCAUUAUUUGGAUUUGUGAGUAAAACUGUUGCUACUUAUUGAUCAUACUCACUAUGAAGUAUCAUCUCCCGAGAGCACACAAACUCUUCACAAGUAUCACAAGUAUCGCGUAAGGAGAAAUGUCGAAUUUUAGAUUACAUAAUAAUUUCAUCUUACCCAUCAUAAAAUUCAAAGUUUAGAGAUUAAGAAAAAUAAAAAAUAAAAUUAUAAUAACUUCUUUAUCAGAUGUGUGCAGGAGUUAUGUAAAAAAAAAAGUAUUUAUUACACAGCAAAUAAAAGAAUUUGAAAAUUAAAAAAAUUUUGGUGCUAUAUUUUUCACUUUCCACAUGAUCAUCUGGUGUGUGCAGAACAAUAAAUCUAAUCUUUACUGCUAGUCUUUCUUCUUUUUUACUCUGAAUACUCUUCUCUUGUUGCUUUUAUUGAAAUAAUGUAAUAAAACAUUGUACCAAUGGAUUGUUGAACUCUUCUACCAUCUAAUUUUUCUUAGUAUAAAUAUUAAAAUUAUAACCAUUUUAGUUGUUUAAUAUGAUCAAGUUAUAUAACUUGUGAAUACUUUUUUUUAAGGAUUUAUCUUUAAAGAAAGUAAAAUAAUAAAUUUUAGUUCAAGAUUGUUGGAUUAAUCAAAUAAAAAUUCGAUUCGAUAAUAAAAAUAUUUUUUGUCCAAUUUUAAUUGAAUUGGUGUCAUAAAUCAAAUGAACACCAAUUCAGUUGGAAAAUUACGAAAAUAUCUAUCCGUGAUUAAAAUAAGUAAUAUUAUUCUAAGGUCAUUUAGCCUUUUUAUGUAAAAAAAAUUCAGUAAAAAUAUGAAUAUAAUGGGAUUUGAAGUAAGACUCAUCUACUCGAUUAACUCAAAAUUUUUACUCUAUUCGAUCGAACAUUCACUUCUAAAUAUUACAUUUCCUUUAAUUGUGUAGCUAAUUAAGUGCUCCUUAUUUCAAAAACAUUUUUUUUUCUUUUUUGAUAGAAAUUGAUAUUUAAAAUGUAAAAAAUAAAAUAAAAUAAAAUACUGUUUGAACAUGUAUAAAUUAAUAUUGUACGCAUAAAAUUUAUAUUGAAUAAAAUUUAAUACCAAGAAAAGUAAAAAAUAAAAAUGUUAAAAUAAUAUAUUGGUGAAUCAAAUUUAAUAAUGAAUUUGUAGUUGAUAGUUAUAUACAAAAUGGAUGAUAUAAUACGUCUGAAGUCUUCCCUUGGUUGACCAUAAAAGGUUAUAGACCUUUUGAAAUCUUCCUAUUGUUGACCAUAAAAGGAGAGGUCAUCCUCUUCUGUGUUUUGUUUCCUUUAUUUGUGUGGCUAAUUAUGUGCUCUUUAUAUCCUUUCAAAACAAAGUUUUUUUCUUUUUUGGUAGAAACUACAAUAAAGAUUAUUGUAAUUUAAAAUCCAAUUAAAGUUACUAUUUGUUACGUGUAACAUUUAUUUCGAAUAAUUUUUAUUAUCGAGAAAAAAGUAAAAACAAAUAUAUGAUGUAAAAUUGUUAAUUUAAAUAUUAGCUCGAUCGAUAUUAGUAUUUUGUCAAUGUAGGGGAGUGUAGGUUUAAAUAUAUUCAAGUGUGAUUUAUCCUUAUAUUUAAACAUUUGAGAAGGGUUGGGGUGAAGUUAGAAUUUCUUUUGGGGGAGACAAACUAAAUUGUAUACUUUUAUGAGAGCUAAAAUAUAAUUUUACCAUUUUAAUAACUUAUAUCUUUAUAAUUUUUAAAAGACCAAAUAAAAAUUUUAUCAUUCUGAGGAUAAAGUACAAUUUUACUAUUUACUAACUUAAAAUUAUAUUAACUUACUAAAAUUUAAAUUUCACAUUUUUAAGGGAAUCCUGCUAGGCCCUCCCUCCUGCCACCCUUGGGAAGGUAUAAAGUGAAGCAAUAAAGAUCCAAAAUAUAUAAAUACUUAUCACACUUGACCUAUUGCUUUUCUUCAAGCAAAACAAACGCUAAUGCACAUGAAAAUGCAAAUUCACAUCCAAACUAGUGAUGCAUUCUAUAUACAACCUAGUGAAUAAAUAAAUAAAUAAUAUUUAACCACAGAGUUGUCUCUAUGUAAGUGCCUUUAUUUAGCCUCUUUGAUUAGAUAUUCUUAAAUGUUAUUUCACCACUGAAUAAUUCGAAUAACGACUUGACUUAGUAAAAUCGAACAUUAGACACAAAUUAAAACCCAAGGCAACUUUGGACAUUUGAUCCCCUUUCAAUUCUUUAACCGACCAUUCAUUUCCCCUCUUACAUGAAUCCAAAUUUCAUUUCAUCCGGGAAAAGCCAUCUUAUUCUCAACAAUGUCUUUGCCAUUUGAUACAAAAGCCUUCCGUUAGAUAGGAACAGAUUUGAUAAAUACUAAUAAUUCUCAGAUGGAGUAUUAGAACGGAAAAAUCCAUUAGAUAAUGAACUAUUGGUUCUAAGCCAUCUCUGGCUAUGAAUCAAUAAUUCGAAGUGUUUUUCUUGCGUAUUCUUGAUAAACCAGAGUUUAUAUAUAGAUGUAGGAGGACUUGUUUGGGAAGUAAGAAGUCUCUUUGACAUCUCUUCAUCUGCAAAGAAUUCUCGGUAUGAAAACACAGAGACAAAGGGCUGAUCUUUGAAUAGGAAAAAGAGUGGAUCAACAGGAUCCCAAAUGAAUUGGCUUAUUUGAAAAAAGCCUUAUUCUUUGGAAGAUCUGUUUGGGAAGUAAGAAGCCCAUUUGAUAUCUCUUCUCUUGUAACUUCAUCUUCUAUUUUUUGUUCAACUUUACCAAAAGUCUCAAGAAUUUUUUCCUCAACCUUUUUCACUUUGGCAAAACUUUCUAAGGAACGAGGUUUUAUUGUGAACGACUUUGGUUCUAAUCAAAAUAAAUUCUCAGUUUCAUUUAAGGGUUUGAUCAUUGAUGCAAAAAUGAAUUUCAAUAUUCUUUAAUAAAUUGGUUAUAGUUACCGAUGACCUAGUAACUCAAUCUCUUCUUACCUUUUCGAUAAUCAAGACAAUCGUCAUUAAUUACUUCUCUUAUUGACAAUCAAUCUUAAAACGAUCGCUUAGAAAUUUAAUUUAUCUAUAGCUUAAGAAUGAAAGAGAUUAAAUUCUAAUCAACAAAAGCACAAUCACGGUUUAUUUAAGUUAGAUUGCAUGCCCAUGUUACACAAAUAAUCAUGCAGUCGUCACAAAUAUUAGAAAUCAAUUGAUCAACUAAAUAUCUAAUUUACAAAGCAAUCAUUCUAAACUAUCAAAUACCUAUCAAUUAUUUAACAAAUCUGAACAAUUAUAAUUAAAUUAGAAAAUAUGCAAAUAUUAAACAACAAAAGGGUAAUUAUGAUGUUUGGAUUGUUUUGUUAGAUGGUGGUCAUCUUCCUAUGUUGAUUGUUGGCGUUUAGUUUCUUUUUAUUGGAUGUAUCUGAUUUGUCAAUUUUUGUCUUCUUAUUUUUAAUAUAAUAAUUUUAUUGUUGAGAAAAAAAUUUAUAAUUUUAAUACAAAUUAUCAAAUUAACUAUUAACUUUUAAAAUUAAUGGUUAGUUUUAUUUUUAAAAAGUAUUUUAGCAUUUUAUUUAUUUUUUAAUUUAAAAUCAAAUAAUUAAUUAAAUAUAUUUAAAUUGUAUUAAAUAAAAUCAAAUUAAUUUUUAUGAGUCAUAAUAUAAUUUUUUAAUAGUUUAUUUUCCUAUGUGGAACAAUUAUUGAGAGUAAAUAAUCUGAUUACAUUAUUAAAAAAUAAUAGAAUAAAUUAAAAAUUCAAACAUCUUAAAAAGUUAAAAUAAAAUUUAAUUUAAAAAUAAAUAUUAAUAUUACAAAUAUAUUUAAAUUUUCUAUCUUAAUCUUCUACUUCAAUCCAUUAUUCUCAUCAUCAUCUUUCAUCUUGAUUUUCUUCAACCUAUCAUCAUCUAGACUAGUCAUUUUUUGACCGGACAAGUCUAAUCAGCUUCGAUCAAUAUUGGACUUCUAAUGUAGUUAAUUGCUUUGGAGUUGCAAAUUACUUAACAAUAAUAACAAAUUGAAGAUUUGUAUAAAAUUGUAGUGAUAAUACUACUUAGAAAAAUAGUAUAAAAUAAAAUUAAAAUUAAUAAGAACAUACAAUUAUAAAGUGUAUUUUUUUAUUAAACAAUGAUAGGGGAAAGUAAAUAAGGGUGACUUUAAAACAAAUUUAGUACAAUAUGUAUUGCAAACUAAAUAAAUAUGUGGUGAUGAUGAAUGAUUCAAUAUUAUAAUUUUAUCUUACUAUUGAUUAAAAUGAUCUUUCGUCACUUUUCAAUGCCAUUGUCCUUUGAUUAUGACUUGAAAUUUUCUCUUCAAAAAGUUAUUAUUACUUUAACAAUUCAUUAUUUUUGAGACACUUCAAACUUAACAAUGCUAAUAAUCUCUAAUUGUUUAAUGUUAUUUAUAAUGAUAAACCUUAAUUUUAGUUUGUAUAUCACUAUAACACUAAUUAAAUGAUAAUUUAUUUAAAAUACUAUAUAUUAUUAAUAAUUAAUAUACUCAAUUAUGUAGUUUAAAUCAAUAAAAAAACUCUAUUAUACAAUAUAUAUAUAUGAUUUUAUCUAUUACUUUUAUAGAAAAUUUUAUCUAUUAUUCUUAAUUGUAUAGUUAAAACAAAUAAAAACUCUAUUAUUUAAAAAUAUUUAUUUACUUAAUGUUAUUUUAGUAAUUAAAUAAAUAUCUAAAGGUUUUUUAAUCCAUUCAAAAAAAAUUUCAAAUUUGUGCUUUUAUAUAUAUUAUAAAUUUUUAAAUUUCACAAGAUGUAUAUAUUUUUAAAAUGAAAUAUGUAAUAAUUGUUUAAUAUGACUUACUAAAUUAAAAAAAAAUUGUCAAUACAACAAAGACAAAUCGAUAACACAUGUUACAAAUAGGUUAAGAAUAAAAAUACAUAUACAUAUAACCAAGAAGAGCAUUCUGGUCUUACAAUGUGCACAAUACCACGCUUGAAGCAAAGUCAACAUAGUUGUUAACUUGAUCCUCUUCAGAUUUAGAGUUGCUAGAAUUGUUUUCAUCACUCCAUGUAAUCCACAACACCUUCUUUUUCUUCUUGAGAGUGUUAGCACACUUAACUUGAUUUAGCACACUCAACUUGAUUUUGACCAUAGCCAAAGGCUUUCAUGACAUUGGAUGUCUUUUUUCUUUUCUUUCUCAUUCUGCUCUUUGACAACAGUAGUACUUUUGCUCUUGAUCUUAGGAGUAUUAUUUGGGGUUUCAAAUUUCUUAAACUUUCUAGCUUGCUUCUUAAAGGAUUUAUUGAAAUUCUGAGUAAGAAGAGCAAUCUCUUCUUAAAGUUCUUCAAAGGUAUUGAAAAUUGACACUUCAUUGGCAUCUUGGAGUGCAAUGCUUCUCUCUCCCUUUGAUUUAACUCUCUUGAUUUCAUCUAGAUUUAGCUCGAAAGUUUGUAGAGACCCUAUUAACUCAUCAAUCUUCAAGCUCCCCCGAUUUUUAGCUUAUUCAAUAGUAGUCACCUUAAUUGAAAACCUUUCAAGUAGUGAUCUCAAGGCCUUCCUUAAGAGAAGAAAAUGUCUCUGCAGAGUUUGACCCUUGUUAACAAAAGCAAAUAAGACUCCUUACAAGACAUGAAGGGGACCAAUUUUUGGAAUAAGUAUUCGAUGGCGAACACUAUUUGUCAUUGGAAAUCGUCAAUAUGGUUUCAAAAUUUAAGAUAGCUAGAAUAAGAAUAACAGCAAAGAUGACUAUUUGUACAAGGUCGAAGAAAAUUUUUUUGGGUACAAUCCUGUAUAGCAUAUAAUAGGAUCAUCUGUAUAAUACUACAAGAGCUAGUACCGUUGACAAGCAGUAAUUAGCAACGCUGAGAUGAUGAUAGGAUAAGGAUCCAAUAGUCAAAAGAUAGAAUAUAUACUGAAGUGCGAGUGUCCAUAUGAAAGCAGCAACUAAAAGCAUGUAACAAGUCCCAAACAAGGAAAGUGUUAUAUGAACAAACAAGAAGAUUGAACGGCUCAGUAGGAGACAGGCUGUUACAACAAUUUCUGCCCAAAAGGUUAAAGUGUUGUAUAACCAAAACAUAGUGGAUACGUCUACUAAAUUUAUCAAAUCUUGUUCAUCGGUUGUAGGACUUGGGUCGGGUGCAGUGCUAUUUGAAUCUAAAGAUGUGUGAUACUUGAGUUGGUAAUUCAAGAAUUUUGACAUGCUAUCAGGAUUCUUUGUGUUAGCAGUUGAAUAAUUAGUUGUGAAGCUAGACUGUUAAAGAAGUUAGUUGUUAAAAAGCUGUUAAAGAAGUUACUUUGUUGAACAGCUUGGCAGUUUUAAUAUCCUGUUUAUAAAUAUAGAGUCAUGUGUAAUUGGAAAGAGAAGAUAAAAAAAUAAUUUUUUUUUAUUUUUGUUAGUCUGUAUUAUAAUCAAACAUGGUAUCAGAAGUCAGGUUACUUUGAUGAUCUGCCAUGGCAUUUACCAGCUCCACUGCAACCUCCACAGCUUCCCAACGAUGGUCUCCUCACCUUUUCCUAAUGGUAUGUUUGACAGCCGGUUCUUUUCAACCAAAAAUAUUAAUAUUCUUCUUGAUGAUUCUAAUUACUUGUUAUGGAAACAACAAGUGCUUCUUGCUAUCAAGACUCACAAGCUGCAGCAGUUUCUUGAUGGUCGCACGAUUCCUCCUCUCUCACAUGUUCUUGAUGAUGAUGGAGUUCUUCAUGACAAUCUAGAUUUUGGACAAUAUGAACAGUAAGAUAGUGCUCUUGCUUCUUGGCUUUUAUCGUCUAUUAGUCAGAGUGUUUUACCUCAUCUCAUAGGUAUGGAUUCAAGCUCUCAGAUCUAGAAUACUCUUGCCACCAUAUAUGGCAGCAAAACUACGUCUAGGUUAAUGUUCUAUAGACGUGCUCUUCAUUCUUAGCGAAAGGGAGAGUUAUCGAUGAAAGUUUUUUUGAUGAAAAUAAAGAACUAUUGUGAUAACCUUGCUAGUUGUGGUGAAGUUAUUAGUGAACCUGAACAUGUCACUACUAUUCUAAAUGGCUUUUCUCCUGAGUUUGAGGCUAUUGUCACAGUCAUCACAGCAAGUCAAAUCUCCUAUGGUGUUCAGGCAAUUACAACUAUGCUUCUUGACGCUGAAGCCAAAUUACAAACUACGCUGGUUGAUGUGUCUAGCUCCCCUAAUAUAGUUACUACUCAGUCAAUUAACUCUGUUGCUAGUAUUCAACCACCACUAUAUCGUCCUGCCUAUGCUUCCGGAUGUGGUCGUGGAUGUGGACGCUCAUCUAGCUCAUGUAUUCAAUGUCAACUAUAUGGGAAAAUUGGUCAUCUUGUAGGUCAUUGUUAUCAUCGAUUUGACACUACAUCAAGAGUACAGCUUAUCGACCUCCUCCAUAAGCUAACAUGUGCAUGUUUGGUAAUAGAGUAUCCAUGCCUUGGAUGCCUCCGUAUAGCUCUCCUCUACCAGUUUUUUCUCCAGUGUUGAACUCUCAAGGCAAUUGGGGUUCUUCAUUUCCACCAUCGUAACAUUGGUCACACUUAUCUCCUACAUCCACACAACAAAUACCUGUACUAUUAUCUAACUCACAAGCUUAUGUUGCCACUCCAAACACUAUAGGAGACAAUGCCUGGUAUCCUGAUUCUUGGGCUACUCAUCAUCUUACUCAUUUUGCUACUUCAAUGAGUGACAGCACUCCUUAUAAUGGUUCAGGUAUGGUAUAUAUGGGUAAUGGUGCUACUCUACCUAUUAUUUGCACUAGUCAGUCAUCUUUACUCACUUGUUCUUGUCCACUUUAUCUACGAUCUCUUUUAUUUGUGCCUAACAUCACUAAAAACUUCAUGUCUAUGUCGAAAUUUGCAAGGAACAAUCAGGUUAUGUUUGAGUUCUUUCCUAACAAGUGUCAAGUGCGUGAUUUAAGAACGAGAGAGGUGUUGCUACAAGGAUCAAUUCAUGAUGGUCUUUACAAGCUAAAUCUAUCACAUGCCUCCAAGCCUUUAUUGCUAAACUGGCUCAGUUUUUUACUAUUAAUAAAGUUGUUCCUUUGGAUGUAUGGCACUAUAGAUUAGGCCAUCCCUGUCUAGCUACACUAAAGACAGCUUUGAAUAGUUGUAAUGUGCAAUUUUCUGUUAAUAAAAUUGUUUCGUGUAUGUCUUGUCACCUGGGAAAAGAGCAUAAACAACUUUUUUCUCCUGCUGUUUCUGACUAUACCUCUCCAAAUGGUGGCUGCUGAUGUUUAGGGGCCUGCUCCAAUUUACUUAAAUGGGUUUGCUUACUAUGUAGCAUUCACAAAUGCUUAUACUCGUUAUACAUGGUUGUACUUCUUAAAGAAAAAGUCUAAUGUGGCCACAGUGUUCUAUCAGUUCCUUCAGCAAGCUGAGAGGUGUUUUGGUAACAAACUCAAGGCUCUUUAAACUGAUGGAAGAUGAGAAUUUUAGGCCUUAAGGUGGUUUUUGGCUUAAAAAGGAAUUGUUCACAGGCUCAUCUGUCCUUAUACGUUUGAACAGAAUGGUUUGGUUGAGAGGAAGCACAGACAGAUUGUUGAAAUUGACCUCUCUAUGCUUACCUAUGCUUCACUGCCUCUUUGUUACUGGCAUGAUACAUUCAGCAGUACAGUGUUUUUGAUAAAUAGGUUACCUUCUCAACACCUAGGUAAUAUCACUCCCUAUGAAAAAUUGUUUUAGUUGAAACCAAAUUAUUUGUUUCUUCGAGUGUUUGGAUGUCUCUACUUUCUUAAUAUCAGACCAUACAAUACCAAUAAGUUACAAUUCAAAUCCACACCUUAUACCUUUCUUGGAUAUUCCUCUAACCAUAAAGGCUAUAAGUGUCGCGAUGCUUUAGGAAAAAUUUAUAUAUCCCGACAUGUCACAUGUCAUGAAUAUGAGUUCCCAUUUUGAACAAGUCUAAGUCAUUCCAAAUCAUCCAGUAGUAACCCACAUUAUUCUACAACUAGCUCCAAGUUGAUCAUUGUUCCACAUCCACCACCAAUAAAUUUGACUACCAUACAACCCCAACAACCAGGAUCACAACAACUUUUCUUGAGUGACUCACCAUCACCUGUGUCUGACCCUAUUGAACCUACUGUCCCAUCUGAGUCAAGUCAACCUAGUUCCAUUAUCCCAUCUGAGUUUAGACUGGCCUCACCAAAUAUAGUCAAUACCCAUCCUAUGGUCACCCGUAGCAAAGUAGGUACCUUCAAACCUAAAAUAUACCAUGCCAAGGUACCUAAUUUAUCUGAAACUAUACCUAUUGAUGUUCAUGAGGUAAUGAUGUACCCUCAUUGGCGAGAUGCUAUCCAAAAUGAGCUAAGAGCUCUCACAAAAAAUAAUACUUGGACACUUUGUACUUUUCCUUCUUCUAGGAGAUCCAUUGGCUGCAAGUGGCUCUUCAAGGUUAAAAAGAAGCCUGAUGGGACUGUCGAAAGGUACAAAGCAAGACUCGUUGCUAAAGGGUUUUUGCAACAUGCUGGAUCAGAUUUCAAUGAUACUUUUAGUCCCGUAGUUCGUACUACUAUUGUGAGGGUGGUUCUCUGUAACACCCCUAACCCAUGUCCGUCACCGAAACAGGGUUAUGAAGCAUUACAGAACAUAACACGGUUCAAUACAUACAUUUAUCAAUAAUUAUCACAUUGUAAUUAAUAUCAUAAAAUAAUCUCUAACAUACUUAAAAUGAGCAUACAGUUAUUAAACACUCUAAAACUACAGCUAAAUAAACAUAAUUAAUUUCACACCUCACAAGGCAUUCGGUAAUAAAUCUGCAACAUUUAAACAUCUAUGACCAUGACACAUAUAAUACCAUUUCAAACAUCAAAUUCUGAUACCAUUUAUCUCAUUCAAAUAAGCAACCAAAACUAAUUCAAUAUAUGCUUCAUUCGUAACAUAAUCAUGCAAUCAUUUUUAAAUACAUUUUUAACUAAACAGAACAUACCAAAUUCACAUGUUAAUCUCACCAAAUUAGCAACUACCAAUACUAAACACAAAUGCCAAAUCAAAUCAUACCAAAACCUCAACUAUAUGUUAUACUAACUAUACUAAUUUCAUUCUUCGCAUAAUCAAUCAUAUAAACACUAAGACAUUUCUAAUAAUUUGGCCAAAUGCAUAGGUUAAUAAUAAUCCACACCAAAUAAUCAAAUUCACAUGGCAUAGAAUAGUCAUCACAUAGCAAAUAUGAACACAUACUAAUAUUAACAUCUAACCGAAUAAUUAACCAUAUGACUAUACCAAGUUUGCCGAAUCUCAAGAUAUAUUAUAAACAUCACCUACCAUUUGUCAAUUCACAUAAUAAGCUCAUUUGCAUAGCCAAAGUAACUUCCAACAACUACACCAUUUACAAACCAACUUACAUGGCUAAAACCACAACCCAAAAACCUACCACAUGAUCACUAGCCUAUACAUGCCAUAUACUAAAUUUACAAGCUUCAAAAGUACCAAAAUGAUGAUCGAUAGUGUGACGAUGGUUCUUGACGAUCCCCGAGCUCAAGCUAGCUUCGAUUAUCUAAAAAAAUAGGGAAAAAAUGCACACAAAGUAAGCUUUCAAAAGCUUAGUAAGUCAUAAACAAAUAAAUAGUCAUAAAAACAUAUAUAAUCUAUUUUAGUUAAGCCGAAUAUAACUAGUCUCAAACACAUAUAUAAACACUAUUCUCAUGUAAUUCACUUUGUCUCAUUAAACAACAUCACUUACCUUUUUCUUUCAAAGUUCAUACCAGUUUCACACAUACCUGAAUCGUUUAUCUUUUAUACCAAUUUUGCAUCGUAUCGACUUUACCCGUUAAACCAUUCGAAAUCGUUGAGGAUACUCAAAAACACAUAUAUCUCAUACAAUGGCAUAUCCCAGAUAUGGUCUUACAUGUUAUCACAUAUGGAUGUCACUGUCCCAGACAGAGUCUUAUACGAAAUCAUAUACGAUGCCACUACCCCAGACAUGGUCUUACACGUAAUCUCAUAUCGAUGCCAAUGUCUCAAACAUGGUCUUACACGAAAUCAAACCUCAAGAGUCCUAAUGUCAUGACGUUUGUAUCCUAUACUACUCCUAAGGUUCGUACAGGACUUUCGGACAUCGUAACUCUGUCAAUUCUAGCUCGUUUUCAUCUUUUCAACAUUUGAUACAAUUCAAUGAUAAUCAAACAUAAUUAACAUAAUUUAAACGCAUUUAUUUGUAUAUGAACUUACCUCGAAUACGGAAUGAAUAGAUCGGAUCGACUACUCGAUAACUUUCAAUUUCCCCUGAUCUAAAUCUAAUUUCGUUCUUUCUUAAUCUAUAUAAAUUCAAAUUUAACUUAUUUAAUUAUGUAUUCAUUCAAUUUCAUCUAAAAACACAUAAAUGGGUAUUUUGCACUUUAGCCCUAAAAUUUUACAUUUUUGCAAUUUAGUCCCUAUUUCAAAACUAUACAAAAUUUCAUCACCAAAGCAUAGUCGAAUCUUCCCUAGCUCCUUAACAGCCCAUUAAUUCCAUUUAUUUCACAUUUCAACCCCCCAAUUUACAAAUUUCAUAAUUUAAUCCAUAAUAAGCAUUUUUAUCAAAAAUCAUUUAAUAAAAUAUGAUAAUCUAUCAACAAAUAUUUAUUUUUCAUCAUCAAACAAUAAAAAGCUUCAAUAUUCAUCAAUGGAAUUUCACAAAAUCAUCAUCAAAUUCAAAAAUUAAAGCAUGGGCUAGCUAGAAUACAAAGCAACGAUCUCAAAAACGUAAAAAUCAUCAAAAAUCGGACUCAAAACAAUCUCAAUCAAGACUUCAAAGUACUGAACCUAAAAGCUUCAAAAUUGUUUCUUUUCUUUGUUAUUUUCGGCAAUGGUGGUGAAAAGAUUAACAAAAUAAUGUUUUUGUUUAAUUUAAUAACAUUAUUUACAAAGUUACUAUAAUGCCAUUAAUGAAAACAUUAAAAAAUCAUAUAAUGGAUGACCAUUUAUGUCAUUAUCCACUAACUAUGGUCUAAUCACAUCACAAGGACCUCACAUUUAAUUAAUCAUAGCAAAUAAACUCUUAAAUAAUUUAUAUGCCACUUUUGCAUUUUACGUGAUUUAGUCCUUUUAUCAAAUUAACUAACCAAUCGGUAAAAUUAAAUCACAAAAUUUUCACACAUAUCAAAUAACAUGCUGUAAACACAAAAAAUAAUAUUAAAAUAUUUUUAUAACCUCAAAUUUAUGGUUCCAAAACCACUGUUCUGAUUUAGCUUAAACCAGGUUGUUACAUUCUCUCUAUUGCUGUUAUGAAAGGGUGGUCUCUAAGACAAGUAGAUGCCAAUAAUGCCUUUCUUAAUGGCGCAUUGAUUGAAGAAAUCUAUGUGGAUCAACCCAGGGUUUGAAACUACAAAUGUCACGGGUAAUCAACUUACGUGCAGGUUAAAUAAAGCUCUGUAUGGUCUCAGACAGGCACCCCGAGCAUGGUUUAAUACGUUGAGAGAGUACUUGGUUGACCAGCUUGGUUUUCGUGCCUCUAAAGUUGAUCCUUUAGUAUUCAUACGAAUAAAUGGUGGGUUUUCUCUAUUUCUAAUGGCCUAUGUGGAUGGUAUUAUCAUCACGAGAAGUUCACCUAAGAAGAUUGACAAAGUUGUGCAUUAGCUACAUAGUAGAUUUGCCCUCAAAGACAUGGGAAAUCUUCAUUUUUUUUCUUGGUAUUGAAGUGCAUCAUAUUUCACAUGCAAUGUUUCUUACUCAAAAGAAUUAUGUUCUGGAGUUACUUCAUAAGACAGGUAUGGAGACUGUAUCACCUACCCCGACACCUAUGGUAGGCACACCAAAGUUAACUGCUACAGAUGGCACACCAUUUUCAGAUGGUCAUUUGCAUUACAACAUUAUUGGCACUCUGCAGUAUGUAUGCAUUACACGUUCAAACAUAGCCUUCUGUGUCAACAAACUGAGCCAGUACAUGAAUGCUCCACAAAAUACACACUGGCAUGCAAUGAAACGUGUGGUACGAUAUCUUAAUGGUAUUUUGGAUCAUGGACUAUACUUCAUUAAAGGUUGUUUUGAGUUAACUUUUUUAUUAUGAUGCUGAUUGGGCAUCUACAACUGAAGACAGGUGAUCUACCACUGGUUAUUGCAUUUUUCUUGGUUCUAAUCCAGUUGCUUAGUGCUCCAAUAAAUAAGUUGUUGUUUCUUGUUCUUCCUCAGAAGUAGAGUAUCGUAGUCUUGCAAACUGUGUUUUUGAGUUGCUACGGUUAAAGUAGUUGUUGACUGAAGUUGGCAUCAAUCUCCAGCAUAUACUAGUAGUGUGGUGUGACAACACCCUCACAGUAUUGAUGGUAGCCAAUCUGACUCAUCAUGCCAAGGUUAAGCACAUAAAGGUUGAUAAUCAUUUUGUUCGAGAAAAGGUUCACGAUAGUAUUCUCCAUGUAAAUUUUUGCCCUCAGCAAGUCAAAUUGCAGAUGUCCUCACCAAGCCUAUUACUCCAAAAUAAUUUUCCUUCUUUCGAGAUGCAUUACGUGUACUCCCUCCCAGUAGCAAUCAACCAAACAAUCAACACAAGAAAGAAAUGUAAGAGAAUGUUAGCAGUUGAAUAAUUAGUUGUGAAGCUAGACUGUUAAAGAAGUUAGCUGUUAAAAAGCUAUUAAAGAAGUUAGUUUGUUAAAUAGCUUAGCAGUUUUAUCCUAUCUAUAAAUAUAGACUCAUGUGUAAUUGGAAAGAGAAGAUCAAGAAAUAUGUUUUUCAUUUUUGUUAGUCUGUAUUAUAAUCAAACACUUUGGAGGGUUCAAAAUGGCAGUGUAUGUGGUUGUUAUAAUUAGCACUAUGGCUACUAAAAAUGUGACACGAACAAGGCCUUCAUCAAACCUGAGGAGUCGAAACACUUCUUGAGUUUUUUCAUUUUGCAAAGCCAAUUGCAUGGGGCUAAACCUGGCUGGAUUUAGCUUUCUUGCAAACAAUGGCUUUAAGUUCAUCAUCUCUAUCAUAAAUUCAAUAUGCCCUAUAGAGGUUGCUAUGUGCAAUGGGGUACCAAGAAAAAGAACAUGAUUAAUACACUCUAAAACAUAUUGAUCAUUUUGAAUCAACUCAUAUAAGACGUUAAUAUCUCAUUGUGCAGCAUUUCUCAUCGUCUCAUCCAUGGCAUGGUGUGUGUGUGUUGGGGGCAGGGGAUGAAAUAUGCAGGAACAGAAUACAAUAUAGAAAAGGAAAUAGAACCUUUAUUUUGUAGAAACACAUAAGUCCAACCAUAAUUUUAUACAUGACUUAAAUGAGCUAAUUUGAGAAAGUAAACAUUUUGAAAGGACUCAUGAAAUCUUAGACCAAACAAAAAGCAAGCCUAAAAGAGUGAUGAAAGAACGCUUUAGCAGAACAAAUGAUUAAGGGUUUAUUGAAGUGUUUAAUUUUUUUUCUUCUUCCGUUUUGUAACACAUAAUUAAUUUGGGUUUAUGUUUGAUAUCAAAAUCUCACUUGUUAAAAAAUAUACAAUAAUUUGGUUAAAAAAUUUAAUAAUUAUAUUUAUUUUUAAUAAUUUUUAAGAUAUUAAUUAAAUGAUAACACGUUAUAUGAAAACUCUAAAACUAGAUAUAUUUAAUUGUAAUAUAAAUAUUAUUUCGUUAUCUAGUUCACUAAUGAUAUGCAAAAUUAUAAUCCUCUCUACAUCAAAUGAUUUUUUUUCAAGAUUACUUAUAAAUAUAUUAUUAAGUGUAUCAAUAUGGUUCACUUAAAUACAAACAUUAUUUUUUACAGUUUUCUGGAUUGAAGUGCACAAUUUACCGAUGAGAUUUAUGUUGGAAGGAAUGCCAUGCCAAUUCGGUAAGUUCAUUGGUUAGUUUUUGGAAUAUGAUGCUAGUUCGGUAACAAGAGCUAUUAAGAAGUAUAUGCGUAUUAGAGAAAAAUGGAUGUUCGACAACCUUCGAAAAGAAAGAAGUGAAUAGUUGUGGACUAAAACUGGCCGACUUAUGCAUUGUUUUAGUAGGAAAAAUUUAUUCUAUUUUGUUUCUUAUGUGGGAUGUUAGGGCAUGGGGAAGGGUUUUGCCGAGUCAGAUUGUCCUUAGAAUCGCAGGAGGUGACCUUCGAAUGGGACAUAUCGUUAAAAGCGGCACCAAAGAAGGCAUUGUCAGAAGAUAGCAGAUGGUUGAGGGACGACAGUUUGGGAAGCAAUCCGAUAGGAAUAGAUAUGGAUGACAACAAAGGAGGAAGGAGUUUUGGUGAUAUCCAAAAGUCUUGGCCUUAUCAAAUAAGGGGCGGGAAAGGAGGAGAUUAUCUAGCCGCAAAAUCUAAGGUGAAUUUACAAUCCAACAAAGAAUGCUUCAAUCGUCAAAGUAGUCAAGCCCAAAUACAGGGCUUGAAAGUUAUGGGCAAAUGGAGUUGGGUUUGGACAUGAAGGAUAUUUAAAUUGAGAUUGUGGAUAGUAAGAAAAUAUGAAGAAUGCAUCAAAUGAAUAUUACUAUUUCUAGCAAAAUUCAUUCAAUGAAUUUGAGAGUCCCUUCUAAAAUAUCGGCAACUAUUUUUAAGUAAAUCGACUGAACACAGUGAAAAUCCUCAGCUAGAAUAUCUAUGAGUUGGAGCAACCACGAGACAUGAAACGUGUCAAAAAUAAUAUGAGACUUAUUAAGCCCCAACUUUUGUUUCUAAUAGAUACAGAUCCAUGCAAGACAAAUGGAACGAGUUACAAAGAUCAGUGGUGUGUCAUUGAAAGCACAAAAAAUAACCUAUCCCUAUGAAAUAACGAAAUGAAUAGUAUAUGGGAAGUAGAGUCAAAUCCUCAGAGGCUGGAUCACUACAGCUUCUUGUUUCUCAAAAUCCUGGGCACAAUCGUGCCCAAGAAAAACGUAUAAGCUAGGAAAAAAAUAAAAGAACAGAAUUAAAAAUAUGGACAAGAUGAAAUUGAAUAAAUUGAAAUUGCAAUUGUUAAAAAAAUAGAGUUGAGGGAAGGGGUUUUUCAAUUUGAGGAACUCCAACUUCUGAUUAUUUCGAUCCUCCUUGGAUUCAAUCAUAGGCUUUUAGGUGGUCAUUCUCAUGACCGAAUAAGCUAGUUAUAGUGGAAGAGGACGCCUACGACCACCAGCUCCACUUAGGAUUUUAGCCUUUAGUGGCUCAUAUUUUUUGGGAAAAAACACAAGUUUAAUGGAAUGAAAAUUUACUAGAAAAUAAAAGGAACAAAAGUUAAGAGCUUUAGAGGGAAGGAGCUUUUUACAAAAACGACGAGUGACUAUUCAUGUCACUUCAUCCCCUAUUUAUAGUACAUAAAAAACUUAAUUUGUUCCUAUUUAAACUCUAGAAGAUAAAUAAAGAUAUAAUUUGAAAUUAAAUCUAAACAAUAUCAUAAUAAUCCUAACAAUAAUCCUAAAAAUAAAAUUCAAAUUUAAAUAAAGUAUUAUGUUCAUAAAUCUCUUCUUUGAAUUUUUACCCGAAAUCUUUCACACUUUGUAUUUUCGACACCACUUCUUUCCUAUUUCGCAUGCUGGCCCAUUUUGUCUUUAAAUUCACACUUUUUGUCCCUAAAUUUUCUUUUUCCCUUAAUUUAGUCCCUACAAGUUAAAAAACCAUAAACAACUCAAAUUAAUAGGAUCAUACUCAAAAUAUAUGUAAUUAAUACAUAAAAGUAUGUCAUUUUAGAGUAUUAUCAAUCAGUCCAAUUCGUUUAAUGACAGUGGAGUUUGAAGAACUGUCGCCUCGCCAAACACCACCAGGUGGGCUAAGAGCUUGGUAGGUUGCAGCUAGAAGGAGACUUAAAAUGCCUAGUUAGACAUUACGGUCUUGGUCUGAUAUAUUAUCCAUAUUGUGAAUAAUUACUAGUGAUGCUUUGGUCACAUACUCGAUGAUUUGCUUCUCAACUUAUAAUUAAAGUAUGAAAUUACUGGAAUAAAGCUACCACGUAGAAUAGUAAUGCUUUCUUUGAUAUUAUGCCUUCGUGCAACAUCGAGUGCUAUCAAACUAUGUUGAUUGGUAGCAUGCUUAAUCGCUUUGCAGUUUAAUAGCAGUUUGACCAUCUGUUGCAUUAAGAAUUAGAGAUAUAAAAAAGCUACAAUCAAUUAAUUGUGUCCAUGAAAUAUAAAAGAACUAUGUAAUGUUAAUUAUCAAAGCGGCUGAGUCAAACCUAGGGUUGAUUACUUCUAGGAGCAAUAUGUAGUGCAGUGUUCCAUUUUUACCUUUCCUAUUUACCAAUUCCGAACAAUAGUCUUUCUUCCUAUAUGUUGGAGUUAGGACUUGAAGAACUGUUGGUGUAAGAACAAAUAGCAAUCAAGUUCAGCUAAAAACUUGAGCAACAAGAAUCAAGACUUGCAGCAGAAACAAAGCAGAAAUUCAAACAGAAAACUUAAAAUUAAAGCUAAAAGAUGGAGAUGGAGAAUAUUUGAAUAAAAACUUGAUUGAAUUCAUUCAAAAUGAACAAUGGCAUAAAUCCAAUACAUAAACCAAGCUUUUAGCUUAUCAAAAAUAGUAUGGCCACCUAACCAAUACCUACUACCACUAAUACAUUGAAACUUGAAGUAAUUAACUUGUACACAUAAACAAAGCUGAAUUAAUCAGCUCAAUCACUAUCAAUAUUACAUCAAAUAUCAACCUAACAUGGUUCAAAAUGAACUAGAUUACAUUACAUCAACUAAAAAAUACAAAAUGAAACAAAACAUCCUUAUUUGCACAUGAAAUCAGCAACUUCUGCAUGGCUUGGUCUUCAUGACAUGUGCUUGGCUGCCUUUGGUGCUGCAUGCUGACCAACCUUCAACACUCCUCCUUGGUUAGCAUGUUGCGAAUUCCCAUCUCAGCUCUCAAAUGUUGAAACCUUGAAACAUUAAGGGCCUUUGUUAGAAUGUCAGCUAAUUGCUCUUCAGAACUGCAAUGAACUAGUUUUACUUCAUGAGCUUGCUCCAUUUCCCUAACAGCAUAGAGUUUGAUGUUUAACUAGUUUGUCCUCCCAUGAAAAAUAGGGUUCUUUGCAAUUGCAACAGUAGAUUGAUUGUUACACAUUAUCUCUGGUGCUUCAUUUUGUUCAAGGUUAAGAUCGGCCAAGAUCUUUCUAAGCCAAAUGGCUUGAUUAACAGCUCCAACAGCUGCUACAUAUUCAGCUUCAACUGUAAAUUGAGCUACUACUGUCUGCUUCUUCGAACUCCAACAAAACAUGGCUGAACCAAGAUUAAAAGCAUAACCUGAGGUGCUUUUCAUAUCAUCUAUUGAACCAGCCCAAUCAAUGUUAGUGUAUCCAACUAGUUUCAAAUGUUCAGCCUUGCUAAAUAACAUGCCAUAGCUCAAGGUUCAUUUGAUGUACCUAAGAACUCUCUUGGCAGCCUUGAAAUGACUUUUAUUGCAACAAUGCAUGAAUCUUGAGAGUAAACUCACAGCAUACAUUAUGUCUGGCCUGGUAGCAGUUAAGUAUAACAAACAACCAACUAGACUUCUAUAGGUUGUUUCACAUACUCUCUCAAAAGUACCUUAGUUCGAUAGCUUCUUUCCAACAGCAACUAGUGUGCUGGUUGCUUUACAAUUCCACAUUGAGAACUUGUUUAAGGUCUUCACAGCAAAAACUUUUUGACUUAAAUAAAUUCCUUCCUGUGUUUGUGUUACUUCCAUGCGUAGGAAGUAGGACAUCAACCCCAAGUCUGACAUUUCAGACAUUUGUUGCAUUUUGAUUUUGAAAUCAACCAACAUUGCUUGGUCUCCUUCUGUCACCAAUAGGUCAUCAAUAUAUAGGGACACAAUGAGCUGUGUUUGCACUCCUGUCUUUUUGACAUACAAUGUUGGCUCACUAAUACUCCUUUCAAAUCCCAAACUGACCAGGUAUCCAUCGAUUCUACUGUACCAGGCACUUAGUGCUUGUUUUAAGCCAUACAAGGCUUUGUUUAACUUGCACACCAUUUCUUCCUUACCAGUCACCUUAAAGCCUUGAGGUUGCUCUACAUAAAUUUCUUCUUCAUGAAAUCUAUUGAGAAAAGUUGACUUUACAUCAAGCUGGUGGAUUUUCCACUGCAUUUGUGCUUAAGGCAACCAACAAUCUGAUGGUGUCAAGCCUGGCCACUGGCACAAAGGUCUCCAGGUAGUCUAGUCCAUACUUCUGACUAAACCCUUUGGCAACUAGCCUUGCCUUCAGUCUGUUCAAGCUACUAUCAGUAUUGUGCUUGACUCGAUAAACCCAUUUAACCCCAAUAAUCUUCUUAUUUGCUAGUCUUUCAACCAGUUCCCAAGUUUGAUUCUUCUCGAUCAUACUGAUUUUAUCAGCCAUUGCUUGCUUCCACCCCUGCUGACCUUCAGCCUCUUCAAAACAGCUUAGUUCUGCUAUGGCUACUUGAGCUCUUUCACAAAUAUCAGCCAAUGUUCUAGUGCCCCUGACUGGUUCAUCAUCAACAUCCAUUUCAAGACUAUCUUGAUCAAUUUCAACCUAAUAUGUUGCAAGAUCUUCAGAGACUGCCUCUGGUUCAUUCUUCUCCCAAUUCUAGCUUACGUUUUCAUUAAACACCACAUCUCUGCUUACUAGAACUUUAUUUGUUGAGGGAUCCAAAAUUCUAUAGCCCUUUUUUACUGUGCUAUAGCCUACCAGAAUACAUGCUUGAGCCUUUUUAUCCAGCUUGCUUCUCUUCACAAUUGGAACUUGUGCAUAACAUAUGCAACCAAAGGUCCUAACAUGAGCCAGUGAUGGCUUGAAUCCAAACCAAGCUUCAAAUGGAGUUUUUUGAGCUAGGGCCUUAGUUGGAAGCCUAUUUUGAAGGUAGACAGCAGUGUUUACUGCCUUAUCCCAUAAGGUUUUAGGCAAUUUUUUUUCAAACAUUAGACACAUGGCCAUAUCCAUAAAGCUUCUAUUCUUUCUUUCACUUACACCAUUCUGUUGAGGUGUAUAGAUAUUGGUGAGCUGGUGUUUGAUACCAGCUUCAUCACAAAAAGCUUGUAAUUGAACUGAGGUAUACUCAGUUCCAUUGUCUGACCUUAGUAUCUUGAGCUUGCAGCCUGUUUCAGUUUCUACAGCAUUUUUAAACUUCCAAAAUACUGAAGCCACUUCUGAUUUGUGCUUCGAGAAGUAAAUCCAGCAAAAUCUCGAGUAAUCAUCAAUAAACAGAAUAAAAUACAUGCUCCCAUUCUGACUGAGUCUUCAUGGGGCCACAAACAUCUGUAUGCACAAGCUAAAGUUUUUCUGAGGCUCUCUAGGCCUUGUUUGAAGGGAAUGGUUGUCUGGCCUGCUUUCCUAGCUAGCAUACCUCACAAACCUCAUAUUUCUCAACUGAACCAAUGAAGUUUUCAGCCAAGUCUUCUCUGGAUAGCUGGUCCAUUGAUCUGUAGUUGGCAUGACCAAGCCUUUGAUGCCAAAGCUUGGAUUCAUCAUAUGUGACUAUAUAGGCAGUGUUUGAGCCAUUUUUCCAGUCAACAACAAAGCUCUUAUCAGCCAUAAUGAUUGCCAUGAGCUUGGAUCCACUUGGAUCACUAAUUUGGCACUCCCUACCUUUGAACACUACAGAAUACCCUUUCUCUAGUAGCUGAGUUAUGCUGAGCAGAUUUCUAUCAAUUUCAAGAACCAAUAAGACAUUUGAGAUCAACUUGUUACCUAUGGGAGUGCAUAUCAGCACAUCUCCCUUACCUUCUGCCUUAAUGAAUUUGCCAUUUCCUACAUUCACCUUUGUUUUGAAACUCCUAUCAACUGACUUGAAGAUUGAAGUAUCUAGUGUCAUGUGAUUUGUACAACCACUGUCUAAGAGCCAUCCAUUUGUGACUUUUUUCUUAACAGCUGAGCAUGAAAUUGCAAAAACUUGCUCCUCAUGGUCAUUGUCUUCUUUUGCUACUCGAGCCUCAGUCUUUGGCUGUUGGGAUUGGUUCUACCUUGGUUUGCCCUUGUUUUUACAGACCUUUUCAACAUGCCCCAUCUUUUUGCAAUAUUGGCAUUGCACAUCUGGCCUAAACCAACAACCUGCUUCAGGAUGACCAGGUCUUUUGUAAUGCAUGCAUGGUUGAUCCCUCCUUCUUGUAUUUUCUGGCUUAGACUUGUCCCUCUAAGUCUUUUUGCCUUUAUAGGCAGAGCUGCUCGAGGUUGGCUUAGCUUUGGCUUUAAAGGCACCUUCUUGGUGCUCCUCCAGUCUGCUAGCCCUUCUCUGUUCUUGUGCAUACAAGGCAUUGAUUAACUCAGUUAAGGAGAUAGUUGUCAAAUCCCUUGAGCCUUCGAGAGAUGAAAUUUUUGCCUCAUACCUCUCAGGUAAGGUAAAUAUCACUUUCUCCACUAUUCUAGCUUCACUAAAUUGCUCUCCGAUGAGCGUUAUACUGUUUACCACAGCCAUGAUCCUGUCUGAAUACUGCUUGACAAUUUCUUCCUCUUUCAUCUUCAAAUUGACGAAAUCCCUUCUCAAAUUCAGUAGCUGUUGCUACCUUGUUCUUUCAGUUCCUUGAAACUCCUCUUUUAAUUUUUCCCAAGCCUGCUUUGGUGUCUCACAGGCCAUGAUCCUUGAGAAGAUCACAUCUGACACACAGUUUUGUAUGUAGGAUAUGGCAUUGUGCCUCUUUGUUAUUUCAUCAGCAUGCUGUCUUAUCUGAGCCACUGUUGGAUUGGCUCUAAAAGGUGCUGGCUCAGCAUCUGAGUUGACCACUUCCCAUAGGUCAAAUGCCUACAGGUAGGUCUUCAUUUUGACCACCCAAAUAUGAAAGCCCUCUCCAUUGAAGACUUGUGGUGCAGCUGGUGAAAAGCCUGAUGAAGCCAUGGUUUUAAGUGUUGAACUAUACCAGGUCCACUAAGAUUAUAGUUCUAGAUACCAAUUGUUGGUGUAAGAACAAAUAGCAAUCAAGUUCAGCUAAAAACUUGAACAGCAAGAAUCGAGACUUGCAGCAGAAACAAAGCAGAAAUUCAAACAGAAAACUUAAAAUUAAAGCUAAAAGAUGGAGAGUAUUUGAAUAAAAACUUGAUUGAAUUCAUUCAAAAUGAACAAUGGCAUAAAGCCAAUACAUAAACCAAGCUUUCAGCUUGUUAAAAACAGUAUGGCAACCUAACCAAUACCUACUACCACUAAUACAUUGAAACUUGAAGUAAUUAACUUGUACACAUAAAAAAAGCUCAAUUAAUCAGCUCAAUCACUAUCAAUAUUACAUCAAAUAUCAACCUAACAUAGUUCGAAAUGAACUAGAUUACAUAACAUCAACUAAGGAAUACAAAAUGAAACAAAACAUCCUUGUUUGCACAUGAAAUCAGUAGCUUCUGCAUGGCUUGGUCUUCAUGACAUGUGCUUGGCUGCCUUUGGUGCUGCAUGCUAAACUUUUGGCUUUGGUUGCUGUAUAGUACUUCCACUACACCAAAACAAGCUUUUAGCGGCGUUUUUUUUUUGCCUUUAGCAGCGCUUUUUAGCGCUACUAAAAGUAUUUGCGGCGCUUCUAGUAGCGCCGCAAAAAAUGCCACUAUUGACAGUGUCGCUAACCUUUACGGCGUUUAUUUCUAAAAACGCCGCUAAAGAACAAGACCUUUAGCGGCGCUUUUUCCACAAACGCCGCUAAAGAACAAGACCUUUAGCGGCGCUUUUUUCACAAACGCCGCUAAAGAACAAGACCUUUAACGGUGCUUCUUUCACAAAUGCCACUAAAGAAUAAGACCUUUAGCGGCGCUUUUUCCACAAACGCCGCUAAAGAACAAGACCUUUAGCGGCGCUUUUUUCACAAAUGCCGCUAAAGAACAAGACCUUUAACGGUGCUUCUUUCACAAAUGCCACUAAAGAAUAAGACCUUUAGCGACGCUUUUUCACAAACGCCGCUAAAGAACAAGACCUUUAGCAGCGCUUUUUCCACAAACGCCGCUAAAGAACAACACCUUUUAGCGGCUCUUUUUCCACAAACACCGCUAUAGAACAAGACCUUUUGCGACGCUUUUCCCAAAAACGCCGCUAAAGAACAUGACCUUUAAAAAAAUAUUUUAAUUAGAUAAUAUUUAUUUUUAUGAUAAAUAUUAUAUUAUGUUUUAUUUUUGAAACUUAAACUUUAAACUAUAUACAUUUUAAGGAUAAAAAAUAUUAAUUAAAUUAAAUUUUCUAUUAAAAUUUUAACUUUAAAACUAAAUAUAAAAAUUAAUAAAUUUAAAUUUAAAUUUAAAAUUUAAAUAUUAUGUUUAAAUAAAUGAACAAUCUAUCUCACAAUUCAUCUGAUCUAUAUUAACUCGGCCAAUUAUAAAAGAAGCUACAAAACAAGUAAUAAUUAACAAUCAUAGCUACAAAACCCUAUUUCAAUAGCACUAAAUUCAAGUUCUGACUAAGAUAAAUGACCAUGGAAUGAAACAUCAAAUAAUAUUCCACUUGAAGAAGUGCUAAGCCUUGGCUUUUCCAGCUUGAAGAGAUUGAAUCCUCUACUACACCUUCAAUAUCUAAAGGAUGCAAAACCAAAUGAUCAGAUAAACCAACAAACUUGAUAAACAAGAGAGAUGUUAAAAAUAAAAAAUAUAUAUUAGAUACAUACAUACAUAUAUAUAUCAUUAGACACGUUAAAGAUGUUAAAAAGAUGUGAACAUAUGAUAAAGACUUCUAAACUAGACACAUUACCUAGAUUUAGCAUGGGUAUAUUAGAUACAUACAUAUAUCUAUAUCUAUAUAUAAUACAAGUAUAUUAAAAAAAAUUAAAACUUCUUGUCAUAUGUUUAAAACAUCAUACCUCAUUUCUAAAUAUAUAUAAAAAAAUAGAGUGAAGAUUUAAUAAAUUAGACUAGCAAACAAUAACACCAUUAUAUGUCAUCAGUUCAGAGCAUGUAUAUACACGGUAUUAUCUAACAUAUAUGAUAGAACAUUCAGCUACAAGAUUCCAUCAGCAUGUUAGCUAGAACAAGGUAUCUGGAAAUGAACCCACAAGAUGAAAAGAUAAAUUUGAAACUUCAUCUAAUUGGGGAAAAGACAAGACCAAGUGGAUUUAAUGAAAGGCAUACGAGGAUUUAUUUAUUGGAUAAGAUACUAAUAAUAUUUGCAAUAUCUUUACUCUAGGAUAGUGUUCUUCUUUUCCAACCAAAUUUAUCCCUACUUUGUCUCUCUUUUUUUUUCCUCCCCUAGAUCUCACUGACUGGGAUUUUCUUCAUUUUCCUCCAUAUUACAAUCUGUCCUCAAACUUUAUGCCUUUAGUAGCAAUUAUUUAUUGCUUAUGUCACUUUUGAUAAAAGAACCUUUUGCCUCAAAGUACCCCUCAAACAUGUUCAGAGAAAUGCAAUCCAUUUUAAACAUUUGUUACGGGUGAUCACCCUAGUGCUAUAAUGGGAUUAAACCAGUAGGCUAAAAGAGCUUCAGCUCCCAUGUCAAAUAUUAUGCUACCAAUGAAAGAGAAAGGAGGAUCGUGCAUCAAACAGAAAAUGUGAAAAACUAUAUUAGACAAUAAUCAUACUUUAGGCAUUGUAUACGUCUCUGAUUUCCAGUUUCAUCAUAGUUCUUGAAAGCUUCAAAGAAAUUUGUGGCUGCCUCAGCCCACUGACGCUCAGCCAUAUGCAUCUUGCCACCACAUUCACGAAUUAUUCCUAUGAUCCUAGGAUGUGGUAUUGCAGACUUGACAGCAAGUGCUUUCUGGUAUAAUUGCUGCAUUAAAACCAAUAUCUCAGUCACAGCUAAGCCAUUAUAUAAAGACCAAACCAGGACAUAACUAUAUAACUUUGUAAAACAAUUAUCAGACAGAACCAAGGUUGGUUUUUCAGCUAUAAAAUAAAAUAGAACAAAGUUACAAUUAUCAGUCAGGAAGAGAAGUAGCGACCACAUGCAAUUGAGACUAAACAACAGUGAAAACUUCUCGAUUUCAGUAUUAAGGAUUAACUAAUAGUGCUUCAUGCUAAUGUAAACAAUGUCAUUGACCAGGAUCCAGAUAACCAAUCCAGACUACAAGUGAAUAUACUUUAGUAGUUUAAAUUUGAGAGUUGCUAGAAUUCUAAAAAAUAGCAAAAUCAAGACACAGGUGAACUUUCACGCCUAAAGUUCUACAUAUUUCAUAUUUUAGUUUAACAUUGCUUCACUUGAAUUCCAGAAGGAAGCAUACUUGAUAUCCGCAAAGCAGAAAAUUGGGUACAUAUUCUACCAUGUAUUUUUAUUAAAUGGUAGAUAAAUGGUGACAGCAGAAACAAUAUAAACUAGCUUUCAGUAAUAGACCUUUACAAGAGAAUUACAACUGCUUAUGUGCCCCUCCUGAAUGGCCACUUGUAAGUAAUCAUAUUUGACAUGUAACAGGCUUUUCUUCAGCUGCUCUUCAACGAUAUAAUCAACGAAAACGAAGAUAUUUAAUUAUGAAUCUGCGUUCAAAGAUAUAAUCAACGAAAACGAAGAAAUCUAAGUAAAUCUUCAUUAACUUUGAUUUACGAAGAGCAGCACUGGGGAAGAAGAAAUAGUGCAAAUCCCGACCUAGAGCGUCAACCACACAGGAAAAAAAUAUUAAAAAGCAAAUCCAGUCAACAGCUAUUACCAGACGGCGUUUAUUUCAUGUUCCAACCUUUAAACGACAACAACCAAAAAUAAAAAAUUAAUAAAGUGAUAAUUUUUCCUUUUCUCCCCCCCGGCUUUCAUCUUCUUCACAUUAUUUCCUCUUCAAUUCAUUUCAAGUGGAUUCCAAGUGGGUCAUUGGCUCUCCAACAUAUUUGACAGUCUUCUUGAAAAACGUGCCCUGGUUGAAUACCUUCUCUGCCUAUAAGAUUUACAAUAGAAACGGAAAAAAAAACACACACACACAGCUGAAAAUGCUUAGAAAAUGGAUAAGAAAUAUUAGUUACUUCUGAUUUUAACAUUCCCAGGAGAUUAAGUGAUCCAUGAUACCCAAAGACAAGCAUGGCCAGUUGAAGGAACAUGAUGCAAUAUGCAUCAACUUAAGGCAUCUGAAUCCCAAACCAAGGCAUCAACGAGCAUUUGGAACCCCUCCUCUCCUCCUAGUAUCACAAAGUUCCUGUCAAUUAUCAUUUCCUUUUCCUAUUAGAAAACAAAUCAAAACCCCCCAUACCAUAAUAAAUCAAAACUUUGCUACUCCAUAUAUAUACACAUAUAAUAUCAGAAAAAAAAUAUAGGGAAGAAGAGACCUGUUGUAUGUAAAGAUUAAGAGUCUCAUCAGAAAAAAAUAUAUAUAGGGAAGAAGAAAAAAUAGCAAUGGGCAUUGAGUUAAAAGUUUUAAAGGACGGUGUGUUUGUAAACUUGAGGGUUUUUAAUAAAAAAAGCCGCAAAAAAUUAUUUCAGUUUGAAAAAAUGACGUCGUUUUGCUGUGCUAAAAAUUUUUUAUUUUGUUUUUUUAUAAAUUGAUUUAUUUUUGUGGCGCUUUUAUAAAAAACGCCGCAAAAAAAUUAUUUCGUUUUGAACAAAAUGACGCUGUUUUGAUAUGCUAAUUUUUUUAAAAUAAAUUGAUUUAUUAUCUUUUGCGGCGUUUUUAUGAAAAACGUCGCAAAAAAUUAUUUCAGUUUGAAAAAAUGACGUCGUUUUGCUGUGCUAAAAUUUUUUUAUUGUUUUUUUAUAAAUUGAUUUAUUUUUGCGGCGCUUUUAUAAAAAACGCCGGAAAAAAUUAUUUCGUUUUGAACAAAAUGACGCCGUUUUGCUAAGCUAAAAUUUUUUUAAUAAAUUGAUUUAUUAUCUUUUGCGGCGCUUUUAUAAAAAACGCCGCAAAAAAAUUAUUUCGUUUUGAACAAAAUGACGCCGUUUUGCUAAGUUAAAAUUUUUUUAAUAAAUUGAUUUAUUAUCUUUUGCGGUGCUUUUAUAAAAAACGCCGCAAAAAAAAUUAUUUCGUUUUGAACAAAAUGACGCCAUUUUGCUAUGCUAAAAUUUUUUUUAAUAAAUUGAUUUAUUAUCUUUUGUGGCGUUUUUUAUGACAAACGCCGCAAAAAAUUAUUUCAGUUUGAAAAAAUGACGCCAUUUUGCUGUGCUAAAAAUUUUUUAUUUUUUUUAUAAAUUGAUUUAUUUUUGCUGUGCUUUUAUAAAAAACGCCGCAAAAAAAUUAUUUCAUUUUGAAAAAAAUGACGCCGUUUUGCUAUGCUAAAUUUUUUUUAAUAAAUUGAUUUAUUAUCUUUUGCGGCGUUUUACAUAAAAACGCCACAAAAAAUUAUUUCAUUUCCAACAAAAUGACGCCGUUUUGCUAUGAUAAAAAUUUUUUAUUUUGCUUUUUUUAUAAAUUGAUUUAUUUUUGCGGCGUUUUUUGAACAAAAUGACGCCGUUUUGCUAUGCUAAAUUUUUUUAAUAUAUUGAUUUAUUAUCUUUUGCGGCGUUUUUCAUAAAAACGCCACAAAAAAUUAUUUCAUUUUCAACAAAAUGACGCCGUUUUGCUAUGCUAAAAAUUUUUAUUUUGUUUUUUAUAAAUUGAUUUUUUUAUAAAAUAAAAAAACCAAGUACUCUCAAAAUAAAUAUUGUAUAUUUUAAUAAGAAAACAAUUGAUAAAAUGACUGUAAUUAAUUAUUAAGUUAGAAUUAUCCAAAUUAAAUAAUUACCUAUAUAUCUAUAUCAUUUUUAUUUUUGUUUUUUUUCCUUAUAAUUUGGUCCUCUCCAAAAUAAAUAAUUAUACCUAAAUAUCAAUAUCAAUCUAUUACUUUUUUUAACUUAUUUAUUAAUUCUAUUUAAACUAAUAUAAAAGCAUUAAUUAAUUGUAUAAAAUUUUAUCAUUUAACAAAUCUCAAGUAAACCUUAACCUUAAACCUAAAUUAACCAUUCAAUACAUAUAAAGUCUAUCUAUUAUAUAUCUCUUAAAUAAUUUAAACUAUACUCAUAAAUUCAAUAUAUUUGAUUUAUUAUUAUCUCUUUUACAAUUAUAUAAGAACAUAUUUAAAAUAUAAAUUAAAAAAUAAUUAAUCUAAACUCAAAACCUUAACCCAACCCCUAAAUCAGUAAACCUUAAAUCCCUAACUCUUAACCCUUAACGUCUAAUCCCUAAACCUUAAAUCUAAACCCUUAAUCCAUAAUCCCUAAUUCAUAAAUCCAUACUCCCUAAACCUUAAAAUAUGAACUCCUAAAUCAGCCUUAAAUCUUAAAUUAAUUAUAUACCCUAAACUAAAAAUCCUAAACGAAUUUAUUAUUAUCUCUUUUACAAUUAUAUAAGAACAUAUUUAAAAUAUAAAUUAAAAAAAUAAUUAAUCUAAACCUAAAACCCUAACCCGACCCCCUAAAUCCCUAACUUUUAACCCCUAAACCUCUAACCCUCUAACCCCAAAACCUCUAACCCUCUAACCCUUAAACCUUAAAUCCCAACCCUUAAACAAUUAUCCCUAAUCCAUAAUCUCUAAACCCAUACUCCCUAAACCUUAAAAUAUGAACUCCUAAACCGGCCUUAAAUCUUAAAUAAAUCAUAUACCCUAAACCAAAACCCUAAAUAAAUUUAUUAUCAUCUCUUUUCAAUUAUAUAAGAACAUAUUUAAAAUAUAAAUUAAAAAAAUUAAUCUAAACGCCCAAAAUCCUAACUCGACCCCUGAAUCCCUAAACCCUAAAUCCCUAACUAUUAACCCUUAAUGUCUAACCCCUAAACCCCUAACCCUCUAACCCUUAAACCUUAAAUCUCAACCCUUAAACCCUAAAACCCUAAUCCAUACUCCCUAAAUCCAUACUCCCUAAACCUUAAAAUAUGAACUCCUAAAUCAGCCUUAAAUCUUAAAUUAAUUAUAUACCCUAAACUAAAAAUCCUAAACGAAUUUAUUAUUAUCUCUUUCACAAUUAUAUAAGAACAUAUUUAAAAUAUAAAUUAAAAAAAUAAUUAAUCUAAACCUAAAACCCUAACCCGACCCCUAAAUCCCUAACUUUUAACCCCUAAUACGUCUACCCCUAAACCUCUAACCCUCUAACCCCAAAACCUCUAACCCUCUAACCCUUAAACCUUAAAUCCCAACCCUUAAACAAUAAUCCCUAAUCCAUAAUCCCUAAACCCAUACUCCCUAAACCUUAAAAUAUGAACUCCUAAAUCGGCCUUAAAUCUUAAAUAAAUCAUAUACCCUAAACCAAAACCCUAAAUAAAUUUAUUAUCAUCUCUUUUCAAUUAUAUAAGAACAUAUUUAAAAUAUAAAUUAAAAAAAUUAAUCUAAACGCCCAAAAUCCUAACUCGACCCCUGAAUCCCUAAACCUUAAAUCCCUAACUAUUAACCCUUAAUGUCUAACCCCUAAACCACUAACCCUCUAACCCUUAAACCUUAAAUCUCAACCCUUAAACCUUAAAACCUAAUCCAUACUCCCUAAAACCAUACUCCCUAAACCUUAAAAUAGUAACUCCUAAACAGGCCUUAAAUCUUAAAUAAAUCAUAUACCCCAAACCAAAAACCCUAAACUAUAGUGAAAAUUAAUUCAAUAUUUUAAAAUUAAUACUAUCUCUUUUAUGAUUAUAUAAGAAAAUUUUUAAUAAAUAAAUUAAAAAACAAUCAGUAAUCAUGUACCCAAAAAAACUUUAAAAUUAUUUUAAAUAAUAGUAUUUUAAUUUUUCUAUGUGUUUUAUUUCAAAUUAUUUCUACGUAUCAUUAUUUUUUUCUAAAGAUUUUAAAUAUUCAAUUAGAAAUAAAUUGAAUUUUAUUUAAUAUAAAUAAACCAAUUAAGAUAAAAUAUUUUUAGCGGCGCUUUUCCAAAAACGCCGCUAAAGCCCCAGCAUUAGCGGCGCUUUUCCAAAAAACGCCGCUAAAGCCCUCAGCAUUAGCAGCGCUUUUUCAAAAACGCCGCUAAAGCCCCAAGCAUUAGCAGCGCUUUUUCAAAAAAGCCGCUAAAGCCCCGAAAGGUAACAAAACGACGUCGUUGGGCUUUGGUUUUUUGCGGCAUUUUUUCGAAAAACGCCGCUAUUGCCCAUUUUUACCGGCGUUUUUCAAAAAACGCCACUAAUGCUCGAUCUUUAGUGGCGAUUUCCAUAAAGCGCCGCUAAUGCUCGAUUUUUACCUGCGUUUUUUGUCCAAGCGCCGCUAAAAGUGCCGCUAAAAGUCUGUUUUGUUCAGGUUAAGAAAUUGUUUCUUCUAUUGAUAUUAGUUUUUGUAUUAUCCAAAUUGAAGUGUCCCUCUGAUCACUGAUAUGUUCAUAGUCAAAAGGUUAAACAAAUGGCAGCCAGCUGUGUGAACAGAUGAGAAAAGAUUUAGUACUAUAAAUCAAGCAUUAGAGUGAUGAUUGUAAAAAAGAUGGUUUUGCUUAAGUGGUAAUAUGCAUAUUAUUUACUUAUUAUUUGAAGAAUCAUUUUUGUUCAUUGCAUUGUGUUUUUCUUGUUAAAUUGUAGUAAAUUACUCUCUCCAUAUAUAUGUAUAAAACUAUCAUUCAUUUUAAUUAACUAUUGUUAAACCAAAAGCAGUAGUAAAUAGAUAGCUUUUCAAGUUAAAUUAAAAUUUUUAGCUUUUGAAAGCGAGUUUGGGUAUGAAUUUUCUUCAUUUAUAGUAAUUAUAAAAGAUAAAUAUGAUAUAUAUUAAAUUAAAUUUUACAAAUAAUUUAUAUUAAUUAUUUAAAAAGUAUUUAAAAUUUAUAGUUUACAUAUCACAAUUUUUUUUUUUGAAAUGAGAUAUCUCACAAUAUUAAUAAUGGAUUACUGUAAAUUAUUUUAUUCUAUUUGUCCUAUAAUCUCAAUUGAAUAUUUAUUAAUACAAAAAAAAUUGACAUUGUAAUAAUAAUAAUACGUGAAAAUAAAAAUACGUUACAUUUGAAUUAAUUAUAAAUUUUAUUACAAUUUAAACUUGUGUAUUUCAUGUAUCAUAAUACCAUCAAUGAGUUUAUAUAUUUCAUGUAUUUUAUAUAUCAUAAUUUAAUUAUUUAAUCAAUUAUUUUUAAACAUUGUCAAACUUUUUAAAUGUAAGGACCCGACCUCUCUAAAAUGAAAUUUUUUUCAUUUAACUUCUUUAAAUUUUUUAAAAUGUUAAAUUAAUAAAUGUAAAAUUAUAUUUUGGCCCCCUAAAAUUAAUAAAAUUAUUAUUUAAUACUUUAAAAUUAUAAAAAUAUAGGCUAUUCAAAUUAUGAAAAUGCAUUUUUACUAUCGAAAAAAUUACAAUUUAAUUUCGAUUUCCCUAAAAAGAAUUUUUGACUUUGCCUCUGUUAAUUGGCUCAAUUUAGUCAUGAUCCUAUAAAAAUUAUAAAAUUCUUUUAAUUUCUUUUAUUUAUUUCUUUUCUACAAUUCUUUUUCCCUUUUCUCUUUUGUUCUUCUUGUUUCAUAUUCAUCCAAACCUUCUUACCUGUGAAAUCUUCUUUUAAUUAAUUGAAUGUAAUUUUAUUGGCUAAAAAUAUAACUUUCCUUCUUUGGGUUGUAGGAUGGUUAAAAGAUUCAUUUAGAGAUUUAUUUACUUAUUAGGUUUAUGGUGUGAUUUACUUAAAUCUUGUGUAAGUGAAUUCUUAUGUCUAUAUAACUCAUGUGUUUUGAUGUAUUGAAAACAUUUACUCUCAAUGUCAUUAGGUGAACAAUGAUAUUUUGGAUACAUGACUUAUGUAUGGUAUGACUUCACUCACAAUAGUGAAAUCAUAGUUCAAUAAAAAGAGUAAAUGAUGUUCUCUUACUAUCAUUGUAUGUAUUAUGAAAAAUGAAGCAUAAUCAUGGGUCGUUUUUUGGGGGAGAAAUGGUUUUAUCAGUAUUAGAAUGCGUAAUGAUCAUUUUAAUUGUGGAAGAUAUAAUGGUGAUGAAAUGAAAAUGGAUCGAAUUAGGUUAACGGAUUUAAUAUAAAGGAAACAUUGAUAUCUAUAAGGGUAACAUGUAUGAUAAGGUCAUUGGACAAAAAAAUUAAUUCAGUAGCUUUCGUAAUGGUUUAUUAUGGUGAGUUCACUCAUGGUAUUUUUGGUGGAUUAACUUCAUCACUAAAUAACUCUACAAUUAAUAGACGAAGAGUUGGACUUCCAGACUCUUAAUGUAAUUUAGUUAAUAAUUAAAACUUUUAAAUCGUAUAAUUAAUUUAUAAUAAAUAGUAUCUAAUUUAGUUAAUUAUUUUGUAGGUUAAAAUGUAUGGAAAAUUACCCCUAAUCAAUAAAAUUUUUAUAUUAUUUAAUUAUUUAUAUUUUAAAAAUUAGAUUUAUAUCCUAAAAUUAAAAUACUAUUAUUGCUGCAUAAAAUUCAUUUUUUUAAACUUAAAUAAUGUAUGGCAAGCCUUAGGUGAUUAUAUUUUACUGGACUCACUAGCAUUUUAUAGGCCCAUUAAGGGGUAUACGAGAGACAUAAGUUUAAAAAAUAAACCUUCAACUACUGGUUAAAUUAAGAGAAAUUAUUAUCAUCUCAGCUAACCCCGUGAUUCAUGUGAUUUUUUUUAAUUCCGAACUCUAUUCCUAAUAUAUUAAAGAUACAUAAAGAGAAUAUGGAUAAUAAAUAAGCAUAAUACAAAUAGAUUGGAAUACAAAGUCUGCAAACAUUAAGUGCUACAACGUUGACAACACUGUUUGAAGAAAAAUCUACAUAGACAAAGAAAAAACCAACAUCCCAAGGGGAUAAGAUAGAAUGCCAAUUCCGGCAUCCAAAUGGCAAGUGCUCCUUGAAAGACGACUUCCAUGAUACUGUAUGAGCAAUAUCCCAUAACUAUAAUGGUUCCUCCCCAGAAAUCAUCCUUUACGAAAAGAAAUAACCAGCAUCCGUUAAUUGCUAAUAGUAACAGUAUUGAGUCAGCAUCAGCAGGAAUUACUUGAAACAAUUGUGAAGGAGUUAACCAACAUCCCAAAAUUGGAACACUUAGUUUUGACACCCGAUCACUGUAAAACAUGACCAAUGUUAAAACAAAAAACAAUAGCUAAAAUACUCCCAUAUAACUUUAAAUGCAAAAUCUGUUGGGGCUAUGAAAGAUAUCGAUUGGUCGAAGCAUAUUGCGAAGUAAGCAAGUAGUACUUGAAUUGUUUUCUUCAAACCAUGGGGAAAAGGUUUAAGCAGGGCUAGUAUUAGGAAAAAGGUUACCAUGAACACAACAUAGGUUGGAAUAUAGAAAAGAAGAAAAUCAGUUCGAUCAAGUACUGAUUUCCCUGGUGAUGAGGUAUCGUCACCCUGCAAAACACUACCAGGUGGGCUAAGAGUGGCUUGGUAGGUUCCAGUUAGAAGCAGCCCUAAAACUACUAGUUAGGCAUUGCGGUCAUCGCUUGAUAUAUUAUCCAAAUCGUCAAAAAUUACUGAUGAUGCUUUUGCGGUAUACUUGACGAUUUGUUUCUCCCACUUAGAUUUAAUGUCUGCAACUCCUGGAAUAAAGCAACCAUGCAGAAUUCUGAUGCUCUUUCUGUUAUUAUGUUGCUCUGCAACACCCAGUGCGGUUAAAUCGGAUUGAUUGGUGGCAUGCUUGUCAGCCUUGCUACUUAAUAGUAGUUUAAGCAUCUGUUUAAUUGAUAGUUUAAGAUAAAAAAAAAAAAAAACUACAAUCAGUUAACCAUGGCUAUGGAGUACAAAAGAAUCUAUUUAAUAUUAAUUAUUAAAGCGGAUGAGUCAAACCACGGUUUGAUUAUUUCUAGCAGCUAUGUGUAAUGCAGUGUUGCCAUCUUCGUCCUUUCUAUUUACCUCUUCCUGAUAAUAGUCCUUCUUCUUAAGCAUUCGAAUUAAAAUCUGAAGAACAUCCAACCUUUUUUUUUCCGCUGCAAUAUGCAAAGCACUGCGAUUCUCAGUUGUAACAUCUCGGAUACAAUCAGGACAAGCCUUCAAAAAUGUUUCCAGCAGACUGUCAUGGUUUCCAACUUUAAUAAUGUAGUGCAACGGAGUCUCACCAUUCUUCCCUGUGACACGAACAAGAUCUUUAUCCAUUUGUAGGAAACGAAGCACCAUCUCUUUAUGCCCCUUUUCCAAUGCAAGGUGAAUGGGUUUCAAACCUUGUUGGUUUAGCUUCCUAGCAAAUGACGGCUUCAGCUUCAUCAUCUCCAUUGCGAACCCGAUGCACCCUUCAUUUGCAGCUACAUGUAAAGGAGUCUCGAUAAACUCCACUUCAUCGAAGCUCCUCAAAACAUUUCCAUCACUUUGAAUCAAUUUAUACAAUUCACUGAAAUCUUCCGUACGAGAAAUUGUUCUGAAACUUUGGUCCAUGUUUGAAACAAGGAACAAUUUCACAAUAGGAGGCAAAAAUUGAAAGGGUUAAAGAGCACUUAGAGGAAUUAAUUUAAUUUACUUCCCUUGUGUGAGGAAGAAAGAGGAGGAUGGUUUCCUUUAUAUAAGAAGUGUAUUUUUUUCAGUCCCAUCGAAAGGUGCUUAUCUUCAUGUUGGAGCUACGGUUCACUUUUAGUGUAAAACGUGGGAGAGGCUUCCACUUUCAAAGGUGCUUAUAUAAGAAUUUAUACUUUCAUUUGGUUCUUAUGACUUCUUCUUUUUCUUUUCUUUUUUUUUCUCAGUUGACGAAGGAAUUUAAUUUGUUUUGGCAUUCUAAUAAAAAAUUCAUCUAAUCCUACGGAGUAACACACGAUAUGUUAUUAUAGAGGUUAUGAGAUGCUGUAGCCUUUUUUCCGUUGUUAGUGCUUAAUUAACUCAAAUUAAUUUCUACCAAAAAAGAGAAAUUGGAAAAAGAAAAGAAAAAUGAAAAGCAUAUCUAACUUUGACAGAUCAUAUAUUUUUAAUUGCUUUUCUAACUUUAUAUGUUAUUAUAGAAUUUAAUUUAGAACCCAUUAAAACUUUGAGGGAUGCUAUCUACCCAUACUUAGUUUAAGUAUUUUAUUGAUUUAAUACCACAGACCAGACCAACACUAAUUCAUAAAUAAAUUUAUUAAAAUGUCUCUUUUUUUUUUGGUGAAAAUUAAAAUGUCUUUUUAUAUAAAAAAUAUAUUUUAUGAGGAUAUCUUUUUAUCUUUCUAUAUGAUAAAAAAAUUGAUAAUAAUAAUAGUGCACAAUAAAUAAUUAAUUUUACUAUUAUAAUCAAAACAUCAAUUUACUUUUAUAUGAAUUUUUAAUAAGUUUACUUGUUACAUAAUAUUUUUCACUCAUGGUGUUUCAUAAAAUUUUAAAGUAAAUAUUAAUAUGAUAUUUGUUGACACCAUUUUUUUUGUAUAAAAACGGGUCGACUUGGGUUUUGAAAAAAGAAACGGGAGUCGCCACCAAUCCUUUUUAAUGAGGUGUGAUUGGAUCACCUCGAAAAGUGGUUGUUUUUAAUAAACGGUUUGAUUUUAUUAAAACAACAAUUUUGGUCCGCGAAAUUUAGAAAAAUAGGUUCAGGAGUCGGUUACGCUCGAGGAAGGAUUAGCACCCUCAUAACGCCCAAAAUUGGUACCUAGUUGAUUAAUUAGUGUCUUAGUGUCGAAGAUUGAAAACUUUGAAGAGAUUUAAAAUACGAUCCUUUGUUUUAAAACUUAUAUAAAUCAAAUUACUCGUUAAGACUCUCUCAUUUCAGAAAGAGAAAAGGUCACACCCAAUGAGUAGGGUACGAUAUUUUACCUAUUCCGAAAUGAGUUUGUCUAAAACAAACUCGCACAAUAAAAUUUAAAAGGAUAUUCAAUCGUUUAAGUCAGAUGAAAAUAUUGCAACCCAAUACAUUAGGGCACAAUUUCUCAAAAUAUUAAACAUUGAAUAUUGCAUAUUUUUAGCAAAAACCCUCGUCUCGAGAAAACAAUGUGUCAUAUCCAAUGCGUUAGGCCACAACGUAUCGAAUCCUCAAUAACAAGCUUUUAUUAUUAUUAUUAUUAUUAUUAUUAUUAUUAUUUAAAGAGUAAUCUCGAUUAUUUUAGAUUCAACGAAGAAAAUCGAAACCCAAUACGUUAGGGCUCGAUUCUCUCGAAGAUUCCAAAUACCGAGCAUUGCUUAAAAUUUCCUUUUUUGAAUCUAGGUAAAAAUCAAUGUAAUGGAGUAACAAUCACAAUAAUGUAAAUAUAAAUAGCAUGAGCAAGAACAAAAAUGAUGAAGAGAUGAAUAAAAAUAAAUCAAUAAUGUAUACACAAUAUCAACUGAGUAAACAAAUAAAAUUGAAGCAUUUAAAGAAUAUAAUAAAGGUAAUAAUGGACAUGUGAAUAUAUAAAUGAACAUCAAGUAAAACAAUACUAAUAACAAAGAAAAUUAAUAAAAAACUAUAAAAUAUAAAAAUAUGUAUAUGUACAUAUAAGAAAAAAAUAUAUGUGAAUUAAAAAAAUAAAAAGUAAAUAUAAAAUAUAUGUAUUUUAAUAUGUAAAAUAUACACAUAUAAGUAUGUACAUAUAAAUAUAUACUUAUAAAAAUUUAGAAAAUAUGUAUGUAGAUAUAAAUAUAUGUAUACACAAAUUAUAAAAUAUAUAUAAAAAUAUAUGAGUAUGUAUGUAUAUAUAAGCUAAAAAAAGGUUUAUAAAGAGAUAAGUAUAUAUAUACAUAUAUGUGUAUAUAAUAAGAUAUAUAUAUAUAUAAUAAGAUAUAAAGAUAUAUAAUAAUUAUAAUAAUAAUAACAAUAAGACAAAUAUAAUCAAAAUUUAAAUAAGAAAAUAUAAAAUAAAAAUAUAACAAUAAUAUUAAACUAAUGGUAUAAUAAUAGUAAUAUAAAUAUAUAUAUAAAAGUAUAAAUAUCAUAUCAUAACGAGAAAAUAAUAAUAAUAACGAAAUGGACCAAAUUGGGAUAAAAAUAAAAUUUAAGGGCUCGAGCAGUAAUAAAAUGCGUAAAUAAGGACCAAAAUGGAAAGGUGCGAAAGGGUGAAGGACCUAAUGGGAAAUAAACCCACACUACACCAAAACAGGCUUUUUGCGGCGUUUUUAGUGGCGUUUGGAUAAAAAACGCCGCUAAAAAUCAAGCAUUAGCGGUGCUUUAGAAAAAACGCCACUAAAGAUCUAGUAUUAGCGGCGUUUUCCAAAAAACGCCGUUAAAAAUGAGCAUUAGCGGCGUUUUCCAAAAAGCGCCGCAAAAAACCUAAGCACAACAAUGUCUUUUUUUAGUUUUCGGGGCUUUAGCGGCGUUUUUGAAGAAGCGCCGCUAAUGCUUGGGGCUUUAGCGGCAUUUUUUAAAAAGCGCCGCAAAAAAUAUUUUUAAGUUUUUUGGGUACAUUAUUUAAAAUACUAUUAUUUAAAAUAACUUUUAAGUUUUUUGGGUACAUUACUGAGUGUUUUUUAAUUUACAUAUUAAAUAAUUUUUUAUAUAAUUGUAAAAUAGAUUUGUCACUAUAGUUUAAGGUUUUUGGUUUAGGGUAUAUGGAUUAGAGUUUAAGGUAUAGGGGUUACUAUUUUAAGGUUUUUGCAGAUUUUUGUUAGUGGUUUGGAUCCAAGUGUUUCUGGAUAUUUUGUUGUUGGUGGUUAGAGAUUUUUGUUGCUUGAUAGAAAUGUGUUUAACUCUGGACAUUUUGUUUGUUGAAAAACGCCGUAAAAAAAUUUAUCUAUUUUAACUAGUUUAUUUAUGUUAAUUAAAAUACAAUUUAAUUUUAAUUGAAUAUUUAAAUUCUUCAAAAAAAAUAAUGACACGUAGAAAAAAAUUAAAAGUAAAAACAUAGAAAAACAUUUGUUAAAAAUGAAAAAAUUUAAAAUAAUUUUAAAGUUUUUUGAGUACAUGAGUACUGAUUAUUUUUUAAUUUAUAUAUUAAAUAAUUUCUUAUAUAAUCAUAAAAGAGAUAGUAUUAAUUUUAAAAUAUUGAAUUAAUUAUCAUUAUAGUUUAGGGUUUAAGAUUUAGGAGUUACUAUUCUAAGGUAAUUUUUGGGAUUAUGUGUUUAGGGAUUAUGGAUUAUGGAUUAUGUGGUUUAAGGGUUGGGGUUUAAGAUUUAAGGAGUUACUAUUUCUUAUAUUAAUGAAUACAAUAAUUGGAAAGAAAAUACAUUUUGUAAUAUUUAUUUGCAUUAGAUCUUAUAAGCAAGGUUGAGAAGUGUCCUGUAGGAGUAUAGUAAAAUAUUUAAUAAAAAAAUACAUGUCCAUUUUUUAAUGUUACUUGUGGAAUAAAAAAGAUAAUCUAUUAGUGUACCAAACACUCACUUAUUUUUUAAUUUUUAAAAACAAAAAAUAAUAUUUCUAAGAAUGUCAUUAGGUUAAAUUUAAGGUCAAAACAAGAGCGAUGAUACAAGGUCUUCAAAUAGUAUGGGAGAACGAAUAUAGAAAGCUUACGUGCUUCUAGUAGAAUCCAUUUUAACCGAUUAAACGACCAAUAGCAAAUUGGGCGAGUUAUGCUUAAUACUUAGUUUGCUCAAGCGAGGCUGAAAAGUAAGAUUUCAUCACGUUUCGAGAUCUCAAAAUAAGAUUGUCGAUCGUAUGGCCAAAAUAGCUUCAAGUGGAUUGGGUAACAUACAACUAUUUUGAGAGCCUCCAGAUUCAGUAUGAAAUAUACUGAUAGUUGAGCGUAAUAUUGUUUCUUUACGUUGCUAGUAAUUUAAAAAUGUAAUCAAUUUGUACGGUAGUAAUUGCAUUAAAUGAUUUUAAGGUUUAGGGAUUAUGUGUUUAGGGAUUAGGGAUUAGGGAUUAUGGUUUAUAGUUUAAGGGUUGGGGUUAUAAGGGGUUAGGGGUUAUAAGGGGUUAGGGGUUAUGGGGUUUAAGGUUUGUAAAGCUAGAAAGGUAUUAUAUGGAGUUCAAUAAUCGCGCUCAGUGUCGAAUUGGCUGUUGAAAUGUUAAUAUUGUAAGUUAAACGCUUUAAAGUCACAUUAUGUGUGUGUGCCAUGAUCUAUAUCUGACAGAUUGGGAAGGGAAGCUAAGUGAGUCAAAUUUAAAUAUUAGAUUUAAAAAAAUUGAUAAAUAAAUAAAUUAAUGUAUCAGAUUGAUAUGGAUAGGAAUUGAAUAAUAUAAAAUCAUGAUUAACGUCUCAAUCUUUAAUAGAAAUUUGAUAUGUGAGAGAUUAAUUGCUUACAUUGAAUAAUUCUAACUUAAUAAUUAAUUACAGCCAUUUAAUCAUUUUUUCUUAUUAAAAUAUACGAUAUUUAUUUUGAGAGUACUUGAAUUUUUUUAAAAAAAUUCAAUUUAUAAAAAAAUAAUAAAUGUUUUAUAAAAUCACUUAAUUAAUAAUUUUUAACAGAUUUAAAAUAAAAUUAUUUUUUGCGACGUUUUUAUGAAAAACGCCGCAAAAGGUAAGCAAUAGCAGCGUUUUUAUAAAAAAUGCCACAAAAAAUAAUUUUACUUUAAAAUAAUUUUUAGCAGACAAAAUAAAAAAAUUUUAGCAUAACAAAAUAGCGUCGUUUUUGUACAAAAUGAAAUGAUUUUUUGCGGCCACAAAAGAUAUUCAAAUUCCCGCUCACCCCCAAAAAAAGAUUUUUGGUUACCCGCUCCUUACUCCCUCUUCUUCUCAUGUACUUAAUUCUUUUUCCCUUUUAAUCUCAAAAUUCCAUGAGUCCCUUUGCCCCCAACAUCUCGUAAUACUGUUCAAAUCCCUAAAAUGAUUCAUUGAUUUAGGGUUUUGUUUCUCUCUGAAUCAGGACAAAAGGGUUUUCCGAUCUAUACCAAAAGACCACAGGGAUUGAUCUAUGGAAUUCCUUUUUCAGCAGUGUAUUUUCUUUUUCCUUUUUCAGUUUUGUUCGAUUUUUUUUACUUAUUUUCUUUCUCUCUCCAUUGUUUCGAAGCCAGCUUCUCUUUUUUCGAAGCCAUCGGAGCUCGGUAAUUGUUCUCAGCUUCAAGUGAUUCAGCUUCGUUUGAAUCGAUUGAUCGGCAAUGUAACGGCGGAUUUCUCUCGGUUGUCUCGUUUAAAAGAGCUUGGUUUGGGUUCUAACAAGUUAAAUGGUGAAAUCCCAGAAGAAAUCGCCUUUUAGAUGGAAAUCGCCUUACAGGUAACAUACCAAAUUCAUUUUCAAACAUGUCUAAUUUGAAGUACUUGAAUUUUUCUAGAAAUAAUCUUGAAGGUGAGAAUCCAAGUGGAUUAGGUUCUUUAUUCAAUGAUAGUUCUGUAUUUUCAAUGAAUGAAAAUUUAUGUGGUAAGCCAUUGAAUAAUGACUGUAAAAAUGUAAGAAAAAAGAAACAGAGGAAGCUGAUUUUGUUGAUUGCUAUGGUCGUUGGUGGUAUUGGGCUAUUUGUCGUGUUUUGUUGCGGUUACAUUUACAGUCUUCUACAGUGGUGGAAGAGGUGGAUGACCGGAGAGAAGAAGCAGAGUACGGGUAGUGCUAGUUCGGGAGCAGAUCAAAGUCGUGGAAGUUCAACUUCUUUUCGUUGAAGUUCAACUUCGCUGAUUCAGGUACGAUUUUAGCUUUACUUUUUGUUCAAAUUUUCGUUUUACAAUUUUUUAAUAUUUUCUAAUGUUAAGGUAUGCUGAUAUAUUGCAGUAAACUUUGAGAAUAUUAGACCUCCUGUAAUGGAAGGCUUAGAUACAUUAAUCAUGGUAUGUGGCUUCUUACUUUUACCUUCUUAAACUCUAUGUUCCAUAUGCUUAGCGUCUGGAAUUUCUUAUCAUUUUGCUUGAUUUAUUCAUAGAAAGAAACAAUCUUCAAAGUCAAGUAGCCUUGAAAGCAAUGGUAUGACUUUCUUGUUGUAACCUUUGAUGAGGUUUACUCCGAUUUCACUAUCAUAUGUUAUUUUUACAAGUUGGGGCUUGCAGGUAGUUCUUCAAAUUAAACAUCACCUGCAUCUCAAUGGUUUUCUUCAAAAUCAUCAAAGAAGGUUUGUUUUGUCAUUUUAUAGUUGAUCUUCCUUUGCUGCUGAUGCUCUUGUUACUACCAUUUUAAUCAAACAACCUUCACUAAACAUUUGCUUAAGACUAGUUAUCUAGGCAAGUGAUCCUCUCUCUCUCACUCUCACUUUCACUCAGACAAGUCACUAUCAUUCAUAUAUUUUUGUUAUCAUUUUCAGGAGCUCACAUUGGACCUGAACCAAUGACCAAUAGAUUUGUUGUUGUUAUGGUAAUUCAGAAAUAUUGCUAUUCUGCAGAUCUAGCUUGGAGAGUUUCCAUUACUUGGUGGUUUUAAAAUCAAUUAUGGAAAUUGAAUCUUAAUUUUCUGUAUACUGUCUAUACUACUUUGUUUGUUGUAAUUGUGAAAUUUUGUUUUGAUCUCGUGUGUUAUGCACAUACUCUCUUUCCCUUUAUGCAGUCGGGAACUGAUGAAAGAAGUGUUCCAGGGAACACUAUUGCUGUCCAAGCAGACAUGCCAUUCAGUGGCCUCACUACUUUCGGAACUGCAUUUUUGUCGAAGUUUGAGUGUUCUCAAAUGCCACAUCUAGUUAGUUAAUUGUUCAAUUCUAGUUUGCUGCGAUAGUUAAUUUUUCUGCUUAUAUAGAAUUUAAUACCUUCUUUUCCUUUGAAUUUCCGAUCGCUUCAGAAUUUUGAAAAAUAUUCAGGUACCUCGGUAUUUUUCAAUUUCGCAUUUUAUUUCCUCCAAUCUUUGAAUUUAGUUCCAAUUAUCGUCAUUUAUUUGCUGAAUUAACUUGUAAAAUAAUUGUUAGCACCUAGGGGUUUUUUUUAUGUAAGGUUGUUUUUAAUUUUAGUUGGAGAAUAUAUUGUGGUUUGAUUGUUUGUUAGGUUUUGAUAGUCAUAGGGUUUUUAAUUCGAAUUUCUAGCUUAAGUAAGGACCUCAUUUCUUCUGCCUCAAAUUAAUUAAAUUUAAUGGUUAGUAUUUGUAAAAUUUAAUGUAAUGUAAAAUUUUUGGCAUGUUAUUAAUUGUAAAAUAUUUGGUAUUUGGGGGGUUUUUCAUUGUUACUGCAAUUAUAUAAUUGGUUUUGAUGCAGAACAUAUAUGUUUCAGCAAGUAAGUAUUAAUUUAGGGAUGGGAUACUUGUAUUUUAAGCCUGAAAAGUCAUUAAUAGGUUGAAUAAAUACUGCUUAUAAUUUUUGUUCAAUUUUUUCUUGAAUUUUGGUGAACUCCUUUAGUAAUUAUUUGGGGCUUGUUAUGUUACGAAUUGGUAUUGAGUAGAUAUGGAUAUUCUCUGAGAAUUUUUUUUACUUGCAUCAUAGCCUUUUUUAUGAUGUUUGCCUUGUGUUUACAAAGAUUUUGUAUUUUGUUUUCUACCUAGUUUUUUUUUCAUCCUGCCUAAUUUGUCGAACUUCUAGCAUUAGUGAAGUUUUUAUUCAAAUUACUUGUGUGCUACCAUAGGUGCUAUUGGCUGGGGUUUACAAGGAGCUACGUCAGGCAUGGAGGAUGCCAAAGAGCAAAUUGUACAGGUGUCCAAAAAUUCCACGCUACCAUCUCAAGAUGAGGUUGUGUUCUUAUCUUGGUUCAUUGUGGAAUAUUUGAUUGGUUAAAGAUCUUAGCUACGUACAAGAUUAAAAUUUUAUUCUCUGGAGUUCUAUAGUUACUUUUGAUUGAUUGGACUGAUUGGAAUUUUAGGUGUUCAUUUGUAAAAUUUUCAUAACUUGUUUGUUCUGUUGUUUCAGAAACUGAAUAUGACCCAUGGUUUUGCUUGGCACUUUUACGUUUUAAAUUAUCUUAACACCUUACAGUUUUCUUCUUCCUAUGGAUACCAUUACAGCUUGCAGUUGAAUGUUUCUUUUAGGUAUAUCUUGUGACAUUUUUUCUUUCUUUGUUCACCUCACUUUAUAGCCUAUUUUUUUCCCUCCUGCGUUGGAUCUUUUUUUUUUUAAAUCACAUGAUCUCAAAUUUCAAUUUCUUUUAACAUUUAUUGGAAGAAUAAUAUGGUCUCAUUUGAUUGUUUCUCCUACCUGGUUCUUGCUUCUACUCGUAUUUCUUUUUGGAUGAAUAAAUUUAUUUGUUUAAUCCUCAUCAUCCUGUACAAUAUCAUGCUUGCAAGUUUUUGCUUUCCUCCUUAUUGCAGAUUUACUAUCCUGGUAUCCCUCUGUUGUUCUUGAUGUGGAUAUUUCUUGUGAAGAAGUACUUACAUUUUGCUGUUUAUUCAUGCUUACAGGAUAGGAGCAAAUGGUUUGGAGAACUCGUAAGCACUCCUCUGUCACUCCUAAACCAGUUGUUUAAAUUAUUUUCAUAGCCUACUUUGAUUGCUGUUAUUUGUGGGAAAAUUAGUCUACAUUCUUUAAGCUGAUCUUAAACUGCUUCCUACAUUGUUUCAGCCUUGGGAAGAAAGUUUGCGGGAUGCACACGAGUUUGGAAAACUUGUUCUGUUUUAGAACUUGGAUCCAGCUUACUCUUCAGCAGAAGUGGAGGUAAUAUUUAUUAUGAAUCACAAUUAGGUUGUGUUUGAAGCAUUUUGUAUUUACACACAUAAAUUUCUGUGUUCUUUCACUUUUCCUCUCCCUACAUGUGUGGUUUGUACCUUUUAUCUUUCUUAUGAAUAAUGCAUGUUUAUAUUGCAGGAUAUAGUUUGGAAUGCCUUCAAUGAAACUUGCAGAGCAAAGAUGGUGCAGCAGACUGCGUUGUAUUUUUUAUUACUUUGCAAUGUGUAUAGUCAUAGGCAAGUUCAACUAGUCAGUAUGUUUUUCAUAUGUAUUAUUUAUUUUAGUUUUGAUUCUAAAUUUUUAUUUUUAUUUUAAUAUUUACGACAACUUCAGUUAUAACUUUUGGAUUUUAAUUGUGUUAUUAAUUUAUUAUUUUAAAUUCUAAAACUAAAUUCAUUAAUUUUUAUAUUUAGUUUUAAAGUUAAAAUUUUCAUAGAAAAUUUAAUUUAAAUAAUAUUUUUUAUUUAUUCUUAAAAAGUAUAUUUAAAGCUCAAAUUUAAAAAACAAGACGUAAUAUAAUAUUUACCAUAAAAAUAAAUAUUAUUUGAUUAAAAUAUUUUUUUAAAUAUUAUGUUUUUAGCGACAUUUUUGCUAGAAGCGUCGCUAAAGGUUUGGGUUUAUAGCGGCAUUUGUGAUAAAAGCGCCGCUAAAGGUUUCGGUCUUUAGCGGCAUUUAUGGAAAAAGCAUCGCUAAAGGUCUUGGGCUUUAGCGGCGUUUGUGGGAAAAGUGCUGCUAAAGGUCUUGGAGAAGCGCCGCUAAAGGUCUUGGUCUUUAGCGGCAUUUUUUCCGGCGCUUCUCAAAGCGCUGCAAAAACUUUUAGUGGUGCUAGAAAGCGCCGCUAAAGGUCUAAAAAAGUGCCGCUAAAAGCCUGUUUUGGUGUAGUGCCAGUUUCAGGCCACGCGUCCCCUCCCAUGGGUCCAACGAAAUGAGGACCAAAUUAAAAAUAGAGACAAAUUUGCGAUCCAAAUUAAAAAAUGAAGAAAAGUCGUAAAAGGACUAAAUCGAAUCAAACUAAAAGUGCGAAAGGGCAUAAAGUGAAAAUAACCCACCUGCACAAAAACACGUGGACCCUGGGUUGCGGGUCGGGUCGACGCGCGAGUAGGAGGCCUUAAGAACCCAAACGGUGCCGUUUUAGGGCUAUUGGAUUAGCCCUAAACGGCAUCGUAUCGCCCAGCUUAUAAAGGCUAAAUUUUUUUGUGAAAUCAGUCAUUUUCCUUUUACUUAAAAAAACUGAGUUCUCUCUCUCCCUCUUUUCUCCCUCAGUCUCAGCCCUUAAGUUCAGGCCUCCACCGCCGCCUCCAUGGCCAAUGGCCGGAGUUACGCGAAACAGGCUUCUCAGCCCUCCCUUCACGGCGUCCCAGAAGGCUAAGCCUUCUCAACCGUGGGAGCGAGAGAAAAAAGGAAGAGACUCCCUUCCCCGCUCGACUCUGGUGAUGGCGAAGGUGGGUUCCGGCCGGCCUUUGAAGCAAAUAGGUAUAUUUCUUUCCCUUUUUCGUUUCAUUUUUGUUAAAAAGAGUAGUAAAACAAACAAAAAUAAAAUAAAAUAAAAUAAAAAUAAAAAUAAAAAUAAAGAAAAUACAAAGAACGCAAGAAUAGAAAAAGAACCGGAAUCAACCUUUUUUAAUUUUUUUGAUCUGCUUUUUAUUCAUUGGUGUUGUAAAAAAAAGAAAAGAAGAAAAAAAAAAUGUUGGUAUUCGGCUAUUUUUUUGCUUUCUGCCUUUGCGUGUUCUCUUUUUGUUUUUGCAGGUGGAGCAGGUGGCUGAGUUAGUGGCGGUAGCAGGUGGUGCGGCAGUGGCAGAGGGUAGGUGGUACGGCGCCAGAGAUUAGGAGGCUAGGGUUUCUUUUUUGUAUUUAAGUAUUUUGGGCCGUUUGGGCCAUUAGGGUUUAGUUUUAGUUAGGCUUAAAUUUUGGGGUUUGGGUUAGUUUAGGUGGGUAUUGGGUUGGUAUUGGUUUUGGGUUUUGGGCCAUUGUAAGGGUUAUUUGGGCCCUGGGCAAAUUUGGGCUUGUACAAUAUUCAUCUCUAAUGGUAAUCUAAUAUUUAUCCUAAUAUUGUCAUCAGCACCAAGAAGAAGAAAACUGAAACUCUAUCUUAUUACCUAAUCGAAUUUUGAAAAAAUAAAUCUAAAAGAUUAUUUAAAAUUCUAAUUAGGUAUUAAUUUAUUGUUAUGUUAAAAUCACGCUAGAAAUGUGGAUUCAAUUAUUUAAGAGAUUAUUGAAAGUCACUUAAGUUGUUAAUAAUUAAAAUGAAAUGAUUUUUCUUUUAUUAAAAUGAAAUUUCAUGAUUUAUUUGAAAGUUGAGUUUAAGUUCAAUGGUUUAUAAUGUAAAUUAUCUAAUAUCCAUUGUAUUUAUUGUCACUAAAUGAGCAUUACAAGUUAAAAUAAGUUAAAAUCUCUAGUAGUAAUUAUUAAUAUUAAGUUUUGGUUUUUUUUCUACCUUUAAUUUAUCGGCACAUAUGGGAAAAAUAUAAUUUUUAAAUUCUUCUAAUUUUUUAAAACUUUUUAAUAAUUAAAGAAAAAAUAAAAAGAAUAGGGGUCAAAUUGACAAAUGUUGUAAAGGUUAAGGGGCUAAAUUUAUUAUUUUAUCUAGUUUUUUAACAGAGUUAAAGGAAAAAUCAACAGAGAUUGAAAAAUAGAAAGAUCAAAUUUGAGCAAAUAAAAGUAGAGUAACUAAAUCCACAUAAACUGAGAAUCCAGGGACUAUCCUUACAAUUUAACCUAAAAUGUAAAAACUUAAAUACAUAAAUAUUAUUUUAGUAAUUUCUAAACAAAGUUAGCACUUUAAUGUAAGGGUGUUCAAAUUUCGGUUAAAAUCAAAUUAAUCGAUCGAACCGAUCUAAUUCGGUUAAUCGGUCGGUUAAUUGAUCUAAUUCAGUCGAAGGUUGAUUAAUUAUUUUUUUGAAAGUUCGGUUAUCAAUUAAUUCGAUUUGAAAUCUGGUAAUUAACCGAACUUAAUAAUUAAUAAUACAAAUAAUAUUUAGUUUUAAUUCAGUUAAUUCAGAUAAUUCAAUCAAAUGAACUUUAUUACUUUUUUAAAUAUAUUUAAUACUUGUUUUAACUAAAAUAAAAAAAUAAAAAUAUAUAAAUUUCGAUUAACAUUUUUUUAAAAAAAUUUCCCUUAUUUUUUCCUACAAUCAGCCUAUGCACGUAUUUUUUUUCAUUUAUUGGUAAAUUAAUCGUUAAUAUAUCCUUUCCUUUCUCUAAUCUUCCUCUAUUUUCUUUUCAUUUUCUUUCCUUUAAUUAUAUUUAUCCAAAUAUAGGGUUAAUGUAGAAUUUUUUAUUUUAUUUUAAUUUUUACCAUUAUCCUUUAUAUUUUAUCUUUAAAAUUAAAAAUUACAUUUAAUAAAUAGUAUAGUUAUAUUUCGAAAUUAAUUUUAAAUGAUAUAUAAAUAUAUUUUAAAUAUCAAUUUAAAUUUAAAUCUCUAAAACUUAACUUUUUAAUACUUAUUAUUUCUAUUUUAUCGAACAACCUUUAAGUAUUGCACUCACACUCGCAAAUAAAUAAAUAAAUAAAUAAUGGCCUUGUGUAAUUAAGAAAGUUGAGAAUGGGUUACUCCUCACCUGGUGGAAUUGGCUACAAUAAUGGAGGAAAGAGAAAAACACUAAGGAAUACCCAAUGAUUGGGAGGCAACGGCAUACCCUACACAUACUAUUUACUGUCGGUGGUAAUGAAUCAAUUGCCUACUUUACACAUAUUUUGUUUUCUUCACUUUUUCUUGUCCUGCACUAUUUGGAUUUAUGAGUGAUGGGUGUCGAGUCUACCAAUAUAAACCUAUGCCUAAUUUGCAAUUAAAGCAGUAUAAAGAGUAGGGUCGAUCCCUCAGAGACUGGAUUUACUGAAAAUUAUUUUUCUCUCGACCAGAUUCGUGUCUGGCCAGUUGUCGUGCCCAAGAAAUUUGAGGGAGGAUAAAAAUUGAAAACCUUAAAUAAACAGAAAAAAUGCGUGGAAAGUAAAAGCUGAAAAUAAAAUAAUAAAAUCAAUUAAAUAAAUCUGAAGAAAAAUUAAUUAAAAUUAGCUCAACUUUAGGCACGGGUUUUUCCUCGUCUUUGAACCGAUCCUCGAAAUUAGAUGAACUCCUCUUUCCAAUAAGCUAGUUAUAGCUACCAAGGACGUCUCGGACACCAACUCUUCCUUGUGUAAAUUAGUUAUGGAACGUCCUAUAACUAACCCUUACCGAUCGAACAACUAACGAAACGUUUGUGAUUUAGAACUCCGGCAGCUUUGCGUUCUAGAAGAGCCUAGCUCGAACCAAUGCCCUCAACCGCGUGGGACAUUUAAAUCUGGUUACUACUUCCCUUGAAGGAACCAAAGAACAAUCCCCACUUGGCACGCCAAUGUGUUCACAAAAAACUAAUUAGACAAUCGACCCUUUUGGAAUUCCAACUGUACGUCUAACCACACUAACUCAAACAAAAUCUUUUUUUGACUUAGUGUUGAUUUGACUUUGUGAGUUGACAAAGUCAUACUCUUAACCCAGAGAAAUAAUAAGUACUGAAAAUUAAGAAUUAAAUUGCUCGGGUUUGUAACUCACGGGUCUUGACGAAGUUAACACCGACCUAAAGUUGAAAUGGGUUUAGUUGACCAAGGUUUGGGCCAUGUUGGUAUUGGGCAUAAUUGGAGAAGGUUGAAUAAAUGAAAAAGAAAUGAAAGUAAGUGGGUGAGGGUGAUGCAAGGUUUGGGUGCCAAAGCUAGAAACUAAUAGAUGAAAAAAAAUAUAAGAAAUCAAUGUCAGCCACUAAAUUUGCAAAAAAAGGAAAGAAAAGAUUGAAUUCAAAGGAUAAAAACUUGAUUGAAAACUUGAUGAAUGAAUGAACAUAGUAGCCCCUAUUUAUACUAGUAGCCUUGAACAAAUUUGCCUAAUUAAAGGCCACUAACCAUAGAAAAUUAAGGAAAAAUAUUCCCAUGAUAUAAAAAAUCCCUACAUAAUCUCCCACUAAGUCAAAACAAAAUUUCAGCUAAUUACAUCUUGGGAAAAAUUCCGUUUUGGCCCGCCUUCUUUGCUAUUUUCUUCAAUCUAGCCCAAUUGUUUCCUUUUUCUUCUAUUUAGCCACAAAUUGCACCCCUGCACAAAAUUCAAUAUAAACAUGGAAAAAUCAGUGGUGCACUCUCAUAAAUUAACCAAUUUAAUUACAUAAAAUAUGUAAUUUUAGCAUUUAAUCAAUGAGUAAAAUCGAUACUACUUAUUUUGUGCUAUAUUUUUUAGUUUUCAUAUGACGAUCAUCAAAUUCAUGCUUAUCCAAAGCUGGUGUAUGCAAAACGAUAAAGUUAAUCUUUAUUGCUAGUCUUUCUUCUUUUUACUUUUGAAUACUCUUCUCUUGUUGCUGUCGUUGAAAUAUUGUUGGAUUGUUGAUAUCUUGCUACUUUUUAAUACCAUUUAAAUUUUUUUAAUAUAAAUAUUAAAAUUAUAAUGAUUUUAGUUAUUUAAUUUAAUCGAGUUGUAUAACUUGUCAAUACUUGGAUUUUGAAAAUGAAAAUAAAAAUGAGAGUCGCCACCAAUCUUUUUUGAUGAGGUGUGAUCGGGCCACCUCAAAAAGUGGUUGUUUUUAAUAAACAAUUUGAUUUUAUUAAAAACAACGAUCUUGGUCCACAAAAUUCAGAAAAAUGGGUUCGGGAGUCGGUUACAUACGAGGAAGGAUUAGCACCCUCGUAACGCCCAAAAUUGGUACCUAGUUGAUUAUUUAGUGUCUUAGUAUCGAGAAUUAGAACACGAUCCUUUAUUGAAAUGUUAAAAUUUUUUGAGAAAAGGGCAUAUUUCACGUUAAUCGAGAAAGAGAAUUAUAUCCAGUAAGAUAGGACACAAUGUCUUUGAAUUCCUAAUGUGCGAAUGAAUGCCAAAAAUUUACUUAUUGGAAAGAUAUUUAGCUAUCUCGGAUUUGAAAAAGGGAUCAUGUCCAGUAAGUUAGGACACAAUCUUUUGGGAUCAUGCCCAGUAAGUUAGGACACGAUCUUUUCUUAAUUCCCGAGAUCGUUUAAAACUUGAGAAAAAAAGGGAUCAUGUCCAAUAAGUUAGGACAUGAUUUCUUCUUAAUUCCCGAGAUAAUGAAAACUUGUUUGAAAAUACUUGUAUUCAGAUUUAUCGAGAAAAUCGAAACCCCGUAAGUUAGGGUGUGACUUUUUCAAUUCUUAAAAUACGAAGUUUAACUUAUUUUAAAGUCGUGAUUUAUACCUUAAAUAAAGAAAUAAAACACAAUUCAAUAUGAGUAGCAAAACAAUAAUAAAUACUACGAUGUAAACAUAACGCAAGCAACCACAAAAAAAUAAUAAAUAAAUAAAUAAAAGAUGACAAAACAAUUAUGUAUGAAAUAAUAACAGCUAGGGCUAAAAUAUUUCAUAAAAAUAAUGAUUAACACAUAAAUAAAUAAAUAUAAGAUAAAACAAUAAUAACAAUACGAAAAUAAAUUAAAUUAUAAAAGUAAAAAUUUAUGUAUGUUUAUUUAUAUAUAACAAAGUUUAAAAUGAAAGAAAAGAUAUAAAUAAGUAAAUAAUAAUAUUAAUAAUAACAAAUAAUCUAAAGUUUUAAAGAGAAAAGAUAUAUAAUUAUAUAAUAAUAAUAUAUAAUAAGAUAAAUAUAUUUAAAAUUUAAAUAAGUAAAUAUAAAUAAAAUAUAGUAAUAGUAAUACUUUGAAGGUAUAAAAGGACAUAAUAAAUAAUAAAUAAUAAAAUGAUAUAAUAAGAUAAUUACAUACGCAAAGAAAAAUGCAUAUAUAUAAAAUAAAAAAUAAAGCUAAAAAUAAUACAAAACUAAUUAAUAUAUUAAUACAAUAGUAACGAAUAAAUAAAAGGAAAAUAAAACUAAUAAUAAUAAAUAAUAUUAUUAUCAAAUUAUUAGUUUUAAUAAUAAAAUAACCAAAAUACAAACAGAGGGCUAAAUUGAAUUUAAAAAAUAAAAUUUAGGGUCAAAUCACAAAUAAAUUAAAGGAGAAGGACCACGUUGAAUGCGCAAAUAACAAGAAGGGGCCAAAUGGGCAAUAAUCCCGUCCCUCCAAAACGCACAGCUUCAUUGAGGACCAAAUCGAGAGAAAGAUGAAAUUUUGUGGCAAAAUUAAAAAAUAAAAACAAGAUAGGACCCAAUUGUAAAAAGCCUCAAAAGUGAAAGGACUAGGAGCGCAAAUAACCCCUUUUAUCCAGAAACAUACGGAUCCUAGGCAGUUCGGGUCGGGUCGAUCCGAUCCAGGUCAAAACGACGCCAUUUUAGCUCCCUAUAUAAGUUAAAAAGUUUCAAAAAUAAUCAUUUUACUCUUCCUUCUAAAAAAAAUCAAAAAAAUCCUUUCUUUCCUCCCCACUCUCCAAAAAAUCCAGCCAUGGGUCCGGUGAGGGCUCCGGCCGUAGCCACUAUGCUGGACUCCAGUCGCCGGCGUCAGCGCCUCCGCGCAUGGUGGCCGGUGAAGGCAAAAAGUUGUAUUUUCUAGAUCUCGACCCCCUAAGCUCAAAUUCGUCCUCAAAAUACCCGAAAAACCAAAGAAAAAGGACCACUAGCCUUCUCAAGAACCGAUUCUGUCACCAGAGAAGAAGCCUCCGACGACAAGUACACGAAACGACACUGGUGAGAUCCUCUUCACCUUCUUUUUGUUUUAUUUUUGUAUAUAAAUAAAACCAAAAAAAAUAAAUAAAAUGAAUAAAUAAAAGUCAGUGAACGAAUAUUAAAAAGACUUUGUAAAUUCAUUUUUCUUGAUUCCUUUUUUUAUGUUCGUACAAAAAAAGAAGAAGCCCCCUAAACUUUUAUAACAUAUUUGACUUUAUAGCCAAGAGAAAGAGAAGAAAACAUGAAAGCAAAUCCCCUCUUUUUGCUACUGUUUUUGUGGUCUAUUUCUGCUUUUCUUGGUUGCGUGUUUGCAGGUGACUGUGGCGAGUUGCAGAGGGUAGGUGGGCAGAGGCAUGCGGCGGUGGCAGAAGGCCCUAGGUUCGGCGUACCUAGGGUUUGGCAUUUUCUUUCUUUUUUUUAUUUGGUGUUGGGCUAGGGUUUAUUUUAGGCUAAAUUGGGUUUGGGUCAUAUUAGGCUUGUUUGGUCAACAUUGUAAUUGGGCUUCUAUUUUUUUUUCUGGUAUUGGCCCAGGCAAAAUCUGGGUCUUACACCUUUUAUAGUUAAAAGAAAGUAAAAUAAUAAAAUUUAGUUCAAAAUUGUUGAAGUUAUAAAAUAAAAAAUCAAUUCAAAAAUAAAAAUAUCUUUUGUUCAAUUCUAAUUGAAUUGGUGUCACAAGUUAAUUAACUAUUAAAAUAAGUAAUAUUAUUCAAAGGUAUUUUUUAAAAUUUUUAUGCAAAAUUAUCAAUAAAAUAUGAAUAUAACGGGAUUUGAAGUAAGACUCGUCUACAAAUGAAUUCAAAAUUUUUACUCGAUUCGAUCAAAUAUUCACCCCUAAAUAUUACAUUUUUUGAAUCUUCAUCUUGGUGAACAUAAAAAGGAGAAGUUAUCCUUUGUGUGUAUGUGUGCUUUAGUGUUUCCUUUAAUUGUGUGGCUAAUUAAGUGCUCCUUAUUUCCUUUGAAAACAAAUUUUGAUAGAAAUGAAAAUAAAGAAUAUUGAUAUUUAAAAUGUAAAAAAUAAAAUAAAAUAUUGUUUGAACAUGUAUAAAUUAAUAUUGUACGCAUAAAAUUGAAUAAUAUUUAAUACCAAGAAAAGUAGAAAAAAAAUAUGUUAAAAUAAUAUUUUGGUGAAUCAAAUUUAAUAAUUAAUUUAUAGUUGAUAGUUAUAUACAAUAUGGAUGAUAUAAUAUCCUCUGAAAUCUUCCCUUGGUUGACCAUAAAGGGGAAGUCAUUGUUUUAUGUUUUUUGGUAUUUAUUUGUGAGCCAUACAAAUUAUACAUAAUAAUAGACCUUUUGAAGUCAUCCUCUUCCGUGUUUUGUUCCCGUUAAUUCUGUGGCUAAUUAAGUGCUCUUUAUUUCCUUUUAAAACAAAGUUUUCUUUUCCUUUUUUUUGGUAGAAAUUAAAAUAAAGAUUAUUUAUUUGAACUUUCAAAGUAUAUUUAGAAAAACCCUAAAAUUUUAAAAAUAAUAAUUAAGUCUCUUUUUUUUCAUUUAAUUAAGUACUUGAACUAUCAAAAUACAUCAAUAAGACCCUCAAACUUUUUCAGAAAAAGCAAUUAAGCCCCUACAUUUUUUUUGCACAUUCAAUUGUCAAAAUGCAUCAAAAAGGCAAUUUGACCGUUAAAGCUUACCGCCCCUAAAAUUUUCAAUUAAAGCCACAAUGUGUCACAACCACGUAGUGUGUGGCAAAAAAAUGAUAACAAAAAUUAAAAUCAAUAGAAGUUAUAAAAAUUAUUAAAUUUUAAUAAAAAUAUAAAAAUAGAAAACAUAUAAAAUAUAUAGAAAUAUAAAAAAAUUAUAAAAUUUUAUAAAGUUGUAAGAAAAUUAUAAAUAAAUAUAAAAUUCGUAAAAAAAUUAUAAAAAUUAUUAUACCAAAAGAAGCAUUUUAUAAAUUUUCUAUAAUUUUUGUUGAUUUUUAUUUUUUAUCAUUUUUCGGCACAUGUCACAUUAUGUUGCAACACGUGAGCCUUGUUCAUGCAUUUUAUAAUUUUUUUAUGAUUUUUAUAUUUAUUCUAAUUUUAAUAAAUUUUAAAUACUUUUAAAUUUUAAUAAUAUUUAUAACUUUUAUUGAUUUUUAUCUUUUAUAUACUUUUUACCACAUGUCACUCCGUGAUUAUGACACAGGAUGGCUUUAAUUGAAAAAAAUUAGGGGCAAUUAACUUUAUGAUCAUCUGUUAAAGUUUACGAUCAAAGGGCCUUUUUGAUGUAUUUUAACGGUUUGGGUGUGUAAAAAGCUCUCAAACUUUUCAAAAAAAAGCAAUUAAACCCAUCCUCUCUCUGUUUUUUUUUUGCACUCAAUUGAGCACCUGAACUAUCAAAAUGUAUCGAAAAGACCCUCAAAAUUUUUCAAAAAAGCAAUUAAGCCCCUACUCUUAUAAAAAAUUAGAAAAAAAAUUAUAAAAAAUCAUAAAAAAUAAAAAAUUGUAAAAUUUUAUAAUAAUCAUUAAAAAAUUAUAAAAUGCAUUGCUUGAUUGCUUUUUGUGAAAAAGUUUGAGGGUCUUUUUUUUAUGCAUUUUGGCAAUUCAAGUACCCAAUUGAGUGCAAAAAAAAAGAGUAGGGGCUUAAUUGCUUUUUUGGAAAAAAAAUUGAGGGCCUUUUUGAUGCAUUUUGAAAGUUCAAAUACUUAGUUAAGUGCAAAAAAAAGAAAAAAGUAGGAGCUUAAUUGUUUUUCCUUUUGAAAAAAAUUGAGGGCUUUUUACACUCUUAAACAUUUUAUAAAUGAAUUUUGAUUUUUUGUAGUUUUAUAUAUGAAAUUUUGAUUUGUUUAAAUUCUCAUAAAUUAUUAACAUAACAUCAUUUUAUAUUUAUAUAUUACAUACAUAAAUAAUUAAAUAUUCUCAUGGGCUUAUAAUGGAAAGUACAAUGAAUAUGUACCAACAGAAUGUUUGUGGUCACCACAAAUAUUCUCAUGACAUCAGCCUCCUGCUUCAACACAUACAAUGAGGAUUCCAUAUCUAAAAGUAAAAAGAAUCAUGAAAAAAAUACAAUGCAUAGUAAAUCAAUUGUACAUGUUGUGUAUUAACAUAAUAAUCUUAACCAUAUCGCUCGUUGACUUUCAUGAGACCACAUACAUUAUUGUCCACAACUUCUAAAAUUUGAAUUAUCGUACAUUUUGCAUUAAAAAAUCUCAUGGUAAUCUUAUUUUCAAGUAAGAUACACAUUAUAGGAGAUCAACUCCCCUAAAUGCAUUUUAGGUGUUAUCUUUCAUAAGCUAGUGAUUUUUUCUUGAUUAAUAUAAUCAUGCCUCAAAUCUUAAAGGUACACUUCAUUAGAGUGAGAAGUUCUAAGUUCCUUGUCGAAAUCGUUUUUUGAAAACAAAAAAUUUAGUUGUCGACUUUUAAAAAUAAAACUGGAGUCGUCACCGAUCCUUUUAUUAAGGUGUGAUCGGCCUACCUUAAAAAAAUAUUUUGGCCUACGAAUUUUGAGAAAACGAGUCCGGGAGUCAGUUACGCACGAGGAAGGGUUAGCACCCUCGUAACGCCCAAAAUCGGUACCAAAUUGAUUAUUUGAUGUCUUAGUGUCGAAAGUUAAAAAAGAUUUUAAAAUAAGCUUGAAUGAUUAAAUUUGCAAAAGGAUAACCAAUUGUUCAAGUCCUGUAAAGAAAUCGAGUCCCAAUACGUUAGGGUACGAUUCCUCAUAAUCCCCGAACUUUGAAUAUCACUUUUAUUUUAUGCGAAAAUCUUCAUUUCGAGAAAGUAACAGGCCACACCCAAUACGUUAGGGCACAACAAGUUAAGUUCCCAAAAAUGAUUUUUAUGCUCAUGCAUUUUGAAUAAAGAAUAUUCUCGGUCAUUUAAGAUUAACAAAGAAAAUCAGAACCCAAUACGUUAGGGCUCAAUUUCCCUCGAAAAUCCCAAACCUCAAAUAAUGCUUUUAUUCAAAACAAACCUUUAAAUCAAGAAAAAAAAUGAUUUUGGUAUAUCGAAAAAAACCAAGAUUUAUUUUCCAAAGGGUAUGUUAAAAAUUAAUGUACAAUAUGAAAUAAAUAUUUUAAUUUAAAAUAUAUAUAUAUACAUGUACUUACAAAAUAUGUAAACACAAGCACAAUAUACAAGUAAAUUUGAAAAAAUGUGUAUGCAUAUAUUUAACAUACAUAUACAACACAACUUAUAAUAAUCUCCAACAAUAUGCAUGUAGAUUUCAAAGAAAGUAAGUAUAUGUACAAAAAUAAGGAAAAUACAUAUGUAUUGUAAAAUAUAAGUGUACAUACAUAUAUACUUAUUUAUAAAGGCUAUGAAAACAAAAAAAAGGGAAUAUAUAUAUAUAUAUAAAUUAUGCAUGUAUUAAAAUAUGUAUAUGUAUAUAUGUACAUAUAUGAAUGCAAAAACUAUAGGAAUAAAAUAAUGUAAAAAACAAAUAUGAAAGUAUGAGGAUAUGUAUAUAUUUACAGAAUAAAACAAAUGUAUAAAUAUAUUUAUAUAAUAUAAAAUAUAUAAAAGUUAAAAGAGAUAAAAUAAAAAAAAAUAUAAAACGUAUGUAAAAUGCAUGUAUUUAUAUAAGUUUUAAGAAUAUAUAUUAUAAAGAAAUAUGUAUAUAUACUAUAUAUUAAAAAUGCGUGCAUACAUAGAGAAAUAAUAAUAAAUGAUAAUAAAUUAUAUAGUGAUAAUUUUAAAAAUUCAAAAAUUAAAAAAAAUUGCAAAAAACAAAAAAAAAUGAAAUUAAAAUUGAACGAGGACCAAUUUGAAACGCACGCAUUAUAUGAGGGGGCCCAAAUGGAAAUAAUCCCUUCCCCGAAGCGGUGCGCAGCAAUAAGGACCAAUUUGAACCAAAAAUAAAAUAUGCGGCCCAAUUUACAAAAAGAGCAAAACAGGUUUAAUCGAAGCGCGCUGCAAAAAGGAGGGACCAAUUGCGCAAAUUUCCCACCUGACGUCAGAGCGCGCGGAUCCUCCCCUUCGAGUCUGGUCACCGCGCGGGUCAGGCCUGGGAAAACGGCGCCGUUUUGAUCUGUUAUUAAAAGAGAUUUAAAAAAAAACAUUUCAGCAGAUUGAAAAGAAAAAAAAACAAGGUUCCCCCCUUUUGCUCUGCUAGGGUUUCGCACCCAAACCCCGUCGCGCCGCCAUUCGCCUGGCCAACGCUCCGAUCAUGACGGAGCCGACCACCAGGUAAGUGCUCCCCUUUUCUUUUUUAUGCUAUUUCCUUUUCUUUUUUAAUAAAAAACAUAAAAAUAGAAACAAAAAGAACAAAAAAUAGCGAGGAAAAAAACAAAGAAUCCCGAUUUCACCUUGAAAAACAAAAGAUCUGUACUUUUAAUGUUCUUUUUCUAUUUUCCCCUCUAUUUUUUUUGGUUUUUUACACUGAAUCCCCCCUUUAUAGAUUUGAUAACGACCCUUUUUAUAGCUGAAAGAAAAUAAUAAUAAAUAAAUAUAAAAAUAUUUUCCCAACGAUAUUUGUUGCUUUUGUUGCUAUUGCUGCGCUGUAUACCUCCUUUUUCGCAGGUUUGGAGGCUAAUGGGGAGUGCGCGCAUGCUGGGGAGGGUCGUGGUGCGAGAUUCGUGGCGGCGUGUGAGGGUGAGCGGCGGCGGUGCUGAACCAAAUAGGCUCUUAGGGUUUCUGUUAUUUUGUUUUUGUGUGGGCUAGGUUUUGGGUUAAUGUUUGGCCUAGGUUAAUUUGGGUUUUGGGCCUGUUUAUUGGUUUGGGCCCGGGCAUAUUUGUUUGCUUGGGCCCGGGCAUUAUUGGGCUUGUACAGCUGCCCCUCUUUGCUCAUUAUCGUGUAACGGGAAUAGAGCAAAGACUAAAAGCCCAAUUGUGCCCGGUCUUACUGAGCCUCACCUUCUUUAGUGCUUUUCUUCUUCAAGUAGCAUCAUUCCAACCUACUGCAUCUUCAGAGGUAUAGGAACUAGUGCUUUGAUCCACUCCUACUGCAUCGUCAGAGAAAUAUGAUUUGUACCUUGUAGCUUCUCAAAAGAACAAAAUUUGCUAUCUUUAGUCUGCUCUACUGUAACUUUAGGGAGAUAAGGCUUGUAGCUUCAACUUAUUCUACUGCAACUUUAAGGAUAAGUCUGAUGCGAUCUGCUCUACUACAACUUCAGAGAGAUAAGAUCCAUCAUUUUAAUCCAACCCACUGCAAUAUUAGGGAAAUAGGGUAACUGGCUUCAAUGUACUCCACUGUAAACACAGGGAGGUAAAAUCCACUAUCUUUAAUCUGCUCCACCACUGCUUAGAGAGACAAGAUCUGAAAUCUUCAACCUAUUCCACUGCUGCCCAGGGAGAUAGAAUUACUGGCUUCAAUGUACUCCACUGUAACCACAGGGAGGUAAAACCCGCCAUCUUUGAUCUGCUCCACUACUGCUUAGGGAGACAAGAUCUGAAAUCUUCAAUCUAUUCCACUGCUGUCCAGGGAAGUAGAAUUAUUGGCUUCAAUGUACUCCACUGCAACCUCAGGGAGGUAAAAUUCACCAUCUUUGAUCUGCUCCACUACUGCUUAGGGAGAAAAGAUCUGAAAUCUUCAAUCUAUUCCACUGCUGCCCAGGGAAGUAGAAUUACUGGCUUCAAUGUACUCCACUGCAACCUCAGGGAGGUAAAAUCUGCCAUCUUUGAUCUGCUCCACUACUGCUUAGGGAGACAAGAUCCAAAAUCUUCAAUCUAUUCCACUGCUGCCCAGGGAAGUAGAAUUACUGGCUUCAAUGUACUCCACUGCAACCUCAGUGAGGUAAAAUUCACCAUCUUUGAUCUGCUCCACUAUUGCUUAGGGAGACAAGAUCUGAAAUCUUCAAUCUAUUCCGCUGCUGCCCAGGGAAGUAGAAUUACUGGCUUCAAUGUUCUCCACUGUAACCACAGGGAGGUAAAAUUCGCCAUCUUUGAUCUGCUCCACUACUGCUUAGGGAGACAAGAUCCAAAAUCUUCAAUCUAUUCCACUGCUGUCCAGGGAAGUAGAAUUAUUGGCUUCAAUGUACUCCACUGCAGCCUCAGGGAGGUAAAAUCUGGCAUCUUUGAUCUGCUCCACUACUGCUUAGGGAGACAAGAUCCAAAAUCUUCAAUCUAUUCCACUGCUGCCCAGGAAAGUAGAAUUAUUGGCUUCAAUGUACUCUACUGUAACCACAGGGAGGUAAAAUCUGUCAUUUUUGAUCUGCUCCACUACUGCGUAGGGAGGAAAUAUCUGAAAUCUUCAAUCUAUUCCACUGCUGCCUAGGGAAGUAGAAUUACUGGCUUCAAUGUACUCCACUGCAACCUCAGGGAGGUAAAAUCUGCCAUCUUUGAUCUGCUCCACUACUGCUUAGGGAGAAAAGAUCCAAAAUCUUCAAUCUAUUCCACUGCUGCCUAGGGAAGUAGAAUUAUUGGCUUCAAUGUAAUCCAUUGCAACCUCAGGAAGGUAAAAUCUGCCAUCUUUGAUCUGCUCCACUACUGCUUAGGGAGACAAGAUCCAAAAUCUUCAAUCUAUUCCACUGCUGCCCAGGGAAGUAAAAUUAUUGGCUUCAAUGUACUCCACUGUAACCACAGGGAGGUAAAAUCUGCCAUAUUUGAUCUGCUCCACUACUGCUUAGGGAGGCAAGAUCUGAAAUCUUCAAUCCAUUCCGCUGCUGCCCAGGGAAGUAGAAUUACUGGCUUCAAUGUUCUCCACUGUAACCACAGGGAGGUAAAAUUCACCAUCUUUGAUCUGCUCUGCUGUCUAUACAGGAAGACAAGAUCUGCUAUAUUCAAUCUGCUUCACUGUCUCUGAGGGAGGCGAGGUUGGUGUCUUCGAUCUGCUUCACUGUCGAUGCAGGAAGGCAAAAUCUGUUAUCAUCACUGAUCUGUUCUCUGGGGAACAUGACCUGUAUAAUGAACCUAAUUAUGUCUAAUGAUUAGGAUGGCAUGAUCAAAAUGAAUCAAAUGCUCCUAACUAGGCAUGUAUGAAUGACAUUUGAAUGAAUGCAGAAUGUCAUUAAAAUGAUAUUUUAACACUUAAGUUAUCAUUACUCCAAGUUUAUUAAGGUCUUAUCGCUUAAUGUACUAUAGCGCCUUUAUACUCGACUGGUGAACCCAAUAAGCACUUGACCAGAUUGCCCCCCACUGUAAACCUCCAAGUUUGAUUCGUUGGGAUGCAAAAUUUGUACCAUCUUUUCCCGUUGUAACCCAAGAGUAAAAGAUUUGGCAUUUUCUCAAUCCUCUGCUAUCGCAAUUCAAGGAUACAAGAUGUGAAACUUUUUGGUCUCCUACACCAUUCCCAGGGUGUUGUACCAAAUGCUCAUGCACAAAUGAAGAAAUCUUCUCCAAGAACAACUUCUUCUUAUUACUCGGUGAUCAUUGCUUGUUUGUUCAUUGAAGCUUUGUCACCAACACGACAUCUUGCCAUUUUGUUCAAUUAAUACUUUAGACAAGAAAAUUCAAAGGGAUAAUCUUAAUUUAGACUCUUCUUUAUCAGAUUUCCAACCUGGUGCGUUCUAAACAAUAGUCCUGUUUGAGGUUUCUAUAUUAUUCAGAAACUUCUAGAGUAAUAUGCAAAACUUCCCUUGCGAAAGUUUUAUUAGUCCAUUAAUCAUUAUUCUAAUGCAACAUGCUUGCAGAAAGAUCAUGGAUAAGAAUAGAGUUGGCUCUGAGUAUAGCUCGGAAUGAAUAAAUUGUCAAGGACAAUAAAGAUGGAUAACAAAGAAACUGAUUUAGGAAUGCGUAUCUUGGAAAUGAAUGAAGUGUUCCAAGAAUAACAAAAAUAGUAGAAGGAUUAGGUGCCCCAGAUAUCACAGCUUGAACUUUGCUGUACAGACUUUCUGAAGACCAUUCUGAGUUUAACAUGUUCUUGGAGAUCUACAGUACUUUGUCAAUGCCCCAAGAUGUCGCCUACCAUUUCCUGCUGAUUCAGGUGUAGCAAGACCACUGUAUGCCCCAUUCUGAUCAGUAUUUGAGCUGCUCUGAUAAUUUCAAACGCCAUUUUGAUCAAUCAUUUGAGCCGCCCUUUUCGGGUUUUCAACUCAAAUUUCUUUUGGUCUAAGGCGCACUUUGCGGGUUUUCACCUUAGCCUCUCCAUUUUACUUUUUCAUUUUUCAGUUUUCAUUUUCACUUUUUCAUUUUUCAUCUCAUCAUUUUUCGACUCAAAGUACCUUUGCGGGCUUUUACCUUGGUCAUCCCCUUCUUUAAGCGGAGUAUUUCCUGACUGAAUUUGAGUUUACAGGACUUUGCAGGUUUAUCAUCCAUCUCGCUCAAGAUCAAAACUCCUUUGGAAAAGACCUUCUCUAUAACAUAAUGUUCUUCCCAACUUGGCAUCUGUUCCCCUCCAAAACAUUUCUUUGUAGAAGGAAGAUCUUCAACAUUUGGUCACCCUCGUGGAAUUCUCUGGGAUGAACCUUUUGUUAUAGGCUUGCAUAAUUCAUUUCUAGUACAUCUGACCGUGAUGAAUAACUUUUAGCCUUCUUCAUUCUAUCAAGUUCAAUUGAUCACAUUGCGAUUGGAUCUGUUCUGCUUCAUCCAACUUGCUCAGCCAAUACCCGGAGAGAAAUAAUUUCAACUUCAAUAGAAAAAAAAAUCAUGAUGAACUAAAGAGAGAGGCACUACUCCGAUAGAGUUUUCACCGCAUCAUUCAUGAUAUUGAACAUACUGCAAAUUUCUGAUAUCGUGCUGUUGUUCAGAUUGCAAUGACAGCGCUUAAACCAGGCACAUCCUGGUAUGACCAUGCGAAGACAUCUUUAAAUACUUGAAGUAACCCAACCACGUCUAGAUUUGUUUUUUCGGUCAUGCAUGUUACCUCAAGGUCACAGUCUCUAUUGUCUCAUUUGUUUCUCUUAUUGCUUUACCAUUCUCAACAAGUCAGGAGAUAAGCUACAAUUUAUGACAUCUUCAAAGUCAUGAGAUCCCUCUAAGUACAUGUCUCACCCAAAAGGUAAUUUUGAGUCUGUAGCAGCAUCACUCAUGUCAUUGAUAUUUGGGGACCCAUAGUGGGUACCAAAGAAAAUACAAAAGAAUGUAUGAAUAUGAAUGAACGAAUGAAUGGUUUGACAGAAAAAAUCCAAAAGAAUGAAGAAAAUGUAAAGACUGAAAGAACAUUUGCUUAAAGAUGAUUGCAAUAACGUAUUCAUUAAAAUAAUAAUAUUCAGACGUGAGCCUAUUUCACAAAGAAGUUCUUAUUGCUUCUAGGCUAAAAGCAACAAGUGUGUUCUGAACAUUACUCUAACAAACUCUAAAUACUACAGGGUUUCCUCUGCAGUCCAACUAUUUAGAACAUUCCCAGGUUUAUAAAGGGCAAACAUCUAAUAAGAUCUCUUCUCCAGUUGUUUCUUCGUGUUCGGCACUGAUGUGAACAUUUCCCAACAUUUCUUCAUUCAUCGCAGUCCCUUCAUUAUCCAUAUGAUUGAGUAGCGGGUUUUCUGUACUGAAUGAAUCCUCAAAUUUGACAAUGCCCAUAUUGAUAAACAUUUCGACCAGCUUUCUAAAGGCAGUGCAAUUUUCUAUAGAAUGCCCCGUAAUUCCUGCAUGAUAGUCACAUUGCGCAUUUGUGUCAUACCAUUUGGGGUACGGAGGUUGUAAAGGCUUCAAGUAGAAAGGGGAGACAACAUGUGCAUCAAAUAAACUUUGAUACAACUCCUGGUAUGACAUUGGGAUUGGUGCAAACUGAGACUUCUUAAUGUUUUGCUUUGUGCCAAACUCUUGCCUUGGGGGGAUCUGAUGGCCAGUAGUAACCGUCUUUGGUUGGUUUGCGGUAAUCGGCUUUGAAUAACUCUCGUUAUACCUACCCACACUAUUCACCUCCUUUUUCCUCUUCCUCGAGACUUUUGAAGUAUUGUUUUGGGAGUUCCACUCUUGCCCAUUCUGUUUGUAACGAUCUUCAAAUUGUUUUGAAAACUCUACUUUCGCCUAUUUUGUUUCCACUAGAUCAUCGAGGACAACAGGAUUAGUUAGAUUGCCCCUAAGAUUAGAACCUGAGCCUGUCGCGAAAUUCACCGGUGUCGAGGUAUUGGUCUGGUACUGUGGUCGAAUGUUAACAGUUACCCUUUGUGGAUAUGUGUUUGGUUGUGCUUGAAUGUUUGUUAGGGUAAAGCCUGGAAGAUAUGCAGGGCCUUCAUUAUCAUUCCCAAAGUGGACCACUGGGUUUUUUCCUUUUUCUAACCUCAUAUCCAGUAACUGGGUUAACUGGCUCAUCAAAUUUCUUUGGAUUUCUAGCAUCUGAUCCUUCAUAUCUUGUUAAAAUUUGGCCAAUUGCUCUAGCAUCUGUAUUUGCAUCAGCUCUAAUCUCUCCAUCCUUUGGUCCAUUCCUUUAGUUUCUAUUCGGGUACCGCAGGAAUGUUGGUUUUUUAGCUGAAAUAAUUUUACUCAAUUAGGGUCUUUUAAUGGUCUUUAAUGCACGUGAUGUUGUGUAAUGCAAAUGCAUGAAGUGAAUGCAAAAAGAGACGUUGAUUCUUGGUUCAAUUCUAUUGGAAAAACUUUACUAGAAAAAAAAUCUCUUUAUAUAAAGUAGAUAUAUAUACGAUUUUGCCCUUAUAGGCUGAGUCAUUCGAUCCUCUUCUUCAUUCAAGCAUUAAGAUAAAUAUCACGAACUCUUCAAAAGUGAUGUCUCUUCUAUCUCCUUUUUACUUGAUCCGGGCCGUGACUCAUUGCUCCUUUAUCGUUGUGAUGCUCGUUGGCUUCCCUUUAAAAAAAAGUUCAGCGGCUCUCGAUUAAUCUUCGUCAGCUUGAGUCUUCGGGCAACGGAACAAUAGUUGUGUAGUCCUCCAUUAAACUAUUAUCUUUCCCUUGUUGUGUUUUCUCAGAACAUAUUCGGGCAACCAUAUUAUUUUCCACUUUAUCAAGAAACCCAUUUCCUUAUGACAAGCUUUCUAAUCUAGUAAUCGAACUCAAAUCAACAUCUCUUUUCUAAGAUGCAAAUGCAAUGCAAUCAUGAUGUCAUGCAAUCAAAACAAAAUAAACACAAGUCAGUAUCACACCAAAAAGAUAUAAUCCAAUACAUACAUGAAAUAGCAAGAACAUUUAUUCAGGAAUCCACUAGGAUUUGGUAUAGCUCUACCUAGGGCAAGUUCCUAAAGCUCACUAUAUGAGGCUUAGUUUCUAGAGUAAGGGUACCCAAACCAACAGAUUCCUCGAUCCUCACCCAUUAUAGACUCAUGUGGAUCGAGUUCAGUUCAGGGGGAUACAUUUCCCUAUGGCUGCACGGAGAUGAAAAUCUCAUGAAGACAUAAGUACGGAUGUAUCCCGGAAGCGGUCCACUACCCUGCACGGAGGUGAAAACCUCACGAAGGACUAGUUUCUCGCUCCCACUUAAGAGGGUAAAACUGACCAUGUAAUGUAAAAUGCAAAUGCAAAGUUGCCAAAAUACCAUGAUAAAACAUCAAUGAGCGUGAAGGGAACUCAUGAAUUUUUUAAAAAACUUUUGAUUUUCGACACAAAGACAAAUAUAAUCAGUUUAUGGCUCGACUCUCUAAAGUCCCCAGCGGAGUCGCCAAGCUGUCGAAACCGUUUUUUGAAAACAAAAAAUUUAGUUGUCGACUUUUAAAAAUAAAACUGGAGUCGCCACCGAUCCUUUUAUUAAGGUGUGAUUCGGCCCACCUUAAAAAAAUAUUUUGGCCUACGAAUUUUGAGAAAACGAGUCCGGGAGUCAGUUACGCACGAGGAAGGGUUAGCACCCUCGUAACGCCCAAAAUCGGUACCAAAUUGAUUAUUUGAUGUCUUAGUGUCGAAAGUUAAAAAAGAUUUUAAAAUAAGCUUGAAUGAUGAAAUUUGCAAAAGGAUAACCAAUUGUUCAAGUCCUGUAAAGAAAUCGAGUCCCAAUACGUUAGGGUACGAUUCCUCAUAAUCCCCGAACUUUGAAUAUCACUUUUAUUUUAUGCGAAAAUCUUCAUUUCGAGAAAGUAACAGGCCACACCCAAUACGUUAGGGCACAACAAGUUAAGUUCCCAAAAAUGAUUUUUAUGCUCAUGCAUUUUGAAUAAAGAAUAUUCUCGGUCAUUUAAGAUUAACAAAGAAAAUCAGAACCCAAUACGUUAGGGCUCAAUUUCCCUCGAAAAUCCCAAACCUCAAAUAAUGCUUUUAUUCAAAACAAACCUUUAAAUCAAGAAAAAAAAUGAUUUUGGUAUAUCGAAAAAAACCAAGAUUUAUUUUCCAAAGGGUAUGUUAAAAAUUAAUGUACAAUAUGAAAUAAAUAUUUUAAUUUAAAAUAUAUAUAUACAUGUACUUACAAAAUAUGUAAACACAAGCACAAUAUACAAGUAAAUUUGAAAAAAUGUGUAUGCAUAUAUUUAACAUACAUAUACAACACAACUUAUAAUAAUCUCCAACAAUAUGCAUGUAGAUUUCAAAGAAAGUAAGUAUAUGUACAAAAAUAAGGAAAAUACAUAUGUAUUGUAAAAUAUAAGUGUACAUACAUAUAUACUUAUUUAUAAAGGCUAUGAAAACAAAAAAAGGGAAUAUAUAUAUAUAAUAAUUAUGCAUGUAUUAAAAUAUGUAUAUGUAUAUAUGUACAUAUAUGAAUGCAAAAACUAUAGGAAUAAAAUAAUGUAAAAAACAAAUAUGAAAGUAUGAGGAUAUGUAUAUAUUUACAGAAUAAAACAAAUGUAUAAAUAUAUAUAUAUAAUAUAAAAUAUAUAAAAGUUAAAAGAGAUAAAAAAAAUAUAAAACGUAUGUAAAAUGCAUGUAUUUAUAUAAGUUUUAAGAAUAUAUAUAUUAUAAAGAAAUAUGUAUAUAUACUAUAUAUUAAAAAUGCGUGCAUACAUAGAGAAAUAAUAAUAAAUGAUAAUAAAUUAUAUAGUGAUAAUUUUAAAAAUUCAAAAAUUAAAAAAAAUUGCAAAAAACAAAAAAAAAUGAAAUUAAAAUUGAACGAGGACCAAUUUGAAACGCACGCAUUAUAUGAGGGGGCCUAAAUGGAAAUAAUCCCUUCCCCGAAGCGGUGCGCAGCAUUAAGGACCAAUUUGAACCAAAAAUAAAAUAUGCGGCCCAAUUUACAAAAAGAUCAAAACAGGUUUAAUCGAAGCGCGCUGCAAAAAGGAGGGACCAAUUGCGCAAAUUUCCCACCUGACGUCAGAGCGCGCGGAUCCUCCCCUUCGGGUCGGGUCACCGCGCGGGUCAGGCCUGGGAAAACGACGCCGUUUUGAUCUGUUAUUAAAAGAGAUUUAAAAAAAAACAUUUCAGCAGAUUGAAAAGAAAAAAAAAACAAGGUUCCCCCCCUUUCGCUUUGCUAGGGUUUCGCACCCAAACCCCGUCGCGCCGCCAUUCGCCUGGCCAACGCUCCGUCACGACGGAGCCGGCCACCAGGUAAGCACUCCCCUUUUCUUUUUUAUGCUAUUUCCUUUUCUUUUUUAAUAAAAAAUAUAAAAAUAGAAACAAAAAGAACAGAAAAUAGCGAGGAAAAAAACAAAGAAUCCCGAUUUCACCUUGAAAAACAAAAGAUCUGUACUUUUAAUGUUCUUUUUCUAUUUUCCCCUCUAUUUUUUUGGUUUUUACACUGAAUCCCCCCUUUACAGAUUUGAUAACGACCCUUUUUAUAGCCGAAAGAAAAUAAUAAUAAAUAAAUAUAAAAAUAUUUUCCCAACGAUAUUUGUUGCUUUUGUUGCUAUUGCUGCGCUGUAUACCUCCUUUUUCGCAGGUUUGGAGGCUAAUGGGGAGUGCGCGCAUGCUGGGGAGGGUCGUGGUGCGAGAUUCGUGGCGGCGUGUGAGGGUGAGCGGCGGCGGUGUUGAAGCAAAUAGGCUCCUAGGGUUUCUGUUAUUUUGUUUUUGUGUGGGCUAGGUUUUGGGUUAAUGUUUGGGCUAGGUUAAUUUGGGUUUUGGGCCUGUUUAUUGGUUUGGGCCCAGGCAUAUUUGUUUGGUUGGGCCCGGGCAUUAUUGGGCUUGUACAUUCCUUAUUUGCAAUUUUGGUUUCUAUCAUUGUGUGCACCUUUGAUUUGAUAAAAUAUAUAUUGUUUUAUAUCCAUUCUUUACAGAUGUGUGAAUAAUUUCUAAAACUUGCAAUACUGUUACAAGUAGAGUUUUAUUUCAUUUAUAUUUCUUAUAUCUAUAAAUAUAAUUUUUUAUAAGUAUUGAUAAUAUCCCUAUUAAUCAAUAAAAUAUGUACUUCUCUCUUGCUAUUUUAUUUGUAAUUCUUUUUCUCUCCUUAUUAUUUAUUUCAUAACAGUAUUAAUAUAUUUUAAUUUUACGGUUUAUUUUUACUAAUAAUUAUUAAAAAAAAUCAAAUUGACCUUUUAAGGAAAAAUUAUAUUUUCAUCAAUAGAUGAUAUUUUUUUAGAAUAAUGAAAAUGUUAUUUGUUGACACCAUUUUUUGAUAAAAACUGGGUCGACUUGGAUUUUGAAAACAAAAACGAAAAUGGGAGUCGCCACCAAUCCUUUUUGAUAAGGUGUAAUCGGAUCACCUUGAAAAGUGGUUGUUUUUAAUAAAUGAUUUAAUUUAUUAAAACAACAAUUUUGGUCCACAAAAUUCAGAAAGACGGGUUCAGGAGUCGGUUACGUACAAGGAAGGUUAGCACCCUCGUAACACCCAAAAUUGGUACCUAGUUGAUUAGUUAAUGUCUUAGUGUCGAAGAUUGAAAACUUUAAAGAGAUUUAAAAUACGAUCCUUUAUUGAAAUGUUGCAAAUUUUUGGGAAAGAGGGCAUAUUUCACGUUAAUCGAGGAAAAUAAUCAUAUCCAGUAAGUUAGGAUACAAUAUCUUGAAUUCCCGAUGUGCGAAUGGAUGCCAAAAAUUUACUUAUUUAAAAGGUAUUUAGUUAUCUCGGAUUUAAAAAAGGGGAAUCAUGCCCAGUAAGUUAGGACACGACCCCUUCUUAAUUAUCGUUAAUUUAAAAUUACUCGCAUAAAACAAAAAUGGAAAACGCCUCCUUAUCUCGAAGUUACAAGAUGUCACAUCCAAUAAGUUAGGGCCCGACAUCUCGUAGUUUGAGAAUAAGUUUGCCUUUCAUUUUUUAUUUAAAUCUCAUUUGUUUUAAUUUUAAAAGGAUAUUCGGUUAUUUAGGACCAACGCGAGAAAAAUCGAAGCUCAGUAAGUUAGGGCACAAUUUCUCGAAUUUUCUAAAUAUGGAAUAUUGCCUUUAUUUUCAAGAUUUUACCCUUUUGAAUUUUGAGUACGAAUUAAUGGAAUAUUUAAAAACCAAAUGCGUGCAAUUUUGAUUAUAUUUGAAAAGAAAUCGUUUAAAACGAAAAGGAUGUCGUACACGAUCUGUAACAAAAUAUACAACAUACAUUUAAAAUCCAUAACAUAAUAUGCAUCAUAAAAUAUACACAUAGCAUUGAGACUAAUAAAUCCUAAUGAUAACAUGCAUGAAUAAUAAUAAUAAUAAUAAUAAUAAUAAUAAUAAUAAUAAUAAUAAUAAUAAUAAUAAUAAUAAUAAUAAUAAUGCAAAUGACAAUAUAAUAGCAACAAUAAUAACAACCACAAUAAACAUAAUACUAAUGAAUCUAAAGUUUGAAAAGUAUUUAAAGAUAUCAAAUAAAUAAAUGAUGGAAUAAAAUUGUAAUAAUAAUGACAAAAAUAGAAUAAACAAACCAAAUUCUAAAAAAAAUAAUUAAACCAAAAUAAAAUUAUUAAAACUUUGACCAAAAAAUGGAAAUAAGUAAAUAAAUAACCUUAACGGAAAUAUUAAAUAAAACUGAUUUUUUUAAAAGAAUAUAAAAUAAAAAAUAAAAUAAAAUUCGUGGUUUAAUAGGCCGAGGAUCAAAUUGCAAUCAGACUCAAAUUUCGAGGGCAAAAUCACAAAAUAAGAAAGAUAGGAUUGCGAGGGACCGAACUGAAACACGCUUGAAACGUGAGGGACUUAUAGGGAAAUAUUCCCCAGCCCUAAAAAGCGGCGUUUAACCGAGGGAGCUGCGCAUGGUCUAAGGACCGAAUUGAAUAGGGAGCAAAAUUUGCGGCCCAAUUCCAAAAUAACUAAAAGGAUUAGAUUGUGCUAUGUUGUAAAGUCGAAGGGACCGCAUGCGCAAAUAUCCCCUCAUAUCAGAAAACGUGCGGAUCCCAUGAAUGCGGGUCGGGCUUAGGCCAAACGGCGUCAUUUUGGCCACUGAUGCUAAAGUCCAAAAUGGCAUUGUAUUGACCCCAUAUAAAGACAAAAAAAAUAAAUUUAAAAAAAAUUGAAAUUUUAUUUAAAAAAACAAAAAACAGAUACCCUCUUAGUCUUCCUUGGUCUCUCUCAGCCUUUCCCUGGCCGGCCAUGGUCGCCACCGUAGCGCCGCCAUGGCCGGUGGCUGGUGCUGCGCGAGAGGGGGCUUUUAACCGCACCUUAGAUCCCACUCGAAGGCCAAGCCUUCUUGACCCAAAAGGCUGAAGGAAAAGGGAGUUUCACACCCCUUUUGGUUCGAUUUCGGUGACCCAAAAUGGCCUCCGGCGAUGGCUCGUGGGACUGUUUCGAGUAAGUUCCCCCCCUUUUCCUCCCUUUUUUAUUUCUUUGUUAAUCAUUUUUGCAUGAUUUUGUAAAAAGAAUUAGUAAAUAAUAAUAAAAUAAAAAGAAAAACAAAGAGAGAACAACAACCUUUUAGACUUCUAUUAUGCUUUUUGAUUUCUGAUGUGUGUGGAAAAAAAAAUACAGAGGUGAAAUUUGGGCUCUUAUAGCCGGAUCUAAAUAGCUCUUAAUCAUUAUUCUUUGUCGUUUUCCUAUUUGUUUGUUGUUUUUUUGUUUCUGCUGUUGCGUGUGGUGUAACAGCUCGGUUUAGACCCUAGUCGGAACAGUGGUUUUGGGACCACAAAUCCAAGUUAAAAAAAAUUUAAUAUUAAAUUUGGCAUUUGCAGUAUGUGAAUUAAUAUGUGUGAAAAUUUCGUAUGAAAAUUUAAUUGUUUGAGUGCUCAAUUUGAUAAAAGAACUUAAUCGCGUAAAAUGAAAAAGUGACUUACUAUUUGUGAAAGUGCUAUAUUGCUAUGUUCGUUUAAUGUGGAGGCCUUAAAAUGAAAUUAGGCCAUUAAAUGAUAGAAUGGACGGUAGUGGACAACUAUUUUUAUGUUUUUAUAUUAUUUCAUUUAGGUUAAAAAGGUAAAAUGACAUAUUAAUAAGAAAUAAAAUAAAACAAAAUAUAAAAUGGCCAUUAUAUUCAUCUUUAUCACCGAAUGCAUGAAAGAAAAUAAGCCAUUUUCUUAGUUUGAGGGUUCGGCAACUUGAAUAUCAAAUUCGGGUAUGUUCUUUGUUCGGUUUUUGAUAAUUUUUAUAUUUUUGUGAUCGUUGCUUCGAGUGCUAGCAAACCCAUGUUUUAAUUUUUGAAAUUGAUGAUGAAUUUGGUAUUUUCCAUUGAUGUUAGCUUGAUGUUUUUGUGGUUUGAUGAUGAAAUAUAAACUUUUGUUGAUAGAUUAUUAUGUUUAAUUAAGUGAUUUUUGAUAAAAAUGUGUAUUAAGGAUUAAAUUGAGAAAAGUGUAAAAUUCAAGGUUAAAUGUGUGAAUAAACUAAAAAUGUGGGCUGCUAGUAGUAUGGGUAGAAUUCGGCCUAACAAGGAUUUAGUGAAAUUUUGUGUAUUUUAUGUUAUUUUGAAAUAAGAACUAAAUUGAGAAAAAUGCGAAAUGUUAGGGGCUAAAAUGAAAAUUUCCAUUUAUAUGUUCUUGAAUGGAAAUUGAAUGAAAUGUUGAAUAAUUAAGUUAAUUUUGAUAUUAAUUAGAUUGGAAAAAAGUAGAAAUAGGAUUUGGAUCGGGAAAAUCAGAAGUUAUCGAUUAGUCAUUCCGGUCCGUUCACGUCCGUACGAGGUAAGUUCAUAAGUAAAUAAAUGCUAAUAAAUUUGAAUGUAUAUAUGUUAUAUGUGUUGAAUUGAUCUUUAAUAAAUAUAUGUGUAUAUGCCGAAUUGAAUUUAGAGUUGGAGAACUAGUUACGAGCUUGAAUCGAUAGAAUUACGACGUCCGAAAAGCCCCCUACGAACCAUAGGAAUAGUUAGGAUACAUAUGACAUAACAUAGGAUUCCGAUAUGUGUUAUCGUGUAAGACUAAGUCUUGGACGUUGGCAUCGGUUUGAAAUUUAUGUGUAAGACUAUGUUUGGGACAUCGGCAUCAUAUUUGAUUUUGUGUAAGACCCUGUCUGAGAUAGUGACAUCGAUAUUAAUUACAUGUAAGACCACGUCUGGGACGUUGGCAUUGUACGAGUUUUUUUUAGCUAUCCAAGUAUCCUAUUUGAUUCCGAACGGUUCAACGGGCAUUCUGAGAAAUAAAUGAGUAUAUGAAUGUGCAUCUGAAUCAGGUAUGUUGUGAUGAAUAUGAAUUUGAGCAAUGAACGUGAGUAUGAUUAUGAUCAUUCGUUAUAUAAUUUAUGUGAAAAUGAGAUGUGAAUAUUAGCAAGGGAACUAUGAACAAAUUAAUCAUAUAAGAAAUGUAGAAUUGUAAUUGUGUUUUUGCCAUAUAUGAUUUAGGUACAAAUGAUUUGUAUAUGAAAUUUUGAUAUGAAAUGUGAGUAUGAUUAAAAUGAUGAUAUAUAUGAAAUAUAUGAUAAUGAAUGAUGUGUUAUAUAUGCUCGUGGAAAGGGAGGCAUUUGAAAGGAUUCUUUUUUUUUUUUUUUUAAGAGAAGAGUGAAAAAUGAAAAAUUUUAACAAAUUUUUGGCUUUUAUAGCCUAAAUGAAACGGCGCCGUUUUAGCCCCCAUGACCCGCGCGCGAUCCGACCCGCUCCAGGGGUGAUCCGCGUGUUUUCAUGAAAUGGGUUAUUUGUGUGCGCAAUCCUUCCUCUUUGCGGUGCAUUGCAAUUCGGCCCUUUUUCAUUAUUUUCUUUUAUUUUUAAUUUAUCCCCAUAAUUUUGUUUUCGUUUUAAUUUGGUCCAUUUCAGCUCAGCAUUUUGGGGGCUUUGGUUUAUUUACCCUGUUAGCCCUUGCCUUGUCAGCGCGCGUUGCAAUUUGGUCCUUCCCGAUUUUUUUACUCUGAUUUUGCCUAAUAUUUUCGUUUUUAUUUCGAUUUAGUCCAUAUUUUAGCAAUUUUAUUAUUUAGUUGUUAUUAUUGUUAUUAUUAUUAUUAGUAUUAUUAGUAUUUCUAUUAUUAUUUAUAUUAUUGUUACUUAUUAUAUUAUUAUCAUAUGAUAGUUUAAAUAUACGUACAUGUAUAAUAUUAUUAUUAUUAUUAUUAUUUCCUUUUUAGACUUAUUUAAUAUAUAUAUAUAAAUACCUUUUUAUAUGUAUAUAUAUAUAAGUUUUUUUUCCUUUCUGUUUCUCACGAAUAUAUAUGUAUAUUUAUAUAUAUAUAUUAUAUGGUUUCUUUUAUAUCUAUUUAUAUAUAUAUAUUUAUUUAUCUUAUUUUAUUUUUUAUAUAUCUCACAUAUACAUUUUUUAUAUAUAUUUUUUAUGUAUAUAUUUUUUUAAUAUUUAUAUGAAUUUACGCAUCUUAUUUAUAUGUUACGGCUUAUUAUUCCGCAUGUUAUCAAUUUGUUCUUUUUAUUUAUUUUAGUUAUCAUUGCCCGUAUUAUUUUUAUACUUUCGUAUUCGUUAUGAUAUUGCCAUGUAUAUCAACAAUGUAAUUUGCUUUCACAUUUUUACUACGAUUUUCAUGUUUUAUUUUACUCGAUAUAACAAAAUUUGUUUUGAAUAAAUAAUAUUUCGUGUUUAGAUUCGAGAGGAUCGUACCCUAACUUAUUGGGUUUCGAUUUUCACGAUAAAUCUAAAUGCACAAAUCUUUUCAAACUCAAAUUUUAAACGAUCUCGGGAUUUUAAAAAGAAUCGCGUCCUAACUUACUGGUCGUGAUCUCAUUUUUAAAUCCGAGAUGGCUAAAAUAUCUUUUAAAUAAGUAAAUUUUAGUAUUUUUCAUUCGCGUAUCGAGAAUUCGAGACAUUGUGUCCUAACUUACUGGAUAUGGUACUCUUUCUCGAAUAACGUGAAAUAUGUUUCUUUUCCCAAAAAUUUUCAUUUUAAUACAAUGAUCGUAUUUUUAAUUUUUCCAAGUUCUCAAUUUUCGACAUCAAGACAUUAGUUAAUCAACUAGGUACCAAUUUUUGGGCGUUACGAGGGUGCUAAUCCUUCCUCGUAUGUAACCGACUCCCGAACCCGUUUUCUAAAUUUCGUGGACCAAAACCGUUGUUUUAAUAAAAUCAAUUUGUUUAUUAAAAACAACCACUUUUCACGGUGAUCCGAUCACACCUCAAAAAGGAUUGGUGGUGACUCCCGUUUUUGUUUUCAAAAUCCAAGUCGACCCCGUUUUCAAUCAAAAAAAUGGUGUCAACACCAAAGAUAUUUGGCACAAACGAUAUGGACAUCUGAGUUACAAACAUUUGGCAUUAUUGCAUAGCAAAAAAUUGAGGGCUUUUUACACCCUUAAACCUUUUAUAAAUGAUUUUUGAUUUUUUGUAAUUUUAUAUAUAAAAUUUUGAUUUGCUCAAAUUCUCAUAAAUUAUUAACAUAACAUCAUUUUAUAUUUAUAUAUUACAUGCAUAAAUAAUUAAAUUUAUUCAAUAGAAAAAUAAAUUACUGUAUUUAUUUUUUAAAAUUUAUAUAAUUAAAUAAAAAUAUAUAGAUACCUCCUUUACUAUACACAAAUUUUCAAUUAGAAGAAAAAGGCUUAGAGUUUUGGAAAUUUUAAUCAGAAAUUUUCUGAUUGGAAAAACAUAAAGGGAGAGGGUGACGGAAAUAAUUAUAGGAAUUCUCAUUUAUUCCUUUCCAACCCGGCCCCUUUAUUUAACACAUCCAUCCACACAAGAAAACCUCCUAAAAGUUCUGCAAAAAUACACAAACAAAGCUACAAAAAACUCAUACACAAGAUCAAAACCCAAACCAAUUUGCAGAAAGGUAUUAGUUUUAAAUAAAAGUCAUGUCACUUUUUAAUGUCUAAAAUUCAAGCAUAUUCAAAUAUUCAUCAUUUUAUUUUCCAAAACUCGAAGCAUAAUGGAGGAGCCUUGAAUAAAGGGUGUAUCAUCGGGCAUGUAAGCACAAUUCUUUUCUUUUUGAAAAGAUGCAAUCUCUCAUGCCUAAAAUUUAACCGGGAAAAUAUUGGAAUGAAAAAGGAAAAAAAGAAUGACAUGAACAAAUAUUAAUAAUAACAUCUUUAAAAAUCAUUAAAAAUGACUUCCAAAAUGAUCUUAAAUAAACUGGCAUCCAAAUUAAUUUAUAUCUAAAUAAUUAUUUGUCCAGAUUCAUUUGGGAUAUAAUUUAAAAUAUUAUAAAAUAUUAUUAAAAAUAUAAGUAAACUUUAUAAUAACUAUUAAUGCUUAUUUAAAAAAAAAAUUCAAACAAGAAAUACAACAAUAUUCAUAUUUGGUUAAAGUAACAUAUAUAGAGAAUCUUUGUACCUCAGGUUAGAUCGCGUUUAUACCUCAGGUUAGAUUAAGUUGUUAUAAAAUUAAAGAAAAAAAUAUAGAUAUCCUACUUGUUAGUAAAUUAAGUUGUUCAUGUUAAUUUUCUUCUACGUGACACAAGUUGUGUCACAAUUUUUGUGAAUUAAUUUGAUGGUCAGGAUACAAAUUCUCUCAGGUGUGGCCUGAGUUCGAAUUAAGUUAAUCGUGUUGUUAACUUGUAAUUCAAAAAAAAAUCUAGAAGAAAAUAAAAGAGUUGUUACAUUGACAUAUUACAAAGGGGCGUUACAAAAUUGAGAGCACCGCAUUAUGCAUAAUCGACCUAGACUAAGGAAUAGCCAACAUCCUAUUAAUGCAACAAAGUAGCUUAAGUCAAUACUAGUGAAGAAGCCAUUACUAGUAUAAACAAAACUUGCAAAUAAACAAAAGCAUACAAUAAAAAUAGUUCCUUUCCAAAAUUCAUCAUAUAAAGUAAAGAAUAUCGCCAAUCCUUGACCUACGCCCAUACCUAGUGCUGUUAUAGAAAUAAUAUUAUGAAAAUAAUUGUUAUAGAAAGAAAGGAAUAUCCAACAUCCCACUAUUAAAACACUAACUUUUGACACCCGAUUUACGAAACACAUGGACACCAUUAAAAUGAAAAGAAUUCCUGAAAAUAUAUUAAGAGUUCUAAUUGUUAUAUCGGUGGGGGCUAUGCAAGAUAUUGAUUUAUCGAAGGACACUGCAAAAAACGCUAAUAGUACUUGAAGUGCAGUCCUAAAAUUACGGGGAAAAGUUUUGAGUAGAGCUAAUGUUAGGAAUAAUGUUACGAGGAACACAAGGUAGGUUGGAAUACAGAAGAAAAAAAAUUCCGAUUGACCCAUGACUGAUGACCCUAGUACCCGUGCAUCAUAUGAUCCUUUCGACUUUGAGGUAUUUUCACCUUGCCAAACACCACCAGGUGGGCUUAGAGUGGCUUGGUAGGUUGCAGUUAGAAGCAGUCCUAAAAUGACUAGCAAGGCAUUGCGGUCAUCGGCUGAUAUAUUGUCCAUAUUUUGAAAUAUUAGCAGUGAUGCUUUUGUCACAUACUUGACAACAUGUUUCUCCAACUUAUGUUUAAGGUUUGAAAUUACUGGAAUAAAGAACCCUUGCAGAAUAGCAAUGUUUUCUCUGAUAUUAUGUUGUUGUGCAACAGCCAGUGCGGUCAACCCAACGUGAUUGGUAGCAUGCUUAUCAGCCUUGCAAUUUAAUAGUACUUUAAGCAUCUGUUCAAUUGAUAGUUUAGGAUAUAAAAAGGAUAGAAUCAAUUAAUCAUGUCUAUGAAGUAAAAACGAAAAAAGAAUCUAUGUAAUAUGAAUUACUAUAGAAGCAGUUGAGUCGAACCUUGGGUUGAUUAUGGAUAGCGGCUAUGUGAAGUGCAGUGUUUCCAUCUUUGUCUUUCCGGUUCAGCACUUCCCGAGAAUAGUCUUUCCUCUUAAGCGUUGGAAUUAGGAGUUGGAGAACGUCCAGUCUAUUGUUUUGGAUUGCAAUAUGCAAAGCAGUGCGAUUCUCAAUUGUAACAUCUUGGAUACAAUCAGGAGAAGCUUCCAGAAACGUAUCCAACAGACCAAGCUGGUUUCCAACUUUACAUAAGUAGUGCAAUGGAGUCUUACCUUUCUUUCCUCUGACGCGAAUAAGUUGUUUAUCAAUCUCCAAGAAGCGGAGUGCCAUCUCUUUAUGCCCUUUUCUAACCGCAAUGUGAAGUGGGCUCAAACCUUGGUGGUUCAGCUUUCGAGAAAAUGAUGGCUUUAAGUUCAUCAUCUCCAUUGCAAACUCGAUGCACCCUUCUUCUGCAGCUAUAUGUAAUGGAGUGUCAAUAAACUCCACCUCAUCAACACGCCUCAAAACAUUUCCAUUUCUUUGAAUUACUCUAUACAAUUCGUUAACCUUUCCAGUACGAGCGGCCUUUCUUAAAUUUUCAUCCAUGUGAGGAAGACUAAAAAUUGAAAGGUUGAAAGGGUUUAAGGUCACUUAAAACAAUUUAUUCAAAGAGAAAGAGGGUUUUUUUUUUUAAUAGAAAGAGAAUUAAAGGCAGACAAAUGCGUGUAUAUUUAUGGUCUUGAUUUUUGGGGUUUCGCCUUUAGUAGAGGAUUGUUGUAAAUAUUUUUGUUAUGACUUUCUAUUUUAAAGUUAAGAAAUGCUUUCUUCCAUUGACUUCACUUCCAAAUUUAUUUUUUGCUUUGUUUAUAUAUUCAUACUCAAGAUUCCAAUUGCUACUUUAAAUGGCAGCCACUCAUGAGAACAAGAUAACAUUAAUUUCAUGAAAAAUGCAUCAAAGAAAAUUAUUCGUAUUCUUACCAAAUGAGAAUUGAUUGUAUGAAAAAUUCCAUUUAGUUCCCUUAGAAUUUUAAUCCUUUAAAAAUUAAAAGAUAUAUGCUGUUAAAAUGAUAAAAUUACAUUUUUACUAUCGUAAAAAUAUACAAUUUAAUUUCGACUCCCAUAAAAAAAAUUUAGUUUCACCCUUGAGUCCAAUGCGCAAUGUGUUAUAAAUGGAAAUAUGACAUAAUUGUUAAUAACUCAAAAUUUGUCAUGUUAAAUCACCGAGAAUAAAUUAAUAAUAAAACAAAAAGUAGAAGCGUACAUGAAUCCAUUAAAAUCUUGAAAUUUUAUUGUUUUGAUCUUUCAAAUUAACACACAAAUAUUUUAGAAAAGGUGACUCUUCUUUCUGAAUAAAUCAAUCUUUUUAUUUCUUUAAACGUGAAGAAUUGGAUCAAAAUUAAAGUUUCGUGUAUGCCUUUAAACUACAAUCAAAGUUUCAUGUAUAUAAUGUAUAAAAUUAAAGUUUUUGUAUCAAUUUGCAUAUCUAAUCAAUGUUCAUGUACAGUUUUGAAAUUUAUCACUUUUAAUAAUUUUGAAUGUGUAUUUAAUAAUUUUGAUUUUUUAAUUCUAAAAAUAUGGUUUAAGUAAGUUUAGAAUUAAAAAAAAGAAGAAGAAGAAGAAAUUUUUGGGUAUCUUUAGGAAUUUUAGAGACCAUAAUGUGUUUUAUUUAUAUUUUUUAAAUUCUUUUAAAAAUAUUAGUUAACUAUACUUUUCAACCUCUUAAUCUCAAAUGUGGAGUUAAAAAAAUUCUAUUAUCUAUAUAUCAAAUAAUUAUCUUUAGAAUAAAAUGUAUUUAUAUGAAAUUUUUUAGAGACCAUAAUGUAUUUUAGGGUCUUUUAGAUAAUUUUAGAAUUUUAUGAAAAAACUUAACAACUUUUUGGUAUUUUAGGGUCUCAAAUGAAUAUUUGAAUGUCUAACUUUGACAGAUCAUUUAUUUUUAAUAAACUUGAGCUUUUUCCAUUUCUUUUUCUAACUUUAUAUGUUAUUAUAGAGUUUAAUUUAGAACCCAUUAAAACUUUGGGGAUGAUAUCUACCCAUACUUAUUUUAAGUAAUUUAUUGAUUUAAUACCCGAACACUAAAUAAUAAAUAAAUUUAUUAAAAUGUCCUCUUAUAUACAAAAAAAAAAAUUAUAUUUAAUGGGGAUAUCUUUAUCUUUUUAUAUGAUAAAUAAAAAAAUUGAUAAUAAUAAUGGUACAUAAUAAACAUUUAAUUUUACUACAUCAAUUUACUUUUAUAUGAAUUUUUAAUAAGUAUGUUUGUUAUAUAAUAUUUUUCACUCAUAGUGUAUCAUAAAAUUUUAAAGUAACUCAUAAUAUGAUAUUAAUCUCUAAUGUUAAUCUAAUAUUUAUCCUAAUAUUGUCAUCAGCACCAAGAAGAAGAAGAAGAAGAAAACAGAAACUCUAUCUUAUUACCUAAUCGAAUUUUGAAAAAAUAAAUCUAAAAUAUCAUUUAAAACUCUAAUUAUGUAUUAAGUUAUUGGUAUGUUAAAAUCACGAUAGAAAUGUGAAUUCUGGUUAAAAUAAGUCAACAGUAUUAUUGUAAGUGACUUAAGUUGUUAAUAAUUAAAAUGAAAUGAUGUUUUUUUAUUAAAAUGAAAGUUUAUGAUUUAUUUGAAAGUUGAGUUUAAGUUCAAUGGUUAAUAAUGUAAAUUAUUUAAUAUCCAUUGUAUUUAUUGUCCCUAAAUAAGCAUUACAAACUAAGUUAGUAAUUAUUAAUAUUAAGUUUUGGUUUUUUUUUUCUAUCUUUAAUUUAAUGGCACAUAUGGGAAAAAUAUAAUUUUUAACUUCUUCUAAUUUUUUAAAAAAUUUUAAUAAUUAAAGCAAUAAUAAUAAUAAGAAUAGGGGUCAAAUUGACAAAUAUUUUAAAUAUUGAUGGGUUAAAUUUGUUAUUAUAUCUAGCUUUUUUAAUAGAGUUAAGGGAAAAAUCAAUAGAGGGAUUAAAAAAUGAGCAAAUCAAAAAAUAGAAAGAUCAAUUUUGAGCAAAUAAAGGUAGAGUAACUAAAUCCAUACAAACUGAGAAUCCAGGGACUAUCCUUAAAAUUUAACCUAAAAAUAAAAAGAAUUAAAUACAUAAAUAUUAUUUUAGUAAUUUCUAAACAAAGUUAGCACUUUAAUGUAGUGGUGUUCAAAUUUCGGUUAAAAACGAAUUAAUUGAUCGAACCGAUCUAAUUCGGUUAGUCAGUCGGUUAACUGAUCUAAUUCGGUUGGAGGUCGAUUAAUAAUUUUUUAAAAGUUCGGUUAUUAGUUAAUUCGGGUUGAAAUCGAGUAAUUAACUGAACUUAAUAAUUAAUAAUACAAAUUAUAUGUAGUUUUAAUUUAGUUAAUUCAGUCAAAUAAACAUUAUCAAUCUGUGCCUUUUAUAUAUUUAAUACUUGUUUUAACCAAAAAAUAUAUAUAAUUUUCAAUUAAUUUUUUUAAAAAAAUUUCCCGUAAUUUUUCCUACAAUCAGUAUGCAUAUAAUUUUUUUUUUUAUUUUUUGGAUUUAUUGGUAAAUUAAUCGUUAAUAUAUCCUUUCCUUUCUUUAAUCUUCUCCUAUUUUCUUUUCAUUUUCUUUCCAUUAAUUAUAUUUAUCCAAAUAUAUCCAAAUAUAGGGUUAAUGUAGAAUUUUUUUUAUUUUAAUUUUUACCAUUAUCCAUUAUCGUAAAUAAGGGCCUUCUGUAAUUAAGAAAGUUGAGAAUGGGUUACUCCGCACCUGGUGGAACUGGCUACAAUAAUGAAGGAAAGAGAAAAACAUCAAGGAAUAUCCAAUAGUUGGGAGGCAAUGGCAUGCCCUACACAUACUAUUUACUGUCAGUGGUAAUGGAUCAAUUGCCCACUUUACACGUAUUUUGUUUUCUUCACUUUUUCUUGUCCUGCAUUAUUUGGAUUUGUGAGUAAAACCGAUACACUUACUUGGAGAGAAGUGUAUGAAGUAUCAUCUCUUGAGAGAGCUCAUAAACUCUUCACAAGCAUCACGUAAGGGAAAAUGUAGAAUUUUAGAUUACAUAAUUUUUUUUAUCUUAUCCAUUAUAAAAUUUGGAGUUUGGAGAUUAAGAAAUGUGAAAAAUAAAAUUCUAAUAAUUUCUCUAUUAAAGGUGAGCACAAGUUAUAUAAAAAAGGUAUUGAUUACACAUCCAACAAAAGAGUUAAUAAAAGAUUUUGAAAAUUAAAAAUUAUUAAAAAAAAUUGUGAGCUAUAUUUUUCAGUUUUUAGAUGACGAUCAUCAAAUUCAUGCUUAUCCAUAGGUGGUGUAUGCAGAACGAUAAAGCUAAUCUUGACUGCUAGUCUUUCUUCUUUUUUACUUUUGAAUACUCUUCCCUUGUUGCUUUCAUUGAAAUAAUGUCGGAUUGUACUCUUGAAUACCAUUUAAAUUUUUUUAGUAUAAAUAUUAAAAUUAUAACGAUUUUAGUUAUUUAAUUUGAUCGAGUUAUAUAACUUGUCAAUAUCUUUUAUAGUCAAAAGAAAGUAAAAUAAUAAAGUUUAGUUCAAAAUGAGUGAAGUUAUAAAAUAAAAAAAUCAAUUCAGAAAUAAAAAUUUCUAAUUGAAUUGAUGUCACAAGUCAAUUAGGUAUUAAAAUAAGUAAUAUUAUUUAAAGGUACUUUUUAAACUUUUUAUACAAAAUUAUCAAUAAAAAUAUGAAUAUAAUGAGAUUUGAAGUAAAACUCGUCUACAAAUGAAUUCAAAAUUUUUACUCAAUUCGAUUGAAUAUUCACGCUUAAAUAUUAGGUCUUUUGAAUUUUCAUGUUGGUGAACAUAAAAAGGAGAAGUUAUCCUUUGUGUGUAUGUGUGCUUUAGUGUUUCCUGUAAUUAUGUGGCUAAUUAAGUGCUCUUUAUUUCCUUUGAAAACAAAGUUUGUUUUUAUUUUGAUAGAAAUGAAAAUAAAGAAUAUUGAUAUUUAGAAUGCAAAAAAAUAAAAUAAAAUAUUGUUUGAACAUGUAUAAAUUAAUAUGUACGCAUAUAUAAAAUUUAUAUUGAAUAAUAUUUAAUACCAAGAAAAGUAGAAAAAAAUAUGUUAAAAUAUUAUUUUGGUGAAUCAAAUUUAAUAAUUAAUUUAUAGUUCAUAGUUAUAUACAAUAUGGAUGAUAUAAUAUCUUCUGAAGCCUUCCCUUGGUUGACCAUAAAAGGAGAAGUCAUUGUUUUAUGUUUUUUGGUAUUUAUUUGUGAGCCUUACAAAUUAUAUAUAAUAAUAGACCUUUUGAAGUCAUCCUCUUCUGUGCUUUGUUCCCUUUAAUUCUGUGGCUAAUUAAGUGCUCCUUAUUUCCUUUCAAAACAAAGUUUUCUUUUCCCUUUUAUUUUUUGGUAGAAAUUAAAAUAAAGAUUAUUGUAAUUUAAAAUCCAAUUAAAAUUACUAUUUAUUACGUGUAACAUUUACAUCGAAUAAGUUUUACUACCAAUAAAAAAAUAAAGAUAAUUGCUAAUUUGAAUCUUAACUUAAUCGGUAUUAAUAUGUAGGAAGACAUGGGUUGAAAUAUGUUAAAUAUGAUUAAUAAAGAUAAUUAUUAAAAUUACUAUUUGUUCCCUUCUAUAAUUAAUAAAGUUGUGGUAAAAAUUGGCUACAACAAUGAAGGAGAAAAACACUAAGGAAUAUCCAAUAAUUGGGAGGCAAUGUUAUUUACUGUCAGUGGUGAUGGAUCAAUUGCCUGCAGGUAUUUUGUUUUCUUGGCUUUUUCUUGUUCUGUAUUAUUUGGAUUUGUAAGUAAAAGGAAUACUACUUAUUGAUCCCACUCACUCAAUAAUUUGUUAUAUAUUAUUAAUAAUUCAUAUACUCAAUUAUGUAGUUUAAAUCAAUAAAAGUACGUUCCAUUUUUUUUAAGAAGAAGAAAAUAGCACUAAGCAAUUACAUCAAACCAAUCAAACAUGUGUAAAGACAUUACUUUCGAAUUGAAAAAUUUCUUGUACUAAAUUUGGGAUCUACAAAUAACAACGCAAUUCAUCUAUUAUUCUUAACUGUAUAGUUAAAAUGAAUAAAAACUCUAUUAUUUUAAAAAAUUAUUUACUUAAUGUCAUUUUAGUAAUUAAAUGAAUAUCUAAAGGGUAUUUUAGUCGAUUCAAUUUUUUUUCCUAACCCCGUGCUUUUACAUAUAUUAUAAAUUUUUAAAUUUCAUAAGAUAUAUUUAAAAAAAUAAUGAAAUAUGUAAUAUUUUUUUAAUAAGACUUGCUAAAUUAAAAAAUAUAUAGUCAAUACAACAAAGACAAAUCAACACAACAAUGGCUUUAGGCCCGACAGUAAUAGAAUAUUAUGAUACAUUGACAAUUGAUAUUGUCACAACUCAAGCACGACAUAUCUGGAGUGAUUGCAAACAUUUAAUAUGAUAUGAAAAUUAGCCCUGGAUGGUCCAAAGCGGGGAGAAAAAAUCGACAAAAGAAUAUUAGGGGUAUCGAAAAUGAGAUUAUAUAGAUUUGUUCAUGUCAUGGUAUAAUAUAAAAAAUAUUUGGUAUUGAUAGAUUGUAUAAAAUAAUUGUUUAGAUCAAGAAUCAGAUCAAAGUGGAGUUAAUCGAGAAAAAGUUAAAAUUGUUGAUUAGUCCCUAAAGAAUCAACUUGUUUGGUGUUUUGAUUAGGUAAGUUCAUAUGAUAUUUAUUUACUUAGGUUGUUAUGUUUUUUUUUAAUUUUUAUAUGCAUGUUUGACUGUGAAUUAAUUAGUUGUGAAUUGUUAUGAAAGACUAGAAUUGAAUUGAAUUGAAAUGUGACCUUUUUAUGUGUAAAAGAUGUCUGUGUUAACUUAGUAAAUGUUAGGAUAUGAUUGACAUGGCAAUAGGAUCUUGUGCAUGCUUCUACGAGAUUUAUUCAAAUGUUAUUGAUGUUCUCGAGGCUAUGGUGACAGCUUUGAAGGAAGAUAUCGAUGAGCUUAAGGGGGAGCUCAAGACUUUCAAGGCUGCCUUGAGUAAUGAAAUGUUGGCUUUAAAGUCGAAGCAACAAGCAAUGGAUGUGACCAAACCGAAAGCGUUUAAGGGGGCAAGGUCCACAAGUGAAGUGAACAACUUUCUUUGGGCCAUAGAGUAAUACUUCCGUGUGAUGAGCAUCGAGGACAAUGCCAUAAAGGUAAAUACUGUUGCUAUGUAUUUUACUGACGUUGCUUUGUUAUAAUGGUGACGUAGGUCCACAGAUGUGAGAUGCGGUGGGAUUGAGAUUGGGACUUGGGAGGAGUUCUAAAAUGAGUUCAAAGCACAAUUUUAUCCAGAGUAUGCCGAGGAUGAGGCUUGGGCAAAGUUGUGUCGGCUUACGCAACGAGGAACAGUUAGGGAGUAUGUGUGGGAGUUUAGUAAACCCAUACUACCCAUACUCCAGAUUUCUGAUUUAAGUGAGAAGGAAGCAUUUUCUCCUUCACGGAUAGGUUGAAAUUAUGGCCAAAGCAAGAGUUACAACGUCGAGGAGUUCAAGAACUUACCAACGCCAUGAUGGCAGCGGAGUCCUUAGUGGAACAUGUUCCGAGAAGAGACAGGUUUGAAUCUUUCAAGCCCAAUGGGAGAGGCAAUGGUAGGAACCAUGAGGUAGAUGAAAAGAGAUAUAGUGAUGAUGGCAAUAGUAGUAGUAAAAACGGUGGUAAUAGAAAAUCACGAAAUAGGAAGUGGAAACCUAAUAGCCCAAAUAAAAAGAGGAGAAAGUUGAGAUGCUAACUUUGUAAAUGACCACAUAUGAAUAAGGACUACCUAAAGGUAUCUUCGUUUUUGGCUAUCAAGAAGAAUGAUGAGCCGGAGGUAGCAAAAUCUAUUAAGAAAAAAACAUCGAAGGUCAAUUCGAUGGUGCUCAUUCCUAAGAAAAGGGAUGGUAGAGAAGGGUUGAUGUUCGUAGACAUCAACAUUGCAGGUCAGAAGAGGACUCCUCUUAUUGAUACGGAAGCAUUGGACUUGUUCAUAUCGAAAAAGGCUGUGAAGAAACUUGGUCUCUCGAUUAGAAAAUCGAAUAAAAAGACCAAGAUGGUAAAUUCCAAGGAUGCCUCAACUAUGGGAGUAGUUUGUAAUGUGGAGCUACAAAUCGACGAAUGGAAAGGUAAUGAAGAAUUUGAGGCAAUUGAUUAUUAUGCCGGUGCAUCGUGAUAUGAAAGUUGGGAAAAAGGUAUUGUCGUCAAUCCAACUAGUUGAGGAUGUUUUGUAUGGAAGGAACAUUGACUUGAUAAAACAAAAUUUUACAAAAGCCACUUUGGAAGUGUUAGUGGCGCAAGAGAUCGAUAUGAAGCCUGUAGUGUCAAUUGUGGAGCUGACACCUUUAGGAAAGAUGGGUUGUGCAUCGGGCUUCGAGGAAAAAUGAAUGAUACAGAAACAGAAAGGAUGAGUAAAUGCUGUGAGUAAGGUACAUUGCGAACACUUUGAUAGUGUUUUGAAUUCUGACUUGUUGGCUUACCAAAAUUGUAAGAGCCCAUUAAAAGUUCAUAAGCAAAGAGGCCGUUGGAUUGUAGGCGAUACGAAGCUAAGAUGUGAGAAUAAAAAAGAUUCAAAAGGGAGCAAAUUAAAAUUGGGGCAAAUAAAAGCGGAAACUUCUUGCCAACGAGAUGUACCAAUGAGUGCAACGGUUCAAGUUAAGAGGUGACGGAAGAAGCCAAGACACAACGAGGGUGUUGUGAGAAUGGGUAGGGGAGAAUGUCACGGGCCAAAGUGUGAAACCUAUGACCAUGGCACAAGAUGUACCCCAUGGAGGUCUAUUGAUAAGAUGUGGAUCAUUUAACCCACAAGAACUGGCCAGAUUUAAAGAACUAUUGGAGAAGCUUAUUAGAUUGAAGCCUGGUUGGCCUAAUAAAGAAGAUAUGGCAAUAUAGGCUAUAUUUAGUAAAUAUGGGAAUCAUAUAUUGUAGAUCUGAUUUGAUAUGAUGUAAUCUUGUAAAUCCCUAAAAUCAAGGGAUAGACUAAUCUCGUCUGUCGAUGUAAUUUGGUCUUGAUUGUAAAUUUUGGGGGAGCUUAACAAUAAAUAGAGAAUUUCCCCCUCACUUGUAAAUCAUCCAUUGUUUCACUAUUCUUAAGAGUAAUAGAAUAUUGAAAGCAUUUACUCAAACACCUCUCGUGCAUUUUUUUUGUGGCUUUCUGUCGUUCUUUGCGACUUUUUGGCAUAAAUUGUUUCAGCUAUACAAAUUGGUGCCUUGGAGGAAUUUUAAAGGAAUCCUCACUUGUGUUUAGGCUAACUUAGGCGAGUUUGGACAAAUGGAUUGCCUAAAGCUGCACGAAUUGUGAGACGAAAGAUCUAGCCCAGUGACACUUGGACAUAGUAUUAAAUUAGUAGUCAAUUUAGGACAUUGGAGUCCAAUCUGCCUUUCAAGGUCAAGUCCAACUCUGUCUCAUUUGUGUUUUUACAAAUGAUCUAGUUGUUUUUUGACAUGCAGAUAUUGAACAGGCUAGGAUAAUUGUGUCAAUAUUGGAGUGGUUCUGAAUUAUUCAAGCCAUAAAAUCAAUAAGAGGAAGUCAAAUGUUUUUUUUUCUUUAGAGGGUUGAAGAUGAGAUAAAAGAUCGAAUUUGUGAGGUACAUGGGUUUUAAAGAGUAUCAGACUUUGGAACUUAUUUGGGUGUGCCCUUAUUUCAUUGAAGAGUAACUAACAGCUCCUUGAGACUUGUGGUGGAUAAGGUUCAAGCUAAGCUGCAAUGCUGGGAUGUAACACCCCUUACCCGUGUUCCUUACCGAAACAGAGUAUGAGGUAUUAUUAGAACUCAAACACUUAUAUUUUUUUUAUAAAAAUUUCAGCAACAUUUCUGCUUAUUUUUACAUAAAACCCCCUGCAAAUUUCCAAAGAUAAUUUCAAACAACUUCAAUAUUUCCAACCAAUUACAGUUAUACGUUCAGGCAUAAUUUAUUCAUUAAUAAACACCAACAUAUUAAAUCGAACAAUACUAUAUAUAUACAUAUUUAUACCACAUUACAUAAAGUCAUCUAUACUUGCCAUAUUUCAAAAGUGUUAAUGCCAAAAUACCAAAAAGUUGAUGAUAGUAUGGAUGAUUUCCUGACUUCGUCCAAGUUCUGAGCUGGCUGAUGUCACUAUAAUCAGGGAAAAUAAACACGAGUAAGCAUAUAGCUUAGUAAGUAAACAUAUGAAAAAUAAAUAAAUUCCUCACAUGAUUACAAAGUAACAUAAUUUUAACCACACAUAAAUUUCAUUGUUUGCUCAACUUCCAGCAAGCUAUUUUUCUGCGUCACCAUCACCAAUUUAUUUUUAUCUAGAGCUAAAGGGAUCAAAAUUAAGUUAUGUAAAUUUUUACAAAAACUAGACUCACAUACCUUUUUACCAUAAAAUUUUUAGAAUUUUUUAUUUAGCCAAUUAGUACAGUUUAUUCUUUAAACCUUCCCCUGUUUCAUUGCCCGACAGUUCUGACCUCUCCUUACUUAAAUUUACUUAUCUCUCUGUAAAAAAUUUAAAAAAUGUUCUUGUUUCUUUAUCUUAAAAAUAUACUCAUUAAGGAAUUCAAGCAUGUAAAUUUCAAGCCAUAAUUAUUUUUGUACAAUUUUUGGUGAUUUUCCAAAGAUGGAAUAGGGGAUUUCGAAAUCAAUCUAACUCUAUCUCAAUAAAAUUUAAAUAUCCCCAAAUAUACAAUCCUUUGAUUGCUCUAUUUCUUUCAUAUGAAAAUAGACUCAUUCAGCUUCAAUUUCAUAUAUUACUCAGCCUCUAAUUCAUUUUCCACCAUUUACGGUGAUUUUUCAAAAUUUCCCAACUGUUGUUAUACAAAACUGUUUUACAUUUAAAUUUGCUCUUUUGAAGUUUUGGUAUUUCCUUUCACCUUACACAUGGGAUGAUUAAAUAUUGAACCCAAUAUUCCUCACAUAACCUUGUCCACCAUAUAUAAAUAUUCACCUUUCCAAUUUUCCCGUUGAACACUCGGAAUAUUAUCCGUUAUCGGUGGAUUCAGCACUUAGAAACCACCAGUGAUUCGGGAAAUCAGCACUUAGCAACCCCUUUCACAUUCAAAAAUACGGUGGAAUCAGCACUUAGCAACCCCUUUCACAUUUACGAUACGGUGGGAUCAGCACUUAGCAACCACCAAUAAUUCAGGGAAUCAGCACUUAGCAACCCCCUUCACAUUUAAAAUACGGUGGAAUCAGCACUUAGCAACCACCAAUGAUUCGGGGAAUCAGUACUUAGCAACCCCCUUUAUAUUCAAUGUACUCCGGCCUCUUCCGAGUGUUCAACUGAAAACCGUGUUUUUCAACACUUUACCACCUUUCCCAACUUAACCACAUUUUUAGGAUCUUUGUCAAGUAAUUAUUUUAUAUUCAAUUAAAUCUCAACAAAUAUUAUCUAAUAUCAAAAUAAUGCAUUAAUUCACAUGUUUACUUACCUCGGUGCAAAAUAUCGUAAUUUUGUAAUUUACUCCACUACCUUCUCUUUUCCCCGUUUGAGGUAGUCUUCUCGUCUUUCUUGAUUAUGAGCUUGAGAAAGUGAAGAAACCCUAGCUAUGAUGUCUUCCAAGUUUUGGCAACAACUUAAUGAAGAUGUACACCAUUUUUCCAUCUUUUUCCCAUUUUAAUUCUAUUUAUUUACUAAUGACUAAAAUGCCCCCAUUUAAAAAAAUCUAUUUCACCCAUUUCUUAUGUCUAUUUUUGUCCAUCAAUUAACUAAUGGUCUAAUUAACACAUAAGGACCCCCAAUUUAUAAUUUCAUAACAAUUAGACACUUCUAACAUGUAGAACUCAACUUUUGCACUUUUUACAAUUUAGUCCUUUUGACUAAAUUAAGUGCCCAAACGUCGAAAUUUUCACGAAAUAUUUUCGUGAAAUUGUAUACCAUAAAAAUAUAAUAAUAAUUAUAUUUUCCCUCGUCGGAUUUGUGGUCCCGAAACCACUGUUUCGAUUAAGCCUAAAAUCGGGCUGUUAUAUGGGAAGCUAGACAAUUAAUCUUUAGCAAGAAGAGUUACUCUAGCUCAAUUGGUUCUACUUUAAAUUCCCAGCUAUUUCUUACAGUCCAUGAUGAUUUUGCAAAAGAUUUGUGAAGAGAUUGAACGCAUGGUUCAAAGCUUUAUUUGGGGUUCCUCUAGCGAAGAGAAGAAGUUGGCCCUAGUAAUUUGGAAAUCUAUUUAUCAACCUCACUCUUGUGGUGGCAUUGGGUUAACAUAAAUGAGGGAUCAAAACACUUCAUUUAUGUUUAAAUUGUGCUUUAACUUAGCUUCUAAUUCCUCUGCCUUUUAGGUAUGUGUACUUUGAUCUAAGAAUGGGAUGAAUAAGGACUUGCCAGAUGAUAUUUAUAAGGAUAGAUGUUCUUUCUUAUGGAAGGGGAUAUCUAAAGUUUGGCCUCUAUUACAAGAAAGUCUUUUCUAGUCAAUAAGGCAAUGGGAAUAAGAUUAUGUGCUGGUGCGAUCAUUGGAUUCUAGGUGUUUGACCUCUGAUUAAUCAAAUUCCUUCUCAUUUUAAUCUGGAUUUGGAGUGCACUCUAAAGGAGUUGGUAGUAGAGGAUAGGUCGUGGAACCUUGAUAUUUUUAGAUUGUAGAUUCCAAUGAAAAGUAUUAAAUUCAUAGUUAGUAUUCCUCCUCCACAUGAUUCAGCGAGACUUGACAAGAUUGCUUGGAUGGGCACCCCCAAUAGGUUCUUUUACUCUAAAAAACGCUUAAAGGAAAUUAAGCAAUAGAUCAUGGGAUCCUUAUAAUGGUUAUUGGAAUAUUUCAUGGAAAUUCAAGGGAUCUCAAAGAGUUAGAUUCUUUAUCUGGCUUGUUUUCAAGCAGAGGUUACUCACUAACAUGGAAUGAGUGAGACAUGGUAUUGGGUCGACUGGCUCGUGUGCCUUAUGUGGACAUAACUCAAAAUAUAUAUUACAUGCCAUCAAAGAGUGUGCGCUUGCAAAGAAGGUGUAGAGAUAGAUAAUAUAACCGGAUAAGAGAUGAGUUUUUCUCAAGCAACUUGAAUGAGUGGCUUGAAACAAAUUUGCAAAAUCAUCACAGUUGAGGGGUGGGUGAUGUGGAAUGGAGAAGUCAAUUUGAUCUCAUUGUAUGGUGCAUUUGGAAAAAUAGAAAUAUUGUUGUCUUCCAGGGAAAGUAAUACAGUGCAUGCAAAACUGCAAAAAUCUCAUAUAGUUGGGCUAAGCAAUUUGUCUCUUUUCAUAAUGGUGGAUAGGCCAAGAGGCAAAAAGCCAGUUCAGUAAUCCCUUGGAAGGAUAGUUGGGUUCAGUUAAAUGUUGAUGGUGUUGUAAAUGUGGAAUCCGGUUCUGCUGCAUCUAGCGAAAUCUUAAAUGAUCAAGAAGGUAAGUGGAUUUUAGGCUAUAAGAGGUACUUGGGAAACUAUUCAGUUCUUGAGGCUGAACUUUGGAGAAUUUUAGAUGGUCUGAAUGCUUUGCUAAGUAGAAAGUUUGAUAAAUUCCUGAUUCAAACUGAUAGUAUAGAAGCUGUGAAGGCUCCUCAAAUAUUCACCAAGACAUCUUUGAACUCUGCAUUGAUCAGGCGGAUUCAACAACUUUUGUUGAAGGUUGGGAAUUGGCUUCUAUGAUAUGUGCUAGAGAAAGCAACAAGGACACGGAUUGCAUAGCUAAAAUGGCUUUUGAUAGAGUAGAUGGCUUGUUUUUUAUGGAAGAACCUCCAAGGGGAAUAUCCAAUACCUUAAGUUAAUGUAGUUUGCUUAUUUUUAUUCACAAAAAAAAAAAAGAUAGCAACAAAACGACUAGAAUAAAAUAAAAAAUAUUUUACAUUGAAAUAUUACAAACGGGUGUUACAAAAUUGAGUGCACUGCAUUAUGCAUAAUCGACCUAGACUAAGAAAUUGCCAGCAUCCCAUUAAUGCAACAAGGUAUUUGAAGUCAAUACUAGUACCAAAGAAAACACAAACACUUACAAAUAAACAAUAGCAUACAAUUAAAAUGGUUCCUUUACAGAAUUCAUCAUAUAAAAUAAGGAAUAACAACAAUCCUUGACCUACACCCAUACCUAUUUCACUUCUUCCUAGACAUAAAUAUAAAAUUGAAGGGAGUAUCCAACAUCCCACUAUUGAAACACUAAUUUUUGACACCCGACAUACGAUACACAUGGACACCAUUAAAAGGAAAAGAAUUCCUGAAAAUAUAUUAAGAAUUACAUAUGUUAAAUUGGUGGGAGCUAUGUCAGAUAUUGAUUCAUCGAAGGACACUGCAAGAAACGCUAAUAGUACUUGAAGUGCAGUCCUAAAACCAUGGGGAAAAGUUUUGAGUAGAGCUAGUGUUAGGAAUAAUGUUACGAGGAACACAAGGUAGGUUAGAAUAUAGAAGAGAAGAAAAUCCAUUUGACCCAUGACUGAUUUACCUAGUACCAUUUCAUCAUAUGAUCCUUUGGACUUUGAGGUAUUUUCACCUUGCCAAACACCACCAGGUGGGCUUAGAGUGGCUUGGUAGGUUGCAGUUAGAAGCAGUCCUAAAAUGACUAGCAAGGCAUUGCGGUCAUCGGCUGAUAUGUUGUCCAUAUUUUGAAAAAUUAGUAGUGAUGCCUUUGUCACGUACUUGACAACUUGUUCCUCCAACUUACGUUUAAAGUUUGAAACUACUGGAAUAAAGCAGCCUUUCAGAAUAGCAAUGUUUUCUCUGUAAUUAUGUUGUUGUGCAAUUCCCAGUGCGGUCAAACCAACUUGAUUGGUAGCAUGCUUAUCAGCCUUGCAAUUUAAUAGUAGUUUAAGCAUCUGUUCAAUUGAUAGUUUAGGAUAUAAAAAGGCUACAAUCAAUUAAUCAUGUCUUUGAAGUAAAAAAAGAAAAAGAAAAAGAAUCUAUGUAAUAUGAAUUACUAUCGAAGCAGUUGAGUCGAACCUUGGGUUGAUUAUGGAUAGCGGCUAUGUGAAGUGCAGUGUUUCCAUCUUUGUCUUUCCGGUUCACCACUUCCCAAUAAUAGUCUUUCCUCUUAAGCGUUGGAAUUAGGAGUUGGAGAACGUCCAGUCUAUUGUUUUGGAUUGCAAUAUGCAAAGCAGUGCGAUUCUCAAUUGUAACAUCUUGGAGACAAUCAGGAGAAGCUUCCAGAAAUGGAUCCAACAGACCAAGCUGGUUUCCAACUUUACAUAAGUAGUGCAAUGGAGUCUUACCUUUCUUUCCUCUGACACGAACAAGAUGUUUAUCAAUCUCCAAGAAGCGGAGUGCCAUCUCUUUAUGCCCUUUUCUAACUGCAAUGUGAAGUGGGCUCAAACCUUGGUGGUUAAGCUUUCGAGCAAAUGAUGGCUUUAAGUUCAUCAUCUCCAUUGCAAACUCAAUGCACCCUUCUUCUGCAGCUAUAUGUAAUGGAGUCUCGAUAAACUCCACCUCAUCAAAAUGCCUCAAAACAUUUCCAUUUCUUUGAAUUACUGUAUACAAUUCAUUAACCUUUCCUGUACGAGCAGCCUGUCUUAAACUUUCAUCCAUGUGAGGAAGACUAAAAAUUGAAUGGUUGAAAGGGUUUAAGGUCACUUAGAGCAACUUAUUCAAAGAGAGAGUUUUUAUUUUUUUUAAAAAAAGAGUGAGGCAGACAAAUGGUGUAUAUUUAUGGUCUUGAUUUUGAGGUUUCGCCUUUAGUAGAGGAUUAUUGUAAAUAAUUUUGUUAUCAAUGGCUUUUUAUUUCAAGGUUAAGAAAUGCUUUCUUCCAUUGACUUCACUUCCAGAUUGAUCUUUUACUGUGUAUAGGUUCAUAGUCAAAGGUGCAAUUCCUACUAUAAAUUUCCUGAAAAACACGUCGAAGAAAAUUAUUCCUAUUCUUCUCGUUUAUAACUUAAAAUAUAUAUUUAUUCAACUCUUUGAGUUUGAGUUAUUAAUCGUGUUAUUGUUAAGGUUUUUAUUCUAAUCUUAUAAUUCAUCAAAAAAUAUAUAUAUUUAUUCAUAUAUAUUUAUCUAUAUGAAGUUUUUAUUUAAAUUAGUGUCACAAAUUAAUUAGACAUCAACUUAAUUAGGUAAUUAUAAAAGUAUAAGUUCAUUACAAAAUAAUUUGCUAUUUUGAGAGUGUUUUAAUUUUUUAUAAAAAAAACAUAUAUAAUAAAAUUUAAACUUAAAACGCUAUAAAUAUUUCUAUUUUACUAUUUUAAUUAAAAUUUCAUUUCAUUUUUAUAUAAUCUUUUAUAAAUAUAUUUAUUCUAUAUUCUGUUAGUCAAUUUCAUUAGGAUAUCCCAUAAUUUAAUACAUUGUUGCAUAUGAAUGGAUGAAAUAAAUACACGUAAACCUGACGUAAACCUGUGAUCAUGAAAUGAAUACACGAAAACUUUCCAAUUAAGUCACUAAUUCGUUAGUAGAUAUUAAACAUGAUGUAAUUGAUUUUGCCGACAGCAAUCAAAUUUCCUAGUAAAGUCGUUGUGGUUGGUGAAGAACAGCCAUCGGACCAUUCAUUUCAUAAACUUUGAAAAUUCCAAUUAAGUAAAUAAAUUAUUAAAAUAAUAAAAAAUAUUGAUUCACAUUCAAUUGAUUUUUAAUUCUGUUUCUAUUGAUUCUCCAACCAAUUAGUCUUAUAUCUCUCUUUGUAUUGGUACCUUAAUGGCACAAUUCUACUUAAGUAAUUAUAUCUCUAUGUUGAAAAGCGUUAAUUUAUUAAUUGAAGUUUAAACUUGAUAAUUAUUUUCACAUUAAGUGUAAAAGAUAUUUUUUUAGGUAGAGAUGAAGCAAUGCAAAAAAAUUGAAUAAGAUAUUUUGGAGGAAGACAGAGAAAAAGACUAAAACAUCAUUGACUGUCGUACAAUUAAAAAACCUAUAAAGUAACCUUUAAAGAUGGAAAUAAUUUUAAAACACAAAAUUAUAACUUAACCUAAUAACAUCUGUCCCUAAUUCUUUUCAUAAACUUGGAAAUUGUUUUCUUCAUUUUAUAAGAUGUUAAGGUUUUUUAUGGGAGUUUUUUAAAAUUGGAUCAAUGUUGGUACCAAUCAAGUCAUUAAUUUAUGAGUUGAAUUAGUUUGAUUAAAUAAAUUAUUAAAAUAAUAAAAGGAAUUUGAUUCAAUUGACUUUUAAUAUGAUCUAUAUUAAUUUCUGAGUCAAUUAGUUUGUUAUUUCUCUUUGAAUCAGUACCCCAUCCAACUCGGUUUUGUUCAAGUAACCACGUCUCUAUGUUGAAAAGCAUUAAUGCACUAAUCGAAAUCUGAACUUAAUAACUGUUCUCACAUUAAGGUAUAGAAGGUUCUCUCGGUGAAGAGAUGAAACAUUGCAAAAAAUUGAAUAAGAUAUUUUGAAAGAAAGCGAAGAGAAAGACUGAAACAUAUUCAGUAACAUUAAGCAUUGUACAAGUAAAAAAAUAAAGUAAAUAAUUUUAAAACACAAAAUUAUAACUUUAAAAGAAAUUAAAACUCACAAUAAAAUAACAAGAUUAUAAAGUAAACUUUAAAAUGUACUAAUUAAUUAAAUUAAAUUACUUAUUAUAAAAAAUUUAAAGUAAAUUACUAGUGGUAAUUUUUUAAUGUUAGACAUGUUGCAUAUGAUUUUAUAUUUUUAAUUUAUUAAAUAAUAUAUUUUAUAAUUUUAAAUAUAUAUUUAUGCUAAUAAACGAGGAUUAGUUUAAUUUAUACUAAAGAUAAAUUAGUUUGAAAAAAUUAAAAGAAUAAAAUAGCAUUUUAAAAUUAAUGAAAAAAAUGAACUAAUACAUAUACAACUAGUAAAAUAAUAUAUAAAUUUAAAACUAUAUAGGAAAAUAAAUGAAAAACAUAUUUACACUGAAUUAUAGAUUACAUUUAACAAUAACAACUAAAAAAUAUUAUGUAAAUUUAAUUUUUUUUUCAAAAGAAUACACAAAACAUUGUUCAUCUGCACAAAAUAAAUAAUGGAUAAAUAAAAGAAUAAAUUUAAAAUUACUUGCUUCACAUAAUACAGUUACUUUAUAUAAAUUAGUAUUAUUUAAUAUAUGUGCUUUAUUUAAAUUUAUAUAGAGAUCUCACCUUUGUAACUAAAAAAUAAAACACUCACCUCUAAAUUUCCUCUUGAGAAUUUAGGUUGUAAACACAACUUGUUUACUCUCAAUUGCACUCAUACAAUUAGUUCCUCAAUUAAUAAAUAAAGUGCUCUCAAUAUAGUCUCUUUUAAAACCUAUACAAACCUCAACAUAUAUAGAAGUGUUUUGGUUUACUAACAUACUCGAUAUUGAUUACAAUAUAACCCCUUAAAAUCAACAUCUACAAAAUAGAAAAAAAGUAAUAUAUUAAUAAAGUCCAAUAAAGUGUGAUCUGAUGGAGAUGUAGUCUUCAAUGUAAACAACAACUCAAUCCGAAAGAUUCUCUAAACAAAGGGUUGUAAUUGUUCAAUUCAAUCUAAUCUUCACAAUGCAAAGAAUUAGUUCUCAUAAUUAGGCUUCUAUAUCUUCAAAGUAUCAACAUAGUUAAUAGUCUAAAGAUUUUAUGCCAUAGGAUUGUCAACUCCAAAUAUAGCAAGUACAAUUGUAUUAUUGCAAGGAUGGAUGACAAUAGGCACUACCAAGUGCUUCUCAUAAUGCUUCUUUACAAUUUGUCUCAACAAUUUCCCCAUUUGAAAAUUUUUUGAACAAAAUUCAAUUCAAACCAAGAAGUUAACUAGAAUUUCAUGUGAUGAUCUGAUGGUCAAGGGUGUUUACCGUUCCAAGUAUGACUUGGGUUUGAGUCGUGUUAGUCGCGUUUGUUGUCCGCGCUUUCCCUGUUAUUAUAAUUUACUGAAAAAAAAUUUACCAUUUUUUUACAAGCAUAAAUUAUGUUAAUAUUAUGGUUGAACUCACUGCAUAUUAAUUCGAUCUAACCUAAAAACAUUUGUCCAUAAUUUAAUUUUAUUUAUAUAAUACUUAAAACUAUCAUAAUUCCUUCUCUUCUUAAAAAAAGAAAAGGAUAAAUGCGUUUUAAUGUACUAUUGACCAUGCCAGAAAUGGUGUCGUUCCUAAUCCAAGCACGAGCUUUCUCUGGAUCUUCUUCCUCCUCUGGUCCAUAAUCACAGCCGUCCUCCUCUGAAUUGGAGCUUUUUUUUUGGGGGGGGGGGGUGUUACUCGUAAAGCACGUUUAGUUAAGAUUCGUGUGUUACUGUUGAAGUUGUUAAGAAAUGUGUUUUUGUUUUGAAUAUGAUAUAUAUAUGUACAUAUCAGAAAAAAAAAAUUUAGCAUACCCGAGGUCUGUUUCUGAUAGCUGCAACGUGUAAAACAGUGUUGCCUUCGAUGUCUUCCCAACUCAUUGGUUCUUUCUCCCAACGUUGGGCAGCUUCAUGGCGGCUCCUUAUAAGCCACCCCACCAAGACUUGGAAAGCUUCAAACAUGUCUUUUACUGAAAUAUGGAAAACAGUCACGUCUUCAAUAGCCUCGGGAGAAACGUCAAGAAACUUGAACAAAAGAUCAGCAUCUCCGGUCCGAACGCCAUGAUACAGGGGAGUGAGGCCCCACUUCCCUUUGACACGAAUAAGGCCUUCAUCAAACUUGAGGAAUCGAAGCACCGCUUGAAUUCUAUUAUUCUGCAGAGCCAAGUGCAUGGGGGUAAACCCAGCUUGGUAUAGUUUUCUUGCAAACGAUGGCUUUAAGUUGAUCAUCUCCAUCAUAAAAUCAAUAUGCCCUGCAGAGGCUGCCACAUGUAAUGGAGAAUGAAAAAAGGCACAUCAUCAAUACGCUGUAAAACAAAUGGAUAACUCGCAAUAUCUCCGGUUCGUGCAGCCUCUAUCAUCGUCGAAUUCAUAGCUUGGAUAUCUAUUAUUUUAAGUAUUUUAAUUAAAUAAAUUUUAUAUGGUUAAAAUAUCUAUAAGUGUUUGUAUUAUUCGAAAAUUUAAAAUAUAUAUAUUUUUUAAAAAUUUAGUUCUUUUAUUUUAAAUAUUUCAAAAUUUGAGUCAAAUUAUUAUCAUUGUUAAUUUUUAUUUGUUAAAUUUGUUGGUGUUUGAAAAAAAAUCAUUUCUUAUCCAUUAAAACUGCAAGUCAAUUAUUAUGCAUCGGUAAAUCCAUUAAAACUGUUCAGCUCAACAGAUAAGAAAAAACUCCUACAUCCCCAAAUCACUACAUCACACCACAACAUGAUUUAUGCCUAAGGGGAAGUGUUAAAGGCAAUUCUAGUUUCCAUCUACAGCGGCAGUUGCAACUUGAGCCAUUGCAGUAAUUUGUGCUUGUGAUGAAGUUGGUUCAGCAUGCAGCAAACUCAACAGCAUGCAGGCCAUGAAGACCAAGUCAUGCAGGAGCUGCUGGAACGAGCUGAACUAUUCCUAUUUUGUUCAUCUUGUAAUCUUAAGUUAAUGUAAUGUACUUUAGUUCAUUUAGAACUAUGUUAGGUUUAUGAUUGAUGUAAUUUUGAUGACAAUUGAGCUGUUAAGUUAGCUUUGUUUAAGUGUGCAAGCUUAGUUUUUUAAGUUUCAAUGUAUUAGUGGUAGUAGGUGAUGAUUAGGUAUCAUUAUGUAGAUUUUGACAAGCAAAUUGCUUGGUUUAUGUAUUGGCAUUAUGCCAUUGUUCAACCUAUGAAUGAAGUUUUAGUUUGUUCAUCAAUUUCUCCCUUCAUUCUUCUUAGCUUUUCUUCCUUUCUCUUGCUCGAAUUCUUUUGUUUGCUCAACAAGUCUCGAGACUUGCUUAACAAGUCUACACUGAAUCUGUUAGUUUCAGUUACAGCACCAACAAUUGGUAUCUAGAGCCUAUUUCUUAAGGGAUCUGUUACACAAAUCCAUGGCUUCAUCAAGCUUUUCACCAGCUGCACCUCAAGUCUUCAAUGGAGAAGGCUAUCACAUAUGGGUGGUCAAAAUGAAGACCUACCUGCAGGCUUUCGAUCUGUGGGAGGUGGUCAACACUGAUGUUGAACCAGAGCCACUUAGAGCUAAUCCAACAGUGGCUCAGAUCAGGCAGCAUGCUGAUGAAAGGACCAAGAGGCACAAGGCUAUGUCUUGCAUCCAAAACUCAGUGUCUGAUGUGAUUUUCACAAGGAUUAUGGCCUAUGAAUCACCAAAACAGGCCUGGGACAAGUUGCAGGAAGAGUUUCAAGGGACAGAGAGGACAAGGCAGCAACAGUUGUUAAACUUGAGGAGAGAUUUCGAGAAUUUGAAGAUGAAGGAAGAAGAAACUGUCAAGCAAUAUUCUGACAGGAUUAUGGCUGUGGUUAACAGCAUCAGGCUCCUUGGAGAGCAGUUCAAUGAAGCUAGGAUAGUGGAGAAGGUUAUAGCAACUCUGCCUGAGAGGUAUGAGGCAAAAAUCUCAUCUCUCGAGGACUCAAGGGACCUGUCCACCAUCUCCCUGACAGAGUUGAUCAAUGCUCUAUAUGCUCAAGAGCAGAGGAGAGCAAGCAGACUGGAGGAGCACCAAGAAGGUGCCUUUCAGGUAAGAACAAAUACUGCCUACAAAGGCAAGAAGGCCUGGAGAGACAAGCCAAAGGAUGAUGCUGCAAGGAGAGAAGGUCAGACUUGCAAGCACUGCAGAAAGGCUGGUCAUUCAGAAGAAAAAUGCUGGUUUAAUCCAGAUGCUGUGUGUCAGCAUUGUAAGAAAAAAGGUCAUGUUGAGAGAGUCUGUAAGACCAAGGCCAAGUCAAGGCGCAAUCAGUCUCAACAGAUGAAAGCUGAGGCUCGAGUAGCUAAGGAGGACAGUGACCAAGAGGAGCAAGUCUUUACUGUGUCAUGCUCAGCUGCUCAGGAAAGGUCCUCAUCUGGUUGGCUCCUAGACAGUGGAUGCACCAACCACAUGACACCUGAUGCUGCAAUCUUCAAGUCUUUAGACAGAAGCUUUAGAACUAAAGUCAAGAUAGGAAAUGGUCAUUUUAUUCAAGCUGAAGGCAAGGGUGAUGUUCUGAUAUGCACCCUUACAGGUACCAAAGUGAUUUCAAAUGUGCUGUUGGUGCCUGAAAUUGACAGAAACCUGCUCAGCAUAGCUCAGUUGCUGGAAAAAGGUUACUCAGUUGUGUUUAAAGACCACCAAUGCCAAAUCAGUGAUCCAAGUGGAUCCAAACUGAUGGCAGUCCCUAUGGCUGAUAAGAGCUUUGUGGUUGACUGGACAAAAAAGUCAGACAUUGCCUACACAGCCACUUCAGAUGAAUCCAAGCUGUGGCAUCAAAGACUGGGACAUGCCAACUUCAGAUCGAUGGCCCGAAUGAUCAGAGAAGACCUGGCUGAAAAUUUCAUCAACUCAGUGGACCAUGAUGAUGUAUGUGAAGUAUGUCAGCUAGGAAAGCAGGCCAGACUCCCAUUUCCCUCGAAUCAAGCCUGGAGAGCCUCUGAAAAACUCCAACUGGUGCAUACUGAUGUGUGUGGCCCUAUGAAGACUGAGUCAUUAAGUGGAAACAGGUAUUUCAUACUGUUCAUUGAUGAUUUCUCGAGAUAUUAUUGGAUUUACUUCUUAAAACAGAAAUCAGAGGUGGCCACUGUGUUUUGGAAGUUCAAAACUGCUGCUGAGACUGAAACAGGCUGCAAGGUGAAGACCAUAAGGUCUGAUAAUGGGACUGAGUACACCUCAGCUCAGUUCCAAGCCUUUUGUGAUAAGGCAGGCAUCAAACAUCAACUUACCAACACAUAUACACCUCAGCAGAAUGGGGUAAGUGAAAGGAAGAAUAGGAGUUUGAUGGAUAUGGCCAGGUGCUUGAUGAUUCAGAAGAAUCUGCCUAAAGCACUAUGGGCAGAAGCAGUUAACACUGCAACAUACAUUCAAAAUAGACUUCCAACCAAGGCUUUGGAUCAAAAGACCCCAUUCGAGGCCUGGUUUAGCUUCAAGCCAUCACUGACUCAUCUGAAGGUCUUUGGAUGCAUCUGUUAUACACAUAUACCUGCUGUUAAAAGGGACAAAUUGUCUGAAAGGGCUCGACCUGGUGUUUUGGUGGGGUAUAGCACUGUUAAGAAGGGCUAUAGGAUUUUAGAUCCUUCAACAAACAAAGUGUCAGUAAGCAGGGAUGUGGUAUUUGAUGAGAGGUCAUGUUGGAACUGGGAAAGACAUGAACCUGAAGAAGUUUCUGAAGAACUUGCAGCAGACCAAGCUGAGCCAGACCAAAAUGUCCCUGAAAUGGAUAUUGAUGAUGAACCAGUCAGAGGAACAAGGUCAUUGGCUGAGAUUUAUGAAAGGGCUCAUGUAGCCAUAGCUGAACCAAGCAACUUUGAAGAGGCUGAGGCUCAGCAAGGGUGGAAGCAGGCAAUGGCUGAGGAAAUCAGCAUUGAUUGAGAAGAACCAGACCUGGGAAUUGGUUGAAAGGCCAGUCAAAAGGAAGGUGAUUGGGGUGAAAUGGGUGUACAAAGCCAAGCAGAAUGCUGAUGGUACCUUGAACAAGCUGAAAGCAAGGCUAGUUGUCAAGGGGUUCAGUCAGAGGUAUGGCUUGGACUACCUGGAGACCUUUGCACCAGUGGCCAGGCUCGACACCAUCAGACUGCUGAUUGCCUUAGCAGCACAGCUCGAAUGGAAGAUCCAUCAACUUGAUGUGAAAUCAGCCUUUCUGAAUGGUUUCUUAGAUGAAGACAUCUAUGUUGAACAACCACAAGGGUUUGAAAUAGCUGGCAGAGAGCAUAUGAUCUACAAACUGAAGAAGGCCCUAUAUGGAUUAAAACAGGCUCCAAGGGCUUGGUAUAGCAGAAUCGAUGGCUACUUGACUGAUCUGGGAUUCGAUCGAAGCAAGAGUGAGCCAACACUAUAUGUCAAGAAACAAGGGACACAAAUACAGCUCAUUGUGUCCCUGUAUGUUGAUGAUCUUCUGGUGACAGGAGGAGAUCGAGUAGUGCUGGUCGAUUUCAAGACCAAGAUACAGGAAGUGUUUGAAAUGUCUGAUCUUGGGGAGAUGUCCUAUUUUCUUGGAAUAGAGGUGUCUCAAGUACAGAAUGAGAUAUUUUUAAGCCAGAGAAGCUUUGCCACAAAGAUUCUGACCAGGUUCUCCAUGCAAAACAGCAAGGCAACUAAAACACCUGUUGCUGUUGGAGAAAAACUAUCGAGCCAAGGUGAUUUUGAGAAAGUUUGUGAAACAACCUACAGGAGUCUAGUUGGUUGCUUGCUAUACUUGACUGCCACUAGACCAGACAUCAUGUAUGCUGUAGGAUUGCUCUCAAGGUUCUUGCAUUGCUGCAAUGAGAAGCAUUUCCAAGCUGCAAAGAGAGUGCUGAGAUAUAUCAAAGGCACUUUAAACUAUGGUUUGAAGUACAGCAAAGAAGAAAAUCUGAAGCUGGUUGGCUACACUGAUAGUGACUGGGCUGGCUCGAUAAAUGACAUGAAAAGCACCUCAGGGUAUGCUUUUAACCUUGGUUCAGCCAUGUUUUGUUGGAGCUCAAAGAAGCAAAGUCUUGUAGCUCAAUCUACUGCUGAAGCAGAGUAUGUGGCAACAGCAAGUGCUGUCAACCAAGCCAUAUGGCUAAGGAAAAUAUUGGCUGACUUGAAUGUGCAUCAAAAGAAAGCUACUGAGAUCUUUUGUGACAACCAAUCUGCAGUAGCAAUUGCUAAAAAUCCAGUGUUCCAUGGAAGAACAAAACAUUUCAGCAUCAAGUUGCAUAUUGUUCGAGAAAUGGAGCAAGCUCAGGAAGUAAAGCUGAUCCACUGUAAUUCAGAGGAUCAACUUGCUGACAUUUUAACCAAAUCUCUUAGUGCCACAAGGUUCGAAUAUCUAAGAAAGAAGCUAGGUGUUUGCUCCAUGCAAACCAAGGAGGAGUGAUGAAGUUGGUUCAGCAUGCAGCAAACUCAACAGCAUGCAGGCCAUGAAGACCAAGUCAUGCAGGAGCUGCUGGAACGAGCUGAACUAUUCCUAUUUUAUUCAUCUUGUAAUCUUAAGUUAAUGUAAUGUACUUUAGUUCAUUUAGAACUAUGUUAGGUUUAUGAUUGAUGUAAUUUUGAUGACAAUUGAGCUGUUAAGUCAGCUUUGUUUAAGUGUGCAAGCUUAGUUUUUCAAGUUUCAAUGUAUUAGUGGUAGUAGGUGAUGAUUAGGUAUCAUUAUGCAGAUUUUGACAAGCAAAUUGCUUGGUUUAUGUAUUGGCAUUAUGCCAUUGUUCAACCUAUGAAUGAAGUUUUAGUUUGUUCAUCAAUUUCUCCCUUCAUUCUUCUUAGCUUUUCUUCCUUUCUCUUGCUCGAAUUCUUUUGUUUGCUCAACAAGUCUGGAGACUUGCUUAACAAGUCUGCACUGAAUCUGUUAGUUUCAGUUACAGCACCAACAGCUUGCAUAUUUUUGAGAUGUAACAUGUUAGACUUUUGACUGUGAUCUCUGUGUCAGAUGUGCAAGAUCAAGUCAACAAGAACCAAAUCGGAAUCCUUAAAUACAAUCCAAGUUCCCUAGUUUUAAGGAGAUCAUAUCAUAUCAUGUGUAAGCUUGUGUUAAUAGAAAAGCAAGAUGUUUACUGCUUAUUUUAGGCGUUGUUUUUCUGACUGCUCAUUGUUCUGCUGUAUUUUGCUGUAAUAGAAAUACAUUCCCACUUAUAAUUAUUAUUACAAUGAACAAUACAAUUAUACAAUAACAGCAACGCCAAUUAUGGUCCUCAUUGAACUACAACUUGGCUACAUACGAAACAAACAGAUAUUCAUACUUUUAUAUCAUAAAUGCUGAUGGUGUUGUAAAUGUGAAAUCCGGUUCUAUUGCAUCUAACGAAAUCUUAAAUGAUCAAGGAGGUAAGUGGAUUUUAGGCUAUAAGAGGUACUUGGAAAAUAUUCAGUUCUUGAGGCUGAACUUUGGAGAAUUUUAAAUUAUCUGAAUGCUUUGCUAAGUAGAAAGUUUGAUAAAGUCCUGAUUCAGACUAAUAGUAUAAAAGCUGUGAAGGUUACUCAAAUAUUCACCAAGACAUUUUUGAACUCUUUAUUGAUCAGGCAGAUUCAACAACUUUUGUUGAAUGUUGAGAAUUGACUUCUACGAUAUGUGCUAGAGAAAGCAACAAGGACACGAAUUGCAUAGCUAAAAUGGCUUUUAAUAGAGAAGAUGGCUUGUUUUUUAUGAAAAACCUCCAAGGGGAAUAUCCAAUACCUUAAGUUAAUGUAAUUUGCUUAUUUUUAUUCACAGAAAAAAAAAGAAUAGCAACAAAAAGACUAGAAUAAAAUAAAAAAUAUGUUACAUUGACAUAUUACAAACGGGUAUUACAAAAUUGAGUGCACUGCAUUAUGCAUAAUCGACCUAGACUAAGAAAUUGCCAGCAUACUAUUAACGCAACAACGUAUUUGAAGUCAAUACUAGUACUAAAGACAACACAAACACUUACAAAUAAACAAUAGCAUACAAUUAAAAUGGUUCCUUUACAGAAUUCAUCAUAUAAAAUAAGGAAUAACAACAAUCCUUGACCUACACCCAUACCUAUUUCACUUCUUCCUAGACAUAAAUAUAAAAUUGAAGGGAGUAUCCAACAUCCCACUAUUGAAACACUAAUUUUUGACACCCGACAUACGAUACACAUGGACACCAUUAAAAGGAAAAGAAUUCCUGAAAAUAUAUUCAAAAUUACAUAUGUUAAAUUGGUGGGAGCUAUGUCAGAUAUUGAUUCAUCGAAGGACACUGCAAGAAACGCUAAUAGUACUUGAAGUGCAGUCCUAAAACCACGGGGAAAAGUUUUGAGUAGAGCUAGUGUUAGGAAUAAUGUUACGAGGAACACAAGGUAGGUUGGAAUAUAGAAGAGAAGAAAAUCCAUUUGACCCAUGACUGAUUUCCCUAGUACCAUUGCAUCAUAUGAUCCUUUGGACUUUGAGGUAUUUUCACCUUGCCAAACACCACCAGGUGGGCUUAGAGUGGCUUGAUAGGUUGCAGUUAGAAGCAGUCCUAAAAUGAUUAGCAAGGCAUUGCGGUCAUCGGCUGAUAUGUUGUCCAUAUUUUGAAAAGUUAGUAGUGAUGCCUUUGUCACAUACUUGACAACUUGUUCCUCCAACUUACGUUUAAAGUUUGAAACUACUGGAAUAAAGCAGCCCUUCAGAAUAGCAAUGUUUUCUCUGUUAUUAUGUUGUUGUGCAAUACUCAGUGCGGUCAAACCAACUUGAUUGGUAGCAUGCUUAUCAGCCUUGCAAUUUAAUAGUAGUUUAAGCAUCUGUUCAAUUGAUAGUUUAGGAUAUAAAAAGGCUACAAUCAAUUAAUCAUGUCUUUGAAGUAAAAAAAGAAAAAGAAUCUAUGUAAUAUAAAUUACUAUCGAAGCAGUUGAGUCGAACCUUGGGUUGAUUAUGGAUAGCGGCUAUGUGAAGUGCAGUAUUUCCAUCUUUGUCUUUCCGGUUCACCACUUCCCAAUAAUAGUCUUUCCUCUUAAGCGUUGGAAUUAGGAGUUGGAGAACGUCCAGUCUAUUGUUUUGGAUAGCAAUAUGCAAAGCAGUGCGAUUCUCUAUUGUAACAUCUUGGAGACAAUCAGGAGAAGCUUCCAGAAAUGGAUCCAACAGACCAAGCUGGUUUCCAACUUUACAUAAGUAGUGCAAUGGAGUCUUACCUUUCUUUCCUCUGACACGAACAAGAUGUGUAUCAAUCUCCAAGAAGCGGAGUGCCAUCUCUUUAUGCCCUUUUCUAACUGCAAUGUGAAGUGGGCUCAAACCUUGGUGGUUAAGCUUUCGAGCAAAUGAUGGCUUUAAGUUCAUCAUCUCCAUUGCAAACUCAAUGCACCCUUCUUCUGCAGCUAUAUGUAAUGGAGUCUCGAUAAACUCCACCUCAUCAAAAUGCCUCAAAACAUUUCCAUUUCUUUGAAUUACUGUAUACAAUCCAUUAAGCUUUCCUGUACGAGCAGCCUGUCUUAAACUUUCAUCCAUGUGAGGAAGACUAAAAAUUGAAUGGUUGAAAGGGUUUAAGGUCACUUAGAGCAACUUAUUCAAAGAGAGUUUUUUUUUUUUAAAUAGAGUGAGGCAGACAAAUGGUGUAUAUUUAUGGUCUUGAUUUUGAGGUUUCGCCUUUAGUAGAGGAUUAUUGUAAAUAAUUUUGUUUUCAAUGGCUUUUUAUUUCAAGGUUAAGAAAUAAUGCUUUCGUCCAUUGACUUCACUUCCAAAUUGAUUUUUUUUCUUUGUGUAUAUGUUCAUAGUCAAAAGUCCAAUUCCUACUUUAAAACGUGAUGAUAUUAAUUUCCCGAAAAAUAAGUCAAAGAAAAUUAUUCGUAUUCUUCUCAUUUAUAAUUAAAAAUAUAUAAUUAUUCAAAUCCUGUGUUCGCAUUAACUUUGAAUCGCAUUAAUCGCGUUAUUAUUAAUAUUUUACUCUCUUCUUGCAAUUCAUAAAAAAUAUAUAUAUUUAUUCAUAUAUUUUUAUCAAAUAUAUAUCUAUAUACGAAUCUUCUAUCUAAAUUUGUAUUCUAAAUUAAUUGGACAUCAACUUAAUUAUGUGAUUAUAAAAAUAUCAAUUCAUUACAAAAUAACAUGCUAUUUUAAGAUUGUUUUAAUCUCUCUUUUUUUAAACCAUAUAAUAAAAUUUAAACUUAAAACGCUAUAAAUAUUUCUAUUUUACUAUUUUAAUUAAAAUUUCUUUUAAUUUUUAUAUAAUCUUUUAUAAAUAUAUUUAUUCUAUAAUUCUGUUAUUCAAUUUCAUUAGGGAUAUACCAUAAUUUAAUAUAUAUUAUAAAUAAAUUAUUAAAAAAAUAAAAAUAUUGGUUCAGAUUCAAUUGAUUUUUAAUCUUGUUUGUAUUGAUUCUUGAACUAAUUAGGUUUUUUUUUUAUCUCUCUUUAUAUUGGUACUCGACUCUACUCAUGUAAUUAUACCUCUAUGUUGAAAAGUGUUAAUGCAUUAAUUAAAGUUUGAUCUUGAUAAUUAUUUUUACAUUAGGAUAUAAAGGUUUUUUUUUUUGUUGAAUAAGAUAUUUUGGAAGAAGACAGAGAAAAAGACUACAGCAUCAUUGAAGGUCAUACAAUUAAAAAAACUAUAAAGUAAGCUUCAAAGACGGAAAUAAUUUUAAAACAAAAUUAUAAAAGAACAUCUGUCCAUAAUACUUUUCAUAAACUUGGAAAUUAUUUUCUUCAUUUUAUAAGAUGUUAAGGUUUUUUCUUUUUUGGGAGUUUUUAAAAAUUGGAUCAAUGUUGGUACCAAUGAAGUCACUAGUUUAUGAGUUGAAGUAGUUUGAUUAAAUAAAUUAUUAAAAUAAUAAAAAGAAUUUGGUUCAAUUGACUUUUAAUUUAAUCUAUAUUGAUUUCUGAGUCAAUUAGUUUGUUAUUUUUCUUUGAAUCAAUACCCCAACCAACUCGAUUUUGUUCAGGUAACCAUGUCUUUAUGUUAAAAAGCAUUAAUGCACUAAUCAGAGUCUGAAUUUAGUAACUAUUCUCACAUUCAGGUAUAGAAGGUUCUUUUAGCGAAGAGAUGAAACAUUGCAAAAAAUUGAAUAAGAUAUUUUGAAAGAAACCAGAGAGGAAGACUGAAACAUAUUCAAUAAAAUUGAGCAUUGAGCAUUGUACAAGUAAAAGAACUUUAAAACACAAAAUUAUAACUUUAAAAAAUAUUAAAACUCACAAUAAAAUAACAAGAUUAUAAAGUAAACUUUAAAAUGCACUAAUUAAUUAAAUUAAGUUACAUAUUAUAGAAAACGGUGUCGUUCCUAACCCAAACACGAGCUUUCUCUGGAUCUUCUUCCUCCUCUGAUCCAUAAUCACAGCCGUGCUCCACUGAAUUGGAGCUUUUUUUUUUUUUUUUGGCGUGUUACUCGUAAAGCACUUUUAGUUAAGAUUCGUGUGUUACUGUUGAAGUUGUUAAGAAAUGUGUUUUUGUUUUGAAUAUGAUAUAUACGUACAUAUCAGAAAAAAAAAAAUUAGCAUACCCGAGGUCUGUUUCUGAUAGCCGCAACGUGUAAAACAGUUUUCCCUUCCAUGUCUGCCCAACUUAUUGGUUCUUUCUCCCAACGUUGGGCAGCUUCAUGGCGGCUCCUUAUAAGCCACCUCACCAAGACUUGGAAAGCUUCAAACUUGUCUUUUACUGAAAUAUGGAAAACAGGCACGUCUUCAAUACCCUUGGGACAAACCUCAAGAAACUUGAACAAAAGAUCAGCAUCUCCGGUCCGAACGACAUGAUGCAGAGGAGUGAGGCCCCCCUUCCCUUUGACACGAAUGAAAUAAAUACACGUACACAUGUCUAAUACGCGUAAACAUGAUUUAAAUGGUUUUGCCGACAGCAAUCAAAUUUCCUAGUAAAGUCUUUGUGGUUGGUGAAGAACAGCCAUCGGACCAUACUUUUCAUAAACUUGAAAAUUCCAAUUAAGUCACUAAUUCAUUAGUUGAAUUAGUUUCAUAAAUAAAUUAUUAAAAUAAUAAAAAAUAUUGGUUCAUAUUCAAUUAAUUAGUUUUAUAUCUCUCUUUGUAUUGGUACCCCAAUCGGCGUAAUUCUACUUAAGUAAUCAUAUCUCUAUGUUGAAAAGUGUUAAUGCACUAACUGAAGUUUAAACUUGGUACGUAAUUGUUUUCACAUUAGGGUGUAAAAGUUUUUUUUUUUUUUUAGGUAGAGACAAAGCAUUGCAAAAAAAUUGAAUAAAAUAUUUUGAAAGAAGGCAAAGAAAAAGACUAAAGCAUCAUUGACGGUCGUACAAUUAAAAAAACUAUAAAGUAACCUUUAAAGAUGGAAAUAAUUUUAAAAAACAAAAUUAUAACUUAACCUAGGAACACCUGUCCAUAAUUCUUUUCAUAAACUUGGAAAUUAUUUAUAAGAUGUUAGGUUUUUUAUGGGAGUUUUUUAAAAUUAGAUCAAUGUUGGUACCAAUCAAGUCAUUAAUUCAUGAAUUGAAUUAGUCUGAUUAAAUAAAUUAUUAAAAUUAUAAAAGGAAUUUGGUUCAAUUGACUUUUAGUCUGAUCUAUAUUAAUUUCUGAGUCAAUUAAUUUGUUAUUUCUCUUUGAAUCAGUACCCCAACCAACUCGAUUUUGUUCAAGUAACCAUGUCUCUAUGUUGAAAAGCAUUAAUGCACUAAUCAAAAUCUAAACAUAACAACUAUUCUCACAUUGAGGUAUAGAAGGUUAUUUCGGUAAAGAGAUGAAAUAUUGCAAAAAUUUGAAUAAGAUAUUUUGAAAGAAAGCGAAGAGAAAGACCGAAACAUAUUUAACAUUAAGCUUUGCACAAGUAAAAAAUAAAUAAACUAAAUAAUUUUAAAACACAAAAUUAUAACUUUAAAAAAAUUAAAAUUCACAAUAAAAUAACAAGAUUAUAAAGUAAACUUUAAAAUGCACUAAUUAAUUAAAUUAAGUUACUUUUUAUAAAAAAAAUUCAAAGUAAAUUACUCGUAGUAAUUUUUUAAUGUUAGGUAUGUUGCAUAUGAUUUUAUAUUUUUAAUUUAUUAAAUAUUAUAUUUUUACAAAUUCAAAUAUGUAUUUAUGCUAAUUAAACGAGGUUUAAUUUAAUUUAUACUAAAGAUAAAUUAGUUUGAAAAAAUAUUAAGAGAAUAAAAUAGCAUUUUAAAAUUAAUGAAAAAAAUGAACUAAUACAUAUACAACUAUUAAAAUAAUAUACAAAUUUAAAACUAUAUAAAAAAAUAAAUGGAAAACAUAUUUACACUUAAUUAAAGAUCACAUUUAAUAAUAACAACUAAAAAAUAUUAUUUAAAUUUUGUUUUUCAAAAGAAUACACGAAACAUUUUUCAUCUGCACCAAACGAAUAAUGGACAAAUAAAAAAAUGAAUUUAAAAUUACUUGCUUCGCAUAAUACGGUUACUUUAUUUAAAUUUGUAUUGUUUAAUAUAGGUGAUUUAUUUAAAUUUCUAUAGAGAUUUCACCUUCGUACUUAAAAAAAUAAAACACUCACCCCUAAAUUUCCUCUUGACAAUUUAGGUUGUAAACACAACUUGUUUACUCUCAAUUGCACUCACACAAUUAGUUCCUCAAUUAAUGAAUAAAGUGCUCUCAAUAUAGUCUCUUUUAAAACCUAUACAAACCUCAACUUAUAUAGAAGUGUUUUGGUUUACUAACAUACUCGAUAUUGAUUACAAUAUAACCCCUUAAAAUCAACACCUACAAAAUAGAAAAAAAGAAAUAUAUUAUAAAGUCCAAUAAAGUCUGAUCUAUGGAUAUAUAGUCUUCAAUGUAAACAACAACUCAAUCCGAAAGAUUCUCUAUAAACAGAGGAUUGUAAUUGUUCAAACCAAUCCAAUCUUCACAAUGCAAAUAAUUAGUUCUCAUAAUUAGGCUUCUAUAUCUUCAAAAUAUCAACAUAGUUAAUAGCCCAAAGAUUUUAAGCCGAGGAUUGUCAACUCCAAAUAUAGCAAGUACAAUUGUACUAUUGCAAGGAUGGAUGACAAUGGGAUCUACCAAGUGCUGCUCAUAAUGCUUCUUUACAAUUUGUCUCAACAAUUUCCCCAUUUGAAUUUUUUUUUGAACAAAAUCCAAUUCAAACCAAGAAGUUAACUAGAAUUUUAUGUGAUGAUAUGAUGGUUAAGGGUGUUUACCGUUCCAGAUAUGGCUUGAGUUUGAGUCUUGUUAGUUGCGUUUUUUGUCCAGGCUUUCCCUGUUAUUAUAAUUCACUAAAAAAAUUUUACUGAUUUUUGACAAGUAUAAAUUAUGUUAAUAUCAUGGUUGAACUCAUUGCAUAUUUGAUUCUAAACAUCUCUCCGGUCCGAACGACAUGAUGCAGAGGAGUGAGGCCCCCCUUCCCUUUGACACGAAUAAGGCCUUCAUCAAACUUGAGGAGUCGAAGCACCGCUUGAGUUCUGUUAUUCUGCAGAGCCAAGUGCAUGGGGGUCAACCCAGCUUGGUAUAGUUUUCUUGCAAACGAUGGCUUUAAGUUGAUCAUCUCCAUCAGAAAAUCAAUAUGCCCUGCAGAGGCUGCCACAUGUAAUGGAGAAUGAAAAAAGGCACAUCAUCAAUACGCUGUAAAACAAAUGGAUGACUCGCAAUAUCUCCUGUUCGUGCAGCCUCUAUCAUCGUCGAAUUCAUAGCUUGGAAGAAGGGGGGCAGUCAAUUGUGAGACAAAUGGAAACUGAUAAAAAUUUUCAAGAAACACAGAAAAAAGAAGCAGAAGACAAUAUAGAAAAGGAAAUAUGGAAUGUCAAAAUUUGGAUCUAAAACGAAAAUCCGACUUAAGUAUAGCGUCUCAUAUUUGAUAAAAGAAAUCUUCAUUUCUUAAGUCUUAUUCGACUUAAAGCUUGUGUCACAUUCUUUAAACUUUGAUAUCUAUUAUUUCAAGUAUUUUAAUUAAAUAAAUUAAUAAAUUUAAGUGUUUGUGUAAUAGGCCCAAUUUGCUUGGGCCCAGACGAAAACCAAACAAAAAUAAAAAAUAACAAUUCCAGUCCAUUUACAGUAAAUUUAAACUCAAAAUAACAAUGGCCCGAACAGCCCAAUAAGAAUGAAAACCCACUAUGAAAUUGGAUGUAUAUUCUAAGUUUAAAGAAAUGAAAGGCAGUAGUGCGAACAAAAAGCCACAAGCGAUGCUGUUCUGUUUCUUUUAUGAGAAUUAUCGGGAAGCAUUUUUCUUUCUGAAAAGCUUGGGGGUUCCACCAUGUCAAAAGAAUUUUAUCAUUUAGAGUUGGGAAGCUUUUUUUGUGUUUCUUUUUGAAGAAUUCAUUGGAAAGCUUUUUUCCUUUUGAAGGAUUAUAAAUUUAGUAGUGAAAAAAUAUUACAAAACUCCUAAAUAAUUUUAGAUACACAUAUUUUAUCACUAAGCUUUAAAUAAAGUUUGUCUUUCUCACCCAUGUUAUUGUUAAAGAAAUAUAAAGUGACCCGGAACAGCGAAGAUUCCUUAAUUUAAUUGAAAUUUAUAUAACUUAUGUGAAAUAUGAUUUGAAUUAUGUAUGAAAAUUACAAGUAAUUUAAAGGAUAACUAAGAAAAAGAGAGAGCAAAGAUUAUACAUUAAUGCUUCUAUACUUAAAAGAUACAUAGAAAAUAAGAAACAAUUUGUGUAAAACGUGGGAUAGGUUUCACUCGAAAUUAUAGGAGACGUUUCUUUCACAUACUACAAAUGGAUAGAAGAAAUAGAUGUAUAAUGACUUAUUUGAUAUUCUAAUUUUAUAAAUUAAAAAGUCAUUUUAAUCAUUUGUCUAAUUUUUGUUUUUUUUUUUAGUUCUUUAACUUGUAUUAUUUGUCAAAUCACCUCAAAAUAGAUAUAAAAAUUUACAAAUAUGACAUAAACAUAGAUUGUCACAUAGAUGCUACAUUAGUAAUUAAUUAUUUUUUAAAUAUACAAAAUAUAAAAGCUAUAAAAAGUAUUAAAAAGUAUAAUUUUUAAUAAAUUAAUUAAUUGCUAAAUGCGUUCUGUCAAAAAAGUUAAAAGAUAUUAAUUUCUCUAUCUAUUUUGAAGUGAUUUGACAAAUAAUACAAGUUUAAUGAUCAAAAGAGACGAAAAAUUAAAUAGAUGACUAAAAUAAUUUUUUUUUUUGUAAAAUUGAAAGAUCAAAUAAACCAUUAUAUCUAAAAUAAACAAAAUCAACAACUAAAAUCACAUUGCCAUUUAGAUAAUUUAGGAUGUUACAACAUUGAUGCAUAAUCUACAAUUUAGAGCUAAGAUUAUACAUUACUUGUAUACUUAAAUUCACUUUUAGUUCAUCUAAUCAAAUUAUAAGUGAAAUAAACCUAUUCAAAGAAUAAUUCGCAAAAAUAUUUAGAAGAUAACGUCACAUUGACAUACUAGAAAUAAAUGUUACAACAUUGAGUGCACUGUAUUAUGUAUAAUCGACAUAAACUAAGUUAUAGCCAACAUUCUAUCUAUCUAAUUGGGUAUCUCAAGGUAUUACCAUCACUAAUGAAAGCAUUAAUACCUAUAAAUAAACUAUAGCAUACUACUAAAUUGGUUCAUUUCAAGAAUUCAUCAUAUAAAAAAAAGGAAUAACAGCAAUUUUUGAGCUGCGCCUAUACUUAAUUUUUUGCCUAAACAUAAAUAUAAAAUUGAAAGGAAUAUUCAACAUCCCACUAUUGAAACAUUAAGUUUGACACUUGAUAUUCGACACACAUGAAUACCAUUAAAACGAAAUGAAUUCUUGAAAAUAUAUUUUACGUGUGUUGAAUGGGUGGAGCCCAUAACAGAUAUUGAUUCAUCGAAGCACACUGCAAGCAACACAAGUAGUAUUUGAAAUAUAACAAUGAAGGCAUAGGUGCUAGUCAAAUGAAGUAGGUCUUUCAUGUUGGAAAUUAUAGAUUGUAAAUUUAAUUAUUGAUGAGCAUUUAUUCAAAUUUAGAAAGUGAUAUAUUUUUAUGAGAAAUAUUUUUUUUAAAUAUGUCUAACGGUUAUGAUUCUAUAAAAUAGUAUUUCUUAAAUGCAUAUAAAUAGAAAUCGCAAUUACAAUCAAUCUUAUUUUCAAAAAUUAAAGUAAGAAUAUUCCUCUAUUUUACAAUGGAUUUGUCAUGUUCAUGAAAUACAAAAGAAUCUAUGUAAUAUUAAUUAUAAAAGCGGAUGAGUCAAACCUCGGGUUGAUUAUUUCUAGCAUGCAGCAAUGUGUAGUGCAGUGUUGACAUUUUUGUCUUUCCUGUUUACCACUUCCCAGCAACAGUCUUUCUUCCCAAGUUUUGGAGUUAGGACUUGAAGAACGUCUAAUUGAUUGUUCUUCGUUGCAAUCUGCGAAGCGGUGCAAUUCGCUGUUGUAACAUCUCGGAUACUAUUAGGACAAGUCUUCAGAAAUGUAUCUAACAGGCCAUCGUGGCUUCCAGCUUUACAAAUGUAAUGCAAAGGAGUCACACCAUUUUCCCCUCUAACACGAACAAGAUCGUUAUCGGUUUCUAUGAGACGCAACGCCAUCUCUUGAUGCCCUUUCUCGACAGCAAGGUGAGUAGGGCUCAAGCCUUGGUGGUUUAGCUUCCUGGCAAAGGAUGGCUUUAAACUCAUAAUCUCCAUUGCAAACUCAAUGCACCCUUCGUCUACAGCAAUGUGUAAUGGAGUAUUGACAAACUCCACCUCAUCAGAGCGCUUCAAAACAUUUCCAUCUCUCUCGAUUAAUGUAUACAACUAACAUUUCCUGCUCGAGCAGCUCUUUCCAAUAUGUUAUCCAUAACAGGAGGAAGGAUCAACUGAAAGGCUAAUGUGAUAUGUUCAGAGUCAAAGGUUUAAAUAAAUGGGAGGCAGUAGGUGAACGAGGAAGGCUAAUGUAUACAAUUAGCUUACUGUACGAAAAGAAGUCAUUCGUUCUUUUCGUUUUAUAUGAAAAGCCUACUGUAUCAAAUACAAUUAGCUUACGAAAAUAGUGGAAAGUUACAUAUGAAAAUCAAGUAUACUUGAGUGAUAUUUCAUUUUCUCGGAAAAAAAAUUGUUAGGCAAUUCUAAUGGCUUUGGUUCAGACUUUCAAUUGGUUGCUUUACUUUCAAUGGCUUUGGUUGACACUUUCAAUUGGUUGCUUUACAUUUAAGUCAAACUGAAGCUUUGGUUAAGCAUGAAAUUGGACACUACCUAAAACAUAGCAAAUUGCAUGCUCCCAACCUCAACCUGGUUUUUCUAAACAUAAUUUAUUUAAUAUAUAUGUUAAAAUAGUUAAAUAUAGUAUUUAAAUUUGAAAUUAUAAGGAUGAGUAAAUAUUUUUGUAAAAUAAAUAAUACCUCUUUCAAAUAAGUAAUAAAUAAUACUUGUGAAACCCAUGUAAUUAGCCAAUUGUAAUUAGUUUAUUGCAAACCAAUGAACUAAAAACAUGUGAAAAAAUAAUACUUCUACACUACACCAAAACAGGCUUUUAGCGGCAUUUUCAGCAGCGUUUAGACAAAAAACGCCGCUAAAAAUCGAUCAUUAGCGGCGCAUUACGUAAAACGCCGCUAAAGAUUGAGCAUUAGCGGCACUUUCAGGAAAGCGCCGCUAAAAAUGAGCAUUAGCGGCGUUUUUUUGUAAAACGCCGCAAAAAACCUAAGCCCAACAGCAUUGUUUUCAACCUUUCGGGGCUUUAGCGGCGUUUUUAAAAAAAGCGCUGCUAAUGCUCAGAUCUUUAGCGGCGUUUUUGACAAAGCGCCGCUAAUGCUUAGAUCUUUAGCGGCGUUUUUCAAAAAGCGCCGCUAAUUCUCAGAUCUUUAGCGUCGUUUUUGAAAAAGCGUCGCUAUCAAAUCUUUAGCAGUGUUUUUGGAAAAGCGCCGUUAAUACUCAGAUCUUUAGCGGCGUUUUUGGAAAAGCGCCGCUAAUGCUCGGGGCUUUAGCGGCGUUUUUUAAAAAGUGCCGCAAAAACAUUUUAACUGUCUAUUUACUAUUUAAUUUGUUUAUUUAUAUUAAUUAAAAUUCAAUUUAUUUUUAAUUGAAUAUUUGUUAAAAAUGGAUAAAUUUGAAAUAAUAACACGUAGAAAUAAUUUGAAAUAAAAAAAUAUAGAAAAAUAUUUGUUAAAAAUGGAGAAAUUAAAAUACUAUUAUUUAAAAUAAUUUUAAAUUUUUUUGGGUACAUAAUUGAUUGAUUUUUAAUUUAUAUAUUAAAUAAUUUCAAAUAUAAUUGUAAAAGAUACGAUAGUAUUAAUUUUAAAAUAUUUAAUUUAAUUAUCAUUAUAGUUUAGGGUUUAAUAUAUAUGGUUUAGAGUGUAUAUAUAUGUUUAAUUUAGGAUUUAGGGCCGGUUUAAGAGUUACAAUUUUAAGGUUUAUAGAUUAUGGAAUUAGAGAUUAUGGAUUAGGGAUUUUGAUUUAAGGGUUGUGAUUUAAGGUUUAUGGGUUAGAGGUUAGGGGUUAGAGGUUAAGAGUUAUGAUUUAGGGUUUAUGGAUUCAAUGUCAGGUUAGGGUUUAGGGUAUAGAUUAAUUAAUGUGUUUUAAUUUAUAUAUUAAUAAUGUUUAGGGUUAGGGUUAGGGAUUCGGGGUCAGGUUAGGGUUUAAUGUUUAGAUUAAUUAGUGUUUUUUAAUUUAUAUAUCAAAUAAGGUUUAGGGGUUAGUGUCUAAGGGUUUGGGGUUAGUGUUUAAAGGUUUAGGAUUAAGAGUUAGUGAUUUAGGGUUUAGAGAUUCGAGGUCAAGUUAGGGUUUAAGGUUUAGAUUAAUUAGUAUUUUUAAUUUAUAUAUUAAAUAAGUUCUUAUAUAAUUGUAAAAGAGACAAUAAUAAAUUGUAAAGAUUAUUAAUCUAACCAUUUGAUAUAUUUGAAUAUUAGAUUUAAAAAAAUUAAUAAAAAAAUGUAACAAAUUGAUACAGAUAGGUAACUAUCUAUUUUGGAUAUAUAGGACCAAAUUAUAACAAAUAAAAAUAAAAGACAAAAACUAAAAUCAUUCCACAUCGAGCAUCUAGCAAAAGAAUUACAUUUUAGUUAGGAAGAAAUAUCUCUAAUAAAAAGCGUCGCUAAAAGUCAAUAUUAUAGCGCCGUUUGUAAUAGAAGCGCCGCUAAAGGUCUUGGUCUUUAGCGGCGUUUGUGGGAAAAGUGCCGCUAAAGGUCUUGGUCUUUAGCGGCGUUUUUGGGAGAAGUGUCGCUAAAGGUAUUGGUCUUUAGUGGCGUUUGUGGGAGAAGCGCUGCUAAAGGUCUUAGUCUUUAGCGGCGCUUGUGGGAGAAGCGCCGCUAAAGGUCUUGGUCUUUAGCGGCGUUUGUGGGAGACGCACCGCUAAAGGUCUUGGUCUUUAGCGGCGUUUUUUUCUAUAAACGCCGCUAAAGUUAGCGACGCCAUCUUUAGCGGCGUUUUUUUGGCGCUUCUCAAAGCGUCGCAAAUACUUUUAGCGGCACUAAAAAGCACCGCUAAAGGCCUAAAAAAGCGCCGCUAAAAGCCUGUUUUGGUGUAGUGCUAUUAAAUGUAUUAUUAAUGUUAUUAAUUAAAGGGUUUUUUUUUUGCCAUUAAGUCUUUGGCUAUGCUAGUAAGGUUAAAACAUGGGAUUUUGAAUGUUCAAGAUCGAAAUUCACUCUUUGUAAACCAUGUAUGAGUUUUAUUAGAGGAUUAAUUGUUCGGGCUACAUUAUGGGUCGAAUUUAAGCAGUAUGUUAACAUAUUUUAUGUUUAUCCAAGUUCAGGCUAACUCUAAAUAUAAGCUUAAAAUUUUGUCCAAGUUUACACAUACUUGUAAAUAACUAACCGAAGCCCAUUUGCGGCCACCCAUAUUAUUAUUUUUUAAAUUUGUUUGAAAUAUUUAUAUUAUUUUUAGUUUAAUAUUUAAUAAUUUUAUAUAGUUUUUCAUUUAUUAAAAUUUUAUAUGCAUCCAACUAACAAUUUUUAAUGCUUACAAUUAAUAUGAUAUAUUACUAUAGAUUGAAUUUUAAUGUGUUACAAAUUACAUAUUAUAUAAAAAUAACAUAAUAUAAUAUAUUAAAAACUAUAGAAAAUGAAUCGGACUAGUCGGGAUUAGAAGGUCAGGCCUUGAAUGUUUGAGCUCAACCCCGACACAUUUUAAACAUGUUUAUUUUUUGAUUUGUUUGUUCAAACCUUUUUUUUUACUGUUCAAAAUUUUGAGUGAGUCUUUUAGCUUGAACAUGUAAUUCAAUCCUUGAACAAGUUUGUGUUUUAUCUAAACUUAUUUUUACUUAAAUAUGGUUACGUGUGAAUUAUGUCUAGAAUUAUUCAAAUCGAGAUUAUUUUUCAUCUGCAAUUUUUGAUUUGAAUGUAUUGUAUAUUCUUUUUAAUUAUCAGUGAGAAUGAUCGUAUUUGCACCAUUUCUAAAUUUUUUUAGAGCUCUAACCAUUUUAAUUAUCACUUAACUAAUAAUACAAUUAUAUAUCAAUCAAAAUUUAAAUUUAACUUUAUAAAUAGCAUCCAAUAGUUAAACAUAUCAGUCAGAUAGCAAAUAAAAUAGAGUACUAAGAAACAAUUGAGCAUUAAAGCAAUGAUUCUUCAAACAAUACAAUAGAAUUAUAAUGAUUUUAUAAAGAAAAAACUUAUUUUAAUCUAAUUUUAGUUCAUUAUUUCAAAUUAUUAAAUGGGUUUUAAUAUUAAUUAAUUUCUUUUGUUUAUUAUUAAAAAAGCUAUAUGCUAGGGGUAGAAGAGAGUUAAUAAUAAGAGAAAUAUUAUUUUAAUAUAAUUAAUUAUUUAGAACGACUUUCACAAAAUAAAUUUAACGAAAAAUGAAAAUUUGUAGAAAUUAUUUUAAAAAAAGAAUAUAUGUCAAUUUUCUUUCACCUGAAAAUCUAAUCGAAUUAUAAACGAAAUAAACCCAUUCAAAAAAUAACAACAAAAAUGUUAUAUUGACAUAUUACAAAAGGGUAUUACAAAAUUGGGUGCACCGUAUUAUACAUAAUAGACCUAGAUUAAGGAAUAACCAGCAUCCUAUUAAUGCAACAAAGUAUGGGAAAGUCAAUAUCAUUACCUAAUAAAGCAUCAACACUUACAAAUAAACAAUAGCAUACAACAAAAAAGGUUCCUUUCCAGAAUUCAUCGUAUAAAAUAAAGAAUAACAACAAUCCUUGACCUACACUCAUAUCUAUUCCACUUUCCACAAAAAAGUAUAAAAUUGAAGGGAAUAUCCAAUAUCCUACUAUUGAAACACUAAUUUUUGACACUCGACAUACGAUACACAUGGACACCAUUAAAAGGAAAAGAAUUCCUGAAAAUAUAUUAAUAAUUGCAUAUGUUAAAUAGGUGGGGGCUAACUCAGAUAUUGAUUCAUCGCAGGACACUGCAAGAAACGCUAAUAAUACUUGAAGUGCACUCCUAAAAUCAUGUGGAAAAGUUUUGAGUAAAGCUAGUGUUAGGAAUAAUGUUACGAGGAACACAAGGUAGGUUGGAAUAUAGAAGAGAAGAAAAUGCGUUUGACCCAUGACUGAUUUCCCUAGUACCAUUGGAUCAUAUGAUCCUUUGGACUUUGAGGUAUUUUCACCUUGCCAAACAACACCAGGUGGGCUUAGAGUGGCUUGGUAGGUUGCGGUUAGAAGCAGUCCUAAAAUGACUAGCAAGGCAUUGCGGUCAUCGGCUGAUAUAUUGUCCAUAUUUUUAAAAAUUAGUAGUGAUGCUUUUGUCACAUACUUGACAACUUGUUUCUCCAACUUACGUUGUAAGUUUGAAACUACUGGAAUAAAGCAGCCUUUCAGUAUAGCAAUGUUUUCUCUGUUGUUAUGUUGUUGUGCAAUACCCAGUGCGGUCAAACCAACUUGAUUGGUAGCAUGCUUAUCAGCCUUGCAAUUUAAUAGUAUUUUAAGCAUCUGUUCAAUUGAUAGUUUAGGAUAUAAAAAGGCUAGAAUCAAUUAAUCAUGUCUAUGAAGUAAAAAAAGAAUCUAUGUAAUAUGAAUUACUAUCGAAGGAGUUGAGUCGAACCGUGGGUUGGUUAUGGAUAGCGGCUAUGUGUAGUGCAGUGUUGCCAUCUUUGUCUUUCCGGUUCACCACUUCCCAGUAAUAGUCUUUCCUCUUAAGCGUUGGAAUUAGGAGUUGGAGAACGUCCAGUCUAUUGUUUUCGAUUGCAAUAUGCAAAGCAGUGCGAUUCUCAAUUGUAACAUCUUGGAUACAAUCAGGAGAAGCUUCCAGAAACGUAUCCAACAGACCAAGCUGGUUUCCAACUUUACAUUAGUAGUGCAAUGGAGUCUUACCUUUCUUUCCUCUGACACGAACAAGAUGUUUAUCAAUCUCCAAGAAGCGGAGCGCCAUCUCUUAUGCCCUUUUCUAACAGCAGUGUGAAGUGGGCUCAAACCUUGGUGGUUUAGCUUCCGAGCAAAUGAUGGCCUUAAGUUCAUCAUCUCCAUUGCAAACUCGAUGCACCCUUCUUCUGCAGCUAUAUGUAAUGGAGUGUCGAUAAACUCCACCUCAUCAACACGCCUCAAAACAUUUCCAUUUCUUUGAAUUACUCUAUGCAAUUCGUUAACCUUUCCAGUACGAGCAGCCUUUCUUAAAUUUUCAUCCAUGUGAGGAAGACUAAAAAUUGGAAGGUUGAAAGGGUUUAAGAUCACUUAGAGCAAUUUAUUCAAAGAGAAAGAGAGAGUUAAAGGCAGACAAAUGUGUGUAUAUUUCUGGUCUUGAUUUUUGAGGUUUCGCCUUUAGUAGAGGAACACUUUUGGUCAUGUUAUAGUUUAUUGAAAGAGCUUAAGCCCACUUACGGUGUUUAUAACUAGAAUGAGUGAAGACUUAGGUGCUCUGUCAAAUGAAGUAGGUCAAGACUUCGCUGCAGCUUUGUUUAUAAAGAAAGCAUAAAAAGGAAGCCUUACAUUUGGCCAAAUUUUAAUUGAUAUGCUUGCCAUUUCAUGUUGUCUUAAUCCAGAAAAGCUACCUCUCAGAUUAUUAUUUAUGUUAUAAAACCUGUUAACACAGAUCAGUACUCAACAAUUUUGUUCAUAUUAUAGUUUUAUUUCUUUAGGCUCAAUCUCACACUUUCAAAACAAAUUACCUAUUUCCUCUUUUUUAUCAGAUUGAAUUUUUAAAUCGAAAAAUGCAUCGAAUAUACUUUUUAACUCAUAAAUAUAGGGUGGUUAAAGGUUGAUGAGUCAACCCAUUUUGUACAUAUAUCAUAUGGCCACUCUUCUCACACUAUUUUAUUUUAUAUAUCAUAUUAUCACUAGACGAAUUUUAGAAAAAAAAAUCAUGAAAUAUCAAUUUUUUCUAAAAAAGUUCAAUUAAAAAAUGAGAGUACACGUUAAUUUUUUUUUGAAUUACGAAUUAAUUAAAAAAUUAUUAUAUCACAUUUAAAAAAAUUUUAAAAUAUUUUUAAAUUAUAAUUUAUAGAGUUUAUAUUGAUGAAUUUCUCCUUUUCACCUAUGAUUUUUUUUCCCAAAAGGACUUUUCACAUAAAAUUUGUUUGUUAUUAUUUUUCUUGUUAUUGUUUUAAAAUUAUUCCUAUUGCUUUUAUGGACGUCUAUAUUUUUGGCGAUGUCAUGAUUUAAACCAACAAAGGAACAAUAGAAAAGACAGAAAUUGAAGGGUAUAAGAAAAUAGAAAAAAGGCUGCUUUUUAAAUUUGUUUUGGAUAUUUGGAGGAGUUUAAGGAUUUCAAAUUUUAAAAAAUAAAUUUAUUCGAAUAAAAAUAUUGAAUAAUUUCCAAAUUUAUGAAGAAUUUUAAGAGAGGAUUUCGCUUGGCUCAAAUUCUUCUUUUUGUUUAAAUCUAAUAUAUUUUCGAUAUUUUAUUUCAUUAAACAUAUUUAUAGAUUUACAAAUCCAAUGAUUUACAUACUAAAUAUUCUUGUAUUAUUUUAUUUUUAAUAUAUAUAAUUAUUCCUUUUAAUAAUUAGUUUUUAAUUCAAACAAUUAGGAUUGCUAACAUUUUAAAUUAAUAAAUUAAAUUUUUUUAAAAUUUUAAAAUUAUUCAAUCAAACACGCGUUGAAAUAUUUAGUAUUAAUGUAUUAAAAAUAUACUUAAAUAAAUGAAAAAUGAUUGUAUAAAACUAUGAUACAAACUAUUCUUUAUCUUUUUCUAAUAAAAAAUAACAAUUACCGAAAUUAUUAUUUGCUAAUAAAUGGUGGGAUAAGACUUGAAAUUAAUGUUGAAGUUGAAGAUAUUGAAAUCAAAUGGAGCUUUAUUUUGGGUUAAUUGUAGGUUGGACAAGUUAGAGAGUUACAACAUUUAUUAAACUGUUUUAUGCAUAUAUAAUCGACAAAAAUGAAGUAAAAACCAGCAUCCUAGUAAUAUAAUAGGGUAUCUGGAGCUAAUACCAUCAACACCAUUAUCAAUACCAAUCAAAGAAUCUAUUCUAAAGAAUAAACCAUAACCUACAACUAAAAUAAUUCCUUUUAAGUACUCAUCGUAUAGAAAAAAGGACAACAAAAAUUCUUAAAUUACACCUCCAACUAUUUCUCCACCUAAAAUGGAAAAAAAAGAAAAAAAAAUCAAACAUCCCACUAUUAAAACACUGAAUUUUGACACCUGAUAUGUGAUGCACAUAAACACCAUUAAAAUGAAAAUAAUUGUUGAAAAUAUACAAAGAAUUCCCGAUGUUAGAAAGGUAGGGUCUAUGAAAGAUAUUGAUUGAUCGAAGCACAUUGCAAGAAAGGCAAGUAGUACUUGAAGUGCUGUCCUGAAACCAUGGGGAAAUGGUUUAAGCAGGGCUAGUAUUAGGAAAAAGGUUACUAUGAAGACAAUAUAAGUUGGAAUAUAGAAAUGAAGAAAACUAGAUUGAUCCAUGACUGAUUUCCCUGGUACUGUUGAAUCAUAUGAUCCUUUGGACGUUGAGGUAUUUUCACCUUACCAAACACCACCAGGGGGGCUUAGACUGGCUUGGUAAGUUGCAGCUAGAAGUACUCCUAAAAUUACUAGUAAGGCAUUGCGGUCCUCCCCUGAUAUAUUAUCCAUAUUGUGAAAAAUUAGUGAUGAUGCCUUUGUCACAUGCUUGACGAUUUGUUUCUCCAAUUUACAUUUAAAGUUUGAAACUUCUGGAAUAAAGCAACCACGCAGAAUAGUAAUGCUUUCCCUAUUAUGUUGUUGUUGUGCUACAUCCAUUACCGUCCAACCAGCCUGGUUGUUGGCAUGCUUAUCGGCUUUGCAGUUUAAUAGUAGUUUAAGCUCUGUUCAAAAAGGCUACGUUUAGUUAAUCCUACGUAUGAAAUACAAAAGAACCUAAUCAAUACGGACUGCUAUUGAAGUAGAUGAGUCAAACCUCGGGUUGAUUAUGGAAAGCAGCUAACUGCAGUGCAGUGUUUCCAUCUUCAUCUAUUUGGUUCACCACUUCCCGAUAAUAGUCUGUCUUCCAAAGUGUUCGAAUUAGGACUUGGAGAACAUCCAGUCUGUUGUUUUCUACAGCAAUAUGCAAAGCAUUGCGAUUCUCAAUUGGAACAUAUUGUAUACAUUGAGGACAAAUCUCUAAAAUUCUAUCCAACAUGCCAUCAUGAUUUCCAGCUUCACUUAAGAAGUGCAAGGGAGUCUUACCGUUCUUUCCUUUGACACGAACAAGAUCAUUAUCCAUUUCCAAGAAACGUAGAGCCAUCUCUUUAUGCCCUUGUUUAACUGCAAUGUGAAGUGGGCUCAGGCCCUGUUGGUUUAGCUUCCUAGCAAAUGCUGGCUUUAAGUUCAUCAUUUCCAUUGCAAACCUAAUGCAUCCUUCUUCUGCAGCAAUGUGUAAAGGAGUGUCGACAAACUCCACCUCAUCAAAGUGCCUCAAAACAUUUCCAUCUCUUUGAAUUAAAUUGUACAAAUCAGUAACAUUUCCUGUACGAGCUGCUGUUCUCAACCUUUCAUCCAUGUGAGGUGGAAGGACCAAUUGACAGAAGAAAAUUUGAAAGAGCUUAAGCCCACUUACAAGGUUUACUAGAAUGAGUAAAGACUAAGGUGCUCUGUGAAAUGAAGUAGGUCUUUCACAUGUUCAUACUCGAAAGUUUAAAAUAGGAAACAUUUAUCAAGAAUUUUCUGCAGCUUUGUUUAUAAAGAAAGCAGAAAAAGGAAUCUUUCAAGUCCGCCUGCUUAUUAUUUUAAAGAAAGUUACAUUUGUCCAAAUUUUAAUUGAUCUUCUUGCCAUUGGCUAAGCAGCCUCUCAUAUUAUUAUUUAUGUAUUUAGGUUAGUUUAAAAUUUUUAAAAUUUUAUAUUACUGAAGGUAAAAUUGUAUUACCUUCUUAAAAAUAAUAAUAAUUUAAUUUAAUCUUUUAAAAUUUAUAAAGAUAUAAACAAUUAAAAUGAUGAAAUUAAAUUUUUACUAUCGUAAAAAUUAUAAUUUAAUUUCGAUUUCUCUUAAAAAAAUUAUACCAAAUAAGUUUUUUAAUUCAUAAAAUAUGAUCGUUAAAGGUUGGCGAGUGAACCAUUUUGUACAUAUAUCAUAUCACAUGGCCACUCUCGUGAUACUAUUUUAUUUUAUAUAUCAUAUUAUAAUGGUGUUUUUGGAUCACUAGAGGAAUGUUAGAAAAAAAAUCAUAAAAAUAUCAAUUUAAAAAAAAAACAAAUCUAUUAAAAAAUGAGAGUACACAUUAAUCUUUUUAAUUACGCAUUGAUUAAACAAUUAUUAAAUGACAUUUUAUAAAAAAAUUUAAAAUACAUUUAAAUUAACUAUAAUUUAUUUACACACACAAAAAAAAAAAAAAACUAUAAUUCAUAGAGUCUACAUUAAAGAGUGAGUUAGUAUAGGAAAGGUUAUAGCAAUGGAUGUUUAAUCUUUUUGGUGCUGUGAUCUAAGCCAACAAAGGAACAAUAGAAAAGACAGAAAUUGAGCGAUAAAGUAUAUACAUAUUUAUUAUGUUUUUGAAGGUUUCAUUAACCUGGAGUUAUUAUAUUAUAAAACUUUGCAUACUUUAAGGUUAAAAACUUGUGUUCAUCCAUGUGAUCUAGUUUUAUCCAAUGAUAAAACUAUGCCUUUUGUAUGCCCAUACUCCAAAUGUAAACAAAUAGCAUCUACAAUAAACUUCAUACUUCACUAGCAUUGUAUAUCCCCUCCACCGCCACCCCUGUGGCUAUCAAUAAGUUCAGAAUUAAGUAGCUGUGGUUUUCUCUUGUAAGGAUGAGAACACAAGUUUCAAUCUAAAAAAUAUUAUUUGUUGUGUUAAGAUAUAAUAAAUCUGUUAAAGAAGUAGUUACAGAUUAGCUGAGUUGUCAGCUAUAUUGUUAAGAGAAGCAGUUAGUUAGAGAGUCUAUAAAUGUUCACGAUUGGCAUUGUAUUGAAUCAAGUUAGAAGUCUAAAUUCAGAAUUGAAAACAUUGUUCAUUAAGAAUUCUUUAGUUUCUUAGAACUUACCUAUAUUUCUUCAUGGUAUCAAUCGCCUGGUGAUCCUCUGCCAUGGCUACCACGAAUUCUGCUACUUCUGAUUCUGUAGAACCGCAAGUGUCUGCGUUUGUUGCUGAUCGAGUUGUAAAUUCAUUUCCUCGUCAUGAGGUUGUGAAGCUAGAUGAAGGCACCUUUGUUCAGUGGAAACAACAGGUGCGUUUUAUUGUUAAUGGUUACAAUUUGUUUGGAUUUCUUGAUGAAUCGGUUUCUCCUCAGCUGCGAUUCAUGCAAGCACCGGAUGGUGCCCUUGUGGUGAAUUCGACAGCCUCUGUUUAUCACCAACAGGGUAAUUUGAUUACAUCCUGGCUUCUAUCAACAAUCAAUUCUUCGAUCUUGUCUUCUUUUACAAAUGUGCAAACCGCUUCGGAUGUGUGGACGACGGCGUUGGCCUUGUUUGCAGCGGACACAGAUCUGAAACAGUCCCGCCUGAGACAUGAUCUUCAUUCCAUCAAGAAGGGAAAUCUGUCCAUCCGAGAUUAUGUUGGAUGUGUGCUCUUUUGGAGGCCUCUGAUUCUUCGAUCUCGGUGGCGGAACGAACGACGGUGUUUCUUCCCGGUCUUCCCUCGGAGUUUGACGCCGUGGUGUCGUCUGCUACACUGUCUUCGACCUCUCUUCCUUUCCAGCGUCUUGUCGAUGCGCUGAUCGAGUAUGAAAAUCGUCAGGUGCAAGCGGCUAAAGAAGUUGUUUAUGCCGCGAAUUUAGUGGAAGACUCGUCACCGGUUGUGGAUGUUUCAUCACGUGGGGGACGUUCGGUGGUGCGUGGCCGUGGUCGGAGCUUUCGGCCUCGGCUUCAGUGUCAGAUCUACUCAAGGUUCAGUCACGUUGCUCAACGGUGCUAUUACCGGUACCAUCAUGAAGACGCAUCUCCGGUGCAAUUUCCGUCGUCGACUCCUCCUGCUACUGGGUUUUGUGACUAGCCUUCACAGCAAAAUACAAGGCCUAGAAUUUCUAAUGUUGGUCAAAAUGGUUAUGGGUCUGGUCAACAUGGUGAUAAUGGUCAAAAUUGGUUUGUUGAUGGACCAUUUAAUACACAGCAGUGGGGGCCGCAUGAACUUCAAAAUGUUGGGCUCAAUAAUGGUUGGCCUAGGCAAAAUAUUGAUGAGGGCCGUAUGUUUAGGCCUCCAUAUUAUGGGCCGAAUGUUCUUGGGCCUAAUCAUGGGCCGAAUGAAGGAUUAGACAGGAGAUUUGGGCCUACUCAUGAUAAUGGGCCGAAUGAUGUUGGGCCGAAUGCUUCUUUAUUAGCACCUAACCCUGUUUCGAAUAAUGUGCAGCUUGACCCGGCUAAGCCAUCCGGUAAUGUUGGUGUUCCGUGGCGUACUAAACCACGAGCCUGUGUGUUUUCAGUGUCCAAUAUUUGUUUUGGGCUUCCUAGAUUGGGAGAUCUUCAUGCGUCUGACUAUUCUGAUUUGUCUAUCUCCGGUUCGCAUAUAAACUCCACACAACAUGGGAUUAGUAGAGAUGGCUCUGACUCUCCGGUUCCUGGGCCAGCUAGCACUACAUCCUGGUAUCCUGAUUCGGGUGCUAGUAAUCACGUGUGUCAAGAUCCUUCUGCACUGCGUGAUGCUGUUCCAUAUUCAGGUACGUCCUCUCUUUUAAUAGGUGAUGGUACGCCUGCUAUGAUAUCGUUUGUUGGUCAGGGUGUUUUGUCUACACAGUCUAGGUUACUUCGGUUAUUUAAUGUUUUGUGUGUUUCAGCUAUUCGAAAAAAUUUAUUGUCAGUAUCACAAUUUGCAACUGAUAAUGGUGUUUUAUUUGAGUUUCACUCCAUUUAUUAUGUGAUUAAGGACAACAUGACACAGGAGAUUUUGCUGACGGGCUGUAUACAUAAUGGGCUAUAUCAGUUUUCUAUAUCAGAUGCUUCUAUUCCUGUUACAUUUCAUCUGUCUACUGCUCAGGUUGAAAUUCCAACUCGGACUGCCGACAAUGAGUUUUGUUUACUAUGGCAUAAGCGUCUUGGCCAUCCAUCAUCGAAUGUUGUUAAGAAUGUUCUUGAUAAAUGUCAUUUCAAUUUGAAUAAAGUUGCGAUAAGCGAUGUUUGUACUGCUUGUAAAAAAGGAAAGUUUCAUAAGUUGUCGUUUCUUGUUUCUAGUACUGAAUAUACUGAUCCCUUCUCUUUGGUUAUUUCGGAUUUGUGGGGACCUGCCUCAAUUGCUUCUGGUAACAAUUGGUAUUAUGUGUCGUUUAUCGAUAUGAGUUUUCGGUUUACUUGGGUGUAUUUGAUUAGGCAAAAAUCUCAGGCUGUGACUUACUUUAUUCGGUUUCAGAAACUUAUUCAGAAUCAGUUUGGCAAGACCAUCAAACAGUUCCAAAGUGACUAGGGCGGGGAGUAUCGAGCAUUUGCUUCAGUUCUGGCCUCUCAAGGUAUCAUCCAUUGCAUUUCAUGUCCUCAUGCCUCUGAACAAAAUGGUGUUGCUGAGCAUAAACAUAGACAUAUUAUGGAAAUGAGACUCACUCUUUUAGCUCAAGCUGGUCUUUCAAUAGAGUUCUAGGCGUAUGCCUUUACAUGUGCUGUUCAUUUAAUAAAUCGUCUUCCCACACCAGUUCUGAAUUGUAGGACUCCGUAUAGAGCUCUGUAUGGGACUGAACCUAUCUAUGAUCAUCUACGUAUUUUUGGAUGUUGCUGCUAUCCGUAUUUACGCCAUUUUCAGCGGCACAAGUUAGAGUUUAGGUCUCAACCGUGCACGUUCUUGGGUUACAGCUCUUGUCACAAAGGGUAUCAAUGCCUUUUGCCUGAUGGUCGAAUUAUUAUCUCGCGUCAUGUAGAGUUUGAUGAAUCAAGGUUUCCCUCUCCAACGUCUCUAUCACGGUCUACUCGGGAGGUGAGUACUAUACCUACAUGUUUUCCUGUACUUAAGACUAAACCAUUGUGUCAAAGGAACUCAGUAACUAGUCCUAUUUGUCCGAGUACGGUGCAUGGGUCUUCGAUUCCUCAGAAUGGAGUAGAUAAUAGUCCGGAAAAUACUAAUGGUUCUAAUACUCCCUCUUUAACUAGGUCUUCGAUUCCUCAGAAUGGAGUAGAUAAUUCUCAAAAUAAUUUUUCUUCCUCUGGUGAUUUGUCUCCUACACCUGUGGUUCCAGUUCCAUUUGUUCCUACAGGACCAGAGGUUUCUGUUCCUAACAUGAAUGUUCAUUCCAUGACCACUCGGUCAAAGGCUGGUAUUUUUAAACCUAAAGUUCUUGCUGUUGAAGUUGUAGAACCAUCAACGAUUGAGAAAGCUUUUACUAGCCCUGAAUGGCAGACUACUGCUCAAUCUAAGUAUGAUGCCUUAAUCCGUAAUGGUACCUAGGAACUUGUCCCUGUGCCAUCAGGUAGGAAAGUCAUUGGCUGCAAAUGGCUAUUUAAGGUCAAGAAAAACCCGGAUGGUACGGUUGAAAGGUACAAAGCAUGUUUGGUUGCGAAAGGUUGUUCUCAAGUUCCGGGUUGUGAUUUUCAAGAGACGUUUAGUCCAGUGGUAAAACUUGCCACUAUUCGAGUUAUCCUAUCGGUCACGGUCACUAAAGGAUGGUCGCUUCGACAGGUUGAUGUCGAUAAUGCCUUUUUAAAUGGUGAUGUUGAUAAUGAAGUGUUUAUGCAACAACCCCCAGGAUAUGUUCACCUUGGCUUUGAUGGGAGACCCUUGGUCUGUCGAUUAAAAAAGGCUUUAUAUGGAUUGCGUCAGGCUCCACAAGCAUGGUUUGAGAAGUUGAGAUCGUUUCUUCUAACCGUUGGGUUUAUUGGUUCAAAGUCAGAUGCGUCGCUAAUUGUUCAUAUCUGUUCUGACUCUACUCUCUAUGUUCUUGUGUAUGUUGAUGACAUAAUCAUAACUGGUAAUCUGUCGUCAUCUAUUGACUGGUUUGUGAAGCUGCUGAAUGAUGAGUUCUCGUUAAAAGGCAUGGGUGAUCUUCAUUAUUUUCUGGGUAUUGAGGUUACUAGGUCCUCCUCUGGGUGUCUUCAUCUUUGUCAAAAGAAGUACAUCCGAGAUAUGUUGGAGCGUAGUGGUUUAUCUAAUGCUAAAAGUGUCCACACGCCCAUGAUUAGCUCGUCACAUUUGUCUAAAAAUGAUGGUGAUCCUCUUUCCGAUCCAAUUGCGUAUAGGAGCCUGGCUGGUGCAUUACAAUAUGUUGUUAUUACUAGGCUUGAUAUUGCAUAUGCGGUAAACAGGAUUUGUCAGUUUAUGCAUAGUCCUACCAUAGUUCAUAUGGUUGCUCUUAAGAGGAUAUUGAGGUACUUGUCUGGUACUCUUGAAUUUGGGAUUGUUUUUAGUCGUUUUGAUUCACUAUCUCUAGUUGGUUUUUCGGAUGCCAACUGGGGGUUGGAUUUCGAUUAUCGGCGUUCUACUUCAGGAUAUUGUGUGUUUUUUGGGUUCAACCCUGUCUCGUGGUCCUCUAAAAAACAGCAAGUGGUGUCUCGGUCUACGGCUGAGGCUGAAUACCGAAGUCUUGCUGCAAUCACCAGUGAUGUUUUGUGGUUACUCUCGUUGCUUCAGGAGCUACAUAUUAGGUCUGUUAAUCCGCCUAAUAUCUGGUGUAACAGUUCCAGUGCCGUAGUAGUUGCUACCAAUCUUAUGUUACACUCCAAAUUUAAACACGUGGAGUUAAAUCUGUUCUUUGUUCGUGAAAAGGUUGCUGCUGGUUCUGUUCUGGUCAGGGAAGUUCCUGCGUCCGAUCAAGUUGCUGAUGUCUUAACUAAACCACUCUCAGUUUCGUAUUUCACUCGAUUUAGGAAUUUUCUUCGGGUCGUUUCGGUGGGGAAGAUGGAUGCAUGUUAAGAUAUAAUAAAUCUAUUAAAGAAGUAGUUACAGAUUAGCUGAGUUGUCAGCUAUACUGUUAAGAGAAGCAGUUAGUUAGAGAGUCUAUAAAUGUUCAAGAUUGGCAUUGUAUUGAAUCAAGUUAGAAGUCUAAAUUCAGAAUUGAAAACAUUGUUCAUUAAGAAUUCUUUAGUUUCUUAGAACUUACCUAUAUUUCUUCAUGUUGGAAUGAUUUUAUAGCUACCAAGUUUCAAUUAAUGAGAUCUGUUGAAAUUUUUUUUUUGGUUAUGAAAAUAAAAAUACACAUGUAUAAUAUGUUUAGUGAACACAUUUAAAAUUAAUUUGUAAAAAUUAUUUAGACAUCUGUUGAAACAGAUACAAAAUAUACUAAAGGUGCGACUGAAACAGAAUGAAACUUUAGACUUGUCUUAAUUUUCGAUUAGAAAAUUGAAGUGUUACAACGGUUAGUACACCACUUUAUGCAUAAUCUACAUGAAUUACGGAAUAACCAGCAUCCUCAAGCUAAGAUCAUUGAAACCAUUUUUAUCAACCAUAGCAAUCACAACCAACAAACUAUAACCUACACUUAAAACGGUUCCUUUCAGAAACUCAUCAUAUAAGAAACGAAAUAACAACAAUUCUUGAAUUAUACCUAAAUUUAUUUGUAAAUUAUCUAAAGCCAAAAUAGAAGUCCAAGGAAAUAAUCAACUUUCUACUAUUGAAACACUGAAUUCUGACAACCGGUAUGCAGUACACGAACGCAAUUAUUGAAAUUAUAUGGAUAAGUUUAGAUGCUAAAGGGGGAGUAGGUAUAUAUAAAAGAUAUUGAUUGAUUGAUUGAAGCAUAAGUAGUACUUGAAGCCUCACAUUGUGCUUCCCAUCUGUUGAGACAGUUACGUAAACAAUAAUUCGUGUAAUGAUGUAAUUAGUGUUCAUUGCCCUUGGGGCUGCACAAGUCACAUAAUUUGCUAUAUUUGGGUUUAAUUAUGGAGACAAGCCAGUAACUAAAUUUUGGUUCCAAAGUUCACGGGUAUUGAAACAUGGGCCCUCAAGCAGUCGAUUGUUGGGAUUGUGAGGUUGGGGAUGGUUGAAAAUAGAAAUCUUGGGAUUUUUCAGUGCCGUCCAAAGGUGUUUAUCUUCAUGUUGGAGCUACGGUUCACUUUUAGUGUAAAACAUGGGAGAGGUUUCCACUUUCAAAGGUGCUUAUAUAAGAAUUUAUACUUUCAUUCGGUUCUUAUGACUUCUUUUUUAAAGUAAAUCCUAAUAUGAUAUUAAUCUCUAAUGUUAAUCUAAUAUUUAUCCUAAUAUUGUCGUCAACACCAAGAAGAAGAAGAAGAAAAAGAAAACAGAAACUCUAUCUUAUUACCUAAUGGAAUUUUGAAAAAAAAUAAAUCUAAAAAAUUAUUUAAAAUUCUAAUUAGGUAUUAAUUUAUUGGUAUGUUAAAAUAAUUUAACAGUGUUAUUGUAACUGACUUAAGUUGUUAAUAAUUAAAAUGAAAUGAUUUUUUUUUAUUAAAAUGAAAGUUUAUAAUGUAAAUUAUCUAAUAUCCAUUGUAUUUAUUUUCACUAAAUGAGAAUUACAAGUUAAAAUAAGUUAAAAUCUUUAAUAGUAAUUAUUAAUAUUAAGUAUUUUUUUUAUCUUUAAUUUAUUGGCACAUAUGGGAAAGAUAUAAUUUUUAUAUUCUUUUAAUUUUUUAAAAACUUUUUAUAAUUAAAGCAAAAAAAUAAAAAGAAUAGGGGUCAAAUUGAUAAAUGUUGUAAAGGUUAAGGGGCUAAAUUUGUUAUUGUAUCUAAUUUUUUAACAGAGUUAAUAGAAAAAUGAACAAAGGGAUUGAAAAUGAGCAAAUUGAAAAGUAGAAAGAUCAAUUUUGAGCAAAUAAAAGUAGAGAAACCAAAUCUACACAAACUGAGAAUCCAGGGCUAUCCUUACAAUCUAACCUAAAAUAUAAAAAAUUAAAUACAUAAAUAUUAUUUUAGUAAUUUCUAAACAAAGUUAGCACUUUAAUGUAGGGGUGUUCAAAUUUCAGUUAAAAUCGAAUUAAUCGAUUGAACCAAUCUAAUUCGGUUAAUCAGUCGGUCAAUUAAUCUAAUUCGGUCGGAGGCCAAUUAAUGAUUUUUUGAAAAUUCGAUUGUCGGUUAAUUCGAUUUGAAAUUAGGUAAUUAACUGAAUUUAAUAAUUAAUAACACAAUUAUAUGUAUUUUUAAUUCAAUUAAUUCGGAUAAUUCAAUCAAAUGAACCUUAUCAAAUUAUUUUUUAUUUAUUUAAUAUUUAUUUUAACUAAAAAAAAAUACAAAUUUCGAUUAACUGUUUUUAAAAAAAAUUCCCGUAAUGUUUCCUAGCGUAUGCAGGUAAAUUUUUUUUUAUUUUUUUUCAUUUAUUGGUAAAUUAAUGGUUAAUAAAUCCUUUCAUUCUUUAAUCUUCCCCCAUUUUCUUUCCUUUAAUUAUAUUUAUCCAAAUAUAGGGUUAAUGUAGAAUUUUUAUUUUAUUUUAAUUUUUACCAUUAUCCUUUAUAUUUUAUCUUUAAAAUUAAAAAUUACAUUUAAUAAAUAGUAUAAUUAUAUUUCGAAAUAAAUUUUAAAUGAUAUAUAAAUAUAUUUUAAAUUUAAUUCUCAAAAACUUAACUUUUUAAUAUUUAAUUUUUCUAUUUAUCCAACAACGUUUAAGUAUUGCACUCACACUCGUAAAUAAAUAAAUAAAUAAAUAAAUGAAGGCCUUUUGUAAUUAAGAAAGUUGAGAAUGGGUUGCUCCUCAUAUGGUGGAAUUGGCUACAAUAAUGAAGGAAGGAAUAUCCAAUAAUUGGGAGGCAAUGGCAUGCCCUACACAUACUUUUUACUGUCUGUGGUAAUGGAUCAAUUGCACCUAUUUUGUUUUCUUCACUUGUUCUUGUCCUGCAUUAUUUGGAUUUGUGAGUAAAUUAACCGAGACAACUUAUUCAUCAGACUUACUUGGAGAGAAGUGUACGAAGUAUCAUCUCUCGAGAGAGCACACAAACUCUUCAUAUAUAGGUAUCACUUAAGGAGAAAUGUAAAAUUUUAGAUUACAUUAUCUUUUUUAUCGAUCUUACCCAUUAUAUAUAAAAUUUGGGAUUUAGAGAUUAAGAAAAAUGAAAAAUAAAAUUUUAAUAAUUUCUUUAUUCGCACGAGUUAUAUUAAAAAAAAUUAUUUAUUACACAUCCAGUAAAAGAGUGAAUAAAAGAUUUUGAAAAUUAAAAAUUAUUAAAAGAAUUGUGAGCUUUAUUUUUCAGUUUCCACAUGACGAUGGUCAAAUUCAUGCUUAUCCAAACCUGCAGGUGUAUGCAGAACGAUAAAGCUAAUCUUGACUGCUAGUCUUUCUUCUUUUUUACUUUUGAAUACUCUUCUCUUGUUGCUUUCAUUGAAAUAAUGUUGGACUGUAAUCUUGAAUACCAUUUAAAAUUUUUUUAUUAUAAAUAUUAAAAUUAUAACAUUUUAGUUAUUUAAUUUAAUCAAAUAUUAUAACUUGUUGAAAUCAUAAAAUAAAAAAUCAAUUCAAAAACAAAAAUCUCUUUUGUUCAAUUCUAAUUGAAUUGGUGUCUCUAAUCAAUUGGACAUCAAUUCGAUUAGGGAAUUACGAAAAUAUCUUUUCAUAUUUAAAAUAAUUAAUAUUAUUCGAAAGUAUUUUAAUCUUUUUAUGCAAACUUAUCAAUAAAAACAUGAAUCUAAUGGGAUUUGACGUAAGACUCAUCUAUAGAUGAAUUCAAAAUUUUUACUCGAUUCAAUCGAACAAUCACCUCUAAAUAUUACACAUUUUGAAUCUUCAUGUUGGUAAAGAUAAAGUGGAGAAGUUAUCUUUUGUGUGUAUGUGUGUUUUAGUAUUUCCUUUAAUUGUGUGGCUAAUUAAGUGCCUUUAAUGACACUUUUAAGCAAUCAUAUCCAUUUUAUUUAUGAAGGAACUUUGUGGUCAUGAUCGGGAGAUCCGAAUUUAGCAUAUUUACAGAGAAAGAAAUCUUGUUUCAGAUUUCUUGGCCCAUACGGGAUCUGGCUCCGGCUUUGAUCGAAGUUUACUACGAGAGCCACCUGGAAAUGCUCUCUCAACUUCAACUACACUAUGUGAUUAUAUUGCUGGUUCUUUGCCCUAGCGCCUCUGUUCGUUUGUGGGUAAUUAGUUGUUGUUAAGGCUUUUGCCUCUUUCUAAUUUUAUUAAAAAAAAAAAGGAAAAAACUUGGCACGAUGGAUCCAUCUUAGCUAAUAAAAAACUUCAAUCACCGAAUUGUACGAAAUUCUAACUUAAAUUUAAAUGUAACAACCAGAAUCAUUCAUCAAUCCACAAUAUCAACCAAUCUCAAUUCAAACACAAAAAUAACGAGUGAAAAAAAUAGUUCAACCCAUAAACAUUGACCACAAAGGGAAAUUUGAAACACUUACCACCAUCCCCUAUCAGAAAGUCUUUCCCCCAUUCAACAACUAGAAAUCAGAGCUCACCAAAAUGUCUAUUCUUUUCAAUCUGAACCGACUCUACAAUCACAUAUUGCUCAUGGUCAUCAGCCUAUAAAGCCAGGAGCAUUAUUAACUUCUAAAUCCAAAACACUAAUAUCAGCAACCAACCCUACAAUGAUAGUCUAAUUGACUCAUUUAAACAAGUUUCGUUUGUCAAUCUACAUUCCGUAUUUGGUAAUCUCCAAUAUUGUCUCGGAAUUUAGGAUAGCUGGAACAAGAAUACCAGCAAAGAUGCAAAGGGAAACGACUUGUAGGAGGAGGAAGAACCUUCUUUUGGGUACAAACCUGUAUAGCAUAUAAUAGGAUGUCCUGUAUAACGUCACGAGAGCCAGUACCGUUGCCAAGCAGUAAUUAGCAAUGCUGAGACGAGGAUAGGAAACGGAUCCAGGAGUCGAAAGAGAGAACAAAUACUCAAGUGCGAGUGUCCGUAUGGAAACAGCAACUAAAAGCAUGUAACAGGUCCCAAACAAGGAAAGUGUUAUGAGAAUAAACAAGCAGAUUGAACGGCUGGGUAGGAGAUAGGCUGUUAAAACAGUUGCUGCCCAAAAAGUUAAAGUGUUGUAUAACCAAAACAUUGUGGACACGUCUAGUAUAUUUUUAAAUUUUUCUUCUUCAGCGGGUGGAGGAGUUGGUGCGGGUCCAGUGCUGGUUGAACCUACAGAUGCGUCAUACCUGAGAUGGAAAUUCCGGGAAUUUGAAAUGGUAUCAGGCUGCUUUGGAGGGUUCAAAGUGGCAGUGUAUGUGGCUGUUAUAAUUAGCACUGUGACCACUAAAAAUGUGUUACGCAUCUCAUGUGGGAUUCCCUUCUUUCCACGACUUGCCAUUGUUGCAAAUUUUUGAAGAACUGACACCUUUCCUUUUAAAGAUUCGAUGUGGACUGAGGUUUUGGGAAGCGAGGAACCACUCAAACCUCCUGCUUUGCUUAUCAUGUCUUUAAUGGACUCCUUAUAGUCCACUUUCCCUUCAACCAAUGGGUAUUGUGAUGGGAUAUCAAGUGCAGUCAAUCCCUCCGCAUUUUUGGCAUUGAUAUGGUCACCACACAAGCGUUCCAGCAGUACUUUUACCACCUGUUAAUUAGAAUAUUCAUACAAGAGUAACCUUUGAGUAUAUAUAUAUACAUAAAUAAUUUCACUAGCAAAAUUAUCAUACCUGAGGUCUGUUUCUGAUAGCAGCGACAUGUAAAACAGUGUUGCCAUCAAUGUCUGCCCAACUCAGUAGUUCUUUCUCCCAACGGUUGGCAGCUUUAUGGCGGCUCCUUAUAAGCCACCCCACCAAGACUUGGAAAGCUUCAAACCUGUCAUUUUUUACGGCAAGAUGGAAAACCGUCUCAUCUCGAACAGUCACAUCUUCAAUAGCCUCGGGGCAAACCUCAAGGAACUUGAUCAAAAAAUCAACAUUUCCAUUUUGAACCACAUGAUGCAAAGGAGUGAAGCCCUCCCGCCCUUUGACACGAACAAGGCCUUCAUCAAACCUGAGAAGUCGAAGCACUGCUUGAGUGUGUUGAUUUUGCAGAGCCAAGUGCAUGGGGCUAAACCCAGCUUGGUUUAGCUUUCUUGCAAACGAUGGCUUUAAGUUGAUCAUCUCCAUCAUAAAAUCAAUAUGCCCUGCAGAGGCUGCUACAUGCAAAGGAGUAUGGAAAAAAGGUACAUCAUCGAUACGCUGAAAAACAUAUGGAUCAUUCAGAAUUAACUCAUACAAGAUGUUUAUGUCUCCUGUUUGUGCAGCACCUAUCAUCCUCUCAUCCAUAGCAAGGUGCGGAAAUUUGCAGAAUAUAGAAAUGGAGUGAAGAAAAAACGCUUUAGCAGACGAUGUGAUUAUGUUAAGGAUAUACUGAAGUGUUUUAUUAUUUUUUCCAGAUGGAGUGUGUGAUAUUUUAUAGCACUUAAUUAUUUUGGAUUUAUAUGUGAUGUCAGCCACUACACGUAUACAUGUGAAUGUCACCUAUUAGAAAGAAAUAGUAAUUAUAUUUAGUAAUUAAAUUCAUAUUUAAUAUAUAUUUUUAAUCUAAUUUUUUAACUCAAUUUAAUUUUAGUUAAAACGUUUAAAAACAUUUAUUUAAUUUAAUUUCUUUAAUAUAUUAAAUAAAUUGAAUUAGAGAAUAUAUUAAAUAUGGAUGAAUACUAUAUCAUACUAAUUUUAUGUCUCUAAAAAUUAAUAAGGUGUCAUUAUUUUAUUGGUGCUUAAAAAAUUAAAAUAUUUAGAAUCAUCCUAAUAUAAGUUAUUCUAUUAAUAAUAAUAUUUGGUACUUCCACGAGUAAGUUCAAUAGUUUGACAAAUGUCUUAUAAAAGUAUAGUAAAAUAUUAAAAAAAAUUAUUUAGUGACUUAAUUUUUUAAGAACAUUUGAUAAUUUAUAAAGAAAAUAAAUAAUAAUUUUUUUCAAUAAAAAAGUGUGAAAAAAUGAUAAGUAGAUAAUAACUAUUAUCACUUACAACAUGUUUGGAUUAAAAAGAUAGAAAAAAGGAGGGAAAAUUAAGUAAAAUGAGGGAAAGAAAAUUCGGUUUCUUUGUUUAAGUUAAGUAAAUAUCGUAUCAUUAGAUUUUAUAUUUUAGGGUCUGUUUGAUUGAAGGAAUUGAUUUUCCGAAAAAUCAUUUUUAACUUUUCCAGCGUUUGAUUGGCGGAAAAUAUUUUCCAUUUGGAAAAUGAACUCCAAAACAUGGAAAAAUGGGUUACAUUUUAGGGAAAAUGUCUUACCCUUUCAAUUUCCGUAAGACAUUUUCCGUGCUCUCCUCUCUAUCUCCUCCUUCAUUCCUUCCUUCAUUUCCGGUAAAAAAUUGUUACUGUUUAUCGAUUUUCUAGUAACUUGUUUUUUUAAUUAUUCAAUACUUAUUUUUUUAACACAAUUACAAAUAAUUUAUUUGAUACUAAUUUUUUUCAAUUUAUAAUGAUUAAUAUUGUAGCUUAAUAAUUGAGUAUUAUUAUAAAUAAAUCAUUGCAAUAUAUGUAAAAAUAAUUUAAAAUAUAAAAAUUUAUUAAUAUAUAUCAAUAUAUGUAAAAACAAUUUUUUCAAAAAAUAUUUACCAGAAAUCUGCCAAACAGCCGAAAAUAUUUUACACAGAUUCAAUCAAACACCAGAAAAUAUUUUCCAGUAAAUCAUUUUACAGAAAAGUAAAAUAUUUUCCCGAAAUCAAUUUACGGAAAAUAUUUUACUGGCAAUCAAACAGACCCUUAGAUUAUUAUCUCUUCUUCUUCUUCUUUUAACUUGUAACCAUCUUAUUUUUAUUUUCUAUUUGUUUAGGUUACUAGAAAUAUUUAAUUUUAAAUUUGUUUGAUAUAUAUUUUUAAAAAUUUUAACAAUAUUUUUUAUUAACUAUUUUGUUAAAUUAUUAGGAAUCCUUCAUUUGUAAUUUGGUUAAGAUAUAUUUUUUAGUUUGAUCAAAUAAGCUUAUUUAAAAAAAAAAGAGAGAAUAUACCAAUAUAUUAUUGGUUAACAUUUUAAUUAUUAUUUUAUAUAGACUAUUGAUAUUGUUCUAUAAUUUUAAUUUGCUGUGAUUUAAUUUUGUUAUUAUAUAUUAUUUAUGAACUGUUAAAAUUAAAAAAUAAAAGUAAAAUAAUUCAUUUUCUUUCCUUUUCACAGUUUAGCAAAACAAGUCCACAAGGUCGCCCCAUUCAACAAAAAUUAAAUUGUUUAAAUAUAUAUAUGUAUAUAGGGACUAGUUUUAACAAAUAAAAAAUAUAGAAAAACUACAUUAAAAAAAUAGAGAAUGGAGGAAAACAGAGGGAGAAGCAGAAGACAAUAAAAAAUAAAGGAAAGUUAAAAGAACAUAAAAAAAUUAAAUUGAAUUGCUCAAAACGAAAAAAAUAUGGGGAUCAGUUGUAUAAAUCACCCUAAAUUUUUUGUUUGAAAGAUGAUUUAACAUGUCACAUCAGCUUAUCGUUAUAUGGUUAACGGAAAUUAACAGCUCAGUGACUAAAAUGUUACAACGCGAUAACGUAAGUGACUAAAAUGUAACAUUUCAAACAUAAAUGACUAAAAUGUAAGCAAAAGUGACUAUUUUAAUAAUUUACCCUUACAUUUAUCCAAACAUACGCUUAAUGUAAACAUUUUUCAAUUAUUUUUAUUUUAUUUUAUUUUUAACCAUUAUCCUUUAUCCUUACUUUAAAAAGUAUAAUUAAUAAAUAGUAUAAUUAUUUUUCAAAAUUAAUUUUAAGUAAUACACCAAAUAGAUUUUAUAACUUAAAUUUAAUAUUUAAGUUUAUAAUAUUUUUUUAUCAAACAACAUUUACUCCUAAGUAAAUAAAUAAAUAAAGGCCUUGUGUAAUUAAGAAAGUUGAGAAAGGGUUAAUCCUCACAUGGAAAAAAUUGGCUACAAUAAUGAAGGAAAGAGAAAAACACUAAGGAAUAUCCAAUAAUUGGGAGGCAAUAUGUCAAUUAUGAGCAUACCCCAUACUGUCAAUGGUGAUGGAUGAAUUGUCUACUAUACAUGGAUUUUGUUUUCCUUUUUUUUUUCCUUUUUUUGUUCUUGUCCUGUAUUAUUUGGAUUUGAGAUCCCAAGCUAUGUAUGUCAUCACAUUUUAAAUAUAUAUAUAUUUAUUAUGUAUUGAGUAUCAGUUUUAUUGGUAUAAAUAUUAUUGUUAAUGUAUGAGAAUAUAGAUUCAAGUGUGCACUACACCAAAACAGGCUUUUAACGGCACUUUUAGCGGCGUUUUGAGCGAAGACGCUGCUAAAAAUCGAAAAAUAGCAGCGUUUUAGGAAAAGCGCCGCUAAAGAGUGAGCAUUAGCGGCGUUUAUAAAAAAUGCCGCAAAUAAUACACCCAAACAGUGCCGUUUUAUGUCCUUUCGGGGGAAUUAGUGGCGUUUUUUGUAAAGCGCCGCUAAGGCUAAGACUUUUAGUGGUGUUUUUUGAAAAUCGUCGCUAAUCUAGGUGUUUUAGCGGCGUUUUUUGUUUAUGCGCCGCAAAAAUAAUUUAUCUUAAUUGAACUAUUAUUUAUAUUGUUUAAAUCAAAUUAAACAUAUUUCUAAUAGAAUAUUUAAAAUCUUCAAUAAAAAAUAACAAGUAUAAAUAAUUCGAAAUAAAACACAUGGAAAAAUUAAAAUAGUAUUAUUUAAAAUAAUUUUAAAGUUUGUUGGGUACAUUACUGAUUGUUUUUUAAUUUAUAUAUUAAAAAUUUGAAAUUAUUAUCGUAAUUAAAAGAGAUAGUAUUAAUUUAAAUUUAAAAUAUUGAAUUAAGCGUAUCACUAUAGUUAAUAUAGGGUUUUAGGUUUUAGGGGUAUAUAUAUAUGAUAUUAUUAAUUUAAGAUUUUAAGUCGGUUUAGGGGUUACUAUUUUAAGGUUAUUAUUAUAAUUGAUCAGGAGUAUAUAUAUAAUAUUUGAUUUAAGGAUAUGGUUUAAGGGCUGAGAUAUAAUGUUUAGGGGUUAGGGUUGGGGUUAGCACUUAAGGGUUAUUAAUUAGGAGUUAAUUAAGGAUUUAGGGUUUAGCUAGGGGUUGGGUUAGGGAACGUAGGGUUUUAGAUUAAUUAGUAUUGCCAAAUUAUAUAUUAAAUAUGUUCUUAUAUAUAUAAUUGUAAAAGAGGUAAUAAUAAAUUUGUUUAGGAUUUUUCGGUUCGGUAUAUGAUUUGGUUUCGGUAUAUUAUUAAUUUAAAUACGAAUUUGAAUAGUAAUGCUCAAAUAUAUAAUUCAUGAAUAACACUUAAAUACUUAAAUAAAUUUGUGAAUUUGAAUUGAAAUCAUCCAAAAAUAUGCAUAUACCUGAGUCGGUAUCUUUCCUAUUUUGAUCACUUCAAUAAAAAAAAUCCCAUAUAUAUAUAUAUUUAGUACUCCUUAAUUAUUUGUUUUCAUUAAUUUAUCUAUUUGAUGAAGGUCAAUAUAAUAAAUUAGUUAAUUAGACAAAUUUAUUCAUUUAUCAAUAAAAUAAAAUAUUAUAAAUUUCAAAUUUUAUACAAAAAUAAAUAAAUAUUAUAAAGAUAAUAUUGUUUAUUGCUACUUUAUACAAAAAGUUUUUAGUAUUAAUUAUUCUUUAAUCAAUUAUAACUAUUUUAUGAUAUUUAUUAAAGAUUUAGGGAUUAUUUUGGAUGGCCGUGCUAUUUUAAAGAUUAGGGGUACAGAUUUAGGGUUUGGGAUAUAAGAGUUAUCUAGGGGUUUAGGGGUUACAAGUUACAAUUUAGGGGUUAAAGAUUUAGGGUUUAGGGGUUUAGGGGUCGGAUAAGGAUUUUAGGUUAGUUUAGAUUAAUUUCUUUAAAUAAUAUUUUAAAAAAUCAAUCUAAAGUAUCAAUUGAUAUAUUUAAAUAUUAUUUUAAAUAGAAUUCAUAAAUAAGUUAAAAAUAUAUAUUGAUAUAUAUUAUAUGGAUAUGGUUAUAUAUUUAGGUAUAAUUAUUUAUUUUGGAAAUAUAUAUAUAUAGGACCAAAUACAUAAGAAAUGAAGUAAAAAAAACAAAAAAUUUCAAAACGGCGCCAUUUUUGAAUGAAUAGUUAAACUUUUAGUGGCGUUUUAACUGUUAAACGCCGCAAAUAUGGGAAAGCAGUCAUGGCGUUUGUACAAGAAACGCCGCAAAAGUGUCUUUAAAAUUGAGUAAACGACACCGUUUGUCUACACGAUUUUUAACUUAUAAAAAGUUUAGAAUUAUUUACUUGAAACGUCACCAUUUGGCUUGUUGUACGUUAAGUAUUAGUGGCGUUUUUACAAAAACGCCACAAAAUGUACAAUUUGAGAACAAAAAAACAGCGUCGUUUCUGCAUACAGGUUUAAAUUUUUAUGGCGUUUUCGCAAAAACGCAGGAAAUUUAGGAAGCAAUAGCGGCGUUUUUCAGUAAACGCCGAAAAGGGUAUUAAAAUAAUGUCUAAACGGCGCCGUUUCUGUACAUGAUUUGUAACUUAGAAAAAUUUUAGAAUUAUUUAUUCAAAACAUCAAUUAAGUAUUCGUGGCAUUUUUACACAAAACGCAACUAAUAAUACAAUUUGAGACUAGCAAAACGGCGCCAUUUCUGUUUAAAACUUGAACUUUUAGUGGCGAUUUUAUAUCAAACGCCGCAAAUGGGUUUUAAAAAAAUGGGUAAACGACGUCGUUUCUAUACAGUAUAUUUUACUUUGACAAAUUUUAGUGGCAUUUGUGCUUAAAACGCCAGAAAUAAUGCAAUUCCAGACCACGAAAACGGUGUCGUUUCUGUUCACAGCUGUAAUACGUAGUGGCGUUUUUAGGAAAACGCCGGAAAUGUGGAAGAAGUUGCGGCGUUUGUACCUAAAACGCCGCAAAACGGUGUUAAUAUAAUGGCUAAACGACAUCGUUUCCGUAACCGAUUUUUAACUUAUAAAAAUCUUAGAAUAAUAUAUUUAAAACGUCACCGUUUGGCUUAAAAUAGAUUAAGCAUACAGGUUUAAAUUUUUAUGGCAUUUUCGUAAAAACACAGGAAAUUUAGGAAGCAAUAGCGGCGUUUUUCAGUAAACGCCGCAAAAGGGUAUUAAAAUAAUGUCUAAACGGCGCCGUUUCUGUACAUGAUUUGUAACUUAGAAAAAUUUUAGAAUUAUUUAUUCAAAACAUCAAUUAAGUAUUCAUGGCGUUUUUACACAAAACGUAACUAAUAAUACAAUUUGAGACUAGCAAAACGGCGCCAUUUCUGUUUAAAACUUGAACUUUUAGUGGCGAUUUUAUAUCAAACGCCGCAAAUGGGUUUUAAAAAAAUGGGUAAACGGCGUCGUUUCUGUACAGUAUAUUUUACUUUGACAAAUUUUAGUGGCAUUUGUGCUUAAAACGCCAGAAAUAAUGCAAUUCCAGACCACGAAAACGGUGUCGUUUCUAUUCACAGCUGUAAUAUGAAGUGGCGUUUUUAGGAAAACGCCGGAAAUAUGGAAGAAGUUGCGGCGUUUGUACCUAAAACGCCGCAAAACGAUGUUAAUAUAAUGGCUAAACGACAUCAUUUCCGUAACCGAUUUUUAACUUAUAAAAAUCUUAGAAUAAUAUAUUUAAAACGUCACCGUUUGGCUUAAAAUAGAUUAAGUAUAAGUGGCGGUUUUUAUUAAAUGCCACAAAAAAUGAAAUUUCAGAGUAACAGAACGGCGCCGUUUCUGUUAAAAGGUUUACUUUUUUGUGGCGUUUGGUCUAUAAACACCAGAAAUUUGGAAUAAGUAGUGGCAUUUUUUCAAGAAACGCCGCAAAGGUGUUUUAAUAUUUUUUCUCAACGAUGUCGUUUCCGCAGAUGUUCUUUAACUUAGCAUUUACACUCGACAAAGCACAGAAAGCAAAAGCCAAGUGCAGAGGCCGAUUGGGAAGGGGAAAAAACCUAAGAAAAAAAUCUAAGGAAGAGAGGGGAGGAGAAAUCAGAAAUCAUCAAAGAGGAAGCAACGAUUGCGUCAUUCUUGACAGUAGUUGCAGAAUUUCUGGUUAAAAGGUAUGCGUUUAAUCCUUCUGAAGAACAUCGUCUUGAUUUAGGGUAAUUUUAGGUGCAUUGUGUUUUGCGAAUUUGGGGUUUAGGAAAAAAAUUUAGAUUUUGAGGUUUGCGGUUUAGGUUAAAACACCAUUCUUGUUUGGGAAUUUGGGGAACUUGUAAAUUAUUUAUUUAGCAAUUUAAAUAGAAGGGUUUAUUUAGGAAAAUUUUGUGUAUUUAGGGGUUGCCUGAAUACAAAUAUGGGUCCUCAACACAGCCUGUUGUUUCUCCAUUACAGCGAUUUUUGGAGAAGCAUAAAAGGGUAAGGACAGCCCUUCUGGUUGUGGUAGUAUUUGGUGCUUCUAUGGUCAUCUUUAUGGCUGUGGAUUCUAGAGUUUAAUCUCGGUUCCUCUUAAACAUAUGUGGCAACUAGGACAAUAAACAAAACUAUUAAUCAUGACAGUAUAUAUGAUUGUGGAUGGUGCUGGUGAGCUUGAAAAUACAUUCCCUUUAAUAGCUCUACUAAUAUUUUGCAUAUGGACUAGACAAGAGAUACCAAUAAAUAACUCGUCUGGUCUUACACCUGAAAGACUCAAAUUAACACAGAUUUAAACCCAAGCUAGCUGGUGAAGGUUAAACAAACCAUUUUCCUAAAAUUUUCUUGGCUGAGCCAUUAUUCGGACCAUGCAAUCAUUGUUGCAAUAGUGCAUAAUUAUGUUUGAUUCGUUUAGUGUGCUUAUUUCUCAGCUGGACAUAGUUGAUCUCCCAUGACAGAGUUAUGGAUAAUGAUAUCAGAAGUUCUUUAAUGAACAUAGUGGUGUCAUCGUAACUUCCACAUUACUUUGAUAACUUUAAUUGGUUGCAUUAUUCCUCCUAUCUAUAGUAUAUUGUUUGUGGUGGAUGGUUUGACAUGUCUCAGUGCUGAUAUUUCAUUAUUCAAAUAAGAUUUUUAAUUUUGGAUUUUGUUAUAUUUAAGCUUUAUACUAAUUUUUUCCUAGUACUAACUUACUUAUGUUUUCCUUUUUAUUUUUAUUUUUUGCAGUAGUUUGCUUCGAAGUCCAGGAAAUUGAGGUAUUUAUUCCUAUGUUUCCCACCUUGGUUUUCUUAAAAAAACACCUCCAAAUGUUUAAAUUUUGGAUUUUGUUAUAUUUUAUCUAUGUACUUUAAUUAUUAUUUUUGAGUUUUAAAAGGGAGUUUUAAUUAAGAAUUUUUUUUUAAGUUGUGGGUAUCGGUUUUAAUUAUCAUUUUUGAUUUAUAUGUUGCUAGCUCAAUUUGCAUGUUACUUUGCCAAAUUUUUCCAUAACUGCAAGGUAUAAAUUAUGAUUGUAAAUCUUGUACGUAUUUUUUACCCAAGCAAAAACAAUUACGCAAAUUAUUAAAAUUCUUAAAUCACUUUAUAUAUUGGAGUAAGUGAAUAAAUUAUGGGCGAAUAGUGGAUUUGUUUUAAAGUGAACAAAUUAUCGAUUUUCAAUUUUAUGCCAAUUAAUAAAUUAUCGACGUUAGUUCUCAUUUAUGCGAUUGAAUGUUAAUGUUUAAUAAUAUAUGAUUAUUCAAUAAAUUGAUCGAUUAAUUGAUUGAAUGUCAAUGAAUUAUCAAUUUUUGUAAGUUAAUUUGGUUAAAUUUAUUACUUAAAUACAUUACUUACUAAAAUACAUUACUUACUAAAAUUUGUUUAAAUUUAUUACUUAAAUAUGUUACUUAAAUACAUUACUUACUAAAAUUUAAGUAUAUAUUACAUUACUUACAUAACUUGUUAAAAUAUAUUAUAAUUUUAAAAAUAAUUAUAAUUAAGAUACAUAAAAGUGCUAUACUUACAUCAUACAUUAUUUACACAACCAAAAAUUGAAAUUUACAAGAACUUACAUAACUUGUUAAUAUUUAUAUAAACUUACAUAACUAUCACAUAAACUUACAUAAUAUAUAACUUACAUGUUACCUUACAUAAUACAUAACUUAUAUAAAAUUUUUAUAUAAACUUACAUAAUACAUUAUUUACAUAUUAACUUACAUAAGUUAUCUACAAGCUUGUGGUUAAACUUGCAUAACUUACAUAAUAACAUAACAACUUACAUAAUAUAUAACUUACAUGUUACCUUACAUAAUACAUAACUUAUAUAAAAUUUUUAUAUAAACUUACAUAAUACAUUAUUUACAUAUUAACUUACAUAAGUUAUCUACAAGCUUGUGGUUAAACUGGCAUAACUUACAUAAUAACAUAACAACUUACAUAAUACAUAGCAUAGAUAACUUACAUAACUUACAUAAUACAAAACUUACAUAACUUAAAUAUCUUACACAACUUACAUAACGUACAUAAUACAUAACUUACAUAAUACAUAAUAACUUAUAACUUACAUAACAUACAUUACUUUGAUAACUUACAUAACUUACAUAAUACACAACUUGUUAAGCUUACUUAAUACAUAACUUACAUAAUACAUAAUAACUUAUAACUUACAUAACAUACAUUACUUUGAUAACUUACAUAACUUACAUAAUACACAACUUGUUAAGCUUACUUAAUACAUAACUUACAUAACUUAUACACGUACAUAACUUACAUAAUUUACUUAAUACAUAAAUAUAUAUCAUAUGAUAUACUUACAUAACUCAUUUAUACUUACCACUCAACAACUUACCCUUGUAAUUUCUGGUGAAAAUCAGACGUCAAGAAAUAAGAAAUGGACCGGUCUUGGAUGAAUUUAUCAAGGGUAAGCGACGAUUAUCGAAAUGGAGUACAGACUUUUCUAAAUUUUGCAUUUCAAUAUGCAAGCCAGGAGAACAUGAUUCUUUGCCCGUGUAAGAAGUGUGUCAACAUAAACUGGCAUUAUCGUGAAGUUGUAUACGAGCAUCUAAUUGUUGAUGGGUUUGUUCAGGGUUAUAAACAAUGGUUUUUUCAUGGAGAAUGCCCGCCUAGUACUUCCUCAUCAAGGAUGGAUGUAUCUUAUGACAGUACUACUUACCAUCAGUCUGUUAGAGGGGAUGACAUAGAAGGGAUGUUGCGGGAAGCAUUUAAUAUUCACAACCAUGGUUUACAGUCGUUCCCAGCCGACUUUGUGGCACCUGAUGAUUGUAAUAUCGAUGGAAAUGCUUUUACCGAACCCGGAAAAAGUGUACAUCAUGAAGAGCCGAAUGGAGAAGUGGCGAAGUUCUACGCGCUACUUAAUGACAUGAAUGAAGAACUGUUUGAGGGAUCAAAAUUCUCGAAAUUGUCUUUCUGUAUUCGUCUUUUUCAGUUAAAGUGUUUGGGAGGGUGGACCGGGAACUCUUUAACAAUGUUGUUAGAGUUUCUGAGAGAGAUGUUUCCGUUUGCAAAAAUCCCUCAAUCAUGCAAAGAUAUGAAGAAAAUGAUAAAAAAUUUAGGUCUUGGGUACAACAAAAUCCAUAGUUGCCCGAAUGACUGCAUGUUGUAUUGGGGCGAUCGAAGAAACCAGCAAUGCUGUCACAUAUGCGGCCAAUCACGUUGGAUAAAUAGAAACAUAGAAGAUGGGAACGAUGAUGAAUAUGAUGCACUGGUAAGAAAGAAGCCGGUCAAGAUUUUGCGGUAUUUUCCGCUCAUACCAAGGCUUCAAAGGCUUUUCAUGUCAUCGAAGACAGCGGAGUCUAUGACAUGGCACCAUGAUGGACGAACCGAUGAUGGGAAUAUGAGGCAUUCGGCAGAUUCUUUAGCUUGGAAAUCAUUUGACAAUAAAUUUCCAAGCUUUGCAAGUGAUCCUAGGAGUGUAAGGCUUGGCUUAGCAUCUGAUGGAUUUAAUCCGUACAAGAUCAUGAGUAUUGUGUACAGUACUUGGCCAGUAGUGCUUGUUCCUUACAAUCUGCCUCCGUGGAUUUGCAUGAAGCAAUCUUCCCUUAUCUUAUCUAUGAUUAUCCCUGGAGAGAAAGGGCCCGGGAAUGAUAUCGACAUUUAUUUACAGCCACUUAUUGAAGAGUUAAAACAAUUGUGGGCUGGUGUCGAGACAUACGAUGUGCUGAGAAAUGAGAACUUUAAUCUACGUGCAGCUUUGAUGUGGACCAUUAAUGACUUUCCCCCUUAUGCCAAUUUAUUCGGUUGGAGUACAAAGGGUCGUUAUGCGUGUCCUUGUUGUGCUGCACAAACAUGUUCGCAAUGGUUGUACAAUGGGAAGAAGUUCUCUUAUAUGGGGCAUCGUCGGUGGUUACCGAAAAAUCAUAGAUUUAGAUUUCAGAGUUCUGUAUUUAACGGUACUGAAGAGUUCAGAGAAGCUCCUUCGCAGACCAGUGGCUCUGAAAUCUUGUUCAUGUUGGAAGAUAUGAAUUUCAUUUAUGGAAAGAUGAACCAACCGCCAAACACGCAAAGAAAUAGAAGAUCAAACGAUGAAGCUGAUGAUGACUCUGAUGAAGAGGACGAUCCUAAUGAGGCGGACUUGUGGAAAAAAAGAAGUAUUUUUUUUGAGUUGCCUUAUUGGGAGCAUCACCUUUUACGACAUAAUCUUGAUGUUAUGCAGAUUGAGAAAAAUGUCUGCGAGAACAUUGUGGGUACAAUUUUGAAUGUCGACGGAAAAUCAAAAGACAAUCUUCAGAGUCGACUUGAUUUAGUACAAAUAGGAAUCCGACCUGAUCUUCAUCCCAAUCCACUUCCGAAUGGAAAAUAUCGGUUGCCGCCAUCUAUUUUUUCAAUGUCGAAGACGGAAAAAGAAGUGUUCUGCACAGUGUUGAAGGAUAUAAAGGUUCCAGAUGCGUAUGCAUCAAAUAUAUCUCGAUGUGUUAGUGUUAAAGAUCGAAGAUUAUAUUCGCUAAAAUCACAUGACUAUCACAUCUUGAUGCAAGAUUUACUGCCAGUGGCUCUACGAUGUUGUAUGUCCAAGAAGGUGACGUCUUGUAUAAUUGAACUAUCCAACAUAAUGAAAGCCAUUUGUGGCAAAGUUUUGGAUGUUCAAGAACUUCAGAAGGUACAGGAUCGAGCCGCUUUGACUUUAUGCAACAUGGAGAAAAUAUUCCCACCUUCCUUCUUCACCAUUAUGGUUCACUUGAUAAUCCAUCUCCCGCACAAAGCAAUUCUUGGCGGACCCGUUUUCUAUCGAUGGAUGUAUCCCAUAGAAAGGUGUUAAUUAAAAUUUUUAAAAUUUUCCUUCAUUCACCUCUAUGCCUUUAGUUUCAAUAAUUAAGAAAUGUUAUAUAUUGUGUUUAGGUUUCUAUCCAAAUUAAAGUCUUACUGCCGCAACAAGCGAUAUCCAAAAGGAUCAAUUGCAGAAGGCUACUUGGCAGAAGAAUGUAUGACCUUCUGCUCAAGAUAUUUGGAAGAUGUUGAAACAAGGUUAAACAGACCAAAUAGGAAUGCUGGACUCACGGACCAUAACUUAGCCGAUACUUAUUUGUUCCAAAGUUUUGGAAAACCAAUCGGUAAAGUUGAAAUUGCAGAAUUAGAUCAUUUAUCGUGGGUACAAGCACAUCGAUAUGUUCUGUUUCACCACGAAUCAUUGGAACCUUUACGGAAGUAAGUUCUACAAAUUUGAUAAAUAUUUAUCAAACUAAUAACUGUUUAUCUUCUAACAAAGUGAACAUUUUUUUAACAUAGUGAGUACAAACAAAUAUUGAGAUCUCGUUCGCGCUCCCGAAGAACACAACAUCGAGAUAUCAAUAAGUUAUUUAUAGAAUCUUUUUAUGAAUGGUUAAGCCAAACGGUAUGCAGUUCGAGCUUCCGUUUACAAAUAAUAAAAUCCGUUUUCUUAUAACAUUUUUAAUUACUCAGUUUACUUUCCAUUCAAUAGGUUUGGAGUGGGAAGAACGUAAAGACGAAGUUAAAUGGCUCUCCCAAGGUCCAAAUCGAGUGGUUAAAAGAUAUAGUGCGUUCCUCAUCAACGGAUUCAGAUUUCAUACAAAAUAUCGCGAGAGGUUGAGGAGAACGCAAAAUUGUGGAAUAGUUGUCAAUUCUGCAAUUACAAGUUAUGCUAGUGCAAGAGACAAUAAUCCUGUCGCGGGAAAUGUGGAAUAUUUCAGACAUCUUACUGACAUAAUUGAGUUGGAUUACUACGGCAAAUGGAAAGUUGUCUUAUUUCGUGGUGAUUGGGCCGAUGUUAAUACAGCUCGUGGAAUUAAGCAAGAUCAAUUUGGUUUUACAAUGGUGAACUUUGACCGAUUGAUUCACACAGGACAACAACUGAUAGAUGAGCCGUAUGUAUUCUCAUCUCAAGUCAAACAAGUUUUUUACUCAAAAGAUCCAACUGAUGAGAGUUGGUACGUUGUACUCCGUAACAUCCCAAGAGACUUGUUUGACAUGGGCAGUGGAAGUAGAGAUAACAUCGACGACAGAUCAGAAACUUUGCCCUUUCCAGAACAAAACUUAAACGAUAAUAUCCCUAGUACUAGUGCACAAUUUCAAUGUGUUCGUCAGGAUACCGAUGAAGAUAUUUACGAAUAAUGAUGUAGUAAGAUUUUACGAUUGUUUAAUUAUAAGUUUUUUUUCAUAAUUUAAAUAUUGGUCUUAUUAUAUAUUUCAACUGUUUUAUAUGUGAUGUUAUUGUUGUAAUUAGUUAUUAAGUUGUCAACUAUUUUAUGUGUAUUGUAGAUAAAAUGCCUAGAAGAAAAAUUCUAAGGGGAAGCAUUGUUCAAAAUGAUCCAAACACGAUAGAAACAAAUAGUACUGAACAACAGACAGCAAUUGGAUCUUCGAAUGUUCCGAUUACAGCUGAUGAUCCUACAGAAGUUCAAAGUAAUUUUACAUUUAAUUUACAUGCGUGUUGACUUAUAGUUGCUUUUUUUCAAAUUCUUAUAUUAUAAUAUACCAUUUGUAGCUGAAAAUGGUGGGACGCGCAGAGGUCGAGGACGUACGCUACUUAGAGAGUUAUACGAGUUAGAUCCAGUCGAGCGUGUCAAAGUUGGACGAAACAGUUUUGGUCAGCCUGUUAGAUCAGAAGCUCGACUUUUAGCAGGAUACAUGGGCAUUUUAGCACGAAAUCCGAAUAUGUUACCUAUCAACUACGACUCAUGGCAUCAAAUGCCCGGUAGCAAAAAAAACCAAGCCGUCGAUAAUAUUAAGGUAACAAAAUGUUAAUGUCAUCUGUAAUGCUUGGGAAAUAGUUUCAUUUAUAUUUACUUUAUUAACUUGUGUUUUUUGUUUUUUGUAGACGAGGUUUGCUUUAGAGGUCUCGGAUGCUUAUGUAAAGAAGGCAUUGGGAAAAAGAUGGAGAGACAAUAAAAGUACUUUGAAGAGAAAUUAUUAUAAGACAAAAACAACCCUCGAUGAGAAAUUGCAAAAUGUCCCGCCGGGUAUGUUGAGGUACCAAUGGGAAGAUACGGUUAGAUUUUGGCAUUCGAAGAAAGGCGAGGUAUGACGUACUUCCAAACUAUUGUAAUUAUUUUGGUAAAUAGUAUUUUCUAUUUACGUACUAAAAAGUUCAUAACGUAGGAUCGUGAACAAGUUGGAAAAAGUAGCAGGCAGAAACAAAAAUUCACCCACACAGCCGGGUCGAGAAGUUUUACAUGUGUAGCUGAGGCGGAGGUAUUUUUAAUUUUUUAAUAUUGUCGAAUAUGUAUAACUUUCUAUUAAAUAAUAUUUUUACUACUAUAUUGUAAGAACUGUCGUUCGGUCAAAAAGUUGGACGCCUUCAACUUUUUGAAAUUACACAUAGGAAGAAAGAUGGAUCUCCCAUGACUCCUGAAGCUGGUGAAAUAAUGAUACGUUUACUUAAUACGAUUUGACUUGUUUUAGUUAUUUAUAGUGUUUAUUUUCUAAUGGUUUAAUUCAUUGCUUGUAAUGCGACUAUUGUUAUGUUGCAUAUGUUUUUUAAUAUAUAAUAUUGCGUUCCUAACUAUGUGAUUUAUUUAUUAGGAAAAACUAAAGGAUAAAAAGGUUGAGUACGAAGCGAUUGCUUCUAGUGAUAGUUCUGUUCAUCUUGAAAACAUUGAUAAUCGGAUUAUUACUGAAGUUUUGGGUCCUAAAAGGUAUGGUCAGGUUCGAUUUCAAGGAUCUUUUGUUAGCCCAACCCAAUAUUUUGGAUCCAGCUCCCACCAAUACAUGGCUUUAGGGAGUCAGGCUCAAGCUGAAGUUCAGAGGUUAAAAGACCAGAUCGCUCAGAUGCAAGCGACCACAGUUGAGGUUCAAAGGAAAUAUGAAGAACUCCAGCUACAACUUAAAGCAGAGGCGGCAGCGAGGGAAGCAGCGGCUGCAGCGAGGGAAGCAGAGGCUGCAGCGAGAGAAGCAGAGCAGACCAAAAAGUACGACGAACUCCAGCAACAGCUUCAGAUUAUGAUGAAGAUGUUUCAGUCGCAACUUCCGCCUUCAUAGUGUAUGGCAUAAAUAUUUUUAUCAUUUUAACAUUUAACAUUUUUGCAAAAUAAUAUGAAUUCACUUUUAUUUAUUGAUAUUAAUAUUAUUUUAUUCGUUUAAUUUGAAAUAUUAUAUAAAUUUAUUGCUUUUGGCUGUUUUAGAUCUGGUUGCUUUUGAUUUGUUGUUACAGGAGGGCUGAAAAAAUGAAAAAUUUAAUAAAAAAAUCCCAAAAAUAGUGGCGUUUUUGUAUAAAAACGCCGCUAAAGAACAUGGUCUUUAGUGGCGUUUUUACCAAAGCGCCCCUAAAGAACAUGGUCUUUAGUGGCGUUUUUUACUAAGCGCCGCUAAAGAACAUGGUCUUUAGCGGCGUUUUUUUGUAAACGCUGCAAAUGUUUGCGAUGUUUUCCUUAGUGGCAUUUUUUGCGGCGCUUGUGGAAGCGCCGCAAAUACCUUUAGUGGCGUUAAAAAGCGCCGCUAAAGGCCUAAAAAAAUGCCGCUAAAGACUUGUUUUGGUGUAGUGGUGUUAAAACGCAUUAUCCUCUUAUUUAUGAAUUAGGAAGUAGUUAUUGGUAGUUCUAGACAUUGCGUAGAAAAUAAUAGAUAUGAUGAGAAUCUAUAUUGAAACUUUUCGAAAAAAUAUAUUUAUUACACAUGAACUAAAAGAAAUUUCUUUAUGGGUAGUUCAAGAAUAUUGUUGAAGCUAUAAAAUAAAAAUUCAAUUGGAUAAUAGAAAUCUCUUUUGUUUAACAAAAUAUUAAUCAUUGAUUGAGUUAAUAUUAUGAGUCAAUCGGACACCAAUUUAAUUAAGAAAUUACGAAAAUAUCAUUCCAUAAUUAAAAUAAAUUAUAUUAUUUGAGGAUAUUUUAAUAUUUUUAUGUCAAAAAAAUCAAUAAAAAUAUAUAUUUAUUUUUCACAAAUAUAUUAUUCUAUCAAUUUUCAUCAACCAAAAAAAAAGUAAUUAAAGUAAAAUUUACCUUUGAUAUACCAGAUGAUUUCAAAGAGAAUGAUUAUAUCAAUGAGUUUAACAAUUAAAAAAUAUAUUUUUUUCAAAGAUUUUAUAAUAUAAAAAAUUUUAAAAAUUUUAUAUAAAAAUUAAAUAAAUAUUUUAAAUGAUAUUUGGACCAAUUUUAAUAAUUAGUUUAUAAUUUAGAGUUGUAGAUAAUAUGGCUGAUAUAUAUAAUGUCUUGGUCAAGUCAUGGUUUUAUAUAUGUUUAUUUGUGAGCCCUACACUCGCAUCAAAUUUAGAUAUCACAAACAUGAUUUAAAACAUUACUAGCUGUGAGCAAUUUAAAGAAAUUUAAUUUCUUUUUUACAAUUUUAAGUUAAUCAAUUAUUUGAUUUUUUUAGGGGCGAAUUCAGAAAAGUUUUUUAGAGGCCGAAAUGAAUUUUUAAUUUUUAAUAGUCUAUAUCUUUAUAUUUUUAAAGGAUUAAAUUAAAAUUUUAUAAUUUUAAGGGGGGCAAAAUGUAAUUUUAUCUCUACUAAUUUAAAACUUUAAGAUUUUUUAAAGGACCUAAAUAAUAAUUUUUCAUUUUAAGGGGGCCGGGGCCCCUACCAACCCUUUAGAUUUGCCUCUGAUAUAUAUAUAUUAUUUAUGUUUUGUAACUCAAAAUUUAGUCAUAUUAUCAAUAAUAUUUUAAUAUGAAAAAUUUACUUUUUAAAAAAAACUUAUUUAACUUGUCUCAAUUAAAUUAAAAAAAUUAAAAUCAAAUUAGAAUAAUAAAAUAAUACCUAUUUACGCGAUUGAAUCUAAUACUCACCUCUCAAUAUUACACCUUUUGAAUCUUCCUAGAUCAUAAAAGGAGAAGUUAUCCUUGGCGUGUGUGUUUUAGUGCUCCUUAUUUCCUUUAAAAACAAAGUUUAUUUAUUCCUUUUUUAUAGAAAUGAAUUGAUAUUUAAACUGCAAAAGAAGAACCACUAUUUGAACAUGUAUAAAUUAAUAUUGUACGCAAAUAUAAACUUUAAUACCAAUUAGAGAAGUAAAAUAAGAUAUUGGUGAAUCAAAUUUAUUAAAUAAUUUAUAUACAGAAUGGAUGAUAUAAUAUUUCUGAAGUCUUCCCUUGGUUGACCAUAAAAGGAGAAGUCAUUGUUUUGUUUUUUGGUAUUUAUUUGUGACCCCUACACACACAUCAAAAUCACAUAUCAUAAACAUUGAUUUAGAAUUAAACUAUAUAAUAUUAGACCUUUUGUAAUCUUCCUAUUGUUGACCAUAAAAGGAGAAGUCAUCCUCUUCUGUCUUUUCUCCCCUUUAACUCUGUGGCUAAUUAUGUCAAAACAAGGUUUUUUUUUCCCUUCUUUGGUAGGAAUUAAAUUAAUAAAGAUUAUUGUAAUUUAAAAUCCAAUUAAAGUUACUAUUUGAACUGGUAUGAAUUAAUAUUGUUAUGUCUAACAUUUAUAUCCAAUAAUUUUUACUAUAGAGAAAAGAAGUAAGAAAAUAAUAUAUGAUGUAAAAUUGUUAAUUUGAGUCUUAACACAGUCGGUAUUUGUAUGUUGUUUAUGUAAUUUUUCUUUCUAGUUAAAGGUUGGAGAGGAGUUAGGGUGAAGCUAGAAAUUUCUUUUUUGGGAGACGAAAUUAAGCUGUAUAUUUUUACGAGAGUUAAAAUACAAUUUUACCAUUUCAAUAGCUUAUAUCUUUACAAUUUUUAAUGGACUAAAGCAAUAUUUUAUCAUUUUUAGGGCUAAAGUACAAUUUUACUAUUUAUUAACUUAAAAUUUUAUAAACUUAAUUUAAAGGGUUAAAUUUUAAAUUUCACAUUUUAAGGGAAGGGAUAAAAACCCUGCUAGGCUCCCCUCUUGCCGCCCCUGAGAGGAUAUAAAGUAAAGCCAUAAGGGUCUAAAAUAUAUGAAUUAUGAGUACUUAUUACACUUGACCAAUUGCUUUUCUUCAAACAAAACAAAAACUAAUGCACAUGAAAAUGCAAAUUCACAUGCAACCUAGAUAUGCAUUCUAUAUACAAUGCAAUGCAAUAAAUAAAUAAACAAAUAUUAUUUAACUAUGGAGUUGCCUCUCCGUAAGCACCUUUGUUUAACAUUUUUGGCUAGAUGUUUUUAAAUGUUAUUUCACCACAGAAUGAUUCGGAUAACAUCUUGACUUAAUAAAAUUGAACAUUAGGAACAACUUAAAAGUCGAGGGAACUUGAGAGUUUUGAUCCCCUUUUGGUUCUUUAACCAACCAUUCUCACCCCUAAUUAUAAUUCCAAUACAGUAAAAGUACGUGAUUGAGUUGAAUGGAUGGUGGUUGUUUGACAUAACAUGUAGAAAGUGAAAAAAUAGUUAAAAAUAAAUCAAGUAUUAAAACUAAAAGUUUAUGAAAGAAAUAAUUUUUUUUCGUUUCCAGGCUUUUACAAAAUCGUGUAGAUUAUUCAUUUUCUUUCUUUUGCUUUUCUUUUCUGACGAAUAAAAUUUAACAAAUGAUAAAAUUGAUCUAAUGUUAUAUAUUUGGUUUAAAAUUUAUGUAACAUAUUAGUAUUUUAAUUAUUUUUCAAAUGUUAUAUAUUUGUUUUAUAAUGGAAACUAAAGUUCGCAUUUAUUUUUUUUUAGGUUUUUUAGGGUGAGUUUAGAUAGGCGGUGCAUUUAUCUACGGUUAGUAUAAAAAUAAAAAUAACGGUAAUAUUAUAUAUUAUAGAGAUAUUAUGGUGUGAGACAAAAAAUAAAUUAAAUACACCGCACCCUACUAUCUAUCCAAACUUAAUUUUAUUAUUUAAAAAUAUAAAUAUUUAAGAUAAAUAGAUAAGUGGGAAAUAUUGAAUGGAAUAAAGUAAUUGAAGCAAUCAAUUGCUAUAUCAUUUCACACACUUUCCCAAAGCCACAUAAGGGGAGAGAAGGGGCCACGCAGCCCUCCUAAAUAGUUGAAAAUAAAUCAAGUAUUAAAACUAAAAGUUUAUGAAAGAAAUUCUAGUAUUAUCAAUUUUUCGUGAGGCUCAAAGCUAUUUGGAACAAAAAUAAAAUCAAUAUGUAUAGGCUUAACAAAAUAGCUAUUAUCUUGCAUUGUUAUUUCAUCCUAACCUCUUCCCUCAUAACUUCAUCUUCUAUUUUCUGUUCGACUUUAUCAAAAGUCUCAAGAAUUUCCUCCCCGUCCUUUUUAACUUCAACGAAACUUUCUAGGGAAGGAAGCUCUAUCGUGAAUGACUUCGGUUCUAGUCAAAGUAAAAUAUAGUUUUUUUAGGUUUUUCGACUAUUUAUGCAUCAAACUUUUAGGACAUUUUGGACAUCUUCCUAAUGUUUUUGGGCUUUAAUCUGUGAAAUAAAUUUAGAUAAAUCUUUCAAGUCACAUCAACAUUUUAUUAAUGAUUUAAUAAAUUAUUAAUAAAAAGAUUUAGGAUUAAUGUACAAAUUUGUCACUAUACUUCAAUUUGAUUGAUAUUUGAUAUUGAAUUUUAUUGCUUUACUUUAAUUUAAUUGAAUUUUGCCACUAAGAUUUUUUUAUUGAAUUUUCUAUUCAAUUUAAUUUUAAAAUAACUUGAAGGCUAAAUUGAAUAAAAAUAGUUUUAUAUUUCGCUUUUAUAUUUAAUAAUUAUCCUCUCAUCCAUGGCAAGGUGCGGAAAUUUGCAGAAUAUAGAAAUGGAGUGAAGAAAAACCGCUUUAGCAGAGGAUAUGAUUAUGUUAAGGAUAUACUGAAGUGUUUGAUUAUUUUUUCCAGAUGAAGUGUUUGACAUUUUAUAUCACUUAAUUAUUUUGGAUUUAUAUGUGAUGUCAGCCUCUACACGUAUACACGUGAAUGUCACCUAUUAGAAAGAAAUAGUAAUUAAAUUCAUAUUUAAUAUAUAUUUUUGAUCUAAUUUUUUUUAAUUCAAUUUAAUUUUAGUUAAAACGUUUAAAAACAUUUAUUUAAUCUAAUUUCUUUAAUAUAUUAAAUAAAUUGGAUUAGAAAAUAUAUUAAAUAUGAAUGAAUACUAUAUCUCUAAAAAUUAAUAUAUUAUUAUUUUAUUGGUGCUUAAAAAAAUUAAAAUAUUUAGAAUCAUUUUAAUAUAAGUUAUUCCCUUGAUAAUAAUAUUUGGUAUUUACACGAGUAAGUUCAAUAGUUGACAAAUAUUUUAUAUAAGUAUAAUAAAAUAUUUAAAAAAAUUAUUUAGUGACUUAAUUUUUUAAGAAUAUUUGAUAAUUCAUAAAGAAAAUAAAUAAUAUUUUAAAAAAAGAGUGAAAAAUGAUAAGUAGAUAAUAUCUAUUAUCACUUACAACAUGUUUGGAUUAAAAAGAAGAAAAAGGGAGGGAAAAUUAAGUAAAUUGAGGGAAAGAAAAUUCGGUUUCUUUGUUUAAGUUAAGUAAAGUUGUUAAUUUUUUAUUAGAUUUUAUAUUUUAGAUUAUUAUCUCUUCUUCUUCUUUUUUUAGCUUGUAACAGCCUUAUUUUUAUUUUCUAUUUGUUUAGGUUACUAGAAAUAUUUAAUUUUAAAUUUGUUUGAUAUAUAUUUUUAAAAAUUUUAACAAUAUUUUUUAUUAACUAUUUUGUUAAAUUAUUAGGAAUCCUUCAUUUGUAAUUUGGUUAAGAUAUUUUUUUUUUUAGUUUGAUAAAAUAAGCUUAUUAAAAAAAAAGAGAAUAUACCAAUAUAUUAUUGGUUAACAUUUUAAUUAUUAUUUUAUAUAGAAUAUUGAUAUUUUUCUAUAAUUUUAAUUUGCUGUGAUUUAAUUUUGUUAUUAUAUAUUAUUUAUGAACUGUUAAAAUUAAAAAAAAUAAAAGUAAAAUAAUUCAUUUUCUUUCCUUUUCAUAGUUUAGCAAAACAAGUCCACAAGCUCGCCUCAUUUGAAAAAAAAAUUAAAUUGUUUAAAUAUAUUUAUCUAUAUAUAUAUAGGGACUAGUUUUAACAAAUGAAAAACAUAAAAACUACAUUAGAAGAAAUGGGGAAGGGAAGAAAACAAAAGGAGAAGCAGAAGAGAAUGAAAUAUAAAGGAAAGUUAAAAGAACAUAAAAAAAUUAAAUUAAAUUGCUCAAAACGAAAAAAAUAUGGGGAUUAGUUGCAUAAAUCAUCCUAAAAUUUUUGUUUGAAAGAUGAUUUAACAUGUCACAUCAGCUUAUUGUUACACGGUUAACAAAAAUUAAUAGCUCAGUGACUAAAAUGUUAUAACGUGAUAACGUAAGUGACUAAAAUGUAACAUUUCAAACAUAAAUAACUAAAAUGUAAGCAAAAGUGGCUAUUUUAAUAGUUUACCCUAACAUUUAUCCAAACAUAAGCUUAAUGUAAACAUUUUUUCAAUUCUUUUUAUUUUAUUUUAUUUUUUACCAUUAUCCUUUAUCCUUAUUUUAGAAAAAAGUAGAAUUAUUUUUCAAAAUUAAUUUUAAGCAAUACAUCAAAUAGAUUUUAUAACUUAAAUGUAAUAUUUAAUUUUAUAAUAUUUUUUUAUCAAACAACAUUUACUCCUAAGUAAAUAAAUAAAUAAAGGCCUUGUGUAAUUAAGAAAGUUGAGAAAGGGCUAAUCCUCACAUGGUAAAAAUUGGCUACAAUAAUGAAGGAAAGAGAAAAACACUUAGGAAUGUGAAUGAGCAUACCCCACACACAUACUAUUUACUGUCAACGGUGAUGGAUGAAUUGUCUACUAUACAUGGAUUUUUUUUUUUUUUUGGUUCUUGUCCUGUAUUAUUUGGGUUUGUGAUCCCAUGUAAAAUUCCAGUCACUAUUUCAUAGCAUUUAAAAAAAAUUAUUUAUUAUCAAUUGAGUAUUAGCUUGAUUGGUAUAAGUAUUAUUGUCAAUGUAUGAGAACAUAGGUUCGAGUGUAUUAAAGCUUAUUAUCUUUUUAUUUAUGGAUUAGAAAGUGAUUAUUGGUAGUUCUAAACAUUGUGUUGAAAAGAAUAGACAUAAUCAGAAUUUAUGUUGAAAUUUUUCAAAAACAAUUAUUUAUUACACAUUAAUUAAAAGAAAUCUCUUUAUGGGCAGUUCAAGAUUGUGAAGUUAUAAAAUAAAAAAUUCGAUACGAAAACAAAAAUCUCUUUUGUUUAACAAAAUAUUAAUCAUUGAUUGAGUUAAUAUUAUGAGUCAAUCAAACAUCAAUUUAAUCAAGAAAUUACGAAAAUAUUAUUUUAUAAUUAAAAUAAAUUAUAUUAUUUGAGGAUAUUUUAAUAUUUUAUGUCAAAAAAAUCAAUAAAAAUAUGAAUAUGAUGGGAUUUGAAAUAAAAUCUUGAAUUUACCACUCAACCAAAACUUUAUUUUAUCAUAUUUUAUACAUUUUUAUUUUAAUACGCACAAUUUAUUAACUUCAUCAGUUGUAUAUAUAUUAAUAAAUUUAUUGAUUGAGUUAAUAUCACAAGUCAACUCGACACUAACUGACAAUUGACGACAACACUUUGAUAGACAGUUGUAUUGCGUUUAAUUAGUAUUUUUAAUUUGAUGUAUUUAUAUGUUUAAAUUUUAUUUUUGCUCCCAAAUUAAUUUAAUUUUUUAUUUUAAUGCCAUACAUAUUUUAUAUAUUCUUAUAAUUAAUUAUCUUGAAACCAUAUGUUUCAUUAUUUACUUCUUUCUUUUAAGCAUGCAUCUGUGUUUCAAAUCUAAACAUGGUUGAUUAUGUUAAUUAAUGUUACAAAUUGAGAAAUUUAUUAAAAGUAUUGAAAUCUUCACAUCUAACCUACUUUUAUCAUGUUUGGAAGAUGCUAUUGAUCUUCUUCAAGUGGUUUUUCACAAAUAUAUUAUUCUAUCAAUUUUCAUCAACCAAAAAAAAAAGUAAUUGAAGUAAAAUUUACCUUUGAUAUACCAGAUGAUUUCAAAGAGAAUGAUUAUAUCAAUGAGUUUAACAAUUAAAAAAUAUAUUUUUUCAAAGAUUUUAUAAUAUCAAAUAUUUUAAAAAUUUUAUAUAAACUUAAAUAAAUAUUUUAAAUGAUACAAUUCGACCAAUUUUAGUAAUUAGUUUAUAAUUUAGAGUUGUAGAUAAUAUGGCUGAUAUAUAUAAUGUCUUGGUCAAGUCAUGGUUUUAUAUAUGUUUAUUUGUGAGCCCUACACUCGCAUCAAAUUUAGAUAUCACAAACAUGAUUUAAAACAUUACUAGCUGUGAGCAAUUUAAAGAAAUUUAAUUUCUUUUUUACAAUUUUAAGUUAAUCAAUUAUUUGAUUUUUUUUAGGGGGCCGAAAUGAAUUUUUAAUUUUUAAUGGUCUAUAUCUUUAUAUUUUUUAAAGGAUUAAAUUAAAAUUUUUAUAAUUUUAGGGGGGUCAAAGUGUAAUUUUACCUCUACUAAUUUAAAACUUUAAAAUUUUUUAAAAGACCUAAAUAGUAAUUUUUCAUUUUAAGGGGGCCGGAGCCUUACCAACCCUUUAGAUUUGCCUCUGAUAUAUAUAUUAUGUAUGUUCUUUAAAUCAAAAUUCAGUCAUAUUAUCAAUAAUAUUUUAAUAUGGAAAAUUUACUUUUUAAAAAAUUUAUCUUGAACAAACUUAUUUAGCUUAACUCAAUUAAAUUAAAAAAAUUUAAAUCAAAUUAAAAUAAUAAAAUAAUACUCAUUUACUCGAUUCGAUCUAGUACUCACCUCUCAAUAUUACACCUUUUGAAUCUUCCAUGACAGAAGUUAUCCUUAGUGCUCCUUAUUUCCUUUAAAAACAAAGUUUAUUUUUUCCUUUUUUAUAGAAAUGAAUUGAGAUUUAAACUGCAAAAGAAGAACCACUAUUUGAACAUGUAUAAAUAAUUUAUAGUUGAUAGUUAUAUACAGAAUGGAUGAUAUAAUAUUUCUGAAGUUUUCCCUUGGGAGAAGUCAUUGUUUUAUGUUUUUUGGUAUUUAUUUGUGACUCCUACAAAUUAUAUAUAAGAAAUUCUAGUAUUAUCAAUUUUUUGGAGGCUCAAAGCUAUUUGGAUCAAAAAUAAAAUCAAUGUGUAUAGGCUUAACAAAAUAGCUAUCAUCUCAUCCUAACCUCUUCCCUCAUAACUCCAUCUUCUAUUUUCUGUUAGACUUUGAGAGUUCAAUUACGAAAAGGGAAGUGUUUUUUUCGGCUCUUAAUGUAAUUGAUAGUAGGCUAGGAAAUAAAGAUUAUUCGUUUGUUUGUUUAAGCCUGAUUUUGACUUGUUUACUAUAAUUAAAUUAUCACUUCAAUAUAUUUUUAUCAGUUUGAUUUAUGUACUUUCAUUCUAUGUACUUCGUUAUCUUAUUUAUAUUUUUUAGAAAAAAAAUUUUCUAUCUAAUUAAAUGCUGUCACCUAUGAAAAAAUUUAAAAUUCCACUGAAGUAUAUAAAAAUUCAUAAAAAUCGUAAAAAAAGCAUAGAACUCUAAAGAAAUUAAUAAAAUUUUAUAAGCACAAAUUUCCAAAAUUAAAAUUAAAAUAUUUUAUUAAAAUUUUUAAAUUUUUUAAAGUUUCAUAUAUUUAUUGUUUAAAAAUUAUAUCAUUUUCAAAAAAAGAUUAUGAAUUUUUUUAGGUAUUUUAAAAAUAUUUUUCUAAGUCUUAAGAUUUUAUUUUUUGCAUUUUAUGAUUUCUUUUUUGGAUUUUUAAUGGUUUUUAAAAUUUUAUAAUAUUUUCUAAAAUGUUUUAACUAUUUUGGUCGUCCAGGUUUUGUGAAUGAAGCGAAGGGUAUCUUUAUUGUGGUGAACUUUUAAUUUACUCAAAACGAAGUGAUUUAUUACGUUGUGUGAUUUGCAGAUAAGUGUUAAAUAUGAAAUGUGUAAGGCCCAAUAUUUGCCCGGCCCGUAAUAAAUAAACCAAAUCAAAAUUUAAAAAGUCCAAAGUCCAAAAUUACAAAAAUCUAUCAGACCCAAAAUAUAAAUCGAGCCCAUUUAUAAAUGGCCCAGUACAAACCCAAAUUACAGCUAGCCCAAUAGCCAAAAUCAGCCCAGAUUUUUUCAUUUUGCAGAAACCCUAAACAGUUUCAGAGGUACCAGGCGCCGCAGCCAAGCCCUCGCACAUGCCCCACGAACCACGCUUCCAGCGCCUCUCCCCACAUACACCUAGCCACGUCCCUGACACCGUACGGCCGUACCUGCAGCAAACGCAAACGAAAAACGCAGCAGAGAAAGAAAUUGUAUUUUUCAUUUUUAUUAUUUUAAAACGAAGGGAUAUAAAACAGGAGAAACCUUUUGUAUUUGAGGGGGGAUUGAUACGCAAUAUCAACACACGCAUAUUGUAUCAGAAAAACGAAAUCAAUACAGAAGAAAGGUUUUCUUUUUCUCUUUUCUCGAUUGGGUUCCUUUUUCUUUGGCUUUUCUUUUUUCUGUUUUGCUGUUAGCCCUAUACAUAAGCAUAUACAUAUAAUAAAAGGGAAAGGAAGUACUUACCUCGGUGACCCUGUCGUCGUUCUCAUCGGUUUCGUGGAUACCAAAGAGGCUAGGUAUGGUUUUAGCCUGAGAACGGCGCAAGGGGAGAGGGGAAAGGCAAAGUUUUUUUUCUGCUAUUUUUUUAGUGGCCGAAUAACCUUGUUUAGGGUUUUAAAAUUGGUUUUUUUUGGGUGUUGAAACGGUGUCGUUUGGGGCCUGAAUCAGUGGCCACCAAAACGACGUCGUAUUUGUAUACCCGCACGUCCAACCCGACCCGGACCAGCUAGAUUCGCGCGUUUUGGCCUCUGGUGGUAUAUUUUCGCACUUAGUCCCUUGCCUUUAAAGCGCAUCCAAAUCAAUCUUUUUAUUUUUUUAGAUUUUGCCUGAUAUGUCACUGUUGUUUCAUUUUGGUCCCUUCUGCCAAUAUGCGUUUUGAAGGGCAGGGAAUAUUUCCCAUUUAAUCCCUCAUGUAAUGCGCAGGCUUCAUUUUGCCUUUUAAUUUCCUUUUAAUUUAUUUUCUUUUUUCGAUUAAGCAUUAAAUCCAUUUUAAUCUCUAUUUUAGUUUGUUCAUAUUAAUUAAUUUAAAUAUUUUGGUUCUGUUUUCUUUAAUAUAUUUCAGUUUAAUCUAAUGUUAUUUUAAUAAUUCAACUUAUUAGUAUAAAUUCAUUAUUGGUAUUAUUUAAAUCUAUUGAACCAUUAUUCUAAAAGUUUUCUUUCGUGUGUUAUUUUAAGUUUUCAUAUAUUAUUAUUAAAAUUUAAUACUUAUUAUUUUUAUGAUAACUAAAUAUAAUUUGUACAAUUCUAUAGUUUUAUAAUAUUUAUUUUUAAAUUUAUUGGGAUACUAUUAUUUUAUGAAGUAUUUGUUUUUAACUAUAUUUUUCAUUUAUUUCAAACUUUCAUGUGUAUAUAUAUUAUUUUAAACUUAUUUUAAUAUAUAAUUUCCCUUCUUUUAUGUUACUUUUUUUGUUUUUGUUAUUUAAAAAAAAACUUGUUACAUUUUAUUUAAUUCGCUUGUUACCCUUUUUUAAUAUUAACUUUUUAAUUCAUUUUGCUUGCUAAUAUGGAUGUUAGUAUUUGCAUAAUGUAGGAUAUAAAAUUGUUGCUCUUUUGUAUAUGAUAUUGUUUAUUCAUAUAUUAAAUUUUUGUUAUUCAUUAGUGUAUGCUUUAGUUUACGAAUAAUCAAUUCGCAUAGUACAUUAUUAUACGAUCGUUUUUAUUUAUUCAAAAGAUUACAAAUUACAAAGUUAUUCUAUUCAAAAACUUUCAAAAAUACUCGAAGUUUGAAAUCCUCGAGAGAAUUGAGCCCUAACGUAUUGGGUUCCAAUUUUUUUCGUCGAGUCUAAAUAAUUGAACAUUUUUUAACAUACAAAUUUCAAAUAACCCAUUCUCGGGAAUUCAACACGUUGUGUCCUAACGUAUUGGAUAUGACAUGUUAUUUUCUCGAGACGAGGAUUUUAAAAAAAUAAUAAAUAAAGGCAAUGUUCGGUAUUUGGAAAUUUGGUGAAAUCGAACCCUAACUUACUGGGUUUUGAUCUUCUCUUUUGGCCCAAAUAAUUAGAUAUCCUUCUCAAAAUGCAUAGUUUUAAAAAUCAAAUUUAACUUCAAAAUAAAAGGAUUGUAUUUUAAAUUUUUUUUCAAAAUCUCGACAUUAAGACAUUGAACAAUCAAUUUGGUACCAAUUUUGGGCGUAUCGAGGGUGCUAAUCCUUCCUCGUGCGUAACCGACUCCCGAACCUAUUUUUUUGAAUUUCGUAGACCAAAACCGUUGUUUUAAUAAAAUCAAAUCGUUUAUUAAAAACAACCACUUUUUAAGGUGAUCCGAUCACACCUUAUCAAAAAAAGAUUGGUGGCGACUCCCUUUUUCCGUUUCCGUUUUCAAAAUCCAAGUCGACCCCGUUUUCAACAAAGAAAUGGUGUCUACAAAAUGAAUUGUUGAAUUUGAAAACAAUGGUUUAAUAUUGCAGGGAUUUCCAGCAUUAUCAUAAAUUUUAGUGAAUUUAGAGACGAAAUCAGAGUUCCACUGAGUUUUGUUCAAAUCUGGGGAUUUCAUCGUCAUAUAGGGUCGAUUUGGAUAUCUAGGAUACAAAGCUUCAUAUCAUUGAUGUUCGGUGGCCAUGGGUAUAUGUUGAUUUUGAGUUUAUCGUUGCCCCAUAAGUUGGUUGCACUAAAAAAAAAGGGUAUUACCAAUGCUAAAAAUUGUUACUAAAAUUUUAUUGUAGCAAUAAAAGUUGUUGCGGGAUUGUUGUGUAUAUUUUCGUUGUUUAAAGUAUACGCAACUCUACUCAAUUAUGUAAUAUCUACUCUUAAAUAUGGUCUAUUUAACUACAUAUUUAAGCACAUCAAACACAAAUUAAUAAUUUAGAAAUAUCAAACCAAGAAUUAAUCACACAUAAUUGGGAACAAUAAACUAAGUAUUUAUUGCAUAAAAUAAAAAAAAUGAUAGAAUCCAUCAUAGGGUUCAUUUCCCUAGGUAUUUAGAAAAUUAGUUCAAGCUUGAAAAUAAAAACAUCCAAGAUAUAGUAUAACCGAAAGAAAUAAAAAAAUUCAUGAUAAUCUCCUAGGAAAUCAACUGAGAAUCUUCAAUCUUGACGUAAAUUUGUUUUCAAGAUGGCUUCAAUGGCAUUUUUCGAGUUGCUUUCUUGAAUAUUUUAUGACGGCUCUCUCAUAUACUUUCUUAAUUUUUCACAUAUACGUUUCAUAAUGCCCCAAAAAUCUAAAAAUCUUGAUUUUACAUUGUUUGUGUGGCAAUUCCAUGAAAUUGACAUAGCCUACCACACACUCGUGUGGGUCACAUGACUAUGUGGUUUGCUCAUGUGAAAUUUAGAAAAUGUAAAAGAUUCCCUAUGCACCAUCUAUUAUGAGUCUACUAUAUGCUCAAAUAUGUAUGCAUCCGUAUAUUGCAUAUAUUGUUGGGAUGUUAGGCAAACAUUUAAGCAACUCUAGUAUAGGCCAUUAGAUAACAACCAAGAGGGUUAUGAGGUAUCUUUAGAAAACAAAAUAUUACAUGCUCACAUAUUGGAUGUUUGAUAAGUUAGAGAACAUCAAGUAUACAAACUCCAAUUUUGAUGAAAUAUUGAUGCAAAAUUUUGUCACUAGAGUGCAAAUUGUAACAAUAGUUAGUAGUCUUUUAUUCCAAUUGUACAAGCCCAAAUUUGCCCGAGGCCCAAAAACCCAAUACACCCAAACCUCAGCCUAAUUACAAAUUUAACUCAGCAGACCCAACCCAACACCGAUGACCAAACCUCAAUCCAAUAGCACCUAGCCCAACAAGAUUAAACCCAAACCCGAGGCCCAAUAUCCAACCCAAAAAAAAUGAAGGCCCAGUAGCCCAAAAUGUUUGAGACUUUUUCAGAAAAAAUGAAACCCUAGCCUACUGCCUAACCCUAGCCGCCUCUGCCUCCUCUGACAUCUUCUAGUCUGGCUGCCGCUCGUAGCCUCUGCCACCGCCACCUCUGACGCCGAGCCGCCCAUCAAUCACCUACUCCAUCAACGUCAACACCUGCAAACAAGAGAAAAAGCAAUAGCAAAUAAUAGCAAAAAUAUUGUAAAAAAAUGGCUAUAAAGCCAUAACCACCACUGUAAACGGGGUUCUUCCCCCCCCGAUUUUUGUAUAAAAAAAUAUUAGCAGGGAAAUAAAGGAAAAAAGAUUGAAGGUGAUUUUUUCUUUUCUUUUCUUUUCGGUUUUGUAGACCUGUUUUUCUGUUCUCUUUUCUUUUUUCGUUUACACGUAUGUAAAUAAAGGUAGUAAAUAAAAGGAUAGAAUGAAGACUUACCCAUUUCGCCUUUCGGUUACGCCGCCGUCGGGGUCUGCUCAUAAUUGAAAUCGGCCCGAAAGAUCGAGUUAGGGGGUCCUUUGUCUUAAUUUUUGGGCCAAACGAAUCUAGCCUUCGAUUGGGUCUUAAAACGGGGACUAGAAUGCCCAUUUUGCGCAACGCCGGCCACCGUCCACGGUGGCGCUAUGGCGGUGCUAAGAAGACCCAAAGGCCGAACGUUUGAGAGGGAUGAGGAAAGGUUUUUUUUUGUUUUUUUUUUAAAUUAGUGGCCGAAAUGUUUUUUUUGAAGAAAAUAUGGCUUAAAUACCAUUUUCGAAAUAACAUCGUUUCAAUUUGGCCCUCCAGAUGCCAAAACGGCGUCGUUUUGAAAGGGGCCGGUUCUACUCGACCCGUUUGGCCAGGAUCCGCGUGUUUUAGCCUUGAGGGGUUAUUUAUGCGGGGAGUCCCUCCGCUUUUGCAGCGUAGCCGAUAUGAUCCUUUUUGGUCUUUUUGUUAUUUGGCCCGCGAAUUUUACCUCUAUUUCGAUUUGGUCCUUAGACCAUGUGCUGCCCCUAGUCGAAACGCAGCAUUUUAGGACUGGGAAAUAUUUCCCCACAAGUCCCUCACGCUUUAAGCGCGUUUUACUUCAGUCCUGCACUAUUCCUUUUGUUUGUUUGCAUAUUUAAACCCCGAAGUUCGUUUCAAGUUUUAAUUUAGUCCUUUUGUAUUUUGUUUAUUUUCUUAUUAAGUAAUAAAUUUGAUGUUAUACUGUUAUUAUUAAUUAUAAUAAAUAUUAUUUGCUCAUUUUUACCUUUAGAAUUUCAAAAUUUAUCAUAUAUAUUUGUAUAUACUUAUUUUGAUAUUUUGAUAUUUUAUAAUUUAUAUCUAUAUAUCUAUAUACAUAUUUAUACAUAUAUACACAUACCUAUAUGUUUUAUAUUUUCAUAUAGUUUUUAUAUACAUAUAUAUUCUUAUAUGCACAUGCUUAUGUUUUUUUAUACUUUAUAUAUAUACACCUAAACAUGCAUAUUUUUUUAUAUGUACAUACAUUCAUAUAUUUUAUAAUUUAAGUACAUAUACAUAUAUAUGUACAUAAACUUUAUUAUUAUUAUUUUUUUUGUAAUUUAUAUUGUUAUUAAUUGUUUUAUUUGAUAUUUAUUUAUUUGCUCAUCUUUAUUUUUAUGAAAUGCUUUAGUUCUUUUUACAUUAUUUUUAUGAAAUGCUUUAGUUCUUUUUACUUACUCAUUAUUUCAUGUAUAAUUGUUUUUUUUAUAUAUGUGUCCUUUUUAUUGUUGCUCGUAUUAUUUUACUUACAUUAUCAUAAUUGUCAUUCCAUUACGUCAAUUUUCACCCAAAUUCAAAAAAAGAAAUUUUAAAAAUAUAAAUAAUACUCGGUAUUUGGGAUCUUCGAGAGAAUCGAGCCCUAACGUAUUGGGUUCCGAUUUUCUUCGUUGAAUCUAAAUAAUCGAGACUACUCUUUUUUAUAUAUAAAAAAACAUAAAUAAAAGCUCAUUAUCGGGAAUUCAAUACGUUGUGUCCUAACGCAUUGGAUAUGAUACAUUGUUUUCUCGAGAUGAGGAUUUUUCUAAAAAAAUAAAAAUAAGGCAAUGUUUUGAGUUUGGGAAAUUCAAGAAAACGUGCCCUAAUGUGCUGGGUUUCGAUUUCUCGUUUAGCCAAAUAUUCUCUUAAAUCUUAAUCUAUGUCAUUUAAGUUUUUUUAGGAUCGUAUUUUAAAUCUCUUUAAAAUUUUCAGUUUUUCGACACUAAGAUAUUAAGUGAUCAACUAGGUACCAAUUUUGGGCGUAUUGAGGGUGCUAAUCCUUCCUCGUGCAUAACCGACUCCCGAACCCAUUUUUCUGAAUUUCGUGGACCAAACUUGUUGUUUUAAUAAAAUCAAAUCAUUUAUUAAAACAACCACUUUUUGAGGUGAUCCGAUCACACCUUAUCAAAAAAGAUUGGUGGCGACUCCCACUUUCGUUUUCAUUUUUCAAAACCCAAGUCGACCCCGUUUUAUCAAAAAAAUGGUGCCAACAGCUUGGCGACUCCACUGGGGACCCAAGAACGAGAGUCAAGCCACGAGUUGAUUAUUUUUUUAUUUUUUUGUCGAAAAUCAAAAAAUUAGUUUAAACAUACGAUCCUUUCGUUGCAUUUCAUUCGUCUUUAUUAUGAUCUUCAUCAUUAUAGUUUAUAAUUGUUGUGUUAGUUUAAGUUUUGGUAUCAAUUUGUACAUUGCAUUGCAUAACCGUUGGUCACACCCUUCUUAGUGGGAGUGAGAAACUACGCUUUCGUGAGGUUUUCACCUCUGCAUAGGAUAGUGAAUCGCUUCUGGUAUAUAUCCGUACCUAUGUUUUCGUGAGAUUUUCAUCUCCGCAUGGCCAUAGGGAAAUGUAUUCCCCUGAACUGAACUCAGUCUGCAUGAGCCUAUAAUGGGUCAGGACCGAGGAAUCUGCUGGUUCAAGUACCCCUUACUUUAGAGCCGAACCGCAUGUAAUGAGCCCUAGGAGCCUACCCUAGGUAGAACCACACCAAAUACCUAGAGGUCACCUGAAAACUUGGUUUAAAUUUACGAUCAUUUUGUUGUAUUUCGUCCGUUUUGGUAUGAUUUUCAUUACUUCGAUUUGUAAUUACUCUAUUGGUUUGAAUUCUCGAUAUGUUUCUGCGCAUUGCAUUACAUGACCACUCAGUUACACCCUUUUAAGUUGGAGUGAGAAGCUACUCCUUUGUGAGGUUUUCACCUCCGUGCAGGAUAGUGGAUCACUUUUGGGAUACAUCUGUACCUAUGUCUUCGUGAGAUUUUCAUCUCCGUGCAGCCAUAGGGAAAUGUAUUCCCCUGAACCGAACUCGGUCCGUAUGAGCCUAUAAUGGGUGAAGAUCGAGGAAUCGGCUGGUUUGGGUACCCUUUCUUUAGAACCAAACCACAUGUAGAAGACCUUAGGAGCCCACCCUAGGUAUAACUACUUUGAACCCCUAGUAGUUACCCGAAUAGGUGCUCUUUUUGUUUUUUUUUCUUGUUUACUUUUGCUUUGUACUAACCUGUUUUGUUUUGGUUAUAACUGCAUUGCAUUUUCAUCAUAGAAAAGAGGUGUUGAUUCAAAUUUGAUUGCUAAAUAGAAAAGCUUGUCAUGGAAAACGAAUUUCUUGAUAAAGUAGAAUAUGAUGCGACUGUCUGAUUAUGGACUAAUUAAACACAACAAGAGAAGGUUAGAAGUUUGUGGAGGAAUAUACGACUAUGCUUCACUGCCUGAGGAUUCAAACCGACAAAGAUCAUUCGAGAGUGGUCACGAAACUAAAGAGCAUCGUAAGGGAGCAAUGGGUCGUGGCUCAGAUCAAUCAAAAAAGAAGAUAGUAAAGGUAAAUUUUGGGAAAUUCGCAAGAUUUGAUCCUAACAUCUGGAUAUGAAGAAAAGAUCAAUGUCUUCGCCAGGAAUAUGGGGGCAAAGCAGCAGAUGUAAUCUAUUUUAUGUAAAGAAAUUUAUUCUCUAGAAAAGUUGUUCUAAUGGAAUUGAAUUAGGAAUCAAUGCCUCUCUUUCUUUUUGCAUUCAUUUCACGCAUUUGUAUUAUAUAACAUCACAUGCAUUAAGGACCAUCAAAAGACUCUAAUUGAGUAAAAUGAUUUCAGCUAAUCUAGAGAACCAACACCCUUACGGAAUCCGAGCAAAAACUAAAAGAAUGGACCAAAGAUUGGAGAGAUUAAAACAAAGGCAAAUACAGAUGCAAGAGCAAUUUACCAAAUUUCAACAAGAUAUGAAGGAUCAGAUGCUAGAAGUCCAAAGAAAUCUGAUGAGUCAGUUAACCCAGUUAUUGGAUAGAGGGUUAGAAAAAGGAAAAAACCCAGUGGUCCAUUUUGGAGAUAAUGAUGAAGACCCUGCUCAUUUUCUAGGUUUUACCCCAACAAACAUCCAAGCACAACUAAAUGCAUGUCCACAAAAGGUAAAUGUUAACAUCUGACCACAAUACCAGACCAGUACCUCGACACCGGUGAAUUUCACGACAGGCUCAGGUUACAACCUUAGGGGAAAUCUAACUAGUCCCGUUGUCCUUGAUGAUCUAGCGGGAACAAAACAGGUGAGAGUAGAGCUCUCAAAACCAUUUGGAGAUCGUUACAAACAGAAAGGGCAAGAGUGGAAUCCUCAAAUCAAUACUUCGAGGGCCCCGAGGAAGAGGAAAGAUGACGUGAAUGAUGUGAGUAGGUAUAAUGAGGGUUAUUCAAAGCUGAUUACAACAAGCCAGAAAAGGACGGUUGAUUCUAGCCAUCAGAUCUCCCAGAGCAAGAAUUCGGCACAAAGUAAAACAUUGAGAAGUCCAAAUUUGUACCAAUCUCAAUGUCAUUUCGGGAGCUGUAUCAUAAUUUAUUUAACGCACACAUUGCCUCCCCUUUCUACUUGAAGCCUUUACAACCUCCGUACCCCAAAUGGUACGACACGAAUGCACAAUGUGACUAUCAUGCAGGAAUUACGGGGCAUUCAAUAAAAGAUUGCGUUGCCUUUAAAAAGGUGGUUGAAAGGCUCAUCAGUAUAGGCAUUGUCAAGUUCGAUACAAAAAAAUCUGCUGCCUAAUCAUAUUGAUAAUCGGGGUGAAUGCGAUGAAUGAGGAAAUAUUGGGAAACGUUCAAAUUAACGCUGUGCGAAGAAACAACUGAAGAAGGGACCUUGUUAGAUAUUUACCCGUACAUACUUAGGGGUGUUUUGAGCAAUGAGACUGUGGAAGAGAUCCCUGUAUUUUGUAGAGCUAAUUCGGAGUAAUAUCCAAAACACGCUUAUUGCUUUAAGCCUAGGGGCAAUAAGAAUCCUUUUGUGAGAUAGGCUUAUGUCCAACAUCUUUAUUUCAAUAAAAUGCAUCUUUGUUUCUCACUUCGAGCAAAUUUUUAUUCUUAGAUUCUUUUAUUCUUUGGAUAUACUUUCGUCCCUAUAAUAGGUCUUCAGAUAUCAAUGAUAUGAGCGACACUGCUAUUGACUCAGAACCUCCUUUUGAGCAAGAUAUGUGUCCAGAUUAAACUUCAAAACUUUGGAGAUAACUAAGACUGUAGCUUAUCUCUUAGUUUGUUAAGGACGGGAGAACAAGAUCCUACCUUACAAAGAAUCAAUGGAAGCCAUGGCCUUUCUCUAGAUGGGGCACGGAUGUCAUUAGGCCAAUCUCGUCUAAGGUUUUUGACGGCUAUCUUUAUAGUCAUCGAUUACUUAACUAAGUGGGCAGAAGUUGCUUCAUAUGUCAAUGUCGCAAAGUUAACAGUCUGUAAAUUCUUGAAAAAUCAUAUGUUAGUAUGGAAUGUCAAAAAGGAACAUAUCUGACAAUACACUAAAAGUGAACAACGACACAAUAUCAGAAGUUUGCAGUCUGUUCAAGGUUAACACAUUUUGCCCUAGAAUGUACGGUGCAGUGGGAGCAAAAACAAAACAAAAAAGAGGAAAAAUUACUGCAGGGGCAACACAUUGGCUUAGCGCAGUUUUGCUCAUUGAGGUCAAGAUUCCUUCCCUCCGAGUGUUGGAUCAGAUCCCGAUUGAAGAGAAAUGUUCAAAGUUAUCCGUCUGGGUCAAAUACACCAAAAAUAAAAGAUGCGAGCUCAUCAAAGAAGGUUCACCCUAAAGAGUUCCAUGAAUAGAACCUAACAUCGAAGAAAAUCCUCCCCAUACAAAAGGGACUUUAUAAGAAAGAGGAUCUGGAAAAGUGUUGAUUUCGACCAGAAAGGAUAGCAAGGACUUACCUAAUCCUACGAGUGCGGAUUCAAUCAAAGAAUGUAAAAAAAACAAACAAACAAACGAAAAGAAAAAGAAAAGAAAAGAAGAAUGAAAAAAGAAAAAGGAGAGGCCAAGAUGAAAACCCGCAAAGGGCGCCUUGAGACCAAAGGGGUUUUGAAUUGAAAACCCAGGAAUGGGUAGUUCAAAUUUUGAUCAAAGGUGGGGCAUGCGGUGGCCUUGUCCUCUCUGAAUUAGCAAGAAGGUGAGACGCUACAUCUCAGGCUAUCAACAAAGUCUUUUAGGACUUCUAGACACAUAUCAAGUUCAAAAGAGUCCUCAAGAAGCUUAUACAGAAAAGCUCAUGUUGCGAUAUCUGGGGCACCUGUUUCCAUUUUAUUCAUUUUUAUUUUGGCAAAAUAUGCCAUCUUGAUUAAUUUAUUCUCAUUUCGUAUCUUAGCAAAUUUACUAUCUUGAUUAUUUAUUUCGAGCUUUGUUCUCAAUAAAAUUUCAUCUUGUCCAUUGUGAUAAUCCUUUUCAUCUUAUUCAUUUUGAAUCUUAGCAAAAUUCGCUGUUCUGCUUAAUUUAUUUGUUUAGAGCUCUGCUCUCAAUAAAAUUUCAUCUUUCCCACUAUGAUAAUCUUUUUCAUCUUAUCUUAGCAAAAUUUGUUAUCUUGAUUAAUUUAUUCAUUUUGAGCUUUGUUCUUAAUAAAAUUUCAUCUUAUCCAUAUUGAUAAUCUUUUUCAAGCAUUUUACAUUGAAAUAACGAUUAAUUGACUGAAUAUUCAAGCAAAAGAAGUUUUGCAUAUUACUCUGAAAGUUUCUAAAUAAUACAGGAACCUGAAAUAGGACUAUUGUUUAGAGCAUACCAAUAAAGGGUGAAAUGUCUAAGAAGGAAAAGUCUAAAUUAAGACUAUCCUUUCGAAUUUUGUUGUCCAAGCAUGAAUUGAACAAAACGAAAAAAUGUCGAGAUGGUGACAAAGUUUCAAUGAACAAACGAGCAAUGAUCACCGAGUUAUAAAAAGAGGUUUUUGGAAGAAAAAAUUCCACAAUCGUGCAUAAACAUUUGGUAUGACACCUUGGGAAUGGUGUAGAAGACUAAAGAGAUUCAGAUACUGUAUCCCUGAAUUACAGUGGGAGAGGAUUGAGAAAAGUCAGAUCUUAUACUCAGUGGGAGGAAGAUGGCUCGAAUUUUAUGCCCCAAAAUUACCAUGGACUUAACCUUGAAGAUUACAACGGAUUGAACUCUGAAGAUUACAGUAGGGGGCAAUCUGGCUAAGUAAGAGAUGAGUGUUACCAGUCGAGCAAGAUAGCAUUCUGAUAUGUUGGUAAUAAAACCUUAUUGAAUAACGAGCAAUAACAACCCUAACAUUAAAAAGGGAUCAUUCUCAUGACAUUCUGCAUUCAUGCAAAUAUAAUUCACAUACACACCUAGUUAGGAGCAUUUGAUUCGUUCUGAUCAUAAUAUCCUAAUCAUUAGGCAUAAAUAGAUUCAUAAAAUGGACUUUACAGGUCAUGUUCCCCAGAGAACAUAUUAAUAAAGUUACCCAUACCCCUGAAGUUGCAAUGGGAUGAAUUGAAGUUGUCAUGUCAAGUCUUAUCUCUCAGAAAUUAUAGAGGAGUGGACUAGAGAUAGCAGAUCUUAUCUUCCUGUAUUUGGCAGCGAAGUAGAUCGUAGAUAGCAGAUCUUGUCUUCCUGUAUUUGGCAGCGAAGUAGAUCGUAGAUAGCGGAUCUUGUUUUCCUGUAUUUGGCAGCAGAGUAGAUCAUAGAUAGCAGAUCUUGUCUUCUUAUAUUUGGCAGCGGAGUAGAUCGAAGAUAGCAGAUCUUGCCUUCCUGUAUUUGGCAGCGAAGCGUAGAUAGCAGAUCUUGUCUUUUUGUAUUUAGCAGCGAAGUAGAUCGUAGAUAGCAGAUCUUGUCUUCCUGUAUUUGGUAGAGGAGUAGAUCAUAGAUGGCAGAUCUUGUCUUCCUGUAUUUGGCAGUAGAGUAGAUCGAAGAUAGCAGAUAUUGUCUUCCUAUAUUUGGCAGCGAAGUAGAUUGAAGAUAGCAGAUCUUGUCUUCCUGUAUUUGGCAAUAGAGUAGAUCGUAGAUAGUAGAUCUUGUCUUCCUGUAUUUGGCAGUGGAGUUGGUUAAAAAUUACAGAUUCUAUCACCUUAAGCAGUAGUGGAGCAGAUUAAAAGGAUGGAUCUUAUCUCUUCGAAGUUGUAGUAGAGCAGAUCGCAUCAAACUUUAUUGAAGCUACAAGUCUUAUCUCACUGAGGUUGCAGUAGAAUAGACUGAAGAUAGCAUAUAUUAUCUCUCUGGAGUUACAGUAGAGCAGACCACGAUGAUUUUAUCUCCCUAAAGUUGCAAUGGAGUGUACCAAAAUAAUAAAUCCUAUACCUCUGAAGUUGCAGUAGGUCGGACUAAAUCUACCAUAACAAAUCCUAUCUCCCUGAAGAUGCAGUGGAGCAAAUUGAAGACCGACUACAAGUCUUAUCUCCCUGAAGUUGUAGUGGAGCAGACUGUCGAUAACGGAUCUUAUCAUAUUAAAACCUUAUCUUCUUGAAGUUACGUGAAGCAGGUUGAAGCAACAAGUCUUAUCUCCCUGACGUUGCAGUAGAGUAGAUUAAAACCACGAAUCUCGUCCCCCUGAAGUUGCAAUAGAAUGGAUUGAAGCUACGAGCUGUAUCUCUCUGAAGUGCAGUGGAGUGGAUUGAAGCAACAAGACACAGUGGAUUGGAAUGAGGCUACCUGAAGAAGAGAAGCACUAGAAGAAGUCAAGACUCGGCGAGACCGGGUAAAUUUGGUCUUUCUUGGUCUUUGCUCUAUUCUCGUUAUACGACAACGAGGAAAGAGGGGCAGCUGUACAAGCCCAAAUUUGCCCGGGGCCCAAGAACCCAAUGCACCCAAACCUCAGCCUAAUUACAAAUUUAAAUCAGCAGACCCAACCCACCUAAACACCAACCCAACACCCAUAACCCAAACCUCAAUCCAAUAACACCUAGCCCAACAAGAUUAAACCCAAACCCGAGGCCCAAUAUCCAACCAAAAAAAAAUGAAGGCCCAGUAGCCCAAAAUGUUUGAGACUUUUUCAGAAAAAAUGAAACCCUAGCCUACUGCCUAACCCUAGCCGCCUCUGCCUCCUCUAACAUCUUCUAGUAUGGCCGCCGCUCGUAGCCUCUGCCACCACCACCUCUGACGCCGAGCCACCCGUCAAUCACCUACUCCAUCAACGUCAACACCUGCAAACAAGAGAAAAAGCAAUAGCAAAUAAUAGCAAAAAUAUUGUAAAAAAUGGCUAUAAAGCCAUAACCACCACUGUAAAUGGGGUACUCCCUCCCCCCCCCCCCCCCCGAUUUUUGUAUAAAAAAAUAUUAGCAGGGAAAUAAAGAAAAAAAGAUUGAAGGUGAUUUUUUCUUUUCUUUUCUUUUCGGUUUUGUAGACCCGUUUUUCUGUUCUCUUUUCUUUUUUCGUUUACACGUAUGUAAAUAAAGGUAGUAAAUAAAAGGAAAGAAUGAAGACUUACCCAUUUCGCUUUUCAGUUGCGCCGCCGUCGGGGUCUACUCAUCGUUGAAAUCGACCCCGAAAGGUCGAGUUAGGGGGUCCUUCGUCUUGAUUUUUGGGCCAAACGAAUAUAGCCUUCGAUUGGGUCUUAAAACGGGGACUAGAAUGCCCAUUUUGCGCAACGCCGGCCACCGUCCACGGUGGCGCUAUGGCGGCGCUAAGAAGACCCAAAGGCCGAACGUUUGAGAGGGAUGAGGAAAGGUUUUUUUUUGUUUUUUUUAAAUUAGUGGCUGAAAUGUUUUAUAUUUUCAUAUAGUUUUUAUAUACAUAUAUAUAUUCUUAUAUGCACAUACUUAUGUUUUUUUAUACUUUAUAUAUAUAUACACCUAAACAUGCAUAUUUUUUUAUAUGUACAUACAUUCAUAUAUUUUAUAAUUUAUAAUUUAAGUACAUAUAUAUAUAUACAUAAACAUUAUUUUUUUUUGUAAUUUAUAUUUUUAUUAAUUGUUUUAUUUGAUAUUUAUUUAUUUGCUUAUCAUUAUUUUUAUGAAAUGCUUUAGUUCUUUUUACUUCUCAUUAUUUCAUGUAUAAUUUUUUUUAUAUAUGUGUCCUUUUUAUUGUUGCUCGUAUUAUUUUACUUACAUUAUCAUAAUUGUCAUUCCAUUACGUUAAUUUUCACCCAGAUUCAAAAAAAGAAAUUUUAAAAAUAUAAGUAAUACUCGGUAUUUGGGAUCUUCGAGAGAAUCGAGUCCUAACGUAUUGGGUUCCGAUUUUCUUCGUUGAAUCUAAAUAAUUGAGACUACUCUUUUUAUAUAUAUAUAAAAAAAACAUAAAUAAAAGCUCAUUAUUGGGAAUUCAAUACGUUGUGUCCUAACGCAUUGGAUAUGAUACAUUGUUUUCUCGAGAUGAGGAUUUUUCUAAAAAAAUAAAAAUAAGGCAAUGUUUUGAGUUUGGGAAAUUCGAGAAAACGUGCCCUAAUGUGCUGGGUUUCGAUUUCUCGUUUAGCCAAAUAUUCUCUUAAAUCUUAAUCUAUGUCAUUUAAGUUUUUUUAGGAUCGUAUUUUAAAUCUCUUUAAAGUUUUCAGUUUUUCGACGCUAAGACAUUAAGUAAUCAACUAGGUACCAAUUUUGGGCGUAUCGAGGGUGCUAAUCCUCCUCGUGCGUAACCGACUCCCAAACCCGUUUUUCUGAAUUUCGUGGACCAAACUUGUUGUUUUAAUAAAAUCAAAUCAUUUAUUAAAACAACCACUUUUUGAGGUGAUCCGAUCACACCUUAUCAAAAAAGAUUGGUGGCGACUCCCACUUUCGUUUUCAUUUUUCAAAACCCAAGUCGACCCCUUUUUAUCAAAAAAAUGGUGUCAACAACAAUAACAAUAGAAGCACAUCAAAGUCAAAGCACAUAGGCUUUAAGUUCAUUGUUAUUAUAAUAAAAGUUCAGGGUGGUUAGAUGUCUAUAAAGUAUAUUGAGACGAACUCCAUGAUUACGGAUUCGCUUAUUAAGUGACUACCACCCAAAGUUUUUUUCCUGAGCACACUGUUGAUAUGGGUGUAAUGUCAUUUAAGGAUAUUUGAUUUUAGUAGGAGUUUGUACUUUUAAAUGUUUUUAUGUUAUAAACACAUUUUCAAUUAUUUUAGUUUACGAAUAUUAAGUUUAUUUUUUAUAGAAAUAAAGUUUAUUUGGUAAAGUUUGAUCUCACUAAGGUUAAUAAGGACCAGUUAGAAUAUGCAUGUUUGAAUCAUAUUACAUAUAAUUUUCAUGUUACACAUCCAUACUUGAUCUAUGUCAUUUGGUUGUGCUAAUAUAUGUGAUUAGGGAUGGAUUUAAUUAUGAUAUAUGUAACAAAAGUUGCAUUCGUUCUAUGUUAACAUAAUUAAUGGACGAGAUUGUUCGAAAUAUCUUUUGGAUAUGAUAGUAAAAUUUUGAGCUCAUAAGAUUAUAUAAUGACAUGUAAUUAUAAAGUAAUCGGUAUAUAUCAAAAGUCUUUCCCACAUUCAUCAACUAGAAAUCAGAGCUCACCAAAUGUCUAUUCUUUUCAAUCUGAACCGACUCUACAAUCACUUAUUGCUCAUGGUCAUCAGCCUAUAAACCCAGGAGCAUUGUUAACUUCUAAAUCCAAAACACUAAUAUCAGCAUCCAACCCUACAAUGAUAGUAUUAUUGACUCAUUUAAACAAGUUUCCUUUGUCAAUCUAUAUUCCGUAUUUGGUAAUCUCCAGUAUGAAUUCAGAAUUUAGGAUAGCUGGAAUAAGAAUAGCAGCAAAGAUGCAAAGGGAAACGACUUGUAGGAGGAGGAAGAACCUUCUUUUGGGUACAGACCUGUAUAGCAUAUAAUAGGAUGUCCUGUAUAAUGUCACGAGAGCUAGUACCGUUGCCAAGCAGUAAUUAGUAAUGCUGAGUCUAGAAUAGGAAACGGAUCCAGGAGUCGAAAGAGAGAAAAAAUACUGAAGUUCGAGUGUCCGUAUGGAAACAGCAACUAAAAGCAUGUAACAGGUCCCAAACAAGGAAAGUGUUAUGAGAAUAAACAAGCAGAUUGAACGGCUGGGUAGGAGAUAGGCAGUUAAAACAGUUGCUGCCCAAAAGGUUAAAGUGUUGUAUAACCAAAACAUUGUGGACACGUCUAGUAUAUUUUUUAAAUCUUCUUUUUCAGCGGGUGGAGGACUUGGUACGGGUCCAGUGCUGGUUGAACCUAAAGAUGCGUCAUACAUGAGAUGGAAAUUCUGGGAAUUU